rnacentral:lncRNA from 1 species
UUGGCCCUUAUGAGAUUGUGGAGAUAUGUGGACCCGUUGCUUACCGAAUCCAACUCCCAGAGCAGCUGUCGGCAAUACAUGAUGUUUUCCAUGUGUCUCAACUGAAGAAAUGUGUCCGAGUUCCAACAGAGAUCUUAGAGCAAGAACAGCUUCAAGUAGAGCCCGACCUGACCUACGCCGAGUACCCAGAUCGAGUUCUUGACAAAAAGGAAAGGCACACCCGACGCCAAGUGGUAAAGAUGUACAAGAUCCUCUGGAGAAACCACACCGAGGAUGAAGCCACAUGGGAAACGGACGAAUAUCUGAACAAGCGCUUCCCGGGUUUUCUAUCCUCUUAAGAAGGUAAGGACAGCACACCCCCUUGAUCUCUGAAUCUCGGGACGAGAUUCUUUUUAAGAGGGGUAGGCUGUAACGACCGACCCCUAAGCCUUCCAGUUAAUCUUGAUCGCAGCCCUUAACCUUAGUCAGCUGUCUUGCUUGACCGCACCUAAGUGCUCAGUUUUCCGCCGGUCCCGACCCCUGAGAUCCGAUCCCUUCCCGCUUCGCUCCUCUCUCGACCCCGGCGAGCUCAGCCCACCGUCGGAUUCUGCUGAUUUUCCUCACCCGUCCGAUCUAUCCACAGGUGGACCCGUGAGAUCUUUUCCAGAUCCCCCGCGACAGCCGCACUCGAGUUGCAUGGCCGCCUCAGAGCCUUCCUGCCGCGUGGCUCGUCUUCUCCGACGCCUGCCGCUCCGUUUUGUCUCUGCCAAGCGACCGAGUGGGUUCCCGCGCCCCCUUUCCCCAAUAGCAGCGGAAGCCCUCUGCACCCCUUUCUGCAGAGCCUCGCCGCCCGCGCCCAUCAUCACGCCACCAGAUCCCGGCCCUAGAGCCCGAUGUCGCCCGUCUUUUCCGUCCCUUCGUCCACAGUUGCGCCGUCCGGUCGCCGCUACACGACGAUUCCUCCACCGCCAACCCUGACCGCGGCCGCGACAGUUCCUUUCCCCGCUCUGUUAGACGCCGCCCGACAAUCUGUUGUCUCGCGCUCUCCCCCGCGCCCGCGUCCGCCUGUCUCCUCACCCGAGCGCCCUCGAUUCUAGCGCCGUUAAGCCGGUCACUUCGAUCAAAUCUUCCGCACGACGACGCCUGCUUUCCGCCAAAUCUCAACCGCCAGUCUACCCGCCCCUACGCCGCCCUGACGGCAGAACGCAAUGAUCACUGGCGUCACCCCCGGAGUUCUGCGCUACCGCCCUCUCCGCUCAAUCGCCGCCACGGCAGAGCACUCCAUUGCCUCUCCCCGGCCUUCGCGCCACUCCCCUUCUCUCUCUUCGCGCCGUUUCCUUUCCUCUGCUCCAGCAGCUAAAAAAAAAGGAAUGCCCCCGUCGCCGGAGUUUCCUCCGCUCUUGUUGCCUUCAGCCUUCUCUAGCUCCCAGCGCCACCCACCCAGCUCUUGAGGAGUUCUUCUCUCAGUUCUCUCUCAGUUUUCUCCAAGUCACCCAGCAGCUUCCUCCUCCGUGCUGCGUAAAAGCUCUCUUGUGAUCCGCAAGAAGCAGCGCCGCCGCCGGAGCAUUGCCAGUCUUAGCCCUUGCUUGAAGCUUUAGCCCAUCCGCCCAAGUUCGCUUCGUUCCGACCCCAAGCCUUCCUUUCAGGAAGAAGGUGAGUUGCCGACCCCAGUCCGCCUCGCCCGACCCCUCAUAUCCGCCCGACCCCGGUUCCGUCUCGCCCGACCCUGUCUGUUCCGCCGACCCUUAUCCGCCUCGCCCGAGGGCUUGGCUGUGAUCUUUUUCUUCAACUCGAGGGUGUAUGUGUAAAACUUGGGAACCCUUCAACGCUUGCGUCUAAGGACCCCCAGUUAUCACAUCCUCUAGUUCAAGGGUCAGACCACUAGUUCCUUUCCUACCCUUACCUCUUGAUCAUCAUCAGCUCUUGAACCACCAUAACCUCCUGCUCCUUGUCGCGAGUUUCUGGGCUCAGGCGAGCCAGUGUUGCUGUUGAAAUAACCGUCUAUGCUAACCCUUGCAUUGCAUUCGUGUAGAGCUGCACCUCGCCGACGGCUUCUACGAGCUUCACCCGACGCCAGAAGAAGAAGCUGUAGCCGAGCUCCUGUCCUCCGAAGCUGAAGCCACCCCCGAAGUCGAGCAGUUCCCGUCCUCCUUGCUUGAAGGCAAGCCCCGGUUGCAUGAGAAUCCUACGUGUUUUUGCCAGACUUGCGCAUGCCUUCUGUAACGUGCUUGUGCAUUUACGUAUAGGAGUUGUGUGAAACCCUAGAUGCAUGACUAGUUAUCCCAGUGAUCUGAGCACUAGCUGUUGGACCGAGUAGCCGCAUUGCUUAACUAGGAGACGGUAAAAGUCGAGUGAUUUCCUGUCACUCGCGAGUUGUAGGAGUUGCAUGUUUACUCUCCUGUUAUAACUAUAAGGACGAUGGACGGGGCAGGGUUUUGGUAACUUUUUGGUGGUCGGAUGGUUGCCCCGUCUGUCUAUGAAAUCUUGCUAAGGCCCGACAGUGGUGGUGUUCGUGAUCAAGUGUUUGAAAGUACUAGCCUCAUACUUAGUAUGGGAUGAGGAAGCCUAGUACCGGAUUGAACCUAGACGUGAGCGGUCGCCCCAUUGUUCUUGGAAUGGAGUUUCCCCUGCUGGUUGUCGCACGUGGUGGCAAGCGUGGUCACAGGACGGCAGAGGCCGGGUCUGUGGAACCUUGCACCAAAGGAAAUGGGCCCGACACGGGUUAGGGGAUUGAUGGGGAAGGCCGACACAGGAAGCGACCUCCGGGUGCGCGGAUGUCGUGAGGCUAGGUUCACCAUGCAUGGUUAAAGAACUCGAAUCGAUUCGUCUGCCUCUCACAGUUUGAGAUUGCUUGAUCGCUAUGUCACCCUGAGUAAAUGAGGAAUCUGAUGAUGGAGGUGUUUGUUGUUAUAUCUACACAUCUUGCUUCGUUCUAUGAAUGUUUAGAAUAGGUGGCACAACCUAGACUGGUAAAUGAACCUAAAACCGGAGCUAAAACUUGAAAAUAGGGUUAUUUAGUGCUUUUGGCAAACAAACCCCUCAGCCAAACAGCUUGCAUGUCUAGAAGGAGGAGUAGCCCUUACUCCUAUCGGUUAAGUCUUGUUGAGCUUAGUAGCUCAGCCUUGUUGUGGCUCCUGUUUUUCAGGUGUAGUUGCUGCUUCCGACCCCUCUCCGGUUGGUGCUUGGUCGCCCCGGCUCCCGCCAGGCUGGACGGUCGAGUGGGACCCCUCCUCGGACGGCGAGGAGAGGACUCAGUGAUGUUCUGGCUGGCCUCGCCCGGACAUCCGACCCCGACGAAGUCUUCCGCUAGUGUUUCUCCGAUGUUUUUCUUGAAAUCUUGUAAAACUCUGAUGUUGGAUUUUUAUGGCCGAACCAAUUGGGUAAAAAAAAAAUUUGUUCAACUCAGUGGACUUGUUGUAUUCUCUGUAACCGCUCACCUCAGGGUGGGUUUGCUAAACUCGAUCCUGUUUAAUUGGUUAAAUCGGAUGAAAUCCGACGGCACUUCGUAUUAACUCGGUUUAGGCAGGAGUGUCGCAUGUUAGGCGGAUUAACCCUGCUUAAUCAAGCUAAUCCGAGGUGGUUCCGCCACAAAUACGCGUUACGACCAGGCCCUUAAAUCUUUUGAAGCUUCACAACAAGACCCUUGCAUGUUACGCCUAAGACCCUGGAAACAAAAUGGGGUUUGCAAUGUGACCCUUUGGGGGCCGGCCAGCAGCGCAAUCCGGCGAACUCUGGCGAGGUGGGUGCGGGCUAAGGGCAGGGGAGUGAUGAGCGGCUCACCAGUGGUUGUCGGGCUGUGGGGGUCGAGGGCGGAGGAGAUCCGGUGGUGGUGCUUCGUGAGGCAGUGGCGGCACGGCUGCGGGAGCUUCGUCUCCAGUGAAGGUGACGGUGGAGGAGGCCAGGGGAGGGCUCGGGAAGGUGCUGCGAGGUGUGGGUGGUUCACUGGAGAGCUUAGGCGGCUUCGAUGGGGCUCGGGAGAGUGAGCUCGAUGAUGGGGUGUCAAAGGCGCUCGGCGGAGGGGGUGAAGUGUGGGAGGGUGGCGCCGGCGAGCCGGGCUUGGCCCUUUUAUAGUGGCAAGAUUGCGUGGGCGAGCUGGCGAUCAUUAGGAUGAGCUUGCGGUGUGGUUGGCCAAGCGGACGGCGGCCGGGCAGAGGCGGCAGACGGAGGCAGUGUGCGAGUGGCCGCCAGUGGCGUGCGAAGCUUGCACGCAUGGCCCGUGCCCCAGGGUUGGCCAGGCAAGAUAAGGCGUGCGGAGGGAAGGAUUGCACGGCGCGCUGAGUGGGGGAAGGCCAUGCUCGUGUGGUCUUGUCAUCAGUGGCGGUUGACCGACGGCGCUGCGCUAGCCGGGCGGUGCGAUGUGGCGCCAGUGCACACGCCAUGCUCUAUCACUAUGAUCAGGCGCACUUGGGCUCACGUGUGGCGUGCGUAGGCAACGCGUUUUAGGUGAAUUUUCUCCAAAAUUUUAAACCAAACUUUGAAAAGUUCAAAUAUAGAAGUUGGAGUUUGAACUAUAGACUAUAACUUGUACAAAAUUUCACAGGUGAAAAUCAUACUAGAUUUGGAGAUAAACUCGGUUGAAAUUUGGUAGAACACCGGGCAAAGUUGGUUUGAAUUUGACUUUAAAUUAACCAAACUUUGACCUAGUUUUUGAAUGCCUUCCACUCAAAAUCAGAGAAAGUGAAAAUUAUGAAAGCUGUUUAGUUUGAAAAGUUCUACAAAUUUUAUAUUGGUAAAAAGUUGAGUUCUGAUAUAAAAUUCUAUUUUUAAUUCCUACCCAAAUAAGUGCCAUUUUAGUGGUGUUUUCAACACUUAGAAGAAUUUGAAAGUUUUUUUUAGAAAUUUGACACUUGGCAACUUUGAUUUGUUUCUAAUUUCCUUUUUAAUUUCUCUUAUUUUGUUCUUUUAACACUAGGGAUGUCACGCCAGUGAGGGGCGAGCAGAGGGAGAAGGGGAGGGGCAGCAGGGAGAGGGGGCGGCCACCCGCACUGGAGGGAGAGGAGGAGGAGGAGGGAAGGGGAGGAGGAAGGAGAGGAGGAGGGGAGGAGCUAGCUCUUGUGUGCUUGGAGGACUUGUGCACAUGAGAGAAGGAAGGGAGUGAUAGAGAGAGAAAAGAUAAGGCCGGUGGAGGGGGGGUGCGGAACGAGGAAGGGGGGUAUUUUGUCCCGGUUGGAGUUUCCAACCGCGAUAAAAGACCUCCCCUUUUGUCCCGAUUGAUAAUUUUGUCAUGGUUAGAAGCUCCAACCGGGACAAAAGCCUCACCCUUUUGUCCCGGUUGGUGUUUCCAACUGGGACAAAAGGGGGACGCCACCGGUGUGAAAAUUCCAAUAGUUACAACCAGGACUAAAGGGGGGCAUUAGUCCUGGUUGGUAUUUACAACCGGGACUAAAGCUCCCCCCCAAUCUAGCCUACUGUGGCACGCCCCCUUUAGUCACGGGGCAACUUUAAAUGGGGAAAAAAGGAGGCGCAUGGAAGGUGAGUUCUCUACCCGUGUAUAUAUACUUCAUGAUACUAUAUAUACAAUUCUUAGUAUAUUAUAUACAUCAAACUAGUAUUAAUACAAGUACUAUAUAUACAAUAAUUUAUCCUCGUAAUUCUUAGGAUCCUCCCGUCGUGGUGUUGCUCGGUUCGGUUAUUGAAUGUCCAUCAUAAUAAAAUUCUCCUUUGGGAUUUAUCACCUCGUCCACAAGAAAUCCUAGGAGUGCUUCUUGGAUUGCCAAAAACCUUUCCUUCUCCAAGAGUUCUUCGCAAAUCUGUCACCUCUGUAAUUUAAAAAUAUGUGAAUGUUACACCAACAAUUAAAUGAAAUGAGCUAGAAAAUGAUUAAUAAUUAAUAGGUUUAUUUUACGUACAGUUAUAUCAUCCGAUAGCACCUUGUCCCUCAUGAAAUGGUGUAUGUGCUCACAAAUGUAGUAUCCACAUAAAUUAUUCCCUUGUUCCUCUCUCAAGCACUUUAGUGGAAAAAAUAAGUUAUGAAAUAUUCAUGUUAUAGAAUAUACAAAAUGUGCAAACUUCAUACAUACCAGAAAAGUUGUACUAAAUGUAAGUUUUUCUCUGAAAUCACCACGGUGAUACUUACAGAAUCGUUUCCAUGCGUUGCGAAUUAAAAUAAUAAAUAUGAUACAGUGUUAGGUGAAAAUUUAGGAAACAAAGUUUUGCAUAGAAUAAAGUGCAUGUUAGGUGCAUGUUUUGAAUGUCUUGGAAGGCGGUGGUCUUGAAUGACUUGGAAGUCAAACAACUCCCUUACAUGUGCUUGCGUUGCCUCCUCCAAUUCCUCAGGAGUCAUAUCGCCUGCUAGCUUCUUAAUAGGUUCAGAGUUCUUUAUUUUCUUCCUUGGUUCUUUCACCUUUGGCUGCCUUGGCUGGGAAGGCGGUGGUCGCUACUUCUUGAGAUGUGCUGCACUUGGUUCCUUGCUCUCACUAGACAUUAGUCUCAGCACUACAGACGGUGAUCGAGGAGGGGUGUUUUGGUCAUCGUCACUCCUGCCUGCAGGAUUCGAUGGUGCUGGAGACGGUGAUUAAGCAUGAUGCAAUGAUCCCGAUGGUGAUGACGGACCUGGAGGUGGAUGUGUUGGACAAGAUGGUCUUGAGUUCUGAGGAGAUGGUGACUGCUGGGGAUCUUUGGGAAGAAAUGAUGCCUCCUAGCUGGGGAUGAUGAUGUAACGUUUGCACCAUAGAAUGAUACUGUGAAGUACAUCUCCUAGUGUCCUUUCCCCAUCACCUUCUGGGAGGUUGAGCUCUAGGCCUUCAUAUCUACUAUCACAAAUCUGCUCCACCUCAGUAGAGUAGCCAGGUGGAAUCGCCAUGCCAUGGCUUGUCUGCCCUGGCAGGAUUGGUAAAGCACUUCCAUAUGCAACCUGUACAUAUAGGAGAAAUAAAGAAGUCAUUAAACUACUGAGGUGUGGAUCAAUUGACAUAAUUGUAUAAAUUAUAUAUAUGUAUACCUUAAUAGUGAGGUUGCCAAAUGAUCUGUACAGCUCACAUGAUGUGCGCUGAGUGAUGUCAUCCACAGGGUACCGUUGGUUGUCCUGCACAACCAUGGGUAAGCUUGGAAUGUUUUCAUCAGGGACCCCUGUGGUAGCAUAACUGCUUCGUCGUUGAGAAGGGCUGAUGACGACAUUGGGAUCCGGCAGUGCUCCAGAUUGGGCCAUCUCAGUAACUGCCAGAGCCACUCGCUGAUUAAUUUCUUUCUACAUUCUUACAUCUUGUUCAUGCAUUUUAGCUUCUAACAUGUUGUUCCUUCUCUUCCUGCUUAUGUACGUAUCGAUGUCCCUACAGAAAGUAUACUUCCACGGAACCACCCCGAAACAUCGGCAACGUCCUGGGUGUUCGGGAUUCCUAAGCGCCAAAGUCAGCUCAUCGUUCUCUUUAUCAGGCUUGAACUUUCCCUCUUUAGAAUCUUCAAUGUUUUUGAUAAGCCUGAGGGCCUUCUCACAUAUUGUUUCAUUAAAAACAAGUGUCCCAUCCUCAGGGUUAAGGGUGCCUCCGUGAGCAUAAUACCAAUUCUUCGAUCGAUCGGGCCAAUCAAUAGUCGCUGUAUGAUACCUCAAUCGAGUAGGUCUUGUUCCAUCUUUCUCCAUCUGUGAAUUGCACUCCUGUAACCACCUUGCCCUAGACGAUGAUGGUACUCCUUCUUCUUGGCAUUGCCUAAGUUGACACGAACCUUGUUUGCACUAUCUUCACUCCUCUUGUAUUCCAGAAUUGAGUUCCAACAAUCUCUUAACUUUGGCCAGUCAUUAAAAUCUAGAGUUCAAAUCUUCUUAAUAUAGUUGGUAUCCAGAUUCUUCUUGAAGGUCUGAAAUUGGGUUGCCAUCUUCUUGAGCAUCCAGUCUUUCAUAACUUUUUCAUUGACAUUGUCAGGAAGUGUGAAGUGUUUCUUGACAUCUGCCCAAUACAUAUGUUUCUAUGUCUGCGGGAGCACGUAUGGAUCAUCUUUUUUACUGGACUUCCAUUCUUGAAUGCUGAUCGGCACGUUGUCCCUUACAAUAGCCCUGCAUUUACUCAUGAACUUUCUAGCGACUUUUUCGGGAGCAAUUAGCUGGCCCUCUUCUGUCACUUCGAUGAUCUGAAGCCUUCCCUCCAUUAUUUUUGUACGACCUCGCUGCUUUUUUCACUUCAUCGAUUUAGAGGGCUAAAAGUUCAAUAUUCGUUAAUUAGUACAUAGUAGUAAUCAAUAUGAAGUUAUAGAUGGGGUAAAACAAUGAAAGUGAUAUAUAACUCACCGGAACCUUCCAUCAUGGUAAUGUCUUUUUCUGCAUUGUUAUCAACACCGUGCUCGGGCUCAUCAUUGCCAUCACCGGAUAUGUUGUGGAACAUGUCCGCCUAGCUACCCUCAUCCUUGGUGUAGGUUCUUGGAACAUUUUAGCCACUACUACCAGCAACAAUCUACUCCAUUAUAUACCUUUUAUUCUCUUUGUCUCCCAUCUGAACUAAUAAUGACAUUAGUUAUACACACAUGUAGUCAUAGAUACAUUAAAUUACAGAUUGUAUUAAGUAGUACAAUUAAUGUAUAAACAUGAAAUCAUAGAACAAUCAUGAAAUAAAAGAAACUUGUGAAAUAUACACAUGAAACCAUACAUUAAAUUAAACACAUGAAUUGAAAUAUACAAUAAGUUAUAUACAAUAAAUUUUCUAGAAUUGAAAUAUACACAUGAAACAAUACAUUAAGUUAUAUACACAUGAAUUGAAAUAUACAAUCUACAAAAUAUACACAUGAUUGAAAUAUACACAUUUAAACAAAUUUUCUAGGAAGUUCUAUUCUCAUAAAUUAUACUAAUUUUCAAAGUAUAUACUGAUUUAUACAAUUUUUUGAAUUAUUUAAACUAAUUUGUACAAUUUUGAUAACUAUAUUGUCAAAAAAAUAUCAUUAAAUUAUAUAUACAACACCUCUACCAAAUUUCUACUAAUUUCUACUAAUGUAUACUAAAUCAUACUAAUUUUCCAAGCUUUUCUACAAAUUUUCUACAAAUUUUUACUAAUUUUCUAAGCAUUUAUGCUAAAUUAUACUAAUAUAUACUAAAUUAUACUACUGCAUACUAAAUUAUACUAAUGUAUACUAAAUUUCUACAUAUUUAUAGUAAAUUAUAAUAAUUUAUACUAAAUUAUACUAAUUGUCUAAGUAUUAUACUAAUUUAGACUAAAUUCUACAUAUUUUCUAAGUAUUAUACUCAUUUAUACUAAUUUACUAAUUUAUACUAAAUUAUACUAAUUUCUACUAUUUAUACUAAUGUAUACUAAAUUAUACUAAUUUUCUAAGCAUUUCUAAUAAAUUAUACUAAUUUCCUAAGCAUUUCUAAUAAAUUAUACUAGAUUAUACUAAUUUCCUAAUCAAAUAACCCGGCUUGCGUUAGUGUUGUACCUCUUCAACAAGAGGGUCGGGGCGCGGAGGGAUGGUGGCGGACGGUGCGUGGGCGGCUGCGGCGGGCUGGGGCACCGGGCCAUGACGCGGUGGGGGCUGGUGUUGCGGCGGUGUGACACGCUGGUGAGGGUGCCGAGGGGCUUCGAGGUGCUGCGGGGAUGGCGUUGGGGUAUCGAUGGGGACGCUGUGGAGGAGAUGCUGGCCGACGGCGCGACGACCAGAGGGAUGACGAUGACGUGCGGUGAGGUGGCAGCGGGACCAGCCGGCCGAGCGGGGGCAGUGACGUGGCCGGGGAGGAGGACAGACAGGUGUGGGGAGGGCUGGCAGUGGAGUGCCAUGCCAGCGCUUAACGGUGGUGGAAUGCUAGGAGAACGGGUGGCGUGACGACGAUGGCGCGGAAGAGACGAGGUGGCGGAUUGGGGUGUAUCUGGCGGAGGAAGAAGAAGGGGGCAACACGAUAUUUAUACCACGGGUCUUUAGUCUCGGGUGAUGUUUACAAUCGGGACUAAAUGACUUUUAGUCCCGGUUGGUAUUAGCACCCGGGACUAAAGCAUGGGUCUUUAGACCUGGGUCGUUUUACCACCCGGGACUAAAGGGGUUCCACGUGCGGGAGAUGAAAUUGGACCCCUUUAGUCCCGGGUGGUAUUAUAAACUGGGACUAAAGGGUAUUCUCCCUUUUUACUUCCCAGGCUAUACCGACAUUCGAUUAAAUUGAUUUUUUUUCAUAUGUUCUAAAUUGAUUUUGUAUUUCUAUUAUCCAAGAAACAUUGUAAUAUUCAAUAUUUUGAACAUGCAACAAUAUAUUAAAUUAUCAAAUAAUUAUUUUUACAUUUUAUUCAUAAAAAACUCUUAUAAUAAAUAAUUUGAUCAUGAAAAAAUGUAUUGAAUUGUUUUAAAUCUUAUAAUAAUUUUGAACUUGUUCUUGAUGAAAGUUCCCUUUGCGUUUCGUGCACAACCACAUAAUAAUUUGAUCGAAUAAUAAUGUGAUUAGACAAAAACUUACAUAAAGGAUGAUCAUAUCUAGUGCAUUACAUAAAUGAGUUUUGCACAUCACUAAAAUAUAAUAGAAAGGUUGUGAUAUAUGACUAUAGAGUAUUACAUAAAGGUUGACCAUAUAUAGUGCAUUACAAUGUAACAUUAAAAAACUUCUGCUUGAUGAAAGUUCCUCGGUCAUAAUUGCGGCGUAAGUAUGGAGUCUCUUCUUAGGCUAGCAUGAAGCUUGGGUCAACUUCAACAGCGAAUGGAGGCAUGGCAUCAAACUGAUCAUCACCAUCUGGCCGGUAUGUUUUGUCCUUUACUUCCACGAUUUCUCUUUUACCUGAAAGAACUAUGUGGCACUUUGGCUCCCAUGAUUUUUCUUUAUCUUCUGAAUUUUUCUUGGGUUUGCUAGACAUGUCCUUCACAUAGAAAACCUGAUGCACAUCAUUGGCAAGGACGAAUGGUUCAUCAUUGUAUCUAGUCUUGGUCAGGUCCACUAUUAUCAUUCCAUACUGAUCUUUCAUUAUGCCACAUCUAGUCAGCUUCACCCAUUGGCAACGAAACAGAGGAUUGUUCAGCGGUCCGUAUUCGAGUUUCCAGAUCUCCUCUAUGAAACCAUAAUAUGAGUCCUUGCUCUCGUUGUUGUCUAUGGCAUCGAUACGGAUACCACUAUUUUGGUUUGUUGUUUUUCUUGUCUUGGGCUCUUGUGUGAAAUGUAUAACCAUUUAUCUCAUAACCUUGAAAUUUCACGAUUGUGAUAGGAGGUCCCCUAGCUAACCAAGCGAGUUGUUUGUGAAUCGCGGAGUUACCCAUAAGGUGUUGACACAACCAAGAGGAAAAGUAUCCAUGUGAUGACGUAUAAUCCAGGCAUCGGAUUUCAUCGGGUAUUGGGAAAUAGAAUAUGCUUGUAUUCCUCGAUAUAAGGAGCUACAAAGGAUGAUUGUUGUAGAACCGUGAAGUGUGCUUUAUGGAACAAAUCACUAUCAUUGCUCAAACUGCAUGACCUUCCAAGGGUGCCCUUUCCCCAUAGCCUACCCUCAUGGCGUGAUACUGGAACCCUAAUCGAAUUAAUUGAGUUACUAAAAUCAACACAAAACUGAAUGACCUCAUCUGUUCCAUAUCCCUUGGCGAUGCUUCCUUCUGGACGGGCACAAUUAAGAACAUAGUUUUUUUAGGACUGACAUGAACCUCUUGAAAGGCCACAUAUUGCGCAGGAAUACUAGACCAAGAAUAGUAAUCUCUUUGACUAGGUGAACCAAGAGGUGCAUCAUAAUCUCUUUGACCGAAUGGAUCGAAUCCAUCAGUACUUAAACAAAACCUUACGUUCCUUACAUCCUUUCUAAAGUCCUGUAAUGCACUAUCAAUUGAUCUCCAUUGGGUCCCAUUAGUGGGGUGUCUUAGCAUGUUAUUUUGCUUACCUUCUUCUUUGUGCCAUCGCAUCAACUUAGCAUUCACCUUGUUUCUGAACAAACGCUUCAAACAUGAUAUUAUAGGGAAAUAUCACAUCACCUUCGUGGGAACUCUCUUUUUGGGAGGCUGCCCCUCAACAUCUCCAGGAUCAUCUCACCUGAUCUUAUACCGCAUCGCUCCGCACACAGGACAAGCAUCCAAUUUUUCGUAUUCAUCACCAUGAUAGAGGAUACAAUCAUUUAGGGCAUACGUAUAUCUUCUGAACCUCUAAUCCCAGAGGGCAAACAGCCUGUUUAGCUUCAUGUGUUGUGGACGGCAAUUCAUUAUUCUCGGGAAGCAUGUUCUUUACAAUUUUCAAUAUCCCCUGAAAUACCUUAUCGGACACACCAUUUUUUGCUUUCCAUUGCAGCAUUUCCAGUGCGGUACCCAACUUUUUAUGCCUCUGCUUGCAAUCUAGGUACAACAAUUUUUGUGAUCAUCUAUCAUCGCUGCAACUUUUCUAAUUCCUUCUUGAUUUCGUGGUCUUUCUGUGCAUCCCAUAGCACCUGAUCAAGAUCAUCAGUAGGGCCACCUUCCGCAAACUCUUCUUCAUCAACCUCGCCCAUUGUAGUAUCUGCAAAAGCUUGGCCUGCAGCCCAGUCCUGAAUCUUGUUAUCAUCCUCCUCUUCUUCACUGUUUUCCAUUAUAACUCCUCUUUCGCCGUGCUUGAUCCAAACUAAAUAGAUAGGCAUGAAACUGUAUCUAAACAAGUGGCUGUGAUGAUUUCCCUUGGAAAAGUAGUCCUUCUUGUUACUGCAUUGGAAGCAUGCACAACAUAUGAAUCCCUUCUCUGCCUUGUUGGCUUUGACCACUUCAAGAAAAUAAUGCAAGCCAUCAAUGAACUUCUUGGUCCGUGUGUCCGCGUUGUACAUUCAUUGCCGAUCCAUCAGCAUCGUAUUACGUGAAAAAUGAACAUAGGUCUUUGUAUUAGAUAAAUAACUUGAUCAAUAUUGAUAAUUUACACCAAUCAACCUUCAUAAAGAUCAAAAUAAUUCACAAGAAAAUUACACCAAUCAACCUUCAUAUCAUUCACUAGGUCGACAAAAAGAAAAAUGCUAAAAUUUUGGAACAAGACAAUAAAGAUAUAUAUACACUAAAGAUUAUAGACACUCCAUAGUGGACUUCACGUAGUUAAUAAUCCUAAAAUAAUGAUACAACAUAGUAAAAUGUUCGCCCUCCAAGCUAUCUCUACACAUGACUCAAUCUUCUCCGAAGUCUAUGGAGAGUCACCUCCACUCCUCUAGUACCAGAAAUAAUGGUAGAAUAGAAGAUCUUUGAGUCCACAUACUCUGGCUGGAUAUUAUAAAGGAAUCUUAAAAUAAUUGUUCAAAGAAAGUGUCACAUUUUCAUAAUAUAAGUAUGGUGGGACAAUAGCCUAUCCAGGAAAAAGACACGUUCACUGAGCAUGGCCCAUUUUGGUAAGCCAAAACCAACUAAAAACCGAUGGGUCAAAGUUAGUGAACAAAUUUCUGCCUGAACAGGCUAUUCGGCCCCAUACUUCUACUAUGAAAAUGUGGCUCCAAAAGAUGUUUGGAAAACUAUUUCAAGAUUCUUUUAUGAUAUUCAGCUAGAGUUUGUGGACUCAAAAUUCUUCUGUUCUACCAUUAUUUUAGGAUUCUUGACUCUGUGAAGUCCGCUAUGAAGCGUCGGUAGUCUUUAGUACAUCUUUGUUGUCCUGUUCUACAAUUCUAGCAUUAAGUUGACCAGUGUAAUUUUCAUAUCAAUCUAAUUUAACAUACAAACUAUCCAAAAAAUAUUGUAGCAAUGACCAAAUUCUAUUUCUUACACUUACAAUUUAUUUACCUAUAUUUUAUCACAAUGACUAAAUAUUAAAAACACAUUUACUCUAUUUUUCCCAUACCUAAUAUUGAUCAAGAUAUUUAUCUAAUACGAAUCAUAUAUAACAAGCAAGUAUCCAUCAAAUUCUAGCUAAAAAACAUAUAUAAAUAAAAAAUCCUCUCCAUUCUCCCUUAUUCUAAAAAACUCAUUUUUCUCUAUCUCUAAAUCAUAAAACAAAGCAUAAUAAUAAUAACUGAAGAAAAGAUGAAGUUGUUAACCUUUACAACAGUUUGGAUGAGUGAAAUCCCCAACAAAUUGAAGAAAAAAGAUCGGGCAGCACCUCCCUAAGCUAGCCAUUUCAACCCAGACUAAAUGGACAACCAACACCUCCCUAAGCUAACCGUUACAACUGGGACUAAACGCCCCACCAAAUUCUCUCAUCCUAACUCGCCGUUACAACCGGGACUAAAGGAGGCUCUUUAAUCCCGGUUGAUACCAACCAAGUUGAAAGCUCCCGUCGGAUGUGGCUGUCGGUGGUGGCCGUUUGACCCAGAACUAAAGCUCCUUUGAUCUCGGGUCUAAAAAUAACCGAGGCAUAUGUCUCUGGAUGGAAUUUGUUUUUCUACUAGUCUAUUAGUGUGAUAAAUUGUACUCCCUCCAUUUCAAAUUCUAUGUUAUUUUCGAUAUUUUAGAUUCAUAGAUAUUAUUAUGCAUCUAAAUAUAGUGUAUGUCUAAGUGCAUAAUAAUAUUUAUAAACAAAAAAAAGUCAAAAUGACCUAUAAUUUGGAGUGGAGGGAGUAUUGGAUAUUUAUCGGUGCUGGGCUUAUGUCUAUUAUCCGGAGUCACAUCUAGAGUCUAAGUAACUUUUUGUCAAACUUGAGAGAAUAUUCUUUUCUUCUCUCGUAUACCUAGUGGCUUAUUAUAUAUACUAGUCGUUAACUUGUGCAUUCGCACGGGCAAGAAAAUACAUCCAUGUUUUUAUCUAUAUUACUAUUGUUUACUAAAAUAGGAUAUUACUUAAACUCAACCUACGACAUAUUUGCCAACAAACAUACCCCUUUGCGGAUUAUAUAUGUUUCACAAAUUUUAGUUCUCCAUUCGAAUUUAUUUAGGAACAGUUUCCACAUCUAUCCUUAUGUGAUUCGCUGUGUAGUUUAUUAUUAUUUUUAUUUGUUGUACUUAUACAUAGUAACAAUGAAGCUCAUUAAUGUGUUGUGUUCUAUUAUCCAUGCACGCAGACCAACUAAUGGACUUGCCUUUUGCUUCAUAAGUGGAGUCUAAAUUCUUUAUCCAUGCCUUUUAUUAGCUUAUUAUCAAAUAUAAAUUGGCAUUCAAUUAGAGUUCUUUUUUCUUUACAGACAAAUUAUUUAGGAACGCUCAUUAUAAUUUCUUUUGUCAUCCUGCUUUUCUUCCAAUCUACAAAACAAUAUAAUUUUUCUACGAAUGACGUAGUAAUUUGUAGCCAGUUCCAGUAGUUUGGUUAAUGAUGUAAUUUCUAGCCUUUUAGCUCCAAGAGCUGCUUAGUUUUAGAAGGCCCUUUAGAGUGACCUCAUAUAUACAUGUAUAAGAUAAGUAUCUUUUUUUUUGUUUGCAUGAGUCAAAACUCUUCAUGAGAGGAACCAUCACACAUUGGGGGAAAAAUGAUAUGUUUGUUCCAUGUCAAAUCCUAGUCCCUAAAGUCUAGUUGCAUUUUUCAUCAAUAAAUAGGUAAGGAAACCACAAAAAAUUAAAUGCGGACUAAUCAUCGAUGUGCAGCAUUAUGGAUCUAACAAACUGAGUGAUUGAUGCAGAGAGAGGGGGAUUAAUGUGAAGCUAAUUUUGGCUACCUGAUUCAUCACACCUAUCCUAGAUGAUAUCAGGCUUAGUUGUUGCAACAUGGAUGAAGUUGGCAAUGCAAGCUUGACAGAACUGAGACAGAUGGACUUGUGAUUGAGGUCUUCACAGACAUAAUUUAUUUUCACAUUUUUCCUUAAAGAGAUUUUUUUCCAGCGGCUGUGGUAAAACUCUUCACCAGUUCUGUAACUCUUGGCACACAGCUAAUGCAGAAGAGAUUGAUAGGGGCGUUUGCUUCCAGCUUUUCCCACCAUCAUGUGCUAAUCUCCAUGUCCUUAAUGCAUCAGAGGCCAUUGUCAUGAGUUACACAAAAUCCAUUGCCUCUACUGCCUUUGAGAAACAGCUGACAAAGUCAUGCGGAUGAAAAUUACCUUGACAAAGCUAGAUUUUGCAGUGCCAAAUUCAUCAUGCUCCUAGUCUGAUCUCCCUCUCCUGGGGUCAGAUGCAGCGUCUAGUGGCUAGGACGCUGCGCCAGGGCAAUUUAGCGGCCAUGCCGCUGGUUCCCAACCCUAUCCUCUCCUAUCGGGGCUGCGGCAUCUCGCGGCGGCGGCCUUCGCCCCCAGGCUGGUAGUUUUCGGAUCCAUCUUACCUAUAUUCGGCGCCCUCCAACUUUGGGGACCGGUCCGACGAACCUGUUCCCGGAGAGGAUGGUUGGUGACUAUGGUCACAAAUGUCAUGCUUGCAACGGAGGUGCUCAGGAACUCGUCAUGCGGCGAGUGUGGUAUGGGACACAGUUCGUCAAUGUUGGGUCUCAGGUUCUUCAACCUCGUGUGGUUGGUGAUGGUAUGGUAUGUGACGUGUCUUGUCAACCAUUGGGGCUGUGGUGUGGUGGGCUAGGGUGCACUGGCGAAAGCCAUGGCGAUGAUGCCUGUGGGCGUCAUUUUCAUUCUUGGAGGCGGCACCUAUGUGUCCCGAAUCCACCCCAUCACUAUGUCUCCAGGUGAAAACUUUGUCCCGGUGGGCAGCGGCGGUGGGGACUAUCAUAAUUUCCUUAGUGGAGGUGUCAUUUUGGAGGCUUUUUGAUUGGUGAUGCACUUCAUGUGGGUACUGUGGUUACCCAACUCGGAUUCUUCAAUAGCUAUCGGUAUCUUACUUAUCCCCGCUAUGGAAGUGUGGAUGGUUUUGUUGUGGUCUUGAUUUGGUGGUCCGAGCGUCAAUCUGCACAUGGAGUUAUUUUGGAUUUGGCUCAUGCUUUGGUUCUGCUCACCUGAUGUGGAGAACUCCUUUUGGAAGCGACUUUACGAAACAUGCUGCUAAGAGAGAUUACUGGAGUACCUUUUUCUUUAUUUUUUGUUACGUUUCUUUGCUAUAUCAGAUCUUCUGAUGUCUUGGCUAUGUGUUUAGUUGGAACAUGUGCCUCUCUAUAUUAUUUGUAGUCUGAUGCCUUCUCGAAACAGCAUGUCUGAAGCUAGAAUUUUAUCUUGCAAUAAAAGUUUUCUACCUGGGACAACGCCUCUGCCUCCACAUGAAGCUACAUGCAUGUGUGGAUGCCUCAACUGGAUCGGAGCCUGUCCAUUGGUGAGUUUGAACCUUAGUAUGGAUGGAUUUACUUCGCAACAGCACUGAACGGCCAACUGCAAUCUUUCCUAAUCCUUCUUUGAUGUUAAAGUGCCCUUCCAUGAUCACGCUAAACAUGACGUUAUUUUGGGCUCCUCGUUCACACAAUACAACUCGCAAAACGGAUGGAGAUGGAGUAUUGAUGGAACAGCACCUCGCUGUUUCAGGUACAACGGGCACGGCAGUGGCUCUACAGUGGUGGUGACUUUAGCUAUGUCAUCGGUACCAGAAGAACCAUCUAAGAUAUUCUUUUGUUAGGUGAGAAUAUCUACUUUAGAUUAUCGCCUUACAUACAUGGAUAUAUGGAGUCCUAAUACAGCUUGGUACGUACUACAUAAUUUGGUGUAUGAUUCACAAGCAUGCAAGCGUGUUGUUGAUUGCCUUUUUUUAUUUAGUUGCCCACGUUGGACUCCUCAAGAGGGCCUCUUGCCUAUGACAUAUUGGUAGUUUUCAUAUGGACCGUUAAAAGAAAUCUGGGUGGUUAUAUAUUUUUCUUUUUCACCGAUUAACAUGGGAUUUUCCUGAGAGUCUGUGAUUAGUAUGAUAGGUAUAGAUAGAUAGAUGGAUGGAUGAAUUUCAUUAAGCACCUAAAUACCUUUAAUUUGUGUAUAUCUUUGUAUUGUAAGAUUAGCUAUGGAUCAACAGUUAUAGCCAUGACAUUGACGGCGAUGGUUGUACACAUGGAGGCGUCGUUGGCUUGCAUCCUUUGCUCACCACCAACGACUCCACCCAUGCCAAGCUCAUUGGCUUGAUUUUCCUUUUCAUUUGCUAUUUUCCAGGCUUUUUUUGUGCUCUCGAAAUUCAUACACCUGUUCUCUGACCGGUUGCAAUAUUGCCCUAUCACUACCGGUUUGCACUGUCAAUUCUAGAUCCAAAAGUGAUACCAGCUUGGAGCCAGCAGACAAGUGUAUUCUCUAGUGGGAAAAAAGAAAACCAAUGGCAGCCCCUAACGUAUAUUCUAGGAUUAAACAUUUUAUAAGUAAUGACUAGCAGAAAUGCCCAUGUUGCUCUCACGUUAUUAUUCGCUUGUUCCUAAUAUGUUAGCUUUGUUUCACAAUAUGUUGAUGCGUUGUCCCUAGCAGUCCUCUUUUUACAAGUAUAGUAGUAGAAGAUAUUUGUGGGUGGUUUGAUGCCAUCUGUUUAUUACGUGGAACCUACACAUGGAAAUAAAAAAAUUCACCGCUUAACCUCUGCUCUAUCCAUUCAUUCGAUUUCCCCCCCUACUCAUUGUCAUCCAGGCAGUCGCUGCUUCGUCCAUCGGCGCCACCCCCAUCUUGCCCCAUCCUCACCGUCGCCCAGACGUUGCGCAUCUUGCUGUCCUCCCCAUCACCCAGGCAAGCACUCAUCCUCCCCGUGCCUAGCUUCAUUCCCGCUUCGAGGGCUAGGCCACAGUGCCUCUGGCCACCAUGAGCAGGAGUACGUCCUCCUCUUCUUUUCAUUUCCAUCCACCUCUCUUCUAUAAUCCACUCCAAAUCGUUCCAAUCAAGGGCAAAAUCGAGCCCCCAAUUACUAGAUGUGGAGGCCUUAGUUCUGGAUCUAAAGUGGAUGGACAUCAUUGAGAGGGGGGUGUGAGGUCCCGGCCUCCUCCCCUAUUUGCGUUGUCUGUCGACUGUCGUAGCGCCCGCCCCUGGCGCCAUGCCCUCACUGGCACAUGGCUCUACUUGAUUGACUGCAAGGAGGCACUCGGCUCCUUGUUUCCUUUCCCUUCCCUCCUCUCUCCUUCACCCCUUAGGUCUAGGUGGCGGGUAGGACGUGCAGCUCAAGAAAGCAGCUGCCCACCAGGGCGAGCGACAGUAGUGUGUGGUGAGCGCGGGGAGGGUUGUCCACGUGAGUGAUGGAGCAGUGGCACGCGUCCUGCGCCGCCGCCGGCAGGCACGCUGUGUGGGUGGGACAAAAGAACAGGAGCAAAGGCUUGACCCGAAAUUAAUAUUCACUGCAAUUUUGAGUCCGCCUCUACCUUAUCUACCCACCCGGCUCUCUCCUCGGCCCCUCCAACCUUAUCCACCCACCCGCCAGCGCCUUCUCCUCCCCUUUCUCCCAUCCACCCGCCGACCCCUUCUCCCCUCUCACCACGUUCUCCUCCACCCGCUGCACCGGCCCUUCUUCUCUGGGGCACGAGGGCGCGGCGGCGAGAGCUUCGAGGGGCGCAGCGGUCAGUUAUCCACCCACCCAGCUCUCUCCUCGACCCCUCCAACCUUAUCCACCCACUCGCCGACCCCUUCUCCUCCCCUCUCUCCCAUCCACCCGCCGGCCCUUUCUACCAUCUCUCCACUUUCUCCUCCACCCAACGACUGUUCUCCUCCCUCUCUCCACUUUCUCCUCUACUCGCUGCGCCAGCCCUUCUCCUCUGGGGUGCGAGGGCGCGGUGGCGGGAGCUCGGGGGGGGGGGGGGGCGACGGCGAGGGCUCGGCGGUGGGAGCUUCGGGAGGCGCGGCGGGAGCAAUGGCUGGACCUCGGGUUAAUUGCAGUAAAGUUUGGGGAUCUUUUUGUAAAAUCUUCAAGAACUAUUCCAAGGAUUGCGGGUUGAUUACAAAAAAAUUGAGGGAGUUUUUUGCAAAACAACUAUAACAGUUGGAAGAAACAACCGCACGAAAAUGCGCAAGAGCUCUAUUUGCCUCUUCCAUUCUAUGAGUCGCUUCCUUUUUGCGUAUGGUAGAGAUAGAGAUAGGGAUAUAGUAAUCCUUGAAAUACUAGAAAAUGUUUCAAAAUAUUUAGUGAUAGGAAAAGAAUAAUUAUAAGAGAUUAAUUUAACAAGUUAAACUAUUCUAAAUUUAACAAAUUUAUAGAUAAUAUUAACAUCUACCAUAUAUAAAGUACACUGUAAUUUAUAUUUUAUAAUAGAUUUAAUUAUGCUCAUUUGAUAUUGUAAAUAUUAUCUUUUUUCUAUAAACUAAUUGAUCAAAGUUAUAAUAUUUUGACAUAGGAGUUACCGAGUUAGGACAAGAAAAUACUAUCACACUUAUAAUUCAUCCAAAAAUAAUCCCUACAUUUUAAGACGGAGGGAUCGGACAUCGGAGUAUGAAUCUGGAACCUAGCUAGUGGGCAGAGUCAUACUACCACGUCUCCAUCACUUUACUAUCCUGGUGCCACGAAUUAUACCGUCCACAGGUGCUUUAUUUCGAUGGUAUUGUUUAUUUGGAGGUAGGUUAUAAAGUGGAGCAAUUGCAGGUGGGUGAGCCGCAUGAUAUGCAUGUGUGGUGAUGUGGGCGUAUGCAUGAUGCUUGCAAUAGGGAAAAAAAAACACUAACGAGGGAUCAAUGUGCCUCGAGAAAAGCGAAAAAGACAACAAAACUAAAAGACCCCGAUCGAUCGACUAGUAGCUUUCGGGAAAGGAGGCGAUCGUCGUCCCUGCUCGAAGCUUUGUGGCCAUACUGUGCUCACAUGUCUACCGACCAAGUCGUCUGCUGACACCCAUGGACGACCUUUCAUCUCGUCUCCACCAAACGGGUCGGCACUGUUUUAGCCUUAGGUACGUGGCGAGCUGCUCUAAUCCGUCCUUCCUAACAUUUAGGUAAGCUGCGUUGAGCUUUGGCUGCUUUGUCGGCAGAACUGUGUCAUUACUAUUCAGAAAAAGACGUCUGAAUUUUCCCCUGUAGUAUACAUUCUAUUAUUCUUAGUACUAUUCAAUAUUUAAUGGGUCUGUUUUUCAAUGCUUUUUUCAGUAUGUUUUUUUAGACACUCACAACUAUGAAUACACGCACGCAAACUUAUCCCAUAAGCACAUUCGAAGAUUGACGAAGUUGCCACCAACGCCUUGUUGUGGACCGCACACGUUUGGAGCAGGAGGGGGUUUACUUUAGGAAUUUUGUAGGGUUUAAUUCAAAUUUAUGUUGAAUCCUGAUAUAUGGAUUUAAAUCCCACUACAAGAGGGUUACUUUCCCCAACAGUUUCUUCUCAUAAGUAGUCGGCGGUUUUAGUAUAUUUGGUUAGCUAAUCACAAAACUAUGUGCAAUGAAGUUUGCGAAGGAUUAUGUUGUUGGUAAUUUGCAAAAAAAUGUAAGUAAGAAAAGCUAGUAACAUACUAAAAAAUAUUGGCAAUUGGAAAAUGAAAUACUAAUGGAUACUGUCAUUGUAGGCCACUUGGAAAAAGCUAUAAGGGGAAGAUGGAAAUCCUUGCAGUGUCCAGCGCUCUCUAUCAGAAAGGUCUUAAAACUUAGCUCAAUUUGGCGAAUCUAAUAUAUAUUUGUAUCCUACUAAUGUUCCGACUAGCUAUGGAGUACAUAAUAUGUAUAACACUCGAGUUUUUGCAUAUGCAUUUGUUCUGUUUUUCAGUCCAUGAUCGACAAUGGUUUUAAAAAGAAUUGAGCUCCAGCCACAUGCAUGAUGUUUAGGACAAGCUAAUUAGUUCAAAAUGAACAAACUAAUUUGUUUAUUCUAAACAUCAUAUAUUUGCUAUACGGCAGGGGUUCGUUUUUCUAAAUGAUUUAUAAUUUCAUUUUUCUAGUGUCCAAUGUGAAGAUUUGAUAUGCAUCGUUCAUUGUCACACGUACUGAGCAUAGUUAAAUUGUCUGCCCAACAAAUGUUCUUGAAGUCCAGCCACAGUCUUGGAACCUUCUAAUGUGUAUCCUCUGAUUGUUUUUUGGCGAGACAAAAGGAGGAUAGAAUAUUUCAUUUGUGGCCCUAGCUUGCAAUUGUUUUCAGCAGGAAUGUCUUCUACACCGCUCUUAAAUAAACGUGACUAUAUAUGCUACUAUAUGCAAAAUAAAAAAAAGGCGAAGACGGUCUUUCAAAAAAGAAGAACUCCUGUGAUGGCUCGGAGCCAGUUAGGGCAAUGGAAAAAAUAUUGUUUUCCUAGAUUCAUUGAGAAUAUCCCUCGCGGAGAGGUGUUUGUCUCCCAAAUAAUUAUAGUCAAUUGCACCCUUGAAAAACAAAAGUUCAAUCCCUUACCGAUUAACAUUUUGUUAAAACAGCCAUUUAGUACAGAAUGAAUAUAUACGUACUAGAUGACAGAAUGCAAAUUCAUUCUCAGUCGCAAUUGGAAAUGAAAUAUUGUAUGCAGAAAUAUUAGUGCAUUGUUCAAGUUGGGGCACAUCUCAAGGAGCAUAUACAUUUCAAUGUGGCAAGAAACCCAGCAUACUAUUUUUUUUUCUAAAUAGAAAAUUUUAUUACAUCCAAAUGAUAAAAGAAUUUCAAAAGAAGAAAACACGAGACAUCGACACACUAAUGGCGUUCACUUCAUAGACAAGACUGCCAUCCAUGUGCCCGAGUAAAGACUUAUUUGGCCACCCAUUUCAAACAUCGAAAUGCUGGAUAAUUUAUGUAACCAGCAUAAUGUACAAUGGUUGUUAUCAAAUUUCAUUGUACAUUAUCGGCGCUUUUGGUGGUUUGCCAGAUUAGGCUACUUUCUCAUCGGAUCGCCUGGUCAAGUGAAAAAUAAUUUCCUUUUUGGCUGCGAAAGACAGAACUGCAUCGGGAAUGCAUGGUCUGCGACACCAUCGAAACAAGUGGUUAGGCUUUUUUUUUUUUUGGAUGGUCCGUCGUCUGAUCAUCAUGUGGGCGUUGCUAACCAAACGAGCUGUAUGUGUCUCACCAAUACGUGACAACUGACCACUCUUGUGCGGGCACCACCAAGAGGCCAAUUCAGGUCCAUGUUACUGCAAUGUCCAGUUUGGGCACCAUGUUUCUGUUGAUCGUCUUUGUAUAUAUUGUUCAAUUCUUCACAUAUUCAACUCAUCAACUGAAAAGGAGAAAGGAAAAAACACCUAGCUAGUACAACAUAAUCAACGGGCAACGGCACUUAGUACAGAUAUUGUUUGGUAUCUAUCAGGUGGCUGGUUGCAUACUUGCAUACAUAUGAAAGAUCUUUGGAGAAGAGCAUCAUCACCAAGUCUAAUGAAACGCAACAUCUACGAGAGGCAAAUACGCAGAUGGCCUGCUGGCAAAAAAAUUCCUAAGGCAUAUCCAUGAAGCAUAUAAAGAUCUGCACUUCAGGGAAGAGAACAAUAUAUAGUAUUCUUUAGUUUCCGAACCACCGGCUUCAUGUGUUCGCAAUCAAGAAAACUUCACAUUGAAAGUUCAAAAUAUAUCAUGUUAUGAGAAAUCAAAUAAAUGAUGAAAAAAGAAUGUGUCGACUUUGGUUUGUCAUCCUACCUAUUUUUUUCCUUUAAUUUGACUUCUUUUUUUACAUUAUUAGCGCCAAUGUAGGUUAAUUUAAUUCUGAGGAAGAGCCUCAAUGUAUGUAGUUGAACAUGGAAGCUUUCAUUUGGCUUAAGCAGCUACCUCUACAAACCCAUGAAAAUGGGAAAGGAAUUAUUCCAAUAGAACCAUGGAACCAAAGCUCCGAGAAAUUAAACAUUCUAGUGGGUUAACGCCUUAAUCAAAGAUAUUAGCUGGUGAGAACGGCAUACAUACAUAAAGAAAUGUAUGGCUGUAGCCUAGUAGGCAUCUCGAUAGUGAUAUUCUUAACAUCGAAAAUGUUAUUGAAACUAAAACAAAAUUCUGCAAUCCCUCUUCCAUCCAACAUUGAGCGAUAUUUCAGUGCAAUCCAAAAAAGAUGUAAAAUUUGCAAGACCAUCCCACUUUUAUAUCCAUGCCUUCUUUUCUAACUGCUGCUGCAUAUUUUUGCGUGAAAGGAAAUCGAUCUGGUCAUGAUUUGUUCCUUGCAGCAGACAAAAGUCACUGAUGAAGAUGAGACGAAAACUAAUAAGGGACGCCUUGGACAUGUAUCACAAGGGACAAUUAUUUGACUUGACAGAAUGUAUAUGCAACCAUUUAGAGUCAUGCAUUAAUCAAAGCUAGUCCGAAUGCGUUUUUAGCAUCAUCAGGCUACAAAAUGAUUGAGAGUAUAGUCGGCAGCUUCACCAGACCUGCAAGAAAUGUUUUCAGAUUCAACGAUACAGAAUUGUCCUAUAACGAAAAAAACUAAUAUAUAUUCAUAACCAAGUGGGAUUGUGAUUCAAGGAAAGCGAAAAAAAGGCAGGAAAAUUUAAAGACUGGCAUGAUCCAUGGAUCGGUUCCUUUGAGCAAAAGCUAGGGAGGAUCAGCUGCCAGCUUCAAAGCUUUGUGGCCACGUUGUGCUCACAUGUCUGCCGACCAAACUCUUCUGACACCCCCGGAUCGUUCCUCCCGUCCAAUUGCGUCUACCUACUGACACAGAUGGAACAGUGGGCGCUUGUGUCUUAAGAAAUGCAUCACCAGGACAUGUGACCAUUAUUAGAAACAGCAACAUAUAAAAUUUAUCAGCAAAUAAAAUAAUUCCCAUGCCAAUCUCAUCAUAAGGUAUUAUCAGUCUAAUCUAAUCCCUGAAUAUCUAAGCAGUCUGGAUGCGCGCUCCAUGCAACUUUAAUUAACCUGGCCACGCCAGGUAGCAUAUCCUAGAUUUUUCUUGUUUCACCUCAAAAUUACUGCUUAGCAAAAUUACCAAAAAAUAACCUCUAUUUAAUUAACUCUAUAUAUGAUGGCCAGGAUGAACUUGGGCUUCGCAGGCCUUGACGAAAUAGGUCUGAAUCCAAAUGAAUGUCGUUUAACCAUCUUCCAUGUACAAAAUGUACAGUGUUCUACAUUUUAAGCUCCUUUUUUCAUCUUUCUUGUAUAUGUUACGUUGCCCCCUUACUUAUCACACUAAUAAUAAGUUCUUUUACCCCGUACUCAUGCGCUAUAACUCACUCGAAUUAAUUCAAUUGCUAAACUAUGGACCGUGUGGAAUGGGUAGCAUGACCAUUCUCAACGCUCACUUAAUUCUUAUAUGUGUAACGGACAUAUAUUUCUAUUAGGAGUAGUCCAACAUUAGGUACUACAGAAUGAAAACGAGAGAGAGCAUGAUAUUUUGAAGAAAUUAUGCUGACCAAACAUGCUUUAUGAGGCUACAAUUUUAUCAGCGGCCACUGUCACAGAUCUGUGCAGUGGACCAUGAAAAAGGACCAGCGAGGACCAUGGAAGUUUAUUUUUGUAUAGCAGACAGUGCAUGCGAUGAAAAAUGAUUUUAUAUUGUGCAUUAUUUAUUUCAUUGGCCAGCCCAACAAAAUCCAGAUCAAAAAAAUGGUCUUAUCACAAAAUUGGGACCUUCUAAAUUGUGUCCUUUGACUGUUUUUCAUGAAAAGAAAGGAGAAACUAUUUCACUCGUGCCCUACCUUUCACUAGUUUAAGUUUAAGAACAAUGUGUUAUACACCACUCUUAAAUAAAUCCUGGUUAUGCAACUCAACUCAGAGUGGAGGAAAGACAUGACGGGAGAGAGGUUCGCGUGCUCCCGGACGAUGUGCAUCGUCGGAUGCACAUCGGACGGUGCAUCUCGGGGCUGUGGAGAUGCACUUUUACAUUUUAGCCCUCAUACUUUAUCGGAAUAUAACCCGCAGUCCAACUUAAGCCUCCCAAGAUGCACCGUCCGAUGUGCAUCCGAUGAUGCACAUCGUCCAGGAGCACGGGAGCAGGGAAAGGUGCGGGAGCACCCGAAACUCUAUCGAUAUGAUGGCUCUAAGCUUAAUUAUGUUAGUUAAGGAUCCUCGAUAGAUAAUGUGUUUUCCCUAGAUUUGCUAUGAAUAUUCUCCAUAUGGCUCGAUCCGAUCCCCUUUGGAACUAAUUAUAGUCGAUGACCCUUUAAAUUAUGAAUAACACUUUGAUGAAACAUAAUCAAAUGUAGAGAACAUUCUCACGGAUGAAUAAAGUUGUGGAACCACAACAAAAAUAUAAUAUUACAUUUAAAUGUUAUACUUUUAAUCAAUCCCUCAAUAAUUAGUUUGAUUGUUCUAAGUAGCUAGUUGGGUCACGUCUGAAGCAGCCGCAUCCAUUCUCAACCUGCAAACCUAAAGAAUGAAAUCAACCUAGGAGGAGCUAGGCGAUUUUUCAUUAAAAAGAAAAAAUAGACAUCCAAAUUCGAGCUAGAGGGGGCUUGAACCUGGAUGGUUAGAGUGCACGACCACAACUCCACUCUAACUAGUUGAGCUAGGUUCACUUUCUACCACUACCUGGCUGCAAACCUAGCAUAAUGAACCUUUGGUUGCCGUCAUAGUUUGUUGCACAUUGUUUGUCUCAGAGAUGCGCGACCUGGGUUUGUUUCAAUGGACCACUGAUGUUCUACACCAGCAGGAAGGCCAAUUCAGGUCCACAUUGAUCACUGUUAUGUCGUGCUUUGGCAUCAUGGUUUUGUUCAUCGCCUUUGGACAUACAGUCACCUCGAAUUUGCACAUUUCGUCUAAAAAAGAGAAAAGAAACUAUGCAGCGUAGCGCAAUCUAGCUGUUGAUUGUUAAUUAGUACAGUUUUUCUCUUCAACAUGCAGGAUCUUUUCGAUAUGAGCAUGAUCAGCAAGUGUACGAAACACCUGCAACCAGUAUUCAUGAGAGGAAAACGUGCAGCGUACUGGCAAACAAGUUCAUAAAGGCUGCCCUGUUACACAUGUGAACAAGUCAAGAUCAGCUCUUGAGUAUGCUUUGCCGGAUCACAUUAACCUUCAACGGUAAAAUCCAAGUUACAAUACGGGCCCAUCUUGCUCUUGGAAUUCAUUUGCCUCCAAUUGAUCUUAGACUGUUUUUUUUUAACGAAUCCAUCACCACUUAUCCCAAUUGUUGUUUUUGAAUUGGUUCCAAAUUAGUGAAAAGAAGUAUAGCAGCUAGCACUACACAAUAUACCUCUACUUCACAAAGGGAUGUAGGGUUGUGAAUCACAUUGGGAGGUGACUUCUGCAAGGAAGCAAAGCUAUUCCCUUUUUCAUCUUUUAAUCUCAGCUGGGAAUUAAAAGGAAAAAAAAAGUUGACAUUCCUUGCCGCCCCAUCCAUCCAACCAACCCUUUUGAAUAGUGGGGGAGGGCAGAGAACAUGCAACAAUCUUCUUGCUUGCUUGUUGAUCAGAUGCAUGUGAGGGAGGGGUCAUGUUGGGUCAUGGCAUAUUAUUUAGUGGUCAUGUGCAUGCUAGGUUGUGUACUAGCUGUUCCUGUGGCUAUUCACUUCUCUUGACCAGCUGUCAAGCGAUAGGAUACGAGAUGCUUCUGUGUUCUCCCCUCUCCUCCCCUGCUUGGUGAUGAAACCCCCAAGCUGCAGGCCCAUAGUGGUCAUCCAUGCUUUAAAGAAAGGAGCACUGCACUGCCCACCAGUUGUUCACUUUGCUACAGGUGCCAGUGGGUACAUGGUGUGCUGUGCUGGGUUGGGUUGGGCAUUUUACCCUCCACAUGCACCCAUUUAUGCUUUACUUGCUCCUUAGUUAUACCACCUUUGAAAGAAAGGGUGUGGAAAUUUCCAUGUGUCCAGCUGCAAGCUGCGGUGUAUGUACUGCUCUUUUUUAUUUCUUUUCUAAACUCCACAGUGUAUCACAAAGAGAAGGUGAGUAAAAGAUUGCUCAGCACGCUCUAGGCUAUUAUGCCAAGUGGAGGCUGUGGAUUAGUAGGUUUUCUCUUUGGGAAAAAAAUGUUUAAUAAACUUAAGCUUCUUAAAACUUAGGUCAAUUUUGCUCACCUUUGGAUGUUUUGGUUCCAGUAUUGUCCCACAUAUCUUCCUCUAUCACUACCUUAGGGCAAUGGGCCACACCGAACGAUUAUCGAUGGUUAUAGGUUUUGGAAAGUGCAAUUAUACCAAGGGCCAAAAAGAAAUGCGAAAGUGGGAUGUGAGCUAUGUAGGGGUGACUAGUGAGGGGAAAACUAUUGGAUCACCAUUUAAUGGCUAAGAAAAAAGAAUGAAAAUAGUGUAUUUGCAAGCUGCUUAAGGGCCUAUUUGGAUGGACUAAAACUAAAGUUUAGUCUUGACUAAAGUUUAGACGUAUAAACUUUAGUUGGCUAAAAUUAGCCCUAUUUGUUUGGAACCAAAGAUAAUUUUUAGCCCAUUUAUUGAUAAAAGUUCAUUCUAUCCUUAGGGGGUGUAGGAGAAAAAUGAUAAGAUUUUAGUAGGAGGGUAUUCUUGAUCUUUUACCAUCCGUGUCUAAAAUUAGUCCUCAUUAGCUGAGUUUGGAUGGCUAAUGAAUUAAAAUUUAGUUGGGACCUUUAGCCCCACUAUUUGGAUCAUCAAGGCCUAAACUUUAGCCAACUAAAGUUCAGCCCCUGGAUCCAAACAAGACCUAAAUUAAAAGACAAAAAAUUAUCGCAUUUGUCAAGACUUCGUGGAUAAAGCUAUAGUGCGCCAAGUAUAUAAUGUAUGCAUUGCAGCAUUGCUUUGUUUUUUCAGGAAACAAGCUACAUUAUGCAAUCCAAAUAACUCGGCUGCUGGUAUUGAGCCAGUCAACUAGGCCAUCAGUUUUUAUUCAAAUGUUGCAGUUGGAUAACAUUGUUAUCCUUGAUGCACAGCAACCUAAGUUUGGUAAUGCCAUCACAGGAACAAAACCUGACAUGUAAUUUUUGGGAUCAAGACAUUUAGUGCCUCACUAGUUGCACUCCCUAGAAUAAGAUAGAGUUUAUCGAGAGUAGAAAGAGAGACUGGAAGAAUGAAUCUAAUGUUUCUUUUCAUUGAUUGAAUGAAUGGUGUGAUUACAUAUUUAUAAAAGGGGAAAGGGUAUGCCCAAAAAACAUCAUGUCCCUUGGGAGUUGGCCUGUUCAUGAAAGAUUUUAUACAAUUAACUCUAAUACUAAUUGACGAAUAGGCUUGAAUUUUUAAGUUGAUGGGACUCACGUCCGUGUUCGUAUUUUUAAGAAGAAUCGUGCGGUCGAUGAAAAACUUGACUCACUGUCAGCACAAGCUCGAGCACACAGUGAAGUACCGCUUUGACUUAACACUCGGUCUCAUUUGUACCACCUUUGAAGGGUGUGUUGGAUUUCUUUGUGUGUGCAGCGAGUUAUGCUGUUUGUACACUUCCUCCUUUUCCUUUUCUUAAACUUUUUUGCAAAAACGCAAGUUGAAGCAAUGUUUCUCAAGAAUAAGUGUGGCAAGUUAUUUUCUUACAAAAUUAUUAAAUUCUUUUUCAUGAAGACUUGGCACAAGAAGCCAUCGCUCUGACUUAAGCAAUGUUUCUUUUCCUAAGUAGUUUCAGUUACGCUUUCAAAGAAAUAAAUAUAGUGGAACGAACGGUCACACAAAUCAAUGAGUGACAUGCAGUUACUAGCUAGGACUGGGACAUGGAUACCUCAGUGGGAUAAUACACAGUGCUUACUUCAUUCUAAAGUUGAUGUGAUGCGACUAUGGUCACUAUUUGUAUUUUAACAACCAUGCAUGUAAUCGUCCAAUCGUGGCAGUAUAUACUACUCACUCCCGUGGACACGUGCACACAGUCAAGUAACAUUUAUAUCCAAGCAAUGUAUUGAAGGUACAGAUAGGACACGAGCAACUCUUCUUAUGGUAUCGAAGACAAACAUGAAAAAUAGACUGAUCAUGUAAAGACAAGAUUAGGGACUAAUCAUCAGUAAUUUGCCCAAAUGAAGAAACAUGUAUUCAAUGGAGCUAUCUUGAAUUUUUAUGGCCUUUAAUUUUAGGAAAGUCAUGUAUUUUUGCCCCUUCCAAAGAUAAGCUCCAUUACUUGGUACAAAAAGGUAAAAUAUAAAGCUCAAUCCGUGCCGCGCCAAUGUAAAUGAAAGAACGAAAAACUCUGAUAAACCAUAAGCAAAAGGGGAUCGAUCUAAAUAAGUUGAUUCAUACACUAAAAAGAGCGUUAAUCUUUCUUGACAGUUACUUUAUGAGUGGCUAACAGUUUUUGUAGUCCUUAGCAUUUUAAUUGAAUGGGUGAUAGUUUUUAAGUAUUUUUCCCUUUUUGUAUUUGGAACAGUUUGGCUAUAUUGCUAGCAGCCUAGCUAGCAACGGCAACAUCAUUCCGAACAAAAAUAUUACCAACAGUUGUGAUAGAUAACUAACAUACAAUGUUACCGUAAACGCUAAACGCUAAACAGUCGGUCACCUACCGUUUAGCUCUUUAUUUGAACUAAACGGCCAAUUAAACAGGUUAAAUGGCUAUUAAAUGGGCUAAACGAAUGAUUAAACGGACACGUCUAGGCACUGUGUGGCGUGUAAACAGGCUAAACGGCCGUGACGCGAACAAUGCUAACAUAUAAGACUAGAAACAUUUGACAAUUCAAAAUGGAAACUGCUCUUUUUCUUUGGAAACAGGAGGGAUUGUCCCUACUAAUUAUAUAUUAACUGUCGAAAGAAAUUACAAGAAAACGAAGGAAGAGAAAAAUAGAAACUGUUAGUGAAGACCAUCACUCUUGUAGUAAUGGUACUAUGUUAAUUAGUAAUUGUUUUCAUGUAUAUCCAUUUAUCUCAAAGUUCAAUUUAAUGGUUGCCUAAUGAAUGUCAUAAUUAAGCAUGCAGUAUUGUGGAGUGCAACUAAUAAAUCAGGGAAUUACUCAAUCGUCAAUAAAUGUAUCAAAAAAAGGGAAUUACUCAAUGGAAGGGGUCUGCACUUGAUAUUACCCCAAGACUGUGUUGUUGUCUAUGGCUAUAAAUUAUGUGAAACUGGUAUUUGGUUUGAAUUAUUUUUUUCUUCAAGCUAGUAGUGUCACGUACUCUUGUUACUUAGCUUAUGAGCCCAUGCAAAUAGUACAGAUGCAAUUAGUAGCUUGUACUUCUCCUUAGCAAGAUUUAUGCACAUUGCUCUUGGCAAAGAGGAAUAACUACUUACUAAGUGAGUUUAAUUGUUGGGGCUUGUAAGAACUGAUAACUUUUCCUGACUGAUCCAAUGCACUAGUACCUGCGUGCUCUUUAUUCUAUUUUGAAGACUGCUAAUCGUUAAUCAAAGUUCCUCCUCUAAUUUGACAAACAAUAAUUACGUUCCUAGUCGAUCAGGCUAUGAUGGUCCUCAUUUAUAAGUUAUAAAUGUGUCAAAUUCAGGAUACCAUAUCCUGUUAUGAAAUUGUGUUCCAUGAUAGACCUAGUCAUUCUAAAACUUGAAAGCAUAAGGAGUUAAAUAAUAUUAGGUUUUUCUAUUAUAGUGCAAGCCUUGAAAGAAUUUUAUAGCCUCCCCUUAAAAAUGCCAUCAGUAAUUAAAAACUUUGGAUCUUAUGAUCCAGGAAAUUCCUGGUGAACACUACACAUGGUCCUUUUUUAUUGAUAAUUUCACAAGCUAGCAGCAUAAUGUGGUCCUCCACCCACAUACAUUCCAGGUAAUGUCCAUGACUAGGUUUAUUAAAAUAGUCAUUUAAGAAAGAGCAAAGCAACAGCAAAAAAGAAGGGUCAGGGGAAAAAAAAAGAAACACAGCUAACUUUAGGCAGUCCACAACCAAAUCUCACCAGCAAGUUUCCCCUUGGAAUAUAUAACUUUGCUGCAAGAAAAAAAAAGAUCAGCAAAAUAAAAUAAAUAAAAUUGUUCUUGAAGCCACAUGAGACUUGCUAACCACCAGCUGCAUCUCGACGUGAAAGUGACGGGGCGCUUUUUCACGAAACAAUAUGAUAGUGGUGAUGUGUGUGAGAGAGGGGCAUCACGUACACGUACCUGCUCUGCACAAACAAGGCGAUUCAGUCGCUGUUAGGGAGAGGUGAAGAGUUGGCAUCGUCCAUAUGUAACUCUCCCCGGACCAAAAUGUGCACCUGUACGUACUACGUUCAAACCCAUCACGACUACUACGCCUCCUUGUUCCCCGUUUGCCAAUGGUGUGUGGCAACCGAAUUGACGCCCCAGCUGCAUGCUUCCGAGCCAUGAGUAGAGACGUCGCCAUGCUCAUGCUCUUGCUCUUGCGGCGCCUUCCAUCUUAUUACUUGGCUCCGACUCCAACAACAUGCGGCCUAUUCGGCUGGACUUAUAAGCUGGCUGAAAAGCUGAAACGGCUGAUUUAUUGUGAGAGAAAAAUAUUGUUUGGUGGCUGAUAAGCUGAUUGAUAAGCUGAAACGAUCAGGCUGAUGGAUAAUCGGAUAUCCCAAUUCUGUAUUGCUACAGCCUCACAGGGUUGCUCUGUGUUCUCUACUUUGGUGAAUGGUAGAUAGAGUGGAGGUGAAGCUAGCUAGGGGGUGGUUCAAAUCAGGAGGGAAGGAGAUAGGGACAGCGUUUGUUAGUGAUUGAAUGGAAGAGUUACAUGGAACAAGAUUCUUCUUCGAUCUAACGGCUCGAGUUAAUGCUUCGAUAAUGCUUGUUCUUCCCUAGAAUUUCUUGUCUACUUUUUAUAGGUUGUCAAGCCCCGGUCAAAAUGACUUUUAGCGUCGUUGUUGAACGGUAUAAAACAAGGCAAUAUAAUAGUUUAAUGAUAUAAUUUCCUAGUUUUCCUUAUAUGUACGGAUUAGUUAAUUAAAAAGGAAUAUAAAUCGCUUGACAUAAUUAUGUUUUUCAAUUUAAUCUAGACACUCAUUGUCGAAUUUGUUUGGCUACAUCGAAGGAAAAUUAAACACGAUAAGUCGAUAACAUUAACAAGCACACGUCAAAUAACUACCUCUAGAUUGAAUGAGGAAAUAACUUUGAAAACCAUAACUUGGUGGAAUGCCAUGGUGCUACAGAUAUGCUAAAUUGGUACUUAUAUUCGCGGUACAGGUGUAUAACUGAUAUAUGACUUGGUGAGGAUGAAUCUAUGAACUUGAUGAGUGAAAGGGCCUGGGUAUUCCACUCUCCAAUAAUAAAAUUCUGACGAUCGAGAUCGAUCGAUAGAUAGAUAGAUAGAUAGAUAGAUAGAUAGAUAGAGUGGAGUUGAAGCUAGGAAGCAGGUCCAAAUUAGAAGGCAGGAGAUGGGGACAGUGUUGUCCAAAUUAGCAAUUGAAGGCCAAAGUUUCAUGAAACAAGAUUCUUUAGAUCUAACAGCUCGAGUUACUGCUUUUUAAUGCAUGUUUGCGACCAAGUUCUUGUGUACUUGAUAGGUUGCCAAUCCUUGUCAAAAUAUCUUUUAGCCCCCUUAAGCGAGAUAGAAAGGCGACGACCGAUUCAACAAUUCUGGUAGUUAGAUCACCUUGGAACGUACUAGUUCCUUUAAAAGAAAAACCACUUUCACAUUGAACUUAUGAUACUCUGUUGAAUUGAACAUUCGUAAUUCCUUUUUUUUUUCAAAAUGCACAUUUAUAAUUAUUUUUUGUUUCAGGGGCUCUGCCUAUAUUUGGUAGUGUAGUCAUAUUGAUAAAUACAGUGUAGGCUAAUAAAUUGUAGUAGUCCCCAGCGAAUUUGGAAAUUGAAAAGAAAUGUAAAUAAUUCUGAGAGAUAAUACUAUACCUUGUGUCAAUUCAGUCAGAAAAAAAACUUGCCAAACCUGUUGACUACAUUGAUGGCAAAUUAAAUACAAUGAUUAUUUUAUUUUGUGAAUGGGAAAUAGCUUGCAUUUAUACUGAAAGGACAAAUAAAUCCGGAAACCAAAUGUGCCUCUCCGGAUCAACCAAAUCAAUAUACUUUAUAUUUGUGAUGUAUAUAUAUAAAUAAGAUCUGGUUAUUUAGUAGCUCCUAAAAUUCAUAUCACAUCGAAUGUUUAGAUACUAAUUAGGAGUAUUAAAUAUAAACUAAUUACAAAACCAAUUGCACAGAUGGAGGCUAAUUUGCGAGACGAAUCUAUUAAGCCUAAUUAGUCCAUGAUUUGACAAUAUGGUGCUACAGUAAACAUGUGCUAAUGAUGGACUAAUUCAGCUUAAUAGAUUCAUCUCGGGAAUUAGCCUCCAUCUGUGUAAUUAGUUUUAUAAUUAGCUCAUAUUUAGUCCUCCUAAUUAGCCUCCAAAUAUUCGAUGUGACAUGAAUUUUAGUCCGGACUAAAGAUCCAAACACCCCCAAGCUCCGUUUGGAUACCCAUCGCUAAAAUUUAGCACAUGUCACAUCAAAUAUUUAGAUGCUAAUUAGGAGUAUUAAACAUAGAUUAAUUACUAAACUAAUUGCACAGAUGGAGUCUAAUUCGCGAGACGAAUCUAUUAAGCCUAAUUAGUCCAUAAUUUGACAAUGUGGGUGCUACAGUAACCAUUUACUAAUGAUGGAUUAAUUAGGCUUAAUAGAUUCGUCUCGCGAAUUAGCACAGGGAUUCUGCAAUUAGUUUUAUAAUUAGUUUAUGUUUAGUACUUCUAAUUAGCAUUCGAACAUCCGAUGUAACACUACUAAAGUUUACCACGUAACUCACGGAGUCAAUCAUGCAUGCCAUUUCCAAAAACUGAAUCAUGUCUGGAAAUGCAUGCAAAUAGUAUGGGUCUGUUGGACAAAACACGCACGCAUGCGCGCUCUGUUUGUUGCAACCAGGCGAGCAACGUUACAGUAUGAGUGCAUGACUGACUGUACACAUGUUUGGAGGAUUUGUUUGCGCCCAAACUUUUGGUGUACGUGGCUUGUCUUGUCCCACUGUUGUUAUGCCAAGCUACAUGCUGCCCUUGUCCAUUACAAUUUACAACCAGCUGGUGCCAGUUCUGGCUCCUGUCUCUGUCUCACUGACAGGCACUGAAUCGAGAGCAACAACAGGUUUUUAAAGAAAAUCCUUUUUUUUUGCGAAAAUCCUAGCAAUGAGGGAAAAAUAGUUGAAGCCAAAAGGAAUGUAAAAAGAUUGGAGAGCUAUCAAUAUACACCUCCUGGGCAAUUAGAUUAGGCAGCUAAUAAGUGCUAAUUAUUCUUCUGACGCCUACUAUUACUCCUUGUAUUCAUAGAGACGUGUCCAUAACUUAUGUUAAUGUUGGAAGAAAAUACAUCUUCGAAGCAAUCGCUGGUAAAAAAAAUAAACCUUGCAUGUAAAAAGAUAAGAUCCUGUUUGGAAUAGAGGAAAACUGUACAUUUCCAUAGGAAAGGAAGACGAGCUACACGUUUGGAACGAAGGAAUUGAACAUAUACUUUCCAGAGGAACGGCAAGGGAGCUGAGCUUGUACUUUUGAAGGAAAGAAAAAAUGUGCUCCGAGCUUAGGGAAAACUUUCCUGCAACGCUCGCUCGCAUACUCACAUGCUAAUCAAGCUUACCUGGUGUGCUCUUCCUCCUCGCCACACACAGCUUGAGCCUUCGGGAGGAAAGCUUCAUUUGAGCAAUAAAGGGAAAUAAAGGAAAAGACAAAAAAUGGAAUCCAGGUUCAACUUGAGCAAGUGCUUAACAAAUCCUUUGAGCCACUCCAGGGAUCUAUAACUCCAAAUCUAAAAAAAGAAGAAGAGAGAAACCCAUUUCUCUUGAUUUGGGAGUGGAGCUUUGGUUGGCGAAGUAGAGGAGAGCGGCUUCAAGCGUGCUCGAAGAGGUCGAGAGCUCGCCACUUGAUGCUGGGCUGCUGGCCUCCGACUGUGCUCCGCUGACCUUUGAGGUCGUGGCGCCUGUCGCCUGAGCGUGUGUGGAGAACGUACGAUGGGUGGCUUCUGGCUUGCAGAUGGCAAAAUAACCGUAGACCCCACGUGUAAGAGGGGCAGCGGAAAUUACAUCAUUUGUUUUUCUGCGUGGUAACAAAAGUAGCAGCUUUGACUGUUCGGUCGUAUUAAUUUUAUCAACACAAUCUAAUCAAUAUUUCUAUUAGCCUACGUUUAUUAUUCCUGUGUUACGAAUUCCUGCAAUCCAAAGCCUAAAUUGUACAUCCCUGUAUUUUGGAAAUCCUGUAGUUUCCGAUUUUCACUCCAUCAUAUUCCUACAUUUUUUUUUCUCAUUUCUCUAUUUUGAAUUCCUUUAUUCUAAACAAACACUAAGACACUAAGAAAUUACGGUCAGCAAACACUAAGACACUAAGAAAUUACGGCCAGCUCAGGUCGGAGGAAGACGAGGGAGAGAGAAGGUCGGUCAAUUCGGGCUGGUAGCUACAGGGUGGGGUGCGGGUCACUAACAACCAAGAAGAUGCCACGUCCUUGUUGCAGCGGACGAGCAACAAUCCCUUCCAGCCUGCACCUGCAAGCAGUAAUCACUCACUCACCUUCACCGAAAAGGAGAAUUAGGAGUAGGAUUAAACAAUGGCGAAGGAAAUAAAAUACUAAAAUAAGAGACAGGGGCACACCCCACGCCCUCACCUGCACACACUCAUCAGUCAUCUCCCUCCCCCUCCCCCCUUAGCCCUUCCUUCCCUUUGCUUGUCCUCCUCCAUUUCCACCCACCACCAAACACCCAAGGAUCCCCCUCUUCCUCCCUGUGCCAAGAACACCACCGCCAGGGAGGCGAAUCAGGCAAGAAGAUCCAAGCAGGAGGAGCGGCAGCAUUUGUAGGCUCGGCUCAGCUGAAUUGCGGUUGCGGUUGGAUCGGCGGCAAGAAGGGAAUUGCCUGUGCUGCUGCUGCUGCUGGUGGUGGUGGAAGUGGUUGCAGAAGUGACGGCCAAGUUUUCCUCGUCCGUUUGCUUGGCCAGGCCACCAACAUCUCCACCUGAAUCCCAUCUCCAUCUACCCAUCUCCAACUCUAUCUCCCCUGCACUGCACGAAGGGAGAUUGAUAGAGAGAUACGGGGAGGGGAAUUGCAGUGCAACCCAAGGAACCAUGAUGGCGUGGCAGGCGGAGGAGGAAGAUUGAUCGAUUCAUCCAUCCAUCGGUGGUGCUAGUGCCUGCUGUUACUCGCCACUCGCCAUCCUCCUCCUUUAAUCCUUGCUUCACCCCUCCUCUCCGAUCUCUCCCUCUCUCCUCUGCAGUCUUAUUGCCCUCCCCUGUUCUCGCAUUGAGGGGCAACAAAGAAUAGCGAGUGCUUGUGGCCUGCUGUUGCUGUUGUUGUAUGGUCGUCGGUGGGCACGAUGACCAUGGAGCACGGCGAGGAUUGCUGCGUCAGGGUGGCGGUCCACGUGCGGCCGCUCAUCGGCGACGAGAAGCUGCAGGGAUGUAAGGACUGCGUCGCCGUCGUGCCGGGCAAGCCGCAGGUACGGAUUGGACUGCAGAUUCUUGGUUGCUUCUUUGCUGCUAGGGAUGGAUGGAUUCUGCUUUCUUGCCUGCGUGUUCCCUAUUUAUCUGGUAUGCAUGACCCCAAUUCAGACUGGAUUGCCUUGCCUGUGUGUUCUUUUGCGUUUUUCUUUUUUGGCCCUCUGCCUUGGUGUUAUCUAUUUGCUAUGCAUGGCUCAAUUCAGACUCUGGAUUGACUCCUGCAAAACAAUACUUUUAGAAAUCUGGCUGUCCUGGUAUUUUUCCUGUUUUCUAGUACAAUUUUCAGAGACAGUUUGACGCUGUCUGCAGAUUUUGAGGAUGAUUAUUCUAUUUUAUUUUGUACCAGUGACUCUCUGUUUCGUCAAGAACAGCAGAGCAGAGCAGAGAUGAACUGACCAUCUCGAAACCUUCCUCCCAUUCUCGGAAAAAUCAAUAUGUCCCAAUCUAUGUCAGGCAAUCCACACAGAGCCAAGAAAUUCAGUAGUACCUUGUGAAAUUCAGGAGGAAUCUAGGUUGCGUGCCCUUUCAGUCUCCCUGGCUCUGACAAAGAUGCCCAGAAAUUUCUUUUAUUUCUCUUCGGUUUAUUUCACUAAUUCGGUUUAGGAAGAAGAAAAAAAAAGUGUCGGCAGGGGCAAAUAAUCUUGCACAUUUUCGGUGCGAACUUGUGUCCAGUCUUGCUGAUGUUCUUGUUUUCCUUUAUCUGGGUUGGGCAGGAGCCCUGUCAGCAUCACGCAGUUAUGUAUCACCACCGGAUUUUUAUUUUUCUUUCUUUUUUUUUUGGCCCAAUCUUGUUGAUCCAACUCUCCACUUUCCCCAGCACCACUGCCUGUUUCCUUUUUUUCUUUCAACAAAAUUUAAUCUUUUUCUAAAAUAAAAAGGUGCAAUGUUUACCGAUCCUCCACUAAGUCGAAGGAUUAACCCUGAGAUCUGCUGGAUCAGAUUUUAUACUUCUUUUUGGGUUUUCUAGAUGCUCUCCAUUUCCAGCUGCCAGCCAGCCAGCCUUGUUGGAGUACCUUUCUUUCUUGGGUUCCUCACCGUACCAAUGAUCUGUCUCCUUGAUCUUUGUAAAUGAUGGUUUUUGGCUGAGGCAUUUUUGGGUGAAGAUGAAAAGUAACUUUCAUUCCUUGCCUCCCAUACACAAUGAUGGUGAUGAUAUGCAUCACAUGUGUAGGCUUCCAUGGCUUUGUUGUUUUCUUUAACCAAUUGGGGUUUCUAUCUACAGUAUGCCCACCAUCAUUAGACAGACACUGGAUUUGACCACCAUUUCGCUGAAACUUCUGUUUCGUUUCCAUCGUGCAGGUCCAGAUCGGCAGCCACUCCUUCACCUUCGACCAUGUGUACGGCAGCACCGGCACGCCGUCGGCGGCCAUGUUCGACGAGUGCGUGGCGCCGCUGGUGGACGGCCUGUUCCAGGGCUACAACGCCACCGUGCUCGCAUACGGCCAGGUUGGUAUCGAUCUUCUUCUUCGUCACUUCGUCGUCGUCUUCUACCACCACGCACGCCCUCGGCCCUGCCUCAAUCAUUUUGGCUCGCAUCCCAUGUGCCAUUGAUGCUGCCAAAAGAGCUGAGAAGCUUGGACCAUCACGUUGGGGCCUAGCACACGGCAAAAGCCAGCAGCACAGCAUGUGGCCUGGUGCUGCGAUGGAACACCCAAUUCCUUGCUCUGGUUUUUUUUUCUUUCUUUCUUUUUCUCCAGCUGUUUGCGCCAUGAUGAUGGGGUCGAGUGUCUGCUCCCGGAACCCCAAAAUGCUCAUCAUUUCAGCUCCCGCCCUGUUUGGAUAGAGGGGAUUUGGAUCCUAAUCAACCCUUGAAAUCAUGAUGCUUUAAUGUCGGUUUUUUUAUUUCCCUUUUAUUUUGUCUCAACAGACUGGGUCGGGGAAGACCUACACCAUGGGGACUGCCUGCAAGGAGGGAUCACAUAUCGGGAUCAUCCCACGAGCUAUGGCUGCGCUGUUCGACAAGAUUGAGAGCCUCAAAAACCAAGUGGAGUUCCAAUUACGCGUCUCCUUCAUCGAGGUAGAACGAUUGUUCCAUAUAAAUGAAUGAAAUGUGGAAAUCCUUUUUAGUAAGAUUAUAUAUAUAUAAAAUAAAACAUUGGGUCACUGACCACGUGAUAGUGAUCCUAUGUCAAAGGUCACCACUGCAGAGGAGUCUCAUCCAAAACUUUGGGAGGUUUUUUAUACAAUAUGUGAAACUUUGUUCUGCGUCUGUUUUCCACAGAUUUUGAAAGAAGAGGUGAGGGAUUUGCUUGACCCUACUGCUGCAACUGUGGGCAAAGUUGAGAAUGGCAAUGGGCACACAAAAUUGUCUGUGCCAGGGAAACCCCCUGUGCAGAUUCGAGAGGCAUCAAAUGGAGUCAUAACACUAGCUGGAUCGACUGAAGUGCAUGUCAGUACUCAGAAGGAAAUGACUGCAUGCCUUGAGCAAGGUUCCCUGAGUCGCGCAACUGGAAGUACCAACAUGAACAACCAGUCAAGGUUAGCUACAUCAUCCUAACCAGUCUUUAUCUUUUGUGCGCAUAAUUAAUGCUACAAAUCUCAUAAUUGGUUCAGGAGAAAUUAUAAAUUCUUGCUUUAUAUGUUUACCUCUAUGUUCCAUGUGUUAAUAUGCUUGUAAUGAUUUGUUCUGCUUGAGCACUUGAUAGAAAAUUCCUUGAUAUUCUGUUACUAUAUUUUACUUGUUUUCAAUGAACCUUAUACUCUGGUUUCGCCAUGUAAUAGUCGUUCCCAUGCCAUCUUCACAAUCACAUUGGAGCAGAUGCGCAAAACAGAUCCCAUCAUGACUGCAGAUGGAAUGCCCAUUGAAGAAAUGAAUGAAGACUAUCUCUGUGCCAAACUUCAUUUAGUAGAUCUUGCUGGAUCAGAACGGGCUAAGAGAACUGGUUCAGAUGGCCUUCGGUUCAAGGAAGGUAUGCUUGUUUCUUGUUUAUCUAAACUCUUAUUCUACAAUUAUUUCUGCUCCAAAUUGAAGGCAAUUUAUGACUCGUGUCAUUAGGUGUUCACAUCAACAGAGGACUUCUUGCUCUUGGCAACGUCAUAAGUGCUCUUGGAGAUGAGAAAAAGAGGAAAGAAGGUGCUCAUGUUCCUUACAGGGACAGCAAACUCACUCGUCUUUUGCAGGUAUGAUUUUCCUCAACUAUGCAAAAAUGUUACUGAUUUCAUUGAACAUUUCAUAGUAGUGUUUACAAAAUAGUCACGCCAACUCAUCUUUCAGCAUUUCAUAUUCUCAUCUAUAGGAAGCUAUUGGUAUUUAUAUAAUAAAUUACUAACUACUCCUGUAUCAUCUACUUUGUCUAUCACAGGAUUCCCUAGGUGGAAAUAGCAAGACUGUAAUGAUAGGUAAUUUUAUCUUGUCAGAAACUACUACAUUAUCCUUCCAUACUACUACAAAUAUAUUUGUCAAUACUGAUUUUUAGUGACAUUGCAAAUUAACAGUCAUAUAAUCAGUGAUUUAUUCUAACGUCAGUUUCAUUGGUUUAACUGCAAAAAGGACAUACAAAUGCCUUGCUUGGGUUAUACUGACCUGACUUGAAUCUGUCUUUUUCUCCUGCAGCUUGCAUAAGUCCAGCAGACAUUAAUGCUGAAGAGACAUUAAACACUUUGAAAUAUGCUAACAGGGCACGUAAUAUCCAGAACAAACCAAUUGUGAGUUCAUUACUUAAUGUCUCAUCAGAAACAUAUCUGACAUGUUCUUAGAUUGUUUGCUUAUCCAGGAUGCUAAUUUCUCUUCUUAGUUGAUAUCUGAUGUGUUGUUUACGAUGAAUUUUCAGGUCAACAGAAAUCCUGUUGCAGAUGAAAUGAAAAGGAUGCGCCAGCAGAUUGAGUACUUGCAAGCAGAGCUUGUUUCAGCUCGUGGAGGAGUUGGAUCAGAUGAUGUUCAGGUAAAUGUCCUUGACAAACUUGGAUGUAGAAGGAAUUUGUUCGCACUAAGAAUCAGAAUAACAAGGCUUCAAUUUUCAGGGUCUCAGAGAAAGGAUAUCAUGGCUUGAACAAACAAAUGAAGAUCUUUGCAGGGAACUAUAUGAUAUUCGCAACCGUUCUCAAACUGAUCCUUGUGAACCGGAAAUGCAAGUAUGUUGAGUCCUUGUGGACGCUUCUGGAUAUUUUACAUUUAAAGAAAAGCACAUGACUUGCACGUGCUUAGCAAAAAUGAGAAACGAUGACAUGAGAAUUGCUAGAGCUAAACCAUAACUAAUUCUGAUCUUUGUUUCAGAAAACUUCAAAUGGCUUUACAAAAAGUGAAGGGCUCAAAAGAAGCCUGCAAAGUACAGAUCCAUUUGAUGUCCCUAUGACUGACUCAGUAAGAGGUAACCUCUUAGCACCUUUAAAAUUUCUUCAUCAUGGUCUUCAGAUUCUUUUCAUUCUUUUCACUGGGACUCUAAACAUCAGUAAGAACACCCCAAUUACAUGUUUUUUUCAUAGUUGUUUGAUUUCUGAAAUAUCUCACUGAUGUUCCCUGCUGGCUGCAGGCAACCCUAAAGAUAUUGAAGAUGAGGUAGCUAAAGAAUGGGAACACACAAUGCUGCAGGAUAGCUUGGGCAAAGAGCUGAAUGAAUUAAACAGGCAGCUAGAGCAAAAGGAGGUAUUGAACAUCUAUCAGUGACAAUUAUGUUUCCUGGUCACCAUGUUUGGCCUAGUAAAUGACUAAUACAAAAGAAAGUAUUCAUUAUUUGAUGAUACAUUUAUUCACUUCUGCAUGGCACAUGUCUAGUCAAUGUGCGUUGGGUUAAAAGGUAUGAAAAACUUACCGCAAAUUUAUCAAACAUUUGCAGUCUGAGAUGAAAAUGUAUGGAUGCGAUACUGUUGCACUUAAGCAACACUUUGGGAAGAAACUUAUGGAGCUUGAAGAAGAGAAAAGAGCCGUACAGGUUGGUUAAAUUAUUUUAUCUACCAUAUGAGAUCAUCAGAGAGUCGUAUGUUCCUAGCCCUUGAAAAUGAAUACUUUUGAUCUUACAAAAAAGAUCUGAACAAUUUCAGCAAGAGAGGGACAGAUUGUUGGCUGAAGUUGAAAGCCUAAAUGCUGAUGGUCAGACCCAUAAACUGCGAGAUGCCCAACUGCAGAAACUAAAAUCCCUUGAAGCACAGGUGACUAAUAUUUCACAAUGCAUUUGAAUAAUUUUACUUUCUUUGAGAUUUCUUACUCAACAAACACAUUGGCUUGCAGAUUCUAGAUCUUAAGAAAAAGCAGGAGAACCAAGUUCAGCUUUUGAAGGAAAAGCAAAAGAGUGAUGAAGCUGCUAAGAAACUGCAAGAAGAAAUUCAUUUUAUUAAGGCACAAAAGGUUCCUUCCUUUUCCCAUCUCAUCUAUAAUGUUGUUAUAACACUUGUUUCAUCAUACGUGAUAAUAAUAAUAAAUCAUUUACACUAUUCCAAUUGUUUUAUGUUGUCAGGUACAACUACAACACAAAAUCAAACAGGAAGCAGAACAGUUCAGGCAAUGGAAAGCUACCCGUGAAAAGGAACUUCUUCAGGUAUGAACAAUCAAUUGUAGUCAGUAAGGUUAAAUGCAAAAUGAUAAUUCAAAAAUGUAUAAUCAGUCAACAUUUGUACUUGGAGAUCUAUGCUCAUAUUUAUUUCUCACUGGUUUAAUGUGCUCCUUCAGACUCAUAGAAUGAGAGAUAUCUCUAGAAAUUUAGUUAUGGCUUGGCUUGAUAGUCUUCCUAGCUGGCUUCUUCUCUUUGCACAGCUCCUGUUUCUGUCUUCCUUAUUUGUACAGUUUCUUAUCUUUUUUAUAAAAUAAUAAAUAUAAGAUUAAGCAAGGUCACUUUGAGAAGCAUGAUCCUCACCAUUUGUUCUAUAAACAGUUGCGCAAGGAGGGACGGAGAAAUGAGUAUGAACGCCACAAGCUUCAAGCGCUUAAUCAGCGGACGAAAUUGGUCAGUUUCUCUAGUAAAGCUAUGGCAAAUGAAAAACUGUUCAAUGAAAUACCAUAUAAAGUCACGACAAAAAACUAAUUAGAUUUUAGGCAAUACUCUAACCAGACCAUUGAUAGGACUAGUUUAAGGGUUAAAGUGAACCAUUACUUUCUACAGUACUUGUUUCUUUGACAUAGCUUCCUUCUAAAACCAUUUGUUAAAUAUGUCAAUUUUCAUCUUUUUUUAUUCUAAAGCUCCUUCUAAACACUUUUCUUUCUUAUAUCAAAUUUUCAUGUUUUUAUUCUAACUGCUAGAGUCCACAAUUUUGUUUGUAGGUUCUGCAAAGGAAGACUGAAGAGGCUGCCAUGGCUACCAAAAGGCUGAAAGAGAUACUAGAAGCUAGGAAAUCUUCUGCCCGUGACAAUUCAGGUACCUUUCUCUGCAUUGUGAUAUUUAUAUUUAUAUCUCUACUGAAAUACGUCCAAUCUAACAUUUCCACUGUUCUCUUUCCUCCAAACAUAGCUGGCACCAAUGGUACCUCUCCAGGCUCUAAUGUAAGUUCUAUUCAUACCUAACGUUCUUAUGUUUACUUACAAUUUAUUUGCUAAAGCUAUUUCUUAACAUAAACACAGAUGGGUGAGAGAUCUUUGCAAAAGUGGUUGGAUCAAGAGCUUGAAGUUAUGGUGCAUGUGCAUGAAGUCCGAAAUGAAUAUGAAAAACAAAGCCAACUGUAUGUAACUCUACUUUUUGCAGUCAAAUAAAAACAUUUAGGGCUAUUUAUUUUUAAUAAGUAAUAAGAAAAAAUUUGGUCAUUGAAGGCGUGCUAAGCUUGGUGAGGAACUUGCAAUUCUUAAACAAGAAGACAUACGUGCUGGCGCAUCUAGCCCCCAGAGAGGGAAGAAUGGAAAUUCUAGGUAUUUGCUAUCUCCCUUUUUGUUCAAUAUUAGGUAUCCUUUGCUUGUACUUGAUUUGCAUAAGGAAAAUAACACACCCUUACACAUAUCUAGAUGCUCAAUCCAGUCCUCUAAUAUGAUUUGAACAUAUUUAAUAUGCAUUUUUAUCUAAAAUAACAAUUAGUUUAUGUAAACAAUAAUGUAUAUCUGACUGUAAUUUUAUUUCUCAGGCCAAAUACCUUGUCACCAAAUGCAAGACAAGCUAGGAUAGCAUCACUUGAGAGCAUGGUGACAAUCUCUUCGAAUACUCUUGUCGCAAUGGCUUCUCAACUCUCAGAAGCUGAAGAGCGAGAGCGUGCCUUCUCUGGGCGUAGUCGAUGGAAUCAACUGCGGUCAAUGGGGGAGGCAAAGAGUUUAUUGCAGUACAUCUUUAAUGUUGCUGCCGAUGCAAGGUUACCUUUUUGUUCUUUUGGUUUCUUCAUUUAAUAUUAUGAUAUCAGAUCCUUCAGAAGUUCUCAAUCAGUAAAGCCUGGAACUAAAAUAAUCUUCCCAUAAAAAAAUGAAAAAUAUGUAAAACCAAUACCUGAUGUUUUUUUCUAAGAAUCUAAUACCACACUAACAAUAGAAGUCGCAGAGGUAGGAAACAAUUCCUUUUUCUAAAAGUUAACAGUAAAAUUGGGGACAUUUUCUCGUGUUUGUGUUUGAUAGUAUAAGUUUAUAACAACAUCACUCUCAUGUCCGGAUUAUUCUAUUAGCAAAACUAGACCUUAGAAAUGCUACUUUAGUUAUUCCUUGAAAGUACUUUGAAUAUUUCCUGUCAAGUCCUUGUCAUAUGUUUUGCCUUGAAACAGUUAGUGAUAAUCCUCUUAAUUAUUCAAAUGUUUUUUCAGAUGCCAAGUAAGGGAGAAAGAACUGGAGAUGAAGGAGAGAAUGACAGAGCUUGUGGGCAUUCUUCGACAUAGUGAAUCGCGGAGAAGGGAAAUGGAGAAGCAGCUAAAGCAAAGAGAGCAGACAGCUCCAAUGGCCACUACACCUCCGGUGUGAUUUCUCUCAGCAGCAUACGUGAAAGAAACUCUGCUUAUAAUUUGCUUCAACCAAUGUCAACUUGGAAUCACUAUUUAGGUGAAAAAUCAUUGCCCGUUCUAGGAAACAACAGAUGGGCACACUAAUAUAACACUGACUCACCUUAAUCCUUACAAUACAAUACAGAACCAACACUGAACAUUUGGCAUCCAAGUUACUAAGAUAAUUUCACUAUUUACAGAGAAGUGGAAAUGGCACUGCAAAGCACUCUGCUGAUGACCCCAGCACACCACUGUCCCCUGUUGCCGUUCCUGCACAGAAGCAGCUCAAGUACUCUGCUGGAAUUGUAAAUAGCCCCAGCAAAGGGAUUGCUGCAUUCAACAAAGAGCAACUUAAGGUUCUAUCCAAUAUCUCAUUGCCUGUGAUCAUCAUCGCUGUAUCUUAUCUAUCUAAUAUCUUCACUGACAAUUUUGAAUGCAGAUGGUUCCUAUAGCACAGUUGUCUGUGGGGAAGAAAGUUUCAAUAGCAGGGCAAUCAGGAAAACUAUGGAGAUGGAAAAGGAGCCAUCACCAGUGGCUUCUGCAGUUCAAAUGGAAGUGGCAGAAGCCCUGGAAACUGUCUGAGAUGAUCCGGCACAGCGAUGAAACCAUCACGAGGACUAGGCCCAGACCUCAACUUCUUCCUCCUAAACCCCAUAGAGUGAUGUGAAACGGACGUUUCUUUUUGUCUCGACAUGAACUGACACAGUAUGCAAACCUACACAGCUAACUACCUGCACAAGGUAACAAUGCAGCUAAGACUCCAUGAGAUCUCCUUCGUGCUUGUUUUUACUUGGCCACGGGAUCGACAAGUAUGUGUUGAUAGGGUGACUCGUCUUUGGAUGUAAAUUCCCUGUGCGUAUAAAGUGAGAUGUGAACUAGAAAAAAGAAUUAGUGAGUGGGUGAGUGUGAGCAGAGUGAAUGGGCAUUCUUUCAUGCAAAUACUGAGCACAAUACUUAAUGUUUCAGCCUUCACUGACGGUGAGAUGUCAAUAGUCGAUGUUCGUCUUCAUAAAGAAUUCUGCCGAAGGAAGGCGCCUUGUAAAGUCUUUCUGGUGCUGUUGUGCUAUAGAUUUGCGUGAAGGGUGAUGAAAGUUAAAUGUUUUUUGUGCUUGAGUGGUGGUCCUUUUUCCCCUCUUCUUUUUGUUUGUCGAUACUAAAGAUGAGAAAAAAUCAAGUGACAUUGGUUUGGUUUACUAGGAGUAUUGUGAUGUAAUACAGAAACUUGUUCCCCUAUAUGAAUCCACCCUUUCUAGUGUGCAGUACUGAUUGCUGAUCAAGUGUUAACAUGUUCAUGUUCCUUGAGAAAUGUCUCUGAAAUUUCAGCAAGAAUAGCAGCAGUUCUGUAUGUGGCAGUCUCUGAAAUUUAAGCAAGAAUAGAUUCAGUUUUGUGUGUGGCAACGCAUGCAUGUCAACAUAUUUUCAUGAUCCAUCUAACAGAUAACUUUUUGUAUGCCAUAUGUGCAAAAAUGCAUCAUAACGUUGGAAGAACCUUUGGUUUUUUUAGUUUUGGUGGAGACACCUUCCAUAUUUUUGAAAGCGUUAAACAAGCAAUGUUUGCCUUGUCUCAUCUGUAUUGUUAUAUGCAAGAGAUCCAAGUGAAAUCAUGGGAACACUCUACGGAGUCUAUAUAUAUAUAUAUAUAUAUAUCUUUUUUUGGAUGUACGGAGUCUAUAUAUAUCGCAAUUUGAAUUUUAAGUAGGCAUUCUUUCACUCAAGAACGUGAACACUCUAGCAAUAGCAUCCUUUAUGCUAAUAUUUGUGUCUUCUGCAUGGAGCAGCGCUGAAUUGGUCACGAUUUACCACCCAGCAACAACAUUUUGAAGCUUUGUUAAUGACAAAGUUUGAAAUAAAAUAAUUUACCUGAGUUUCCUUAACGUUUGCACUAGUGCAUGUUACAAUCCAAAAUGCUUUUGUUCAAUUUGCGUCACGGCUUCAUUCGUUCACAAGGGAUUCAUAACCAAAGCAGUGUAGUAUCCUUUGUAGUCUAGCUGGUUAGCUGGUUAGGAUACUCGGCUCUCACCCGAGAGACCCGGGUUCAAAGCUUUUUUAACUUGUGCCAAAUGAAAGGAAAAACUUCCCUUCAGUUAGCAGGUUCAGAAUAUCAGUACUCAAGUCAACACCAAUAUCCCCAAAACACUUGAUUGAUUCUGACAUUUUCCUAACAUUCUAAUUUACCAACACCUAAAUUAAACAUUACUGCAGUAUAUGAAGUUAACACUUAAACGAGGUAGCAUCACAUGGUCCCCUUGCAUAUUCUUGAAGCAAAAGACCCAAAGAGCACCACUUUUAGGUUGUUUGCUCUACAUCAUACUUACUGCUAUGUACAAAUACUAAUGGAAGUUAAUUUUCACGCUACCUAACCCAAGUUGCAGAGCAUCACAGCUUGGUAUCAGCCUUUCUGUCAAAAUCAGGGAACAGACAAUUAGAGGUUAGAUUAAGCAGCAAAUACUCAUAAGGUAGUUCAUAAUAAUGCUUUAGAUCCUAAGGAUUAGCCUAAACCAAAAACAUAUGGAUUGUCUACAUUAUGGGCACCAUAUCAAGUUAUCCGUCCAUCUGCAACAGAUAACCCAACCUCUUCACUGUUCUGGCCUGCACCACAUAGAGUAUCCAACCUCAUGCAGUACAUAAGGUUGUAAACUGAAGACUUUGUACCUAAUUCCAUUGCAGCUAAGCUUUUUUUUUAAGGUUACUCCUAGUUCAAUGCAAAACAUUACAAUCCUUGAUAGCAACAUUCCAAAUACUGUGGCAAACAUAUUUUUUAAUAAAGCACAAAAGCAAAAGUCCGAUAAAAUUAUCCAAACACUUGCCAGCUACAAUCUGAAGAAUCUAACGACAGUGAACUGGGUACCAGACUGAAUGAACCAGGGUGCAGAAUGAGAACUGGCCAGGCCUGCACAUCAGGAUCCACCAGGUUCCAGUUUUCUUCAACCUAGGCCUAGUUGCAUCCCUCAAACCUCACUUUAGUCCUAUUUUCUGAAUAGAUGUGUUACUACUGACAACCUGAACACCCAUAUUUGAAAACCCCAAAGUUAAUUGCAGACAAAUAAAGUAAGGAAAAUCAAAGUUUGGAAGCAUUACCUGUUGAUGGGGUUUCACAUCCAUCUACUCAAGCCACUUUCUUUUGCAAAUCGAGCCUCCUCCUGGAUUCUGGAAGAUGCAACUCAUGUUGCUCACUAGUUUGUUCUUCCUCAUCUUCUGACUCAGUUAGCCAUCCAUGACAAGGACGCCUUGUUUCACCACCACUCCUUAUAGCAUGUGGUUCAAUGAGCAUAGGAUCUUCCACUUCCUCAUCUGAUAGCUCAAUCCCAGCUGGGACCGCACUGUGCCCUUCUAAAAUUGACCUGUUACUUUGUGGUCGGACCUCAUCCACUGCAGAUUCUUGUUGCUGUAAAAUCCAUCAAGAUCAUUUAAGAAUUUCACAGCAUAAGUAUGCUUCUUCCAUUGGAUGGCAACUGAGACCACAAUUAUGCAUCGAGGUUUUGAUGCAUUGUGCCAGUGUUAAUGUUGGUAUUAUCUUUGUAGCAUCGAAUCUCUACAUCCACAAAUUGUCAAAUGUAGUACAAUGUCACACUGGCAGUGAGGUAAAUGUGAGAAUAAGAGACCUUUCAAUGGCCUAACCAUGGAAACUGGACCAGACGACUUUUCGUAGUAUGAGCAGCCAUGUUCAACCUAGGUUGACAAAGGACAGAUAAAUCGUCCCCUCGUGGAUGAAUAAACAAUUCCGAGAGAAAGGGGGAAUAAUUUGCUCUGUAGAUUUCUCCGUCUCUAGUCUAGCUAUCUCCUAAUAACAUAUAUCGACACACCUGAGGCUGUUCCUGCUCCGGCUGCUCCUCCUCCUGGAUCUCCUGCUCCAGCGUCGGCGGCGCCUUCUUCUCCUCGUCCUCCAUCUCCAGGAGCUUUUCCUGGACGACGAGGUAGGAGGAAUCCUCGAGGAAGGGCCACGCAGCAGCGCCCAGGUACUCCUAGAAAUUAACCGUCAUCCACAUGCCGAGAUCAAAUAGAAGAGAAUCGCAGGCGAGGAGAGAGGUAGCCACUAGCUAGUGCCGGUAGGCACAUCCGUACCUUGAGGAGGGCAUUGACGGCGGUGCGGACUUGGCGCGCCGUGUACCCCAUGGGGGCGAAGUGGUCGAUGGCGGCGUCUAUCCGCCGGUCUCCCUUCCUCGCCCGCCCCCGCUUCGGCGCCAUUGCUCCUCGGGCAAUCGUGCUCUGCUCUGCUCUCUCCUCACCUGAGUUCUUGCGCCUUGCCUCCUCGGGUUGGGGAUGGGACCUGUUGUACUCGCGGUCUGUGCGGCGACGCGAAAGCGAAGCGACGGCUACCAGCUGUUGGACGAUGAACACCGGCAGACACUCGUCACACCCCCAUUAAAUGAAGAGUAAAGUGGACUCUGCUACCUUGAGAAAUCUGAAAAUUAUUACACUCGAGGCUAGUAGUCUCGUGCAGGAUUUCACUGUUACCGAAAGUGCCCUGGUUUUAUUGCACAGUUGCAUAAAUAACCUGAAUUAUUUAAUUUAUGAAUUGUGUUAUGAUCAAAUAUGUGUGUCAUGAAAUUAUAACAUGCUCAAUACAAAUUUCAUUGGGUUCAUGGGACUUAGUAUAGAUGAGUUUUAUGGGAUGAAACUCCCUACUCCUCUCUCGUCGUAAUUAAUAUGCCAAGUCAACAAUUUUGCUGAUGUAACAUGAGAUUUAGAGCCUGUUCGCUUCAGCUUAUUCAGUCAGCUUAUCAGUCACCAAACAGUAUUUUUCUCUCACAACAAAUUAGCCGUUUCAACUUUUCAACCAGCUUAUAAGCUAAAGCGAACAACACACGAAAUCAUAUGACACUUCAAACUGGCCUAACCUUUUAACCUCAGACAAAUAAUUCUGAAACUGUUUAGAGUGGUUUUCAAGGUGGUUAUUCAGACGUGUCGUGCCGAGAACCCAGCCCGCAGCAUUCCAUCUUUCCCCUCCUCAUUCUGCCAUGUGGCCCCAUACUUCUUUCCCAUCCACUCUUUUCUCUCUGGCUCACUCACUCACUCACUAACUUCUGACCGCCGCCUGAGAGCACCAGAUUCAAAAAUUUUCCACAAAAGAAUGUAUUUUAGCUUUUGGACAAACUAGAUUUAGUUGUAUGGAUAUUUAAUUGCCUAAAUUUUGAAUUUACCAAGGUGCAUGCCUAUUUAAUUGAUAUAUCCUUUCAAAAAUGCAUUUUAUCUUUCCAAGGUCCAUGCACAUUUAAUUGUUUGACUUUUUUCCCUUUAUAAGGUAUGGUUCAUCAAGACUUUAUUGACUAAUUAUUUUAUUCGGGGCAAUCCAUGCCAUUUCCCAUGUCUAUUAUAUGUCCCAAAAAUUACAAAAAUACACUCCUUGUGGGAUAGAGGUAGUAUUUGAAUGUGAAAAACAACGCUCCGGCAAUAGUCCAAUCCCGUUUCCAAUUUUUAGGAUAUCGAAUAUUAGAGCUAUUUGGAACCAAAAUUCCACCCCCUCCCCGCACUCUCAAUCGGCCACUUUUUUCAUAAAAGGCGAUGUGGCACGUCAUUCCUUUUCCUCCCCGCAAAAACGUGGCUCGUUUUUCUUUUUCUCUCCAUGAAAAUGGUGCUUGUUUCAUUUACUUCUCCGGCACGAAUAUAUGUUUUGUCAGAAAAACCGGAGUUGAUUGUCCUUUUGCCGUUGGAGAGUGGCCCCACAAAUGAAUUAUAUUUAGCAUCUAAAGUUUUUAGCAACUAUUUUUUUUGUGAACUGUCGGUGGAGAGGAUCUUUUUAGCUCCCUAUAUUUUGUUAGAAAAGUUAUAAAACCAUUUAUUUGGAAGUCUAAUUUUUGGGCACUCUGCUCUUAAUUCGCAUAGUCAAGAUUUGUUCAGAAAGGCUCUGUUCAACCGAUCAGAAUCUGAAGCUUUCAAAGCAUUCCCAGCUUUAGCGGCUCCACCUAUUCCGUGUGCAGCAAUCUUGUCCCUGGAAUUCUUCCUAUGGUAUGCGCAGCUUUUGUAUCAUCGUGAAACUAUUUUUUAUGAUACAUUCAAUUCUCAGGUAGGCGCAUCCUUUUGAACUGUACCAAUUUAAACCACAACAAACAUUUAAAUUCAAUCAGAAUGGAGCAACCACAAAGAACGUUGAGAAUUUAGAUGGGCAAUCAGAAUCAGGGUGUUCCAUGAACGUUGUGUGCUCCUAAAAUCAUGCGGCACUUUGGUCUUUGGACAGAGAAGAAAAGAGGCAGUGAACAUGAAUUCGAAUAACGCUGUCCUCCAAGGAUUAGAAUUACCGUAUUUCCAAAAGCCAACAAGGACGGGCCUAACACAAUGGUCUCCACGACUCCACUUGUGGCCUAGAUGUCCUGGUUCAUACUAGCCUCCUUGUCCAUUGCCCCCCUUUUUCUUUAAGGGUAUGCUUACAAAAGCUAGAGUGGGUGACGUUGACUUCAUGAAGGCGUUCCUCGCAAUGGCUCAUGCACAACCGCAUUCACCGCGGCGAUCAGGUUCUUGGGCCUGCUGAAGCCGUCCCUCUCAGCGUAGAAAUGGUGCGCUAUCUUGUGCGAGUUCCAGAAGAUGUCUCUGCACGGCCUAGGAAGAACACCUGCCUCGCUGACCACAAGCCUGAGCAGCUCCCUCCGCGAGUCGGCGAUGACCCCCCGAAUCUCCCUCUCCGCCGCUUCGAUGGACGCCGGAGAUACCUCGGGGCCGUCACGGAGGGCGCACAUGCGGAUGCUGUUGAUGCAACCCUCGCUCAUCUCCUUCUUGUGCGUGCGGAUGUCGUUCAGGAGGCGAAUGGUAAUGGACAUGUGCCUGAGCAGAUCCUUGUACUCUGGACCCCUCACCAUGUCCUCUGAAAUCUCUGGCCCAACCAAGUAUAUCGAUGGCGCAACAACGGGGCCAAGCGCAAUGCUCACCUCCGCGACCGCCAUGUACUCUUCCAUGGUCGGCACAUGUCUUGUCCUCGCCCAAUCUGCCUCGACCAUGUAGGCCCUCACCAAGGCAAGCCACUGCACAAACAGAUGAAUUGCAAGAGCAGGCAGUGACUGAUCAAUGUAAUAGCACUGAAAUACACACAUAUAUACAUAUAUACGUAUACGGAAGCCGAAGGGAGCCUUACAACUUGAGCAAUGUGGUCGACAACCCUGCGGUUCUGCACCACCGCACCUUUCGCUGCGAUCUGGUUGUUGGUGUCGUAGACAGCCCGGAAUAGGAUCUCUACAUCCUCAGAGCAGAACUCAAUUCCGGCGUCUGCGUCCCACCUACAACAUCAUAAGAGACAAUGACGACGCUGCUUAGUGAAUCCAAGGCAUCAAUCGAAUUAAGAACAGUGUAUUGUACUACCUCUCAAUCAGAUCGAUGAAGUUCUUUAGCUCCUCUAUUGAUCCUCCGUCGUCAAAGAAGUCAUCAGCUAUUACGGUCAGGAUAGAAUUCUGGAUCCACGCAAUGCUGGCGUCGUAUUGUUCAGGAGGAAACACGGUGGAAGCCAUAAAGACAAAGACAUCCCAAGACAUAACUCGUGCGUACUUGAGCUUGUCCAGUCCAAACUCCUUCGCCCAUCUGUCACCAACAAGUUAGAACCUAAGAAUUCAUCUUUUUUUUAUCUGAAUGUUAGAAGCAUGGAGGACGAUAGAAACGUACGUCUCAAUGUGGUGGAGUUGUUGCUGGUAAAUAGAUUGCGCGGCAUGGAAGUCUUCAGUGGCUAAUGCCAGAAUAUCUUCAGUUGCAUAACAUGCCCUGAUUCAUAAUUUCACAUUCAAUUUACGACUCUUAAUGAGCUUGAAAAAUGAAAACUACACCCUUUUACUGAUAAACAACAAAAGUUUAUUUCGUUAAGAAAGAAGCUCACAAGUAUGAUGAUUUUUGCAUCUGGAUGCCCUUGGUGUUGAAACGUUCAAUGUUCAUCUUGUGCUGUAGUGGUUCCAAGGUGGCCGAGUAAAAUGGAGUUUUAAGAGCAUAUUCCACCUGAAAACAUAAAACGUUGUGUUUUGUUCGAUGGGGGUCCAAUAAAGAAGAUUGUUUUUUUUUGUGGUGACUACCUCUUUAGGCGAUAUUGAUCUUGACAGUCUGUUGGAACACAAUUGCUGCUUCAGUAGUUUACCCGACCAUGCACCGAUCUUUUCUAGAGUCCCCUCAUCUUCCAAGAUACGUACUAGUGAAGCUCUGUACAAUUCGAGCAAAGCCUUGGAAUCAUUCAGAUGCGCUUCAACUGAAUCGUGGAAUCUAGACUCUUCAGCAAAAUGAGACAAUACAUCUGUACCAAAAGUUUCAGGUAGCUGAUUAGCAUCAUGACCAAAUCUCAGAAAUAAACUAACGAAUGCUCGGAUGUUCUAGUCUACAGGUACCAGAGGAGAUGUCAUAUCCGUGCAUGCGUAGCAAGCGGAAUGCCAUUGCACAUGUCUCCAUGUCCAUUGUUAUGUUGCCAUCAUUUUGCAGCAAGGACCUGCAAUCCCCUGAAUCUAGUGAGGACAAAUGAGGGAACGGAUAAUGACAUGGAGCAAAGACUAAAAGAUAUACUGAUUAUAUUACCUGUACGCCAUGUCUAAUAUGCUGUUUAUUUCACAAGAAAAAUGAGAUGAUAUUCCCAUAUUUUCAAGGGUGUCAACCAGGCAAAGUUGUGAAUUUAUGUCCAGUGCUGCAAAAAUAAAUAUUGACAUUAGGCGAAAACUAGUUGCGUUAUCAACGAGUUUCCAAAAAGGCGCACCUGAACUGACGAACUUGUUUCCAAGCCAAGCCGUGUCGUAGGACGAUGGCAGCUGCUUGGGGUCCAGGAGCUCCUGCCGGAUCCUAUUCUCUACCUCUCUCGUGUUCUGUAACGGGAAGGAGCGAUAAUGAUUAUUACCAGACUGCUCAAGUUUCUGGCCAAGAGUAGCCCAUCAUCAAGGGGCAAAACAUUGUCGGUUGAAGUUCUUGCCUUAGGUUCAAGAGCCAUGUCGACGCCUCCAGACACAACCUUGGCGCAUACUGUUUUGAGAAUACCAAAAUGUUCGUUAAUUAUUUGCAUAAAAACAAUGCUAUAUAAGUUUGCAAACUGAGCCAUUAUGUUCGAUCUUAAUGUGCUACUACUUCCACAACUUGUGCCUGGCUAAUUGUAAUGGCAGAAUUGAGUAUUCUUAUAUAUCCUAAGUCACUAAAUAGAAAAUAAUUCUAGUGCAAAUUGUUAAACCUCCGUCCCAAAUUACUAUUCACUUUAGUUUUUAGAUACAAAACAUUUGAUGUAUGUAUGUAUGUCUAGAUAUGUAAGUAAAAACUAUCUAGAAAAGCUAAAACGAAUAGUAAUUUGGGAUAGAGGGGGUAAUUUCCUCCAUCCUCUUACGGAGGAGACUAACCGAACAAGCAAGGAGGACUGAAUACAUAAAACUAGGUGGCGGCCACGUUCCUAUAAAGGCUAUUUAUUAAAUACAAGUUAAUUAGUUUAUGUUUAUGGUCUAAAAAUCAUAUUAUUUCUAAAUUAAAAAUAUUUUUUAGUGCCCCGACGUCCUUUAUGUUAAGGGAAUUUUUGUGUGUGGUGGGGAGGGGUUCGUGAGGUGGGGGUUAGUUGCUUGUAAUAACGGGAUUUACCUUUAACUUACUUUUUCAAUCCACAGGAGUUAUACAUAUUGGUAAUAAAAAAAACUUUAAAAAAGUAUGACUUUUCACGAAUCUAGAUUGACUUAUGUUGGUCAUUAUUGGAAAAAUUAAUAAUUAGAUCAUUAACAACAUGCGAAAUGAGCUUACAUUCCUUGCUCAUGUUUUUCUAUAUUUAUUUAAAAAUUAACAACACAAAUUUUUUUUUCAGUGGUAGAUGAUGUUGCUAUUGGUAACCAGAUGUGAUGAUGCUCGUAAGUGGUAGGUUGUGUGGUGCGCAUGCAUAUACGUUUUUAUUGUGUUACUUUUAAAAGAUCACUAACAACAUGCAUAUAUAGAAGCAGGUUAGCGAGGGACGGAUUACCACGUCGUUGAGCGCGUACGGGCUGGAAACGCUGCGGCCGUGUCUCCGCGGCCCGCCCGAGCAAUCGAGCCAGGGGGAGCGAAGCCGUCGUCGACAUCAUGGCUGCCUUUCACCUGUGUCUCUCUGUCCGAUAUUUGAGCUUGGAUCGAACGACAACCUCUUCUUAUACGAAAGCUGAGGGCAGGUCAUCGCAGGGUUACCAUUUGUCAUCGCACGCCUGAGACCAGCUAGGAGUGAUUAUGAGUGGUGCUCAGUGCAGGAAGAAACGUAGAAGGACACACCGACACCGUACCCCAAAAUUCAGUCAUUUUGACCGGAGGGAGCGAAUAAGCAAACACGUGUGCGUAAAAAGUGGACCACAGGAUGUUAAUCCGAGGAGCGGAGACGAAACCUGAUGUGACCAUCUGGCGUCAACAUGCAUGCACACCUCGGGUACGAGCCAUGCGUUGAAGAAUACUAGCAGACUGAAGAUCGGAUAAUAUUCAAAUCCUGGGAUAUAGCAAAUCUGUUGAAUUGAACGAGACUAUCAAGAAACGCAACAAAACCACCUUGAUUUGUUGUUCUUUGGUAGAAGAUGAGAGGAAGCAAUAAUAUGGCUAUAGACUUUUGGGAGAGGUUUACUAAACAAAUUCGAGACAUUAUUGUUGUUGACAAUAAGGAUCAUGGCCCGAACUUAAUUUCAGUGGGACAACAAUCUCUAGACAAAGCGAGGAUAACUAGUAGUCUGGCGUAGCCAUACGCAAGAUGCAGAAUCUUAUCAAAACUAUCUCCAACCCGGGCUCUCGGAAAAUCACCUUAUUGACUAAGGUGUGACUAUGAGUGUUAGGGAACAAAAAACAAAACCAAGUCAAACACGUGGACACUGGUGCUGAAGCAGUGCUGGAGCAAGGCUAAAUAGCACAUGCCAUGUCGCACAUUUCCAACGAAUUCAAACAUGUGAGUGUGGAAAGUGGACCACUUGAUAUCAAUUGUUCACGAGGAGCACAGAUAAAAACCUGAUGCGAGACGCGACUAUGUGUCGUCCAUAUGAACAAGCCAUAGCGAUACGGUUUUAUUCCUUCGUACUUGUGAUUAUUAGAUGUUUCCUUAGGAUAGUAAAUCUAUUUGACGGGUGUCCGGAAAAGGGAUCUAAGAUGACUGCAUAUGAAAAGGUCAAAGACCCAACAGCGACAAGCUAUUGGAGGCUUAACGCUGCAGCCCACCUCCGACCUCGGGAGAUAAAGAACAUGACUCACCACACUAGCCGGGUCGGAGAAGGGCCCCGGAAGGGGCCCACAACACCUCGCAUGUCCCUUGACUAAGAGCAGCCAGUGUCGUGCUGGGAGCAUUAAAUGCAGGACGUGGACUCCGUGACCACCCCACGUGGGGACGUGACCCGGUGGAGGGAGCCGGCCUUUAGCCAGGGGGUUCAAGGUUGAGGCUACAACCUUCAGACCACCCAGAACGACCUACGGGGCGAGGUCACGCGACCCGUACGUGCUCACGCGCCCCGAUGUCAUCAUCACCCUCCCGUCAUGAUCACUACAAGAAAUCUGUUGUUCUAUGACGAACCAAAAGUAUCAUAAAUGCAUUUUUACGUUAUAAAUCAUGAUUUAUGAUGCUCGAGUGACGAAAAUCCUUCGUUAUUAGUCGAGCGUCAUAAACCGCGACCAGUGAUGUUUCUUAUUUCGAUGUAUCACUAAGAUAAUGACGAAUAAAAAUUCACCCCACAUAACGUCAUAAAACUAUUUGAGAAUUUGCGUCAUGUUGGACAAGAAUCCAACGUGGCUCCGACGUAGCUGUGGUGUUAUGACGAUUUCGAUUCAUCGCAAACUGAAGCCUAACCCAUGUAAGAGGCUUUAUGAGCCUAAUUUUGUUGGGCUAUUUUUAGCCCAAUACAGGUUUAACACAGCCCAUUUUAGGCCCAAUAUACAGAAAGUUCCACUUUAAAUCCCAAUAUUUGUUGUAGCGAGCCCAUUUUUGCAAUUCCAUUGAUGAUUUAUUCACAAAGAUUUUAAGCCCAGAUAUACGUGGUCCAAGCCCAUGUGACAAAUAAUAGAAUUCCAAUCCAAAUUCAUAAUACAUACAAAGCUGUCUCGGGCCAAACCACUUUUUGGUACAGCCCAUUACAUAGAAAAAUUGUACAAAUCAUUGCAGAUGUACAAGCUAAAAAUAACAGAAGAUACACAAUAAACUGUUUACAAUGGUCAUUAACAACUUACGGUUAGCAAAGUAUCGCCUCCCACAGACAGAAGUAUGACCGUAUUGUUCACAACAGACUUCACACCCAUGUACCAAAUUAUUAGCACUGCCAAGAAUGAACUGAGCCUUUUGACUUUCAAAUCUGAGUUGCAAUCCUCUUUCACUCGCAGGUGUUACACAGCCAAGCAUGUCAACCAUAUGUUGAACCAACAAGAACCACCUGCCCACAAUUAAACAUAGUAACAAUUAUAUAACAAGAAGAAUUUUCAUGCUGCACAUCAAACGGUUUUAGUCACUAUGGCGAUGAGAGAAGCUAGAAAAGCAAUGUGCAACAGUUAGAAACCACUAGUAUAUAUAAUUUCAGAGAGAUGGCUUUUAGUGCUACGUGUUUAUAUAUUCACUAUCCAAUUAUCCAAGCACUCUUUCCAAUUGCUAUAAUUCUACUCUCUGAUUCCAAAAAUAUGAGUACGUCAAUAUUUGUGAAUACCAAGAAACGCUUGCACGUUGAUUGAAGUUAAAUUUUCCUCCACAAUAGAAAGUAAAAUGCUGGCCACAUGGCUACUUUCGCCGAAAUCAUGAAGACACCUUUAAUGAUUUUCGAGGGCAAGAAAAAUUUCUUAGAAUUGGGAUUUUUUACAACAAACUCUUAGAAUGAAAGAUUUUGACUAAAGUGGUGUGAGUGGGUUAAAUCGUUUGUACAAGGAGGGAACAUGGGGAUAAAGGUGAAUGAACAAGUUGGACCAUACUUUCAAACUAAAAAGGGUCUAUCCCUAGUACUUUUUAAUAUCGUAGUGGAUAUGUUGGCAAUCAUCAUUGAAAGGGCCAAAGAGGAUGGUGGGUAGUACCAAAUUUAAUUGACAACAGAUUGUCUAUCCUCCGGAUGAUACGGUUAUUUUUAUGGACCAUGAUAUCGAACAGGCAGAGAACAUGAAACUUAUCCUUUGUUCUUUUGAAUAAUUAUCUGGUCUUAAAAUUAAUUUUUACAAAUGUGAAAUAUUCUGCUUUGGGGAUGCGAGGGAUCACUAGUAGAGAACUCACCUUCCAUGCGUCCCCUUUUGUCCCGAUUUAAACUUGACCCGGGACAAAAGGUUCACGAACCGGGACUAAAGCUCGAUCGCUGGCGGGGGCCUCACCAACCGGGACCUUUUAUCCCGGUUGCAAUGGCUAGGCCCUGAGAGGCCUUUUAUCCCGGUUUGAAACACCAACGGGAUAAAAAGACCCCCCUUUUAUCCCAGUUGGUAACACCAACCGGGAUAAAAGUGUCAAGCCUUUUAUCCCGGUUUGUAAUACCAAUUGGGAUAAAAGGGUCCCCACAGAUGGCUAAAAACAGGACUAAAUCCCUCAAAAUCCAUCGAACCCUUUUAUCACGGUUUGUAAUACCAACUGGGAUAAAAUGGGGUCUUUUAUCCUGGUUGGUGUUUCCAUUCAGGAUAAAAAGGUCCCCACGAGUUAAUACAAAACUAUUGCAUCCCUUAUAUAGUCAGAUGUGCUGUGUAGGUGGGAUGGCAAGGAAGCUACGCUCGAGGCUUGAGGUCGUGGGUUUGAAUCCCACGCACUGCGCACGCGCAUAUUUUGCGUGAAAAAUCGCAUGACUUGUGAUCCUCCGGGAUUUGUUUUUCUUUUGCUGCGCCUGGUGUGGCGACCCUUUUUAUUCCGGUUGGUAACCGGGAUAAAAGGGGGUCUUUAGUCCCGGUUGAGUGACCCGGGACAAAAAAAAACCCGUUUUGCUUAUCCCGAUUGAUUUAUCCCGGAUGGAUUUUCGGGAGAUUUGCUCCCUACCAACCAAGACUAAAGGCGAGUUUUCUGCUAGUGGAUGUGGAAACUCAAUAUCGUAAAUAUUUAGCUUAUCUUUUUCAAUUUAGGGAUCCCAAUGCAUUAUAGAAAGUUGUUAAACAAAGAUUGGAGGGUAAUAGAGGACAGAAUAGAAAAAAGAUUGAGGGGCUAGAAAGGAAAACUCCUGUCUAUAGGGGGGCGUUUAGUCAUAAUAAAUUUGUUUCUCUCUAGUCUACCUAUGUUCAUGCUCUCUUUUUUUUAGUCCCAAGGGGAGUCCUUAAAAAAAAUGAACACUAUAGGUCAAGGUUCUUCUUGCAGAAUGACCAACAUAAAAAGAAAUAUAGUUUGGUUAAAUGGAACAUUCUCUGUCAACCAAAAAGAACAAGGCACUAGUAGAGAAUUGGCUUUCGAUGCGCCCCCUUUUGUCCCGGUUUAAAGUUGGCCCGGGAUAAAAGGUUUACCAACCAGGACUAAAGCUCUGUUACUGGUGGGGGGCUCACCAACCGGGAUCUUUUAUCCCGGUUGCAAAGGCUAGUGUGAAAAAAAGAUCCUGAGAGGCAUUUUAUCCCGAUUUGAAACACCAACCGGGAUAAAAGACCCCCCCCUUUUAUCCCGGUUGGUAACACCAACCGGGAUAAAAGGGUCGAGAGCCUUUUAUCCCGGUUUGUAAUACCAACCGGGAUAAAAGGGGGUCAUUUAUCCCGGUUGGUGUUUCAAACCGGGAUAAAAGGGUCCCCAACGAGGUCACUGGAAGAGGAUUAAAUCUCUUGAACCCUUUUAUCCCGGUUUGUAAUACCAACCGGGAUAAAAGGGGGUCUUUUAUCCCGGUUGGUGUUAUAAACCGGGAUAAAAGGGUCCCCCACGAGUUAAUACAAAAGGAUAGCAUCCCCUACACAGUCAGAUGUGGUGUGUAGGUGGGAUGGCAAGGAAGCUACGCACAAGGCUGGAGGUUGUGGGUUCGAAUCCCACGCAGCGUGCACGCGCAUAUUUCGCGUGAAAAAUCGCGUGACUUGUGACUUGUGGGGGGCCUCUUGGGAGCUCGGGAUUUUUUUUUUGCAGCGCCGGCCGUGGUGACCCGUUUUAUCCCGGUUGGUAUUACCAACCGGGAUAAAAGGGGGUCUUUUGUCCCGGUUGAGUGACCCGGGAUAAAAGACCCCACCUUUUGUCCCGGUUGGUUUAUCCCGGAUGGAUUUUCGGGAUAUUUGCACCCUACCAACCGGGACUAAAGCCCAAUUCUCUACUAGUGAGGGGAAUAGGAAUACAAAAUUUAGACAUACAGAACAAAUGCCUACUGAGCAAAUGGCUAGAUAAAUUGUGUAACAAAGAAGGAUUGUGGCAAGAUUUGCUUAGAAACAAAUAUCUAAAGAAUAAAAUUUUAAGCCAAACAAGUUAAAAACCAGGGGAUUCACAUUUUUGAUCAAGUCUAAUCGGGUAAAAGACCAAUUCCUAAAUCUAGGAAGGUCCGAGCUAGUUAGCGGUAACCAAAUUAGAUUUUGGGUUACGCACGCCCCCAGAAGUUAAAGGAUCAGUUGCCUAAUCUAUUUAAUAUUGUACAGCGACAGCAUGCAACUAUUGCAGAUGUGCUUAGCUUCUAACCCACUUAACGUCUCCUCUAGGAGAGCUUUGGUUGGGGAUAAGUUAACCGAAUGGUAUAGCCUUGUUGCAAGCCCUUGUGCAUAUUAAUCUAAAUGAGGGGAUGGAUUUAUUUAUGUGGAAUCUACGUAGGAACAGGAAGUUCACAAUUAACUCAAUGUAUAAACACCUUGUCAAUAACAGUAUUAAAGCUAUGUAAGAAAUUUGGUGUACGAAAAUUCCUCUCAAGAUAAAUGUUUUUAUGUGGUAUCUUAAAAGGGGAGUGAUCCUCAUGAAAGAUAAUUUAGCGAGAAAGAGUUGGAAUGGGAGUAAAGCUUGUUGUUUUGUAGUAAGCCGGAAACUACCCAACAUCUGUUUUUCAAAUGUCAUUAUGCAAAAUUUCUAUAGCGUGCAAUUCACACUGUGUUAGGUAUACCACCACUAGUAAACUCAGACCAUCUGUUUACUAGUUGGUCUAAGCAGGGGGGACACAAGCACAAUAAAAUAUUAUUGAUAGGAGCCACUGCUAUAUGUUGGGCAAUUUGGCUUAUGUGUUUAAUAAUUGCAGACAAAAACUUUUUUGCAUGUGCUUUUCAGGGGGACACAUUGGCUUCAGUUCUGAGCUUUGUUGUAGCACAUUGGCGGCUGAAGGGAGCAGCUUGUCGAGGCAUUGUAGCUUCUAGAGCCAUGUUGUUUUUGCAUCCCACGGAUGACUGAUAAUUAUGUUAAACAGAGUGUGGUUUAAACUUUGAGUGUGUUUGUAAUAAUCACGGACUGAUACUUUUUCUGAGGGGUUUGAAAUUGGAACAUUUUCUAUUAUCUAAAAAAAAUAACGGAAUGGAUAGUGCAUGUAUAAUUUUACACAAGCUCUGUAUCUCAUGUGAGCAGGUAAGGGUUCCCAGAUUAUCGAGGGCAAAAAUGUCGUCACAAGGAUGCAUAGAGGGUUCGAGAGUCACAGUGAUGCGUGGAGGGCCACAGGCAACGACAGCCACCGGAUUAAUGCGGUGGUAGUUGGGGUAUAUAUAGGUUUAAAAAGCUGUUGACUAUAUUCAAAAUUCGUUGUUAGGUUUCAAAAUUCUGAGUAAUAUAUCCCAAACCGUAAUAGUUUCUAAUAUUUUUAAUUUUCGUUUUACUUAUAAUUUCUCCUAAGUUUUCAGGAAUCUACUAAAUACAGGUUUCAAAAUCAUUAUCCAGUUUUCGAAAUGACGAGUGUGUACCGAGUGGAUGCUUUACGUAACAUCUGUCCGAUAUAUGGGGUGACUUAUUGUCUCUCCGAGCCCGUAGCCUCUACGAAAAAAAAACAAAAAUAUCUCAGCAAAUCUAUCGCUGCAUGCAUUUUAGCGGGAGGGUGAGUCGGGGACAUCCUCAUCGGCUUGCAUGGCGCCAUGCAUUGCGAAAAUCACGGUUUGUUAGCUUCUCGCACGGCCUAUAAGUUACUCCACGGCCGAGCACGUUAGCCAGGAGCACACACUGCACCCUACUCGAUCGACUCCGCGUACGUGCAGCUAGCUGCGGCAGCACAACACAGUCAACAGCACCACCCACCAUGAGCAGCAUGCUCCCGGCGAUCCUCCUUCCCUUGAUCUCCCUCCUCGUCUUGCUAAAUGGUGAGGAUUAUCACGUAUUCAUCUUCGCUAGUAUUUCUUCAUCGAUAUCGUCGAUCUAUUAUUCCUGAUUAAGGGUCAUUUGCAUUUGCAUGGACGCAAUUCUUAUGUAUCAACAGCCUCGCACGUCGAGUCUGCUCGGCCGACCUCGGGCACCUUCCAUUGGUACAAUGGGCUGUUCGUGUUCGGAGAUUCCUUCGCCGACACCGGCAACUUCCCCAAGUCAGAUCUGAGCGAAGUGACUCGCCAGUGGUACAAACCCUACGGCUGCUCCCAUGGGUUUCUCCAGGAUCCAACCGGGCGCUUCUCCAACAGCUUGGUUCAAUCUGAUUUCAUCGGUAAUAUAAUUUAAGUUCAAACAACAUUAUCGAUCGAUCUCGUGCACCUUGGACUGAAUUCCUCAUUGUAUAUAUCACUGUUGCAGCAAGGAUUCUGGGGCGCUCCCAGGCCCCGCAGACGUUCAGGGCCACGGAAGGAAACUACCCGGACAAGUUCGGCGUCAACUUCGCCGUGGGUGGCGCCGGCGUGUUCGAGGUGCCGCGCAAAGCGCCAACCCUGGCCCAGCAGAUCGACUCCUUCAAGAAGAUGCUCGACGGCGGGGACAUCGGGAAAUGGCAGCUCGAGGAGUCCGUCGCGCUGGUGGCCAUCUCCGGCAACGACUACGCGCGCGUCGCCAACAUGAGCAGCGACGGCGAGAUCCUCGACUUCAUCGGGAACGUGACGGACGGGAUCGCCGCCGGCGUGGAGCGGCUGCGGGGGCUGGGCGUGACCAAGGUCCUCGUCAACACGCUUCACCCGCUGGGCUGCACGCCGUGGCAGGCCAGGCCGUCCAACUACACCAAAUGCAUGGGCCGUGGCAACAUGGCCGCGGGGUUCCACAACGACGGCCUCGAGAGUAAGCUCAACGCGACGAGCAGCGACUGCGUCUACCUCAUCGACCUCAACCGGGCCUUCACCAACAUCAUCGAUCCAUCCGAUGCCGACGACAGUACGUGCAAUAUACAAUCAAGCAUCUACAAAUCCUUACUUAUUCCUUGCAUGUAUUUCAACAAGCAGGCAUCAUAUAUGUGUUUCGUGUGCAGUCCCGCAGGUGGCGAAGAGGUUCACGGAGAAGCUGAAGCCAUGCUGCGAGAGCGUCGAUCCCAAGGGCUACUGCGGGCAGGUGGACGAGGACGGCGGCGACCAGUACAGCGUCUGCUCCAACCCUGAGAAGCACUUCUUCUGGGACGACGUGCACCCCACUCAAGCUGGCUGGGAGGCCGUCAUGGAACAGCUUCAGCAGGACAUCAAGGAUUUCCUCCACAUUUCCUACUAGCUAUAUGCAAUUAUUAUGCAUGCAGUCUUCGAGUCUGUGUUAGGUUUAGGUACUAUGGAGUUUGGUUUUUGGCACAAGUGCCAUCAAGUAGUUCUAGUUUGUUGGCUGGGUAUCCGUGAAUUAUGGGACAUCUGUUGGAUUACCCGUCGUGUGAUGGAUGCCCGGAUCGAUCGGGCUGUUAUCUUUCAAUGAAUUAAACAUCUCAUUACUUCACUGCAUUAUGAUGCGUAACCAAAUAAUGGCUCGGACUGCAUUGCCUCAGCCUUGGCCGCCACCACGUACGGCUCUCGAACAGUGGCGUAACUAGAAUUUUAUUAAAGGGUAUGCCAGAGCAAAUUUUUUUCAUAUCGAAUCUGGUUCAAUCAAUAUAUAAAGUUAUAAAAGGUAUGAUCUCUCUGUAUACAAUUCGGCAAAGAAUUUCACUUCGCCUACUCUUGUCAUCAACAGCCGUGAUUAUGGUCAAUGGUCAACAUAUAUUUGGGAGAUAUGCUAUUCUCAGUGGAAUGUUUCAUCGUGCUAUUUACAAGACUGCCACAUCAUCUUUAGAUAUUUAGGUUGAUUAAUGGUACAAAUGCACAAUUUUAUUUCAUGGUGUAUGAUUUCAUUUCACAAGCCAUAGCAUUUUUGCGGUGCAUUGUAUUGAGAUCAAGUGUGACAAAUGAAUUAUGUGGCUCAAAGGAAAGUCCAUCUUGGCCACCAAGAGUUCAACCAGAAGAUCCGAUGAAUACAAACAAACACCUCAAGUUACUCUGGAAAGUCCGUUGUGCAAACAAUCAGGAGACCGUAACUUGGAACAACCGCUUACACUCCCUCAUCAUUACUCUUUCGUAGAACUACCACCUUUGCCUCAUCCAAAACUUCUCCAUCUUCUCCCUCUGCCAUGCGUCCUCUUUUGUUCUCCCUCUAUCUUCUUCUUUAUCUAUCCAUUCAAUCUCUCCUCAACAUGGAACCUUCCUAGGCAAAUUUUAUGCUAGAUAUAGUUGUCAGCAUCGCCACUAAGAUCAGUGAUGCAUGAGAUUUCAUCAGGUUCAAAGCAGUGUGCAUUGUCACGAACCCACUCAAUUGGUUCAGUAAAUGGAAGUACAGGAAGGCGAGUUGAGGUUCUGGAUGCUUCUAGAAGGUUCUAGAUACAAGAUAUAGUAGCUGGAGGAAGAAGAGGAUGGGACAUGAACUCUAGCCAAAGCUAGCCUCGAGCAGAUGCUCGCCUCGAGUGUGAACUCGCCGCCGCCGGUUCAGGUUCUGGUCGUUCUACAACCCAAUCAGUUCGACUUGCACCUGUAUUUGUAUUGUGCUGCAUCUCCCGUGGCUUCCUUCAUGGGCCAAGACAAAGUCCAUUGCUAUAGCCCACUUGCUUGCCCAACCCAUUGGCCGGCCCAGUCUAUAUCCAUAGAGGUUCCUGACAUCCUUCCCCCAUUGAAACACAGCUUGUCCCCAAGCCGUUGUUGCAAUAUCCACUGUAAAUUCUAACUCACCCGGAUCCCAUGACAUUUGCAAGAUGUUGAUUGUAAUCUGCAUUAAGGCAAUCCAUUGCAUACUGCCAUGUAUCUAAAACACCUGCACAACGGUUCCUUGCAAUGCUACUGUGUUGUUCAUAAAAUCAAAGAGAAAAGCUUGAUCAGAAAGUGAAAGCAGCCUAACAGCCUUCAACUGAAGUUGUGCCUCCUUGCAAAUUGAAGCUUCAGAUCUAAGACAAAUAGCUGCCACAUGCUUCAACUGUGUAGCACCAGAUAGAGUUACCGAACAAUUCCACAUCUCGACUAAGCAAUGAAAGUGCAUUGUAGCUUCAGAAUCUAGCCAACCCACCUUCAUAAUCACAACAAGUUCUGUUUUCCAUAAAUAGGAUUGACCCUUCAGGAACAAAUGACAGGUCACUAAUCUUCCCCAAUUGCAAAGUAUAUCGUGAAGACACCCAAAGAAGAAAUAUAUGAUUGUACUCGUCAGUUUACUCACUUGUUCAAGUGACCAUUUGUGAUAUGAGGUCUCAACCAUCUGGAAUCCCAACCUUUUGGAGAUAAAAAUAUUCCAGACUUGCAUAACAGACAAGUGAGCUAAAUGUGUAACCAUAUCACCUAGGUCCCAAAGUCUGUGCACUUGUUGCUCAGAAAUUAGAUCUUGCAUGUGAAGUAUCCCACAAUCAGUACACUUCCCAUUAUUCAAUAUUUUCAGCUGCUCAUCCUUCUUAGAUAUCUGCUGCAACCGUAAUAGAAUUUUUGAAUAAUGAAGCAUUUCUACCUAGCAUGAAAUCUGAAUUAUUUCCUUACUGACAUGUAACUGCUUGCAGGGUGCAUGUUUUCUUCUUUCCCCAAAAGAAAAUUUGACCUAAACCAGAAUACCAAUUCACAUCUACAGCACGAGCAUUAGUAUCUAUUUGAAGUGAACCAAAGAGUAACCCCCCAGAGCACAUUUUUCUUUAACAAUCACCAGCUCUUCUCCUCUACAAAUAAUGGACCUUACAGUAGUAGUACACGUACACUUGCAGUGAUCACGUCUAGCAAAGAGCACAUAUUGCCAGCACCCCUUGUUAUCUUCACUUGAUCUGAUUGCAUUUUCAAAUAGCUCAAGUAACCAAUUCAGAGAGCCCCUCCCAAGUUUACCAUCUGAACAAGAAAGCAAAUAAAUCACGCUAAUCUGCUCAUUGUGGAAGCACCACACCGUCCAUGCUCUGAUUCUAGUAGUCAGCAGUAUAUGCAUAGAAAUAGUAAGCCCUGACACUACGCAUGUUUUUUCCAUCUGCGACUUGGCAUAAUAACCACUAAAUGAUGGCCAUGGGCAGGGUUGUACCUCGCCUUUGCUGCUCUCAAGCUCAUUUUGCAUUGUUGGUAUACAUCUACAAACUGGUGGUAGCCAAGAAGAGGUUCUUUGCAGUACUGUAGUUGGAGAAAAGCAGAAGGACGGCCACGUCAUUGAGUGUAGCUCUGCUCGGCUUUGGAUGUUGUUCUCUUUAAUAGGAGGGGGCCAUGGCAUUGGUUGUAGCUUAGUGUUGCUUCCCAAAAACUCUUGCCAAUAACUGAACAUGAUAUGCAAGGUAACCCCUAGAUUGACCAACAAAACAGAAUGCAAGUCUUGUGGCACUGAUUGCAAUAUGGUCCUAUGCAACUCAUUAGAAUUGUUCUCAUGGUAGAAUAUGCCCUUGAUGGCAAAAUCAUUUGUGGACAAAAGACACAGGUUAUCAGGCAGUACCUCAAACACUUGGCUUGCAUCAUGAACAUUGAUGUUGGGACAUGACAGAAACUCAUCAAUUCUUGGAGCAGUGUUGGUGACGAUGAGCAUCGAGGUGGCUGUGCACGAUGUUAGGGAGGUGACUGGAGUGACCGCAGGUGCUAGAACACGCACAUCGUGGUUGUGACCAAGCAUCGAGCACCUUGUGGGCAUAACCAAGGAAAGCUUGGUGAUGCCAAUUGGAACUCCGAGGUCGACGUCCUGGGCUGAGAUGGAGGUCGAGGAAGGCGUUGCUGAUGCCAAGGAUGUGAUCGCCGGCACCUGAAUGCAACCAGCUUGGUAGGGAACCAGCAUCGAACACCUGGAGUGCGCCAUCAAGGGGUGCUUGGUGGUGGUUAUUUUGUCGGCAAGGAAGACAUCCUGGGGCAGGGUGAAAGUCGAGGAAGCAGAAAGCAGUGCCGAUGCCGUAGUCGCCGACGCCGAAUAGUGGGUAGUCUGGUAGAGACCCAUUGUCGAACACCUUGCGAGCAUCGCUGGUGGAAGUUUCAUGUCACGAUGGGAACGCCAGCGGAGGCAUCCUGUGGUGGAGAGGUGGUCGGUGAAGGGGACGAAGAUGCCGGUGACUCAGCAUGGCGGCACAACUGAGCAUUCCUCUCCUCGAUCUUCCGAUUCAUGUCAUACCACUUCUGAUCCAGUUCCUCAAGCUUGGCCAAUAUCAUAGCACACAUCUCCUCCUCCAUUAUCUCCUUCCUUGUCAUGUUCACUCGUAUUCCAGUGCGGUGGCCAGUGGUGGUAUUGGUGGUGGAUCCCGAAUCAAAACAGCUUUGAAUACCAAAUGUCACCAACCCACUCAAUUGGUUCAGUAAAUGGAAAUACAGGAAGGCGAAUUGAGGUUCUGGAUGCUUCUAGAAGGUUCUAGAUACAAGAUAUAGUAGCUGGAGGAAGGAAGAAGAGGAUGGGAUAUGAACUCUAGCCAAAGCUAGCCUCGAGCAGAUGCUCGCCUUGAGUGUGAACUCACCACCGCCGGUUCAGGUUCUAGUCGUUCGACAACUCCAUUAGUUCGACUUGCCACUGUAUUUGUAUUGUGCUGCAUCUCCCGUGGCUUCCUUCAUGGUCCAAGACAAAGUCCAUUGCUACAGCCCACUUGCUUGGCCGGCCCAGCCUAUAUCCAUAGAGGUUCCUGACAUGCAUGUGUUGGAAAUACGCUCGUUCAUUUUGAGGCACGCUAUUUGAUCCUUGGAUUCUAAAAUUGAUGAUGUUAAUGUAUCUAAAGCAGUGUCACACCCGGUUUAAAAAAAAACCAAGUGCUCAGGAUCAAGUUUCAUACAUAAAGUGACAUCAUCAUCAGUGAAUAAUAGUAACAAUAUCACGUAAAGGAAUAUAAAUAAAGACUUACGAAUGUUUCAGAGAUAUACAACUUAAUCUUAGAAAUGAAGGCUCCAAACUUCACAGGCAAUCGACUAGGAGCUGCGUGCGCCUAGAACUCAGCAUCAUCUUCAAAAAACUUCACACACCUUCCUCUUCUAAGCAGUAGUAAGUAAGGGUGAGUACACUUAUAGUUGGUACUCAGCAAGGCCACAAGAAAUACCAAGAAUAACAAUUUAAAUCCAUCUUCAAGUUUAUUAAUCAUGUGAGGGUCCAGGCCGCUCUUGACCGUGAGCACGACUGAUAUAUCAGUUUUAGACACGCUGCAGAGGUUGUACACUUUCACCACAAGUCGCAUAAAAGUUCAAAAGAACUUUGGACCCAACCAUGCUGUGCAAAAGUAGGCACUUGUCAUACUACCGAGGUGUGAUUGCAUAGGGACGCUACGAGGCCUUUACGAACAUUCUCUAAUAAGUGGUAACCCACUAAGGUUUUGGUGUCUAGCGUGCAUAAACCUCCCUAAUGGGCAUAGUGUCUUAGCAAAGCCGUCCCAAGAUGACCGGGCUAUACGACGACUCAGUCCCCCUCUUGCCCUAUCAUUAAGAUUACCCUAAACUAGAGUCUCUAAUUAAUUAGCCAUGACCAGAGCCAUAUAGUUCCUGUGGUUGCACUGUUUUCCUGGGUGGUUCUCCAUGUUCCAAUUAAUACAUGGUAGUCUUGUAAAUAAGCAUAGAUAGAAGGAUGGUUAAGGAUACUUGUCUUUCUCCAAUGAAAAGUUACUCUUACUAAUAUGGUCUGAAUUUUUGCAAGGUGAGCAAGGAUUUCCUUGCUUUUGAGAGAGAGCCAAAUAGGAUCACAUUAUUUGUUAAUAAUCAUCCUAUAUUGAUUUUCAAUCUCUCAAAAAAUGGAUGCACUAUUCAAACUACAUUCUUAUUAAAUGAAACAUAAAAUUUGAUCCAUCUUGGUUUCUAGGGGCAUACGAGUAGGAGAACGACCCCUUGGGAAUGAAAUGAGGGAAUAGCAUAAAUUGGUUUCAAGUAACCAUGCCUACACGAGAAUCAAGGAAGACCGACUGCGUGGACAUGGAGUAUGUGACAUUACACGACGCUGAAAUAUUGACGGUUGCCACAUUAAUUCUCGGAUAUAAAUUAGAAUUCAUUAUAAUUUUUGGGAAAAAUAUGUACAAUAUGUUCGAUCCUUUGUGGGAAAAUGGUUUGAAUUUUGACAAGGUGAGCAAGAAUUUCCUUGGUUUUGAGAGAGAGCCAAAUAUGAUUACAUCAUUUGUUAAUAUUCGUCCCAUAUUGAUUUUCAACCUCUAAAAUAACCGAUGCACCAUUCCAACUACAACCACAUUAAAUGAAACAUAAAAUACGAUCCAUCUUGGCCCCUCGAGCUAUGCGAGGAGGAGAACAACAUAGCAAAGAUAAACGAUUUAAUUAAUCUUAGGAAAAGCUCGAAACUCUUGGAAAUAGCAAAAUGAAAUGAUUCAAUUCGAUUGGCAAAGUGACAAUACACCAUCAACAUAAUGAUCAGAAAUAGCGAUUCUUGGCGAGGUACAAACGUAUGAUCCGUUGUUGGAAAAGUACAUAGGACAGACUAAACUUUUUGUCACAUAUUGAUUUUCAAUCACUCAAAAAAUCGAUGAGAAAAGAUAGUCAUUUGUUUCUAAAUACACAAGACAAGAUAGCCCAUGUUGCUAGUACACAGUACAAGUGAGUCCAUUCAUGAACAUUUAAUAGGAAAUAUUAACUUUUUUGCCACAAUGAGGGACAGUGGGAUAAGAAUAAAAAAAUCACAUGAUAAGACAUGGCAUGGCAGGCUAUCUAUGAUGCAACAUCAUGAUCAGGAAAAACCAAAGCACCAAGGAAGAUGAACAGAUUCUUACCAAUGUCCCAUCGUAGAGCAAACAGAGCAGGAAAAUAGGGGAUUGAUCUUCAAACUAUAAAAUAGGGGAUUUCUCUACUAGAUUCACAGAGCAGGAAAACAGGGGAUCAAUCUUUCUAUCAAAAAGGAAACAGUCCAUUGAUCUUUCCAUCUAAAAGAACACCUAUGUACGUGUAAAAGAAAAUCCCUAAUUGGAGUAAUCUACGACGACACCUCCAAGGAGUUCCCCGAUGACUCUAGGUCAGGACUGGCAAUGGUGGGAGCCGCAGGACCGACAAUGGCGGGAGUCAUGGGACCAGCAUUGAAGUUGAAGUCUACCCACCUCCUCUUCUUGGCCAUCUCCGAGUCAACCUCCUGCUCCUCCCUUCUCUUCUUGGCCCUCUCCUCCCCCUUUCUCUUCUUGGCAGCCCACAUCUUGGCCCUCUCCUCCGCCACAACCUCCGCCAACGCCGCUUCCAACACCUGCGCCGCAGGCACCUCCACCCGCUUCCUUUUCUUGGCCUACCAUUCCGCCGCCGCCAUCGCUUCCUCUUCCACCGCUUCCUCAUCCUCCUCGUCUGAGUUCUCCUCAAUGUAGGUCUCAUUGUCGUCCUCUUCCUCCUUCUCGUACUCAGUCUCCUUGUCGUAGGAGUACCUGGGAGACUUAGGUACAAUAGAGGGCUCGGAUAAGGGGUCAGAGUCAUCAUACGGUGGCCCACCAUCCUCGACAAGGCUACCAUCCUCGUCGGAGGAGUAGUUGGAAGGAAGAGAAGAAAUAAUCGGAGAAUAAGCCAUGGUAGUUUCUGGUGGAAGAGAGCGUGGAGGUAAGGCAAUGGAGGGGUUGGUUAGCACAAGAGGAGGGUACCGGUAUAUUAAUGGCGCUCAGUUGCCAAGGGAAAGCCAAAGGGUCGCUCUUUUGCAAGUAAAUAAUAUUGAAAUCUCAGUGAAUUCCUAUAGAGAAAUAAAGAACUAAUUUGCAAGUACUAGAACAUGGAGAGAUAAAUGAUCGACAUCAUUGCAAAGAUAAACGAUCUACAUAAUCUCCCUAGGGUUGCCCAGGGACUCCCAGUAGCCCUCGAAGAUGUUGAGCGACUGACGCGGUGGAAUAUGAUGACCUCUUUCCGCCACUGCCAGGUGUGAUUGUGAAGGCGGUCAACAUCCUGGGAGGAUGGAAGCACGACGAAGACAAGCUUGGAGGAGGUGUCGUGCGCCAUCCUGAAGUUGUGAUGACCCAGUGAGGUGCCGAUGCAGACCGAUGCGGUGAGCCAAUGAGCUUGGUGGUGUUGCUUAGUGACAUAAGUUGCCACCACCCGGUCAGCAACACCGUUCCAAACACCAAGGUGGAGCAGCACGGCUUGGGUGUCGGUGAGUUGCAGUGGCGGAGUCGGAGCAUCCAUGUUGACAAUCCUGAAAUGCACAUAGAAAUUAGUUUGAUCAAAGAGGGGGUAAGGUAGAAUGCACAUACAAAUCGAUACAGAGACUAGGGAGAGAGCAUUGUACUUGCGUUGAGAGGAGGAGAUGCAGAAGGGUUUUCUUGCGUCGAGAGAAGGAGAUGUAGAAGGGUUUUCCUGUGCUUGAGGCUGUCUGAAGAAGAACUGGAGGGUUGUCGCAUUUAUAACAAAACCACCACUACUUCGCCGGGCAAGUCUCCCAAAACAACCGUCACUGGAAUGUGGGCGGUUGCAACAUUGAUUUUAGAGGAAAAAUAAGAAUUCGUUAAGAAACCGGAUUUUCUACGAAUAUAUUUUGUACGAGACCAGAUUUUUUUGGUCAUGUCUUACAGGAGUAGUAGAGACACUUGCGUUUCUUGCCUAGGUGGGGACGUAUUUUACGGUUUAGGAAAAGUGAAUAGGUCGGACUAACAUUUUCGAUCCUUGUUGGCAAAAAGAUGCUUGGUUUGAAUUUGGGCAAGGUGAGACAGGAUUUCAUAGCUUUUGAGAGAGAGCUAAUCACUUUAUUUGUUAAUAAUCGUCCCAUAUUGAUUUUGAACUUGUCCAAAAUCUGAUUCACUAUUCCAACUACAAUCAGUGGCGAAGCUAGAGCAAAUUGAAGGGGGUGUACUUGCCUUAGGAAUUAAAUGAGGGAAUAGCAUAAAUUGGUUUCAAGUAACUAUGCCUACACAAGAACCAAAGAAGACCGGCUGCGUGGACGUGGAGGAUGUGACAUUACAUGGUGCUGGAAUGUGGAUGGUUGCCACGUUAAUCCUCAGGUACAAAUUAGAAUUCGUUACAAUUUUUGGAAAAAAAUAUGUACACAUGUAUGAUCCGUUAUAGGUAAAGUGAAUAGGAUGGACCAAAAUGCUCGAUCCUUUGUGGGAAAAAUGAUUUGAAUUUUGGCAAGGUGAGCAAGGAUUUUCUUGGUUUUGAGAGAGAGCCAAAUAGGAUUACAUUAUUUGUUAAUAUUUGUCCCAUAUUGAUUUUCAACAUCUAAAAAAACUGAUGCACUAUUCCAACUACAAUCACAUUAAAUGAAACAUAAAAUAGAGCAGGAAAAUAGGGGAUUUGUCUUCCAUCCAAAGGAAACAAUCUAUUGAUCUUACAAACAAAAGAUAAUAGCAUAGCAAAGAUGGAUAGGGUUCCAACAAAAUCUAAAGUUACUAAUUAACAACAUAUCAAAAAUAAAUGAUGUAAUUAAUCUCCUUAGGAUCGCCUAGGCCCUCCUAGAUGUGGGUCUGGAAGAGGUAGAAGUGGCUCACGCGGCAAAAGAUGAUGACCUCAUUCCACCAAUGUCAGGUGUGACCGUGAAGGCGGUCAACAUCCUCGGAGGAUGGAAGUACGACGAAGACAAAGGGGGAGGUGUCGUCGUUUGCCAUCGAGAAGUUGUGGUGGCCAAACAAAACGCUGAUACAGACCGAUGUGGUGUACCAAUGAUCGUACUAGUGUUGCUCUCUGACACAAGCUGCCACCACCCUAUCGAUCUCACCCUCCCGAAGACCAAGAUGUUGCAGCACGGGCAAGGAGAUGGUGGUGACAAGCAGCGGAGGUGCAGCAGCCAUGUCCACGAUCCUAAAAUGCACAUAAAAAUAGUUUGAUCAAAGAGGGGGCAAGGUCAAAUGCACAUACAAAUCGAUACAAAGACUAGGGAGAGAGCACUAUAUUUGAGCGUAGAGGAGAUGCGGUAGGGUUUUCUUGCGCUGAGAGGAGAUGGCCAAGGGUUUUCUUGCACUUGAGGCUGGCUGAAGAAGAACAAGUGGUGGCGUGUCACAUUUAUAACAAAACCACCGCUCCUUCUCCGGCAAGCCUCCCAAAAUAACCGGCUGCAUGGACGUGGAACAUGGACGAUGUGACAUUACAUGUCGUUGGAACGUGGACAGUUGCCACGUUAAUAAUCAGGUAAAAGAAAGAAUUUGAUUCUUGGUGAUGUGGAGACGUGUGAUCCGUUCUCGGAAAAUUGAAUAGGCUGGACUAACAUUUGCGAUCCUUUAUUAGGAAAAAGCUGCUUAGUCUAAAUUUUGGCAAGAUGAGUAAGGAUUUCCUUGCUUUUGAGAGAGCCAAAUAGGAUCACAUUAUUUGUUAAUAAUCAUUGCAUAUUAAUUUUCAACCUCUCCAAAAUCCGAUGCACUAUUCCAACUACAAUGAGUGGCAAAUUGUAGCAUCUAUAGGUUGCAACCGUUGUGGUACAUGCUUUGCUAACAAAACAUCCGAUCCAUAUUUCAAAAUACGAUGUUACAAACAUUAGAGGUGCACGACAGUUUUGUUUAGGACAUAUGGAUGAAUACAUAAGUUAUUACUCACAAAUCAUAAAUGAUUAUGGAGGCGAAGAUACUGCAGGAGGAAUGUUGCGGUUGGCCAUCUAGUACGGCUCGUCGAUGAUCAUGGGCGGCGUCGGCCCGUCGAGCAGGAAAGGGUCCAGCUCCUCCCUCACUGGGUGAGAAAGUGCGCUUGGCCCACAUUGCAUUACUGGCCGACUGGCUGUGGUUUGCAGCGACGCGCGGCCGGCUGUGCUUCGCUCGCAUUCCACCCACUGGACGCCACCUUCCGGUGCCGACGGUGGCUGAUUGGAGAUGGUGGCUGCGGUCUUCUAUAGACGGCGUCAGGGCUUCCCCCACUGCUCCCCAGUGGCCCUGCGAUGACCCCUGCUGGUGCUAUAGAGCCUGUCUUGCACUGCGAUGCCUCGGUGGCACCACAGUCACCGCAUCUAGGCACUGUCGUGGUGCCCAGCGGUAGCGGUGCGACGCGGAGCAUCAAGGACCUCCCUCGUGACCCUGCGGCUUGAACAUGAGGGACAUGAGGAAUGGUGGCAUCCAUUGUUGGAGAUGACAACGGAGAGAAUGAACAGACACCGGGGCGACGUGACGGCUAAUAUGGAGUAGUGAGGUUGAGAUGGCGUUUCUUGGCAAGGUGAGGACGUAUUCUACAUUAGUAUUUGUUAAUAAUCAUCCCAUUUUAAUUUUCAACCUCUCAAAAAACUGAUGCACUAUUCCAACUACAUUCUCAUUAAAUGAAACAUAAAAUUUGAUUCAUCUUAGUUUCUCGAGGCAUGCGAGUAGGAGAACGACCCAUUGGAAAAUAAAUGAGGGAAGACCAAAAAUUGGUUUCAAGUAACCAUGCCUAUACAAGAACCAAGGAAGACUGGCUGCAUGGACGUGGAGGAUGUGACAUUACACAAUGUUGGAACGUGAAUGGUUGCCAUGUUAAUCCUUGGGUACAAAUUAGAAUUUGUUACAAUUUUGGAAAAAAUAUGUACAGACGUAUGAUCUUUUAUAGGAAAAGUGAAUAUGACGGACCAAUAUGUUCGAUCCUUUAUGAGAAAAAUGGUUUGAAUUUUGGCAAGGUGAGCAAGGAUUUCCUUGGUUUCUUAGAGAGAGCCAUAUAGGAUUACAUUAUUUGUUAAUAUUCGUCCCAUAUUAAUUUUCAACCUCUAAAAAAAUCGGUGCAUCAUUCCAACUACAACCACAUUAAAUGAAACAUAAAAUUCGAUCCAUCUUGGCCUCUCGAGCUAUGUGAGUAGGAGAACCACCCAUUGGGAAAUAAAUGAGGGAAAAUUAGAAAUUUGUUUCAAGUGCGAAUAGCCAUGUCUACAUGGGAACCAAGGAAGAGAGAAAGGGUGAGUGAGAGGAAACAGAGCAAACAGAGUACGAAAAUAGGGGAUUGAUCUUUCAACCAAAGGAAAGAGUCCAUUGAUAUUACAAACAAAAGAUAACAGUAUAGCAAAGAUGGAUACGGUUCCAACGAAAUCUAAAGUUACUAAUUAACAGCAUAGCAAAGAUAACUGCAUUGAUCUUCCAACAGUAUGGCUCACUCACCCCAAGCACCCCUCGUAUCGGUCCACGACGUGGUAGUGGCUCCAGUUCUUCUUGUUCUUGCCCCUCAGGGGCGCAGAUGUUGCCAUCUUCAUGAUGUGGUCCUUGACCUCAAUCAGGAUCUUCCACCAGUGCCUCCUGCUAGGGCAAACAGGGCACACGAAGGUGUUCUCACCAUGGCGAAAGACGUGCAAAGCGUCGCCCCGGGGGAAGGGCAUGGGGUAGCCGCGACGACGGUCGUCAGAUGAGUCCGUCUUGGUUUGGGACUCGGAGUUAGAGUCAAAUGCAUCACCUGGAAGGGUCACCUUUAAGGUCAACUUCCGGGGCAGCGAUGAGGGCGCAGGGGUGGACCAAGGCGCCCCGACCAUUGAAGGAGGCUAGGAACACGCUGGGGAGCCCCUAGUGGCGAGCGAUAGUGGGUUGAGGUUGGCGGUGUCGGAGCGUGAUCCCUACGAUGAGCGUGAUGACAAGUUGAGGUCCGCGUUGACAUAGCUCGACGGUGGGUUGAGGUUUGCAUCGAUGUAGCGCUGUAGCACUGCCGAGAAGUUGGUGCGACCAUCGGUGCGGCGGGAGCAUGACGAGAACCAGCCAUGGGAGCGCGACGAGGAGGAGGAGGAGGUACUAGAGGAUUGCUCAAUGCGUGUGGGGGAGCCAGUGUGGGUGAGGUGGCACAACAGGGAGCCGAAGGAGGAGGGGGCCAAAGGGGAGACGGAUCGCUUCAUGGUGUCGGCCGGGCUGCAGGUGUGAGGCGCGUCUGUUAGGGACGAGAUGGUAGUGGAACUAGCGAUGACGCCGAUGGUGGGGGGAUGGAAAUUAAAUAAGAAGUUCCUCACCUUCCAUGGGAAGCUGCGCCGGCUUCCCUAGGAAGCUAGGUAACCGGUGCCUCUCGAGGAUGGCAACCAGCUCCUCGAAGAACGCACAGGAAUAGGAAUCGGCACGGCAACCGCUAGAGGCCGUGGCAUCAAAUAGUCAAUCUGAAUCGUCGAUGUGCAGAUGAACCGCCUCGGUGGCACGUUUUUCAUUUCCAUAAAGAACCAUAAAAGGCAGUUCCUACGCAAGCGUGCAGCUGGUCUGGUGGUAUGGAUUGCCCACCACAAACAUGUGGUGUCGGGUUUGACUCCCAAGGAGUCACUUUUUUGUUCCCAUAUUUUUAUAAAUUUCUCACCAGGGUAUUCCUUGAGUAAAAACACUAACAACUUCACAAACAACUUUUUUUUUCAAGUGCCUCGGGACCAUCACAAAUUGAUAAAUUUAGACAAAACCCAGAAGGUUGACCACAGAUAGGAACAUCACAAAUACAGACAAAGGAAACUAUGUUGAUAUUGUUCACUAUAGCUAAGAACUUUACCAUCUACUUAAUUAGUUUUGCCAUCAAGCAUCAAUCCCACGACAACAAUAAAUAAAGCAAGCAGCACGUGCGCGAGUUUGAGAUUCUGCCUAUAAUUCCCAAUGAACUUCAUGUUGGAGGUAUGCCCUAGAGGCAAUCAUAGAGAUGAUGAUAUUCCAUUUGUAUCCAUGAUUUGUAUAUUGUGUUCAUUGAAUAUCCAUUAAAGGCUACUUGAAUUGAUUUGCAAUUAUGUGAAUUGUAUGUGAAACUCUUUACUUAUAUGGUUAUUCUAAAGUUGUCCCUAGUCGGAGUUCAUGUGAGGACACACAUGAAUAUUAGACUAGCACAUGUAUUAGUUGAUGACUAUGUUUCACAAGUCAUGGACAUGGAGAUGUUGAACUAAUAAUGUGGACACAUGUGGAGACAUGUGCUAGGACUGACCCAACAUGAGAAGUAGUUCUCUCUUUAAACAACAUAUACGCUUUGUCCUUAGACCUGAGAUUGUCGCAUGUAUUCUAGAUGUGGAUCGACCUACUUAGGGGCUAUCAAACGCUACGCCGUAACAGGGUAGUUAUAAAGGUAGCUUUCGGGUUUGUCAAGAAGCAUGCUAUGAGACAUGGUCAAUCAAGAUGGGAUUUGCCCCUCUCUGAUUGAGAGUGAUAUCUCUGGGCCCCUCGAGUGAUCGGAUCCGAAAAUGCAUGGCCAUGCUACGUACGGUUAAGAGUUAACCUACAAAGGGAUUCCGGAUCACAGGAUCGAGAAAGAGCGGUCGGCUUGUAGCUAGACCAAAUAUCGUGAGGCAAAGGGAAUAGCAUGUAUAUUAUGUUGUGAUGGUUCGUCUGAUAUGAUCUUCGUGUGCGUAUAGGAGUUGGCACGUCUUGCUAGAGGCCACUACCGACUAUUGGGCCGAGUAGGAGUACUCGGGCCAUGUCUAUACGUAUCCGAACCCAUAGGGUCACACACUUAAGGGGCUGGAAGCCCAAUUCGGAUCUGAUCCAAAUUGGAUUAGGUUAGAAGUGCUAAUGGGCCUCGGAUCCAGAGGCCCGUCAGGAACCUCUAUAAAUAGAGGGGUGGGGGCGCCCUAGGGUUUACACCUUUUUGGCGAAACACACCUGCCGCGCCUCCCACGCCCUCGCCUGUUGCAACUCGCGGAUCUAGCAGUCCGGCUUGCGACGCUUCCUCCCUGCACGUGUGGAUACCUUGGAGGUGUUGCGCCUGCAGCACUUGGAUGAGCCGCCGACGAGCCACCGACGAGCCACGACGAGCCGACGACGAGCCGCGGCAUCGGAGGCGAUCUUGCUGCACGUGAACGAGCUGCUGAGGAGCUGCUGGACGUGAUCGACUACGUACGACUACGUUGAUCGACUACGUACGACUACGUGAUCGUCUUCACUGCAUCGACGCAUAUCUACAUCUUCCGCACCAGUAGUGCGUCGAGUGGUAAUCCCGUGAUCCUUAUACGGCAGUUCUUCCUGGUUAUACGCGGUAGAAUUUUUGAAUUGCGCUAGUGUAGCCUACCUCGUAUCCCUACACUUCAGCUCUGCAGUAGCCUUUUGAAGUUGUUGCCGGACCGUCUUGAGCUCAUUCCUAAUCUCUCUAAGCUCACUGUUAGCUUUUGCAAAUUCUUUCUCCUACUUCUUUGCAUCCUCCUUAGCUUGCACCUUUUUCUUCAUGAGCUUCACCAGAACACCAAAGGUCCUAUCAUCCCAUUCUGGAUCAACCCAGGUCAUGUAACCGCAUUUCUUCAUUUCAUCCUACAAAUUAAAUGCCCCUUUACAAAUUGCCAUUGACAACAAUAACAUGAAACCACAGAACCAAUAUCUCUGUGAAGCAGGUAGCCAUUACCUUUGGGCAGCAAGCAAACUGAUGGCCAGGGUUGAGAAAGGUCCAAGAAUACUUCACCAUUGCUUUCAACCCGUGAUCGCACUUGCUUUCAGGAUGCCAAGGAGUAGUGUCGCAGGAAGAUGUCUCCGAGCAGUAGCUGCCAAUAGAAGAAGACGAUGGAAGAUGUAACUUGAAAUGAAAGUUUAGUUUUACACUUCAUAAACUAAAGCCUAUCAGCUUCUAACACCAAUCGGAUGCAAACCUAAGUGUAGAACGAAAUCAGAAUCUACUGCCUUCAACAUAAAUCCCCAAUUACAGAAAAUCCCCUUCCCUCUGACGAAAGGGGAAAGUAGCGGCACAAAAAAGGGGACUGACCUGACCGUAGCUCCUACUCCUCCCUUUACUGCUAGGAUGUGCCAUUCUUGCCACUAGGCUCAAGUCUUUGCCAUAGCCAACUGGAGCGUGCUGACGAGUCCCUUGCAGUGUACGUCGUUGCAAAUAUACCCGUUACUUUGGCCUGCAACUGGGAAGUGGACGACAUUCAUUAGAACUAUAAUAUAAAGAAGCUACCUUGUUCAAAAACCAUAAACUGCAUUAUGUCUCAGUGGUACUGCUGACUCAUCAGAAUCAAGAGGUCACAGAUUCAACCCCCUGCUCUGGACACUCUUACCUUUUUUAUUUUCCUCUCUUUUUUUAUCACGAACUGACUUGUGGGAUCCUGCUAGAUUUUAUGAUGAAUUGGAACACUUUAUUUCUCAACUUAUGCUUGCAUGGGGGAUCCCCCUCGAUUUAUGAUGUUUUUGCACACCUUAUUUUUCAACAAAUGCUUACAUGUGGGACCCUAGUUGGAUUAUGACGUUUUCGCGGACCUUAUAUGGUCACAAAACCACCAUGUAACAACAAGUGAUGAUUUUUUUUUGGCUACAAUGGCAACUUUUAUGACAUUCCGUAACUUUGUCACUAAAUUUGGUCGAAUGUGAAACUGUAUGACAUUUUUAACUAGAAACAUCAUAGAUCUAAGAUGAGAACAAAUAUGUCAUAAAAUUUUCAUCAUAGAUGAACACAUUUUUUCUAGUGGUCCUAGAGCACUUGGAGCUGGGUUUCAACUUGAGAGGUAUGGUGGAAUUUACUCUACAUUCAUUCAUCAGUGAUAUUUAGGAGCCUAUUCCCUAGGAAACAGAUCUAGAGUUUCAGAAUAAGAUCAUCCUAUUUGGACCGAGCAAGUACAUUGUUGUAUAAGAGCAUGCCAUUUGUUGCCUGCCUAACCUUUUGGGAUAUCACAUGUACUUCCUAGGAAUGGAGGAUCGAUACCCACUGGUGUCAUACUGGCUCUACCAUCAGGGACUAAAUAAUGUGGCAAGCAUCAUUGAUGAUCGUGUGAUCCGCAUUUCAUAGGUUCUUGCAUUGGGGACUCGAUUUGGUCGCGAGGAACAUGUUGUUGCCUAUAUAUGAUUAGAUUAGUGAUCUUUUGUUUUGUAACACUCAUGCUGCCUGUUGUAUUGUAAGACCAUGUGUUUCAAUAUAUUACCAAUAUCAAUAUUAUUAGCGAUCAUCAAUUAUGCAGCAUUGAACAUAGGUAAAUAAAUAUCAGAGUAUUUGAAAGGUAAAUAUGUUUGAAUCAAAUCGAAUAGCCAUUAAACAAAAGCAGCACAAUCAGAUGGCAUGUCAUAGCAUUCAUCAUUGCAAAGUUCAUAAUCAUCAUUCAUACUUAUCGUAAUUGCUAGAUAAUACCUUCAGCUAUCAAAAUACAAGCACAAUCCCACCUAGAAACAACAACAAUUAUCACAGCAACAACAACCCCAAGUACUACAACAAAAAGCACAAUGCUAGUUUAACAUUAUUGCCUUUAAUCAUCCUCGAUGGAAUUUUUAUCGCUGUCCUGCUGCAGCGAUUUCUUGACCUUCAUCACCACAUUGGUGGCCUGCUCCAGGUAUCACUUGACCUUUUGUAGCUCAUCGACAAUCUCUUUAAGCUCCAAGGUAUCGCUUCACCUUCUUUAGCUCGCUGGCAAUUUCAUCGAGUUUCCUCUUAGCAUUUCCAUGUUCCUCUUCCUAGGACUAGGCAUAAUUAAUCGAGAACUGAGGACUAAACCGAAGAAAUCAAGAACCGAACUGAAAAAAUUGAAACCGAAAAAAUCGGUUCCAGUUUAGUCCCAGGUGCUGGAUAACCAAAUUAAUUAUGCUUAUUUUAGUUUUAGCACUAGGUUAAUGGAAUAAACUAAUCUAACUGAUAUAAUAGAGGCCCAAUAAGGAACACUUCGCAGCCCAGCCCAAUCCAUUAUCCAAAGAAACCCUAAGUAUAUAAUGAGAACAAGCACCAGUCACAACCAACCACCACCCCUCUGGAACUCCCCCACUUGGUUAGUCCUGAUCCCUAGGCGGUAGCCGGUGGCCGCUUCCCUCCAAUGCCCUCCGAUGGCCCCUCCAGUCCUCUAGUACUGGCGCCUCCAGCGAGCCCUCCCCAACCGGCAAGGCGUCAACCCUUCCCGACUCCUCCCCACCUCAGUCAUAGGCAACCAAGCCGAGCUUCCAUCCUCCUGCCCGUGACUUCAUCCUUGCACCGCCUCGGACAACAGUAGUGGCCGGUGGCUCCCUUCGGCAACAGGCCUGGUCACUCAUGUGGCUGCGACGCCUCGACACUAUCUCUUGCAGCCUAGGCAAUGUCGACCCCAACCAGGAAGGCAAUGUGAGCUGUGCGGAGCUCCUCCAAACUUGCACAGUCACCAGCAUCAAUGGUGCCCAUGUGUGUUGUGAUUUUCUUUAUUUGUGAUGAUUUGCACCAAUUUGUGCUAUGUUUUGUUAAAUUUUGGUACAUUUUGGUUUAUUUGCACAGAGAGGAUGAAUCUGUCGAAGUGAAUUUGUUAGUUUUUUGAUGGAGUAGUUCGGUUGGUUCGGUUAUGACUGAAAUGGAACCGAACCAACUCGAGACUAAUUUUCCUCAAUUCUUAUAAUUUUCAGUAAACAAACGGUUCUUAUAUUUGACUAACCGAAUUUUACUAAAACCAAGGAAUCGAUCGGUUCGGUUUGGUCUAACCAAAUGCCCACCCCUACUUCUUGCCACAUACUUGCAUCCUUCUCUACAUCAACUUCACCAGAAUACCCUUAGUCCUAGCAUACCAUUCAGGAUCAACCCACUUAAACACCCCGCAUUUCUCCCCUUCCUCCUAUAGACACCGAUUACAUUUACCUUUAGUCCUAACAUCCCAAGAUCUAUGAGAAUUGAACAAGUUGCCGUUUAACUUGCAGUAGCAUGAACAGCCAUCCCGUGCUCACACUCAUCUUCAGGAUCCACAACGGUAUGUCACGGUCAGGCGACCCUGUUUUGCAGCUAUCAAUGACUCCAGAAGACCAUGGAAGCUAGUAAAAUACGAGAACCUAUCAAUUCAUACUAACAAUCCAAAUUAAAACCUAACUACAUCACAAAAUUGAAAUGUAGUUCCUUCAACCCAGAUCCCCAGUAGCACAACCUGGGGACAAGAAGCCGCAACAAUUGGAACUUGGAGCUCACCUGAUCGGAGUUUGUCUGCUUUUCCAUUUUGGUCCGAUGCACCAUUCCCACCACGGGCUGCCACACUACUGAGCCGUAGAUAUGGGUGUCGAUUUUCGUGUAGAGCGGGGGCUUUUCCCGCGCUAAGCAUGCCAAUUUUCCCUAGAAGUGUGGACUUUUCCUGCGGCAAGUAUCAAAAUAUAUUGCAGCAACUCACCAUAUACUUACAUAUGGGCCCCAAAUAGGCAGGUCUUAUCUACUAUCAUACAAUUUUUAAGGACACAAACCGACAAGCAGCUCCAGCAUAGCGGUUGGAUCAAGACUUUCCCAAUCGAUGGAUAACAUGUUUGACAUGCGGGAAGAGCACCUUUUUCCUCUUAUUUCCCUUCCCUAUUUUUCUAGCUUAUACUUACAUGUGGGACCCUUAUCAGUUUAUGAUGUUUCUAUGGACCAUAAAUCAUCACAAAACCACCGAGUGCUAUUUUCUGUUUGGCUUUGUUGGCAACUUUUAUGACAUCUCGUAACUUUAUCCCUAAAUUUGCUUGGAUGCAAAAUUUUCUAAUGUUCUUAGCAAAAAAUGUCAUAAAUUUAUGAUUUUUUUUGAGAUUUUCCAUACAUUUUUUUUUGUCAUAGAUCAGAAGAUUUCUUGUAGCGUAUGAUUUGUGAACCAUACAUUUGCAGAAUUAAUUCUUUUAGAAAUCUAGAAGGGUCACCCCUACUAGUUAUUUAUAUAGAGAGAGGGAAAACAUGUAUGAUGUGCAUGAAGGGUGAAUCAAGAAACAAGAUAAGGAAACAUAAUAUGAGUUCGUAUACUCUUAAUUUUCAAGAUCUCAACUAAAUAAUAAAAUCGCACAGUCAAUCAAGUUGUCCAAUAAUUUACCAACCAUUAAUGCUAUUUUUAGCAUAAAUUUAAACAUUUAUUGUAUUCCAUCAAAAAAUUAAAAUUAUGUGAACUAUUUUUUUAAUUCUAAAUGCAUAUUUUUAGUAUAAUGUGAUAAGGUUAUUUAUACUUUUAGUUCUGAAUUCAAACAUUUAUAUAUCGAAAAAGUAUUAUAUUUUGAUUGUUUAAUGGUUGAGGAAUUUUAGUAGGCUUAAUUUUGAUAAUGAAUUCACAAAAAUAUAUGUUUUUUCUUUAAGUAUCCUAGUGAAACAAUGUUAAGGAAUGUAUAAAACAUCCUGGAUUGUACUGAUGAGUGAUGGGUUGAUCAUACAAGAGGAAGAUGCGUAGAGUAUACUGGAAUUGCUUGUAGGGUAGUACUCGUGGUCUACAUGUAAUUACUCCACUAUAUUUGUAGUCAUGAUCUCACGGGAUGUUUGCUUGUAGCCUUGGAUCCUUCUCUUUUCCUCCUAAAAGGACAAUUUCAGUUUCAAACUUCAGGAUGUUUCCAAUUGCUGUUAUUAACCUUUUUCCCCCUUGGUAUUACUCCAGCGUGAUGUACUUUCUGAAUCAUAAUAUUCAAUUGCCUCAUCCUACCUAGCAGAUCUAUCCCCCCAUAGAGAUCGAAGAAUGGAUGGAGAAGAUGAGGUAGUUUUAGUGGUAUGUGGCGAGGAGUGUGAUGCAGCACCAAUGUUUGACAUCAACACAGGAGAGGAGAUUCUUCGCAUGCAUGACUGUCUUGCCCCUCCAUCAGGUCUCGCUUGUGUUGCGGGAUGUCUCCUUGCUACAUCUCGACCAGACAAGGAUCAACUAGUGUUCGGUGGUGCUAUCUAUUUUUGGGAUCUUAAUAAGGUACGUGCUGAUUAGACCAUACUUUCAAUAAAAAAGGAGGACAUGCAAAUAGGUAUAUGCCACAUGUAUGACGGCAUGUUGUCACUCCAUGGCUAUCAUAAUAUGUUCUUAUCUUGCUCUAAUACGUCUAUAGAGUAAAGGAUUUGAUUAAGAUUUAAUGGUUUUCCAGCAUCAUAUUGCGUUUCCCCUUUUUCUAUGUUAGAUUAUAAGUUUUUAAGACAAAUAAGUCUAUGGAUUCAGGACUGCAUUAAUUUUUAGUUUAAUAUUGCAGUAUCUUAUAUAAUUCAAGCUGCUUACAGUUGUAUAAUCUCCUAGGUUCUCUUACGAUUUGCAAUGUAAUGGAUCUGGUCCAGUACAUCAAAUCACUUAAAAAAAUUCUAAAUCUCUAGAUUAUGUUGAAUUCAGAGGUAAAAAUACUUUAGGUAAGAACUGAUAUAGCAUAUCCUCAUCCUUUCCAAAAAGUCAAGAGUUAUUUACAUCACUAUUUGCAAAGAUUAUUUCUGCCUAAACCAAUAAGGGAAGAUGAUCCCAUUAAACUGAACUACCUAUGACAGUUUCACAAUCUUACAGUUACUAACCAAUGACUCCUUUUAAGGUCACCACAUAAAUCCUUAUAAGACACACUAGAAAAAAAAAAUCCUAAAAUCAUCACAAAAGUUAGAUAUAUUAGGUCAUUAAUUCAGUAGACUCUAAGCAUCAUUGAACACCUUUGCGAAAGUUAGAUAUAUUAUUCAUUACGAAAAUAGUCUAAAGGAAUCACUUAAUAUAUAUCUAAAUUACCCAACUUUGCCAUUAUGAAAAAUUACCUCCUAAUAUUAAUAUAUGCCAUUAUAAAAAUAAUAUUAAAUACCCCCUAAACCUGCAUAUGCAUUACUACCUCUGCAAUUAUUAAAAAUAACUUUGUGGGGGAAAUACUAUGUGCUGAAGUAAAUAGUCGGUGUGGGAUGCAUAUCUGUUUUUUUGAAGAAAACAAAUGUGUGUGUGUGUGGUGGGGGGGGGGGGCAGCGUUGGAAUGCAUAUCUUUAGCGCACCAUGACAUAAAAAAGUUUGUAAAAUAAAGAUAUUCCUAUGUAUAUAUAAUUAUACAUUGAUUUAUUACGUUAUGUUUCCAUGGUUUUUUCUAGAUCCAGGAAACCAAUAAAAGUUGCAUAGGAGAAGGGAUUGGACCUAUCACUUGCUCUAGAGAUGGGAUCUACUUAGUUGGAGGAGCUCAUUCUGGCAAUGCUUACAUUUGGGAGGUAUUUAUCUCUGUAAUUUUAUUAACUUAUACAUGGAACAAAAAUCAUAACACUUAGCCCUUUUUUUAGAUAAUGAGUAUAUUUCCAGCUUUAGACAUUUUCUUUUAGAGUGCAUCACACCAUGAUUCCAGAAUACUCAGCACUUCUAGAUUACCUUUAACAAACUCACAUUACUGCAUACUCCUACAUUGUUACAGUUAAAUUAUAAUGCAUCUGUUUCAAAUCGUAUAUCAUUUUGACUUUUAUAUACAUUAUGUCUAGAUACAUAGCAAAUUCUACAUAUUUUGAAAAAAACCAAAACAACCUACAAUUUGAAAUGAAGGGAGUAUUGUUUUUGCUAACGGCUGCCAAAGGCUGCGGUGGGACUAGCCGCCAUAGCUGUGGUGUCGCUAUCGUAGCUGGCGCUGCCCUGGCAAAAUAUCUCUUUCAUCGUCCCCAUCUCCAUUCCGACUCCCAAGGUAAGCGAGGUGGAGGUGGGUUUAACUGGGGCAUUGCUAGCAUGCGAGUAGUACAUCAGCUCUCCAGAUGCAAUACUGUUUACAUCAUCAAACCUAACAAGAUCAUAAUCAACCACCUAUCUCUGAUUUACCUUACCACUCAUUGAACUAAACACGAUCAAUGUCUUGCAUGCUAACUUACUCUGUUUUUUCACAACUUAACCUUCAACGUCACAAAAAUCCAGUAUCAUGAUGUAAAAAUUAUUAACUAUAUUCAUAAAAAAUAUCUUUUAUAAAAUAUUGGCUUGUAUUAUUCUCAUUGACCGUACAAACAUAUGAAAUACUAGUUGUCAAAAUCAAAGGACCAAAGUGACUAACAUGAGGCCGUGAUCACUUUGAAUUAUUCACUUCAGGUUGCCACUGGAGCGCUCCUAAAAUGUUGGAGGGCACAUAAGAGUUGCAUAAGUUGCUUAUCAUUCUCGCAGGACAGUUCUCUUAUCAUCUCCGGCUCUGAAGAAGGCACAGUCCAUGUAUGGUGCAUGAUCAGGUUCGUCUGCUUCUGUUGAAUGAAUUAGGUAUUUUAGUACCAUAUGAAUGCUUCAAUGUUCAAUAAUUUGAUAAUUCAUUUGUCUCUUCAAUGUGAGUUUACAGCUUAUUUCAAGCUGAAGGACCCCAAGCUCGUGAAGCUGUAAAUUACUGCCUCGAUUUUAGUGAUACAGUUGAGCAUGAGGCCUCAAUAACUGGCAUUCUAACAAUUCUAGGAGGUCCUUGUCCAAUGCUGAUAACUAGCUCGCUUGAUAGCAGUUGCAAGGUUUGUGCGCCUCAAAAUGCAAGAUUUUGUGCCCUUUAACAUAAUUUCUGGUUUACUUACAGCAUGAUCCCUGUAUCAUAUACCAUACUACUUGUAGCCUCUAUAACACAUUAAAUAUUAUAUACGUUAUAGAAAUUGUUAGAGAUCAGAACAAUAGGGUGUUGCUUUCCGAGGGAGCCUCUGGUGCAUGGCGGUGCUAACUACUAAGAGGUUGAGAGCAUUGUGGCUUUGACAUGUGUCUUCGUCACCAGUCGCUUCACUAUUUAUUUCUGUGGUGCGACUCUAACCAUAGACCGGAGUUGUUGUGUGUUUCUCUUUUUUUCUUGGGAUUGUAAAUUUAUUGUUUUCUUCUACUUCAAUACACACGGUUUUCCUAUGUGAUCAAAGCAAAAUAGUAGUCCAGAAAUUCAGCCAUAUGUUCUGACAUAGUUAGAGAGAAGAUGUCUGUUCUUCUUUUGAGAAAUUUAGUUUCAACUACUUUGAAAUUGAGUAGACUGAACACCCUUUUUAGCUAUGGUUUUCAUGCCAUCUUGGACCUGAUGUAUUCCUUGAAUAUGAUUUAUUUUUUACUUGCCACGAUAUGAUUUGAACAAUACACUAGGCUGAAUGUAUAACACACCUUUCUAAACAUCUUCCAUCAGAAUUGUGGACACUUACCGUGAUGAUUGUAGAUCUCUGAACUUCUGUCUGGAAGACUACUUGGCAUGCUGACACUCUUCAGUCCAAUUACCACAACUGUUAUUGAUCCAUCGGAGCAAUUACUGAUUUGUGGGUCUAGUGAUGCUGCUAUUUAUGUCACUGGAAUCAAUGGUAUUGGGAUGCAGUACACAACGAAAAUGCUGUCCCAGGAUGACUGCCAUGUGCUAUAUGGACACAAGUGAGUAUUAUUACAGUAUAUAACAAAAUGUAGUAUCUUGAAUGACAUUUUUUUCUGUCACAUAUACUAUGUCAAGAAACAUGAAAAGGGUGCAGAAGACCCAUACAAAAGCAAUGUUGUCAGUCAGAUGAUGUGUAUGCUUCUAAAAAUUCUGAAGUUAACAUAUAGUAUCAUAAAAUGCUUUGCAUUGAUCAGUUAAUACAUAUUGGCAUGGUAGAUUCCUAAACUUACAGAUUCAGUAUUUGUUUCAUCAUUUAAACAAUCUGUUCAAACCAUUAUUGCCCGUUGAACUUCAGACGGAAUGACAAGUUGUAUUUUGUUAUUCAACAGGGCCCCAAUUAGUGCAUUAGCAUUUAGUUCUGAUGGAGCAUGGCUGGUUUCUGGAUCAAAGGAUUGCACUGUUGUAAUUUGGGACACAACAACAUGGAAUGCAGUUAGGAAACUGGGAAACAAAAUGGGUGAGUACUUGUACUUCGCAACAGGUUACAGCUCACGUUGUGUAUGAUUUUACUUCCACAUAAUUUUAUUCUUCUGAUUUUGUCAAAACAGGGCCAGUAACAAACUUGUUAGUGAUACCAAAGCCAGAGAGCUCAAGGGUCCAUAAAAGGAAUUAUCUUUCUCUGGAGAUCCCUACGCUUGAGAAGAAAGUUAAACAAACCAAUGAAAUGCCAAUAAUUUUACAGCCCUCUAGUUUCCCAAAAGAUGCUGAUUCAGCCCAUGCAUGUUUUCAUAGUUCUGACCUUCUGAGCAAGCAAAUAUCGGAUUUGGAGGUAAAAUAAAAGGCCUAUAUGUAGCAAUAAAAAUUAUAGAGUUAUUUGUCGAGAGCAGUGACAAUAUUGUUUCUUUGUACUGUUGAACUAGGGAAAGAGAACUCCUGAGGCAAUUGAAAUGGCUGUUGCGAUGACAGUUCAUGAGCAGACAAAAGACCAAAACUUAGCAAAGGAGUUAAGCUCUAUGAACUCGGUACUGCAGUGCAAGGCACUAAAGGUGAUGGAGGUAAGGGCAUCCUCAGAUUAACUCUGCGGGAGGCACCUGAUUCUGCAAAUGUUUGAGAAUUGCGAGCAAUGUGACAGUUUUAAUUCAACAUAAUUUCUUUAUAAAAUGAAUUAUAUAUUGCGGUGUGUUUUUGUUUCCUAUUUUACACGUGCUCUGCUGAGUGGGGUUCAAACACAGGUAGGAGUAGUUCUGUUCUUCUUAUGAAAUAGAAAAUGAGAGUCCCACUAGCUAAUGUGGGGACAUAACAGGAUGAUAAACAAUCAUUUAUUCCAGACAGAAACCCCAUGUUCAGGAGCUAGUUAACAGCAUGCACGCAGGACAAGGCUUAGCCGGUGCGUGAACCGUGCCAGCCAGUUCUCCGGGUAGGGGAGUGUUAGAGUCUGCUGGACCAGUCAGGGGCAAGGCUAGGCAUUGAUGGGUCCCUGAGCAAGUUUCCUUCAGCAGUUUGCAAAAAACACAAAACAAGGGAAAAUGCGAUCACCAAUGACGGUUGAUGGGGAUGGAGCAAGGAGUGUGCAGUGGCGGAGAAUAAUGUAUGCUGCUGACUGCAGUGCUCACCGCUCAGGGUUGCCACGAAGAAUUCUUAGCCAUGGAACCAACGGACCAGUGGAGCAGGCUACCGUUGGUGUAGCUAUGGACUUUCAGACGCACUCGUUCUUCUUCUAUGGACUUAAAAAGAGAGAUUAAACUCCACGGCAUGGCACAACAAUUACAAACGACUUGUCUUCCCCGCCCACCGUCAUCUUUACCAAGGAUUCUGUCGUCCAUAAAAGAAACCCAUGAAAACUCCUUCUCAACAAAGGGUCUAUUCUCUAUUGCAUCUCAACCAUGAUUAUGUGCCUGCCUGUACCAAACCCUUAUCUUGCCCGUACCAAACUCUCACCUGAAGAAUGGCUCAUACAGGGCUGGGAGGAAAUGGACAAAUGAAUGGAGGUGAAUAUUAUUAGUAGGAAAGGUAGGAGGGGAGGGCCAAAAAUUGCUAUAACUAAAUAUUCUAUUAGCAAAGGCACCAAUAGGUUACAAAUAAAGAAUAGCUUAGCUAUCAUACCCACCUCGCAAGCAGCAAGCUGCGGUUAGUCUAUUUCAUAUGGAGUGCGUCUUGCAAUGCCCUUUGUACCAUAUUUCAAAAAUAAAGAUUACAAUGUCAAGAAGAUUGGAGCUUGAGCACAUUAUAGCCUCGUUGCAACCUUGAUGAAGAACCUUGAAGAUCCAGCCAAGUCACGAAGAGAUAAACCUACUCAGUGAGGAUCUGAAAAGUAUUUGGAAGGUUGCAAGCUCAACUACUAAGCGCUCAGAGGCUUGACUAGAAAGUAAAGUAAGAAGACAUACACCUACUAGAAUUUUCAUGUAUUCCUACUUGGACUUGUACCUUGUAACCCUACUAGGACCCUACAUUGUAACCAUCUAGUAAUACUGCCUCCUAGGAUAUAUAAAGGAGGAUAGGAAUCCCUAGAUUGGCGACACCAAACUAGACCAAGAGAACCAAUGAGAGACAUCUCAUACACCCAAGUGCAGGGUGCAAUAUACUCCACUCAAAGAGGACGUAGGUUAUUACACUACUUUGGCAUCCCAAACCUAUAUAAUCUAUUUCUUGUUUCCCCUACAUUAACCAUCAAGGUCCAGGUCCGAUGAUUGCACCUCCGAAUAAUCUACUUUCCCGAGUAUAAAACACCGUUAGCAUCUAGAGGAUCCAAAAGGACCAAUAGACACCGAAGGCCAAGUCCGUGAUGAUUAUGUCCCACAAACCUCUCUGCACUAGUAGAGAAUUGGCUUUCGAUGCGCCCCCUUUUGUUCCGGUUUAAAGUUGGCUCGGGAUAAAAGGUUCACCAACCGGGACUAAAGCUCGAUCACUGGUGGGGAGCUCACCAACCGGGACCUUUUAUCCCGGUUGCAAAGGCUAGUGGGAAAAAAAGAUCCUGAGAGGCCUUUUAUCCCAGUUUGAAACACCAACCGGGAUAAAAUACCCCCCUUUUAUCCCGGUUGGUAACACCAACCGGGAUAAAAGGGGGUCUUUUGUCCCGGUUGAGUGACCCGGGAUAAAAGGACCCCCGUUUUGUCCCGAUUGGUUUAUCCCGGAUGAAUUUUCGGGAUAUUUGUACCCUACCAACCGGGACUAAAGGCCAAUUCUCUACUAAUGCUGGAUGACAAGAGAAUUCUUCCAAUUCCACUAGCACGAUAGAGCCUCGUCGUGCCAGGCUGCAGGCCUACACAGCUUAUUCCAAAGGGAAAUUCUCAGCCGCGAUGCCUGGCGCGGCAACAUGGCCUUGUCAUGGCAGAGGCCUUAGUGUGACAAGGAGGUGUUGCCACACCAUGCAAUGCGGCAGAUCGUUCCAACAGGAAUUACUUGGCCACAUUACCUGGCAUGGGAGCAUGGGCUUGUCGUGCCAACGCCCUUGGCACGGCAAGACCUUGUUGCCGCACCAGGUCGUGCCCUAUGCAUAUUGUACUUUGGACUGAUUUGCUGCACAAAAGACAAAUUUGCGGAUGCCUUCCUUGAAAGGUUCUUAUUCGUGGAAAGUAUGUUGAGCUUACAUGGCCUUGGGUAGGCCAUGCAAUUCUCCUCUCAGCACCUUGGAGACGUAGAUCUUGUAGGUUUCGGUGGACCGCCAUUGUAAAAUCAUCGGAUCCCCCUAUGGCAGUGCGGUAGGUAGCCCAAGCAUGCGCCUUGUGCUCGGGCCACGUGGAGGACUGUCGGAGUGAGCCUGAUCAUGUUCAGAUAUCUGGCCCACUCGCCACGCUGCAGCCAUCCUCAAGGCUGGUGGAAGAGGUCUUUGAUUUUAAAGAUUUAUUCUUUAAUUUACUGGUUAUUAUACGAUUUACUAGCAGUGGCCAUCGGUCAUGUUCUUAAACCAGGAAAUAAAACUCUCAGAAACAGAUUUGCGCAAAACAUCGUAGUAAUGGCUGUAGCGGUACAAGUAUGUAAUACAAGUAUAAGUCUCUUGUCUUGUAGUAUUCAAAUGAACAAGAGAUUUUUUAUCAGAGGAUUCAUAUGACAUCUUCAUUUACUGGAACUGGGGGCUAUUCCGAAACGACAUCCUCGAAUAGGACCUUGGAGAUGUGACUAUCAAUUGUUUCAGUUGAGCAAUAAGAAGCAUAGUAGUAGCUCUUCGCCACGUGGAGAAAUGUCUGCCUGGUCACCCUGUCGAUAGAGUCGCAGCUCUGAAGAACAGAUUGAGCCAGCUCCUUCAUCUCCAAAUCCACUUGACUGACUGAAUUCUCAGAUUUCUUUAAUCCUCCAUUCUAGUUGACCAUUUUUGUGGGUAAGUUGGUGGAUAGCAUACGGUUAAAACUGUUACAAUUAAUUUUGUGAUGAGAAUCCUCAUACCUGAACAGGAACUCUAGAAGUCAGUUUGCUGCAGAUGGAAGACGUGAGCCUCUCAAGUUGGGUAUACUCCGAACGGUUCACAUCAUGCUCCUUCAAACUAUACCUUCCGGAAGCAAUCUCUACUGUACGAACUAUCAACAAUGCUGUAUUCCCUCCACAUGAUUCAAAUCCCUCCUUUGCGGUCCAUGACCUAAGCCACUGCUUCCACUGCAAUAAUAAAAAAAAGAAAUCAGCGUUCCAUUUCCAUUUCUAGAUAUAGGUUACCAUCAUCUGGUUGCAAAAUAGUGCCAGUUACCAAUAACUUUAUCCUAUCCUAGUCUACUAUUUGAAUGUGGGUAUUUGUUUCAUCUUACAGCUUCACGAAGACAGUGAGAAGCAUUCUCAGACGAAGAUUGGUCGAUAAGUUCACCAAUUGCACCCAGGAGGGCUUUCUUUGGAUCCUCAUUUACCCUGCAUCCAACACAUACGCCCUCAAUGUUAACGAGUGUUUGGUCUCCGAAUCAUAGAAAAUGUCAUAAUAAGAGGCAUGCCGGCGCCCAACCUAGUUAGUGCAUCACGGCCAUGGUUCUCGAGCUCACUAAUUGCGCCGUGAACCCUUGUGCUAACAUCAGAAGCUUUGCGUCGCAAGUGCAAAGAAACAGCCUCGGCGAUCACCGCCGUGCGCGCCCAUGCGAGACGCUCCGCUGCUCGGUCGGGCUCGAAGAUGCUGGCUGCGGCUUGGAAGUAGGCUCUCAACACGCACUUUGGCUCCACGCCGAACGCUGCAAGCUUGUUCCUGUCAUACCACCUGCAUAGUCGCAAAGAACAAUAGUAUAAGCACCACCAAUUCGACUAUCUUCGAAGCUUCUUUCAACUGAACUUCCAAAGACGUGCAUGUCCAGGUAGGAACCGAAGCUCACUUUCUGAGGCCAUUCCAUUCGAGUCGGCAGAGUUUCUGGAAACUGCGAAAAUCUUCCCUUGCGGUCUCGAGGAACAGUUCGUUACUGACUAGGAGCAUCCUGCAAAAUUUUCGAAGCUAACCGGUGAGCAGCCGUUCAUGUUUGGGCAUUAGUUAGGGGUGAGUUAACCGAUCGAUCACCUAUAGAGGACCUUCCCGAUCCACACAUCGGCACUGCCACCGUACUGCUCCAGAUACAUCCUUGCUUCGAUCCGGGGCAGGCUUGCUCUCCAGGGGAAGUCCAGUGCGUAGCCGACCUGCCAAAAUCGACGCGAAAAUGUAUAGUGCGUGCAUAUUUAUCAACAGAGAGGGGGACAAAGUGGCCAUGUAGCACUUGGAUUUUGGUACCUCGCCAGCUAAGUCCUUGGGGAUGACCCAUUUGUCGCCAAAAUUGCCGGAGGCUCGCUUCUCUUCCAGGAACCCGCGGCAGUAGACGUCGGCCCGCUCAAGCUCGCUCUCGCCGGGGAAGGAGACCUGUGCGGCACGGUAUGUGUUGUACAUCGCCGUGAUUGAUUUGUUUGUCUGUCCGUGGUAGCAGACAAACUCUCCAUCCUUCUCGAAAUGCUUGAACAUACCUGGCAGUGGCAGUGAUCAAAAUUGAAUACAUCAAGGUUUCGAAUAUUGGUGCCAUGUGAAUUAUAUUAUACACGCGCGGCAUGAAAUAAAACAACGGAUGGAAUAGUUAGUAGUGUGGAGCUCCACAUACAGGGAGACAAAAAUAAUCCCCGAAUAACAGCCAAACUGAUACCGACAUUUUCUCUGCAUGCGAUUUUGGAUCUGCCAUACGAGAAUGACUCAUGGAGUAAAUUUGUCCAAGAAAAGCUCUGGUACUUCUACUAUUUUUACCAGAUUUUACAAAUAUGUUUCAAUACAAACUUAAGUGGUGUUUAAAGAUAUAUGUUUGGUACCAUUUCACGUCACAACCAGAUGUGAUAGCAACAUUUCCAUGGUUCUUAGAUUUUUUUUUUGUUGAAUAGCCGAUGACUAUUUGUCUUCUUUUAUGAUUUUUCAAGUAGACAAGUUUUUUAAAGUUUUUUAGCCUAAUUGAAAAAAUUCAUGAGUUAUGUAUUAAGUGAUCCAGUGGAUUUUAGGAAAACAUUGGUUGCUUUCUCUAUCGAGUCCAAAUUAAACUAGAAAACCCUUACCUCUUUAUUAGAAAUUGUGAAGAAUAAUGAUAACCCACAUCUAUUUGAAAUGAACACUAGGAAAAUCUUAGCGGGAAUAGUAAGGUUACGAGUCGUACAAUGCAACACGAUUCCCUUAAGCCUACAACAUGAUUCUUCUUGUAGCGGGAAUAGUACGUAUAGCAUUUUUUCUUGAAGAACUAAAAUACUAAUGCCAUGACAUACACUAUUCCCCAAACCGAUUUUAGCAAAAAAAAAAGUAGCAGUUCCACCAAGUUGCCAAAAUACAAGACAACUCUGAACCUUCCUCUUCCCUUUAUGUAAGAUGCCAUCUUAUUAUAUUAGAAAUUUCAAAGAAAUUCUUCUCGAUAAAACACCCGUAAUCUGCCUAGGGAACUGACAUUUCCAAGGAAAAAUUCACACUACUUACUUGGAGAGACAUAGUAGCCAUGCAACCGCAGUAGACGAAAACCCAUGGCUGUGUCAUCGAUGUCAUUAACCGGACAAUCCCUUGUAGCAGCCAAGCCUUUUUGAGUCAAGUGCCUGUUAAUAUAUAUCGUGUAAUUUGUUUAUAUACAACGGAUUGAAUAUAUUGGCAGGAGAUUUUUGGUAAAUUUAAGAGAAAUUAGGCUGAAAUUCUAUACUUCUUUUUUACAUAUUUAUACCUGUAGACAUAAUCCAAGCACUCUUGGAUUUCACUUGUGAAGUACCUCGAAAUGCCUAGUCGCUCCAACCGAUCAACCACCCAUAAGCGCUCAAAGAUAUCGACAGGAUAUGUAAAGGGCACUAAAAUGAAAUGAAAAUUCAAACAUAUUAGUAUUUUUCAAAAUAAUUUGUUAUGCAAUGUAUACCUUGGGUCUAUAUCAAACUAGGUUAUAUUUUUUUUAAGGAUUCCACCAAAGUUGAUAAAGGAAGAUGGCACACUUAAUCCGUAAACAUAACUUUUUUUAUCAAGAUAAAUCAGCAGAAUGAUUUUUCUACUAGCUUUGAGAAAGCCAAUGGAGAAACUUCAUGAACACUAUAAGCAUUCUCAAAGUUUGAGGUUUGACCGAUAGUAUAUAUACUUAAUUACAAAUAUAAGCCGAUUUAGGUUUGUCCUAAGUCAAACUUUAUUUCUUAACUUUGACCAUGUAUAUCUGAAAUUUAUAUAGAUUGACAUACAAAAUUAACAUUAAUCGAUUUAUUACAAAAACAUUAUACAUAGCUCAUUUGAUGUAAGAUAAUAUACUUUUAUACAUAUUGCUAGUUAAAGUUUAAAAGUUUGACUUAGAACGAACCUAAAUUAACUUUUAUUUGUUAUAGGUAAGAAUAUAAUAAAAAUUCAAUAUGCUUAGGACAAAAUUAAAAUGCAUUAAGGUGUUUUUUUUGAAAAUGCACCCACCCUCGUAGUUAGAAUCAGGAGGCUUAAUCACUUGCAACAGACUAAAUCAGAUGCAAUUAAGCCGAACAAGUAGCGGUACGCGUUGCAACUAGAUACAAGCCUGUUGCAACUAUACACAACCAAUUGUCUGGGUGGGUGCAUUUUUAAUUUAUACAGAGUGGUACCUUGUGCAUUACUCACAUAUAUAAUAUUUAAAUAAAACAUUAAUUUUACCUCCCUCCUUGAAGUUAUCGACAAUUUCUUCAAGGAAUUGAAGGCACUUCCUGUCCCCAGUUUGCAUAAGAGCAUAAGCUGUGGGGGCAGGUGAUGACAUAAAGGAGCCAUCGGGACACUGGAGCGUUAAAAGCCUUUCCCAGUCUAGACCUGGCAUUCCUUCUAUGCUAAGAAGCAAAGUUGUUGGCCCGGCAUGAAGUGCAUCUAUAGGAAUCCUGCGGUGAAGAUAACCAAUGUAUCAUUCGACUAAUUAAGUUGAAGAUCUCAAACCUAUGCACCUUUUGAAAUGUUGAUUUCUCAUAAAUUAUAUUAAGAACACCAGGUCUAAGGGAGCGCGGAUGCUUCCCAUUCAGCAUGACUGUGUAUUUAGGAAUACUUUGAUUCUACUACUUCAAAAGAACAUGAAAAAUUAGAGACACCAAAUGAUAAAAAAUAUAGAAAUAAACUGAAAGCACGUGCGUCCAAUCACCUCCACGGCCUCACCACAUCCCUUCUCCUAUCCACUCCAUUUCAACACACCCACUUGCUUAACUUUCUACUACUUAGACAAUGCAAAGAGUCCUACGUAUCGAAUUUCAUCCUCUUCCAAUCGCACCAUCUUAAGAAAUUUAAAAAACUCACAUGAAAAAAAGAACCCGAGAGUGAAACCACCUUUUUUUGAACAUCUCUCUGCUUCCAAAUGCUGCUCUCCCCUAACGGCCUUGCCGCAAUAGUCCUUUUUCUCCACUAACUUCAAAACACACGCGCGCGCGCACCUGCCUGAUCUCCACUAUCGGAUGAGGCUAAAGGAGUUCCUCCUCCCACCCCCGUGUGGAGAAAGGAACAUCCCUGCUGCCCCAGUGUUUUUCCUCGGUGCACCUGGCGUGCGGAGCGUCCACCAUGCCCGUGGUCAUUGUUGUCAUUCCAUAGAGCAUUACCCAUUAGCACCCUCACAUUCCCUCAAUGCCAACGGCUGCACCGUGCUCUCCUCUCUCCACCUCACCCGUGGACAUCACCGUGUCUGCGAAUGUUGUGGCUGCACCCCACGCAUCUAACUAUUUCAAGCAAAAUCAUAUAAGAUAAACCGUAAAAUAGAAACGAGUAGAUGAUAGGUAGUAUACUUGGAUAGCUUUAGCUCUCUUCUGGAAUAUAUUUCUUGGAGCGCGGGCUCAUCAUAGGGCAAGUCGAGGCCAAGAUCCUUGGCCAUCUCUAGUAGUGUUGGCAAGGUUAUCUCAAAGCCAACUGGCAUCCAUUCCGCAUCUUCCUCAGUUAAUCUCCAUAGAUUUCCAUGAAUAAAUGACAGACCUGCAAUAGAUCAAAUCCAUGCCUUCAUUAACAUGGCAGCUAAUAGUAAAAAUCUUAUUCAUCAGCGUAGUGCUGCUUUUGAGAGACCUGUUAUCCAUGCCAAACACUAGAAUGUGAUAUGUACGAAGUACCUCUUUGGCACUGGUAAUGGUGAAUGUUCCACGAUUUAAGGGCCACAAUGCAGGCUAGGGUGUUGAUAAUCCUAUCGUGAACCAUGAAGAAAGUGUCGUCGCCCCAUGAGCCAUCCGGCAGCUGAUUUUUGGUGAUCCAGUCAAUACUGGUGGGGAACUGCGGGCCGCCACCUCCAUCGAGCCUCUUCACAAGAGCUACCCACGCCGUGUCGUAGGCCGAGACAUUGAUAUUGCCAUCACUUAUGGACUUAAGCUUUGCUCUAAUGGCAUCAAUUUUUUCUGACACAUUUCUUGGUUCAUCCUGAAGUAUAGAAGAAAUGUACGUACGUAUGCACAAAUUAAUAAUGAAUUCACUUCAUGAGUUUAAUUCAUUUACGCACCUUUAGACGUUCAGAUGGUUCGCAAGUCGUCACUGCACCCGUGCCUUUCCCAUUUGCUAUUGCCAAAAUGCGCUCUAGGAACAAGAACGAAGUAGCAAGACAUCAUAAAAGGUUCCCCUCAUUAACAGCAUAUAUGGUUUGCUAAACAUCUAUGUAACACCAUAGAGCAAAACUGGAUUAGGCUAAUUCACAUACGAGGUCGCAUACUUGUACUCGCUUACACCACGUAAAAAAAGAUUAAUUUGAGUGGGUGGCAUGGACUCUAGUGUGGCCUAUGUUUGUGUAACUAAUUGUUAUGGUUGGGUUAUGACAAAAAUGACUAUACACAUAAUCAUACCGCACGCAUGAGCCACCAUAGGCCAAAUUCAAAUCGGACAGGAUGUCACAUCCUGUUCCUGUCUCCCACAAGAGGCCGGUGAUGUUCGGAUCGGCCAAAUGAACAAAUGACCAAUGGCAUCUAUAUCUUGGCCACAAAGCUCACAACUACUGCUACUACAAAAAAAGAAAGAUUUUUAGGAGCUCCUUGAUUAUUUUAGGGCCCCGUAUGAGAAGUCCCCCGCACCUACCAAAACUGUGGCGGCGGACGGUUGGCGGGGGAGCGGGCGGAGGUUGGAAGAGAUAUAUGCAGAAAUUAAAAAAAUCUAAUCCAAUAGCUGAAGGAAAAGUGUUGUCAGUGACGAGGAGACAAAGGAUCCAGAUUUUGAAGUGUCAAAUUGUCAGCUGAAUUGGGCCUUCUUGGCUCUAUAUAAUGCGUUGCUAUCACAAAGACAAUGACAAAGCAAGCUGACAUGGCAUAUAUCAGGUAUGGCGAUGGCGACUGGUUAAUGGAAAUAAGUGACCUAUUGAGAUGAGCUUUAUCAAUAUUUGAUUAGCCCCACAAUGCGGCAAGCAGGAUUAUUUUUUUGAAACAAUCGUUAGCUUCUUUGACCUAUUUCUGCGGAAAAUCAGAAGACUAUAUUCCACACUAGACGUAUAAUCCCUAUAUAUUUUGAAAAAUAACUAGCGAGCUACUAAAAUGCCUAGCAGUAGAUUUUAGCAAAGCUUGAAUAGAAUAACUUUAAUUCAAACGUUACAAUAUGAAAAGCAUUUCAUUUAUACUAUCUUGAUUACGAAGAAAGCUUCAGCAAAUUAUAAACAUUUCUCGCAUUUUUUUAUCCAUGCGCAUGGGCAUGCCCAUGUUUUAAUUUAUAAUAUUUGCACGGGUUGGCGAUGCAUACAGUGCCAGCAAAUAUUCGUAUGCACGGGAAAUAUCUUUUGGAGUUUAGUCAUGCAUCUUUGUCUCAUUGAGGAAAGAUCUCAAUAGAGAUAACUGAAGACUUUACAAUUGAUGCAAUUACUGAUAAUUUCAAUUGCUAGAAUGCCUUAAAUUGACACCAAAUAUUCGCAUGGCGGCAUGGAGCAACAGUUGCUCUCUUAACUUGGAUUUUGAAUUGGGUGCAGAAAUUUAACGUAAUAUAUAAUAUAGGCAUGGUGAUUAUUCUGCUAAGAACAUCACUAUGUGAGAGUGAAUAAUUUGUUUGGUUCUAUACUGUUGCCCCGUCCCCUUCAAGUUAUUGGCUCCGACCUUAGAUGCUGUGCGAGUACGAACACACAUGGCCCAGGUGCGCAAUAUACUAUGGAUGUGAUGGGCUGAUGGCUACGUGGCGUGCUUCCAGCUGAGUGAUGAAGAAUACUCUUGUACUGCUACUUGAGCUAAGUGAUGAAGAUCAACUUACAUAUCUGUGUGUUAACGAGAUAGGAUCUAAUUAUAUUAGGUUUAGGUUAACGAGACAGGAUUUAUUUUCUACCGUCGCAAUUUGGUAUAGUUAUUUAAUUGUUUGCCAGCAUCGGUAACAUAUAUAGUAGCUGGACCCCGUAUGUCAUUGGUACACCAGUAUACUCACUGUUACCAUAGUAGCUGGACCCCGUAUGUCAUUGGUACACCAGUAUACUCACUCCGUCCUAAAUUAAUAUUCAUUUUGACUUUUCUAGAUACAUGACUUUUAAUAUGCACCUAUAUAUAUACUAUGUCUAUAUACAUGGUAAAAGCUAUGUAUCUAGACAAACUAAAACGAAUAGUAUUUUGGGAUGGAGGGAGUCACUAGUAGACAACUGACUUUCCAUGCGUCCAUUUUUGUCCCGGUUCAAAGUAGGUCCAUGACAAAAAGUUCACCAACUGGGAUUAAAACUUAGCCACUGGUGGGGGGGAGCUCACCAACCGGGACUAAAGGGCUCCUUUAAUUCCGGUUGUAAAGGCCAGUGACCCUGACGGGCUUUUUCUCCCGAUUAGAAACACCAACCAGGAUUAAAAGGGUCCUUUAAUCCCGAUUGGUGUUCCAAACUGGGAGAAAAGCACCGUCACCUCGUUUCACGCCCCCACCCCUCCAUCUCCUUGAUCUUUGUCUCAGAAAAUAAAUCAGCAGUACAACCUUGUCCUCUGCACAGCAUGCACAGGUACUCUCCUUCCUCCCUCCUUCUUCUUCCUUAUCCUUUCUUCCUUUCCCACGCAGGCGGGUGGCGGGCAUGCGACACCGAGGUGCGAGCUGGGGAGGCGGGUCGGGGCGGCGGCAGGCUUGCGGCGGUGCGCCGGGGAGGUGGCGGCGGCAGGCCAGAGGCAGCGCACGGGGGAGGCGGUGGCGGAGGCCGAGGCGCGGCACCGACGCGCGGGGGAGGUGGCGGCGGAGGCCAACGCGGAUCAAGCCGAGGCGCCGGUGUGAGAGGCGGCGGCAGGAGGCCGACGCGGAUUGAGCCGAGGCGCUGCCUGUGUGCUUCGUGCUGGAGGGGCACAAUGGAGCGGUACGAGCAGAGGGCGGCCGCGGGGGCUUGGCGGCGGCGGCAGGCGCAGCCGGCGAGCGGCUAGCCGACGACGCGUGGGAGCCGGAGGUGGAGGCCGCACAAGCGCACGGCACGGAGGUGGGAGCCGAGCCGAGGCGGGCGGUCCGCCCGCCUUUGUGCUUUUUUUUAUUGUUUUGGAAAACUCUUUCAUCCUGGUUGGAAAUACCAACCGGGACAAAGGGAGCUUUAGUCUCGGGUGAGCGACCUGGAACUGAAGAUCCCCUUUUGUCUCGAUUGGUUUAUCCCGGAUGGAUUGUGAGGAGAUUUGCUCCGUACCAAAUGAGACUAAAGGUGGGUUUUUCACCGGUGAGUAGCAAAUAGAGGGUCAUAAAACUUUGGUAAAGGCAAAUAAGAAAUUACCAUGCAUGACGAGAGAAUUCUUACCACACGGCCGGUGCGGGGAGCGUUGGGGCAGGGCAGGUUGAACCCAUGUCCUAGCAGUGCGUGCUCGGAGGAACGUCGUGACCGUGGGUGCAGCAGCUGCUGUUAAGGCCGACAUUAUUAUCUCUCUCUGUAUCUCCUCCUAAAGAUGAGAGGUGCUGAGUAGAAGAGAAUGACAAUGAGAUCACACACGUUGCACCUGUAUAUAUAUAUACAUAUAUAUACGGACGUGAAUUUACAGGUCUGAGGUGUGGUUGGUAGGGAAGAGUAAGCAUCGCAUAUACGACACGCGACUGGUGGUCCAAUCUUGUAGUCUGUGCACGUGGUGUUUUUGUGACAACCUUUAGUCCAGAGGCAGUAGUCUUAACGUACGGGUCCAAUCCGAUGGUCCAUACACAUGUUUGACGCUUGUGGAUGAUUCUAUUCUGACCGACUGAUAUUCCCUCUCUAUCCUUGUCAAGAAAUAUCAUUCUUGGCCGACUCCAACCUCUGCAAAUCCAUUUCCACGAAUUCCUUAUUCUCAGCAGUUUUUAGUGUUCAAAUUCUUGAGGUAGCCUAUCGGCUGAUCAAACACGAGCUAGUUCAGUUUCUCGUGCGGAGUCCUGCAAUGAAGGAGGAUCGGAGUUACCACGAUAACCAUAUCAUUCGUGAUCUACGGAUACCCAAAAUUAACUUUCCCCUCAUUAUAUAUUCCCGUGUCUCAGCAUGUUAAUCAAACAGACCGUGAGACUUUCCCCUCAUUAUAUAUUCCCGAAAGUCGUCUGUGUACCGAUCAUCACGGGUGCUUAGAGCGCAACUGCAGACUAGCAAAAUAUUAGCUCUCUGUGUUAAUUGAAACAUUGAUCAGGCUAUCCGACGAUUUCCAAGAAAAAAUAUGUUGGAUUUGCAUUGGGUUGGAUACGACCUGGCUCAGCUCGGCUUGGCUCACUCCAACUUGUGUAAGAGUCCGCUUAGAAUCCUAUUCAAAUCCUUACUCAAAAGUAUGGUUCGAGAGUGGAAAAAACGCACUCCAAUAGCACCCUACUUGAAUCCUACUCUAGAGAGACCACUACUUUCUCCCCUCCAGCUCCUUCUCCCACGGGGCAUUCACGUUCACAUGGAAGCCACCCUAAUCACUUCUCCCUGCCAAAUCCAGCCACACUACCCAAGCCGUGCUAGUCCGCCGGCAAUCGUCCCCACAUCUCCUGCCCUGACCACGAGCUACUUGUUGCCGCAUCGGACUAUGGGUGGGGCUGAGAUCUUCCGCCGGGCCUAAAGGCCCCGAACUCCUGCAAUGAUGGGAAAGAGAGAAGAAGGUGGAGACUGGAGAUGAGAGGAGGGGACAAACAAAGGAAAUAGCACACGCUGAAGGAUGGGUACCACUAGUUAUAUGGAAGAGAGGCUUAUAAGUAGGGAUCCUUGUUGGAGUUGGACGAUAAACAAUAUUGCAGAAAAGUAAGGAGAGUUCUUACUCACGAAGUAUGAAUAUUUGAGUAGUUAUUGCUGUAGUUGCUUUAAACGAGCUAGAAAGGCUGCAUGGCUCGACUUGGUAGCUAGAAAGGGUCAUCUAGAAGAGAUGACCCAAUUAGUCCUCGGUUGUUGUUACAAACUAGGAUUAAAAGGUCCCCACAGGUGACUUUAAAAGGAAAACAUCGCCUACUCAACCACAUAUACUGUGUAGGUGAGAUGAUAAAGAAGCUAAGUGCGAGGUAAGAGGUCACAGGUUCAAAUCCCACGCACCACACACACGCAUAUUUCGCUUGAAAAUUUGCGUGACUUGUGACAUUAAUUGGUUUAACCUGGUUGAGAAAACUGGGGUCCCAACCGGGAUUAAAGACCAUUUUCUAAUAGUGAUAAUAAAAACCGGCUGAAAUCAAAAGGAAAGCAAGACUAGCCAAAGCAAUACUAUUGGAUCAUGCAAAACCACCGCAGCUUAUACGCCUUGAAUCGAACAAAAAAAAAGGGACCAGCCAAUGUGGAUGAAAGAGAAAUCUAAAGAACUAAACAGUUUUUGUAUUUUUUAUAUACUCAUACAAACUUUGUCUAAACAUGGAGUACGGAGUUGUUGGCCAUCGCCCGCCGCCCCUUAAUUUGACCGCGGCCACCGACCAGACUUGCCCGGCGCCCUCCGCGUUGACGAGGGCAGCAGGUGUCGAGGGAGGGAGUACGCUGGGGAUGGAGGCAGCGAGGAAGCACGUGAGAGCCGAGCGGAGACCAAAGGCAGACGGGUUUGGCGGCUUGGACCUGCCGCUCUCGUGGUGAGCCGCGGGGAUGGAGGGAAGCGAGAGAGGCAAGACAUGAGCAGCCGAGCGUGAGCGGCAGGUUACGAGAUGGAUAAGGUUCGGGGUGGAGUGCUGUUUUUUUUUUUUGAUAAAGGGGGUGGAGCGCUAUUGGUUGAUACCAGCAGCUCGCGAGGUGGCUCGAACUCGUUCAUUAUCCUAACGAGCACAAAUGCCAGGUCACUAGCUGGCUUAUGUAAUGAGCCGAGCCGAGCCGAGCCGAACUAGCAUCGAUCGCCUGACGAGCCAUGAGUUUUUCAUCAAAUCCGAUUAUUAAUGUUCCAGUCUGACGAAAAAAUAUUUCAGCAUAAGAAAAAAUAUAUUCCAUCACAAGGAUGUCUGAUGCUAAGGUACUACUACGUGGUGGGAACUUAUUCAUCCAAUCCCACAUCCUCCCCACAGGCAUUUUUUUUAAUUUUAACCUUUUUAUAAUAUUUUUUAAAAAAAUUCGUCCCGAACUAAAUUUGCACGGUGACCCUUUUGUCCUGCCACGCCACAUGCAUUGGUGCGGCAGAGGUUGCUUGCGUGGCACAGCGCGGGAGGGCGGCUAGCGUGGCGCUGACGUGGGCAAGCGGUUGCCGCGCCAGCCCGCGCCCAACGCCUGGGUAUCAACCACGCGCCGGCUCCCUCUACCCUCCCUCAUCCCUUCCUUCCUCCAGAAACACCCGAGCCCGACCCCAAGUACGCGCCGCCAGCUGCCGCCACCUCCAAAUCCCCCUAGAUCCAUCAAUUUCGGUUGGGGAAAGUAGUGGGAAUCGAUCACCGCUUCGUUUGGAAGGUAUCCCCUAACUUUUUCCCUUGUUUUACUGUUCCAUUUGGUAGAUCGAUCGAUGUUUAGGUGACCUAGGGUUAGGUUAUUGAUUUCAAAUUUUGAUGAAAUGCAAUGUUGUUAUGUGUUAGAUGAUGCUUAGUUCAUGUGCACUAGACUCUCUGCCCGCGAUAUUGACGUGUAGAACUUGUUGCAUGUUUCAAUUUAGUUAGAUAUUCAUGCAAGUGUGUAGUGUACAUGGCAUUGGUAGGUUCUUUUUUUGCAAUAUGUCCAAUUGAUAUGUCCAAUAUGUUUAUUUUGUAAUAUGCUUGCUAUUGUUUUUAUGGUAAAGUGUUUGCAUUUUGUAGAUGGAUUGUUUAGUUUGUAUGUUUGAUGGUGGGAUUAUGAAAGAGAAUGGGGAGUUUGAGAAUAUGAAUGGGGCAGUGGAAUUGUUCGAUGCUCCUCCAACUUUUAAAGAUUUAGUUGACUAUGCAAUGAGAAAGUAUGGAUAUAGAGUGGAUGAGAUGACAUUUAGAGGCCGUUUUGAUUGUGGGAAAGCUAGAGCUCAUUAUGUUCUUAUGAACUUGGCAUCCGAUUCAAAUUGGAAGCAAGAUAAGGAUGUAGUUCAGCAAUCAAAUGUUGCAUGUUUGGAGGUAGUAGUUGAAAUUUUUCGUAUGCGUGGCCCAAAUGUUGCCGUUGUUGGAGGUAUGCCCUAGAGGCAAUCAUAGAGAUGAUGAUACUCCAUUUGUAUCCAUGAUUUGUAUGUUGUGUUCAUUGAAUAUCCAUUGAAGGCUACUUGAAUUGAUUUGCAAUUAUGUGAAUUGUAUGUGAAACUCUUUACUUGUAUGGUUAUUCUAAAGUUGUCCCUAGUCGGAGUUCAUGUGAGGACACACAUUAAUAUUAGACUAGCACAUAUAUUAGUUGAUGACUAUGUUUCACAAGUCAUGGACAUGGAGAUGUUGAACAAAUAAUGUGGACACAUGUGGAGACAUGUGCUAGGACUGACCCACAACAUAUACGCUUUGUCCUUAGACCUGAGAUUGUCGCAUGUAUUCUAGAUGUGGAUCGACCUACUUAGGGGCUAUCAAACGCUACGCCGUAACAGGGUAGUUAUAAAGGUAGCUUUCGGGUUUGUCAAGAAGCAUGCUAUGAGACAUGGUCAAUCAAGAUGGGAUUUGCCCCUCUCUGAUUGAGAGUGAUAUCUCUGGGCCCCUCGAGUGAUCGGAUCUGAAAAUGCAUGGCCAUGCUACGUACGGUUAAGAGUUAACCUACAAAAGGGAUUCAGAAUCACAGGAUCGAGAAAGAGCGGUCGGCUUGAAGCUAGACCAAAUAUCAUGAGGCAAAGGAAAUAGCAUGUAUAUUAUGUUGUGAUGGUUCGUCUGAUAUGAUCUUCGUGUGCGUAUAGGAGUUGGCACGUCUUGCUAGAGGCCGCUACCGACUAUUGGGCCGAGUAGGAGUACUCGGGUCAUGUCUAUACGUAUCCGAACCCAUAGGGUCACACACUUAAGGGGCUGGAAGCCCAAUUCGGAUCAGAUCCGAGUUGGAUUAGGUUUAGAAGUAUUAAUGGGCCUCGGAUCCAGAGGCCCGUCAGGAACCUCUAUAAAUAGAGGGGUGGGGGCGCCCUAGGGUUUACACCUUUUGGCGAAACACACCUGCCGCGCCUCCCACGCCCUCGCUGUUGCAACUCGCGGUUCUAGCAGUCCGGCUUGCGACGCUUCCUCCCUGCACGUGUGGAUACCUUGGAGGUGUUGCGCCUGCAACACUUGGAUGAGCCGCCGACGAGCCGCCAACGAGCCACGACGAGCCAACGACGAGCCGCGGCACCGGAGGCGAUCUUGCUGCACGUGGACGAGCUGCUGAGGAGCUGCUGGACGUUGACGUGAUCGACUACGUACGACUACGUUGAUCGACUACGUACGACUACGUGAUCGUCUUCACUGCAUCGACGCAUAUCUACAUCUUCCGCACCAGUAGUGCGUCGAGCGGUAAUCCCGUGAUCCUUAUACGGCAGUUCUUCCUGGUUUUACGUGGUAGAAAUUUUGAUUUGCGCUAGUGUAGCCUACCUCGUAUCUCAACAGUGGUAUCAGAGGUGUAGCUGCUUAGUUUUGGAUUCGGGAUGUGUGCAUAUGGAGAUAUGCGAGUUUUCCGUUUGAUCUAUGUCCUGGUUUCGUGCCCUUGCUGCAAUGGUAGUGUAACGACAUACUCCUACCGGUCGGUUUCCGCCAUCGGAGUUAAGUGAUACACGUAAAUCCAGUUGCAGUGAGCGAAGAUCAAUAUGAUUGGUCGAAUCGAAAUCCAGGGUCAUACGUCAGGCGCAUUAGAUAUGCAAUGGUAGAUGAGAUCUACUGCCGGGGUCGGGAUUUUUGCCGUAUGCAUAUGCUUCGGUAAAUCAGCCAUAACUUUUCGGUACGAUCUCGGAUCGGGGCGAAUUUUAUAGGAAAAUUGAUCUACAGAAAAAGUUACACAUGAAAUUCAACCGCUUCGCUGUUUUCGGCGAGAUUAGAUUUCCCAAAUUCGGCUUGGAAGAUGGAGUUUCGGGCCUCCGAAGUUUGGAACGUUAGGACGCCUAACUCUAUUUUGCAGGAUGUAUGUAUGUAUCUUGUGAUCAGUAUGGCCCCCUUGUGUAUGUGAUGCAUGUGUGUAACUCAUUCGUGACCUGCGUGUCGCGCGUACGGCAACACGGCAGGAGCCAUAUGUGUUGUCACUUUAUUGUAUUUAAUGGUCUGCGUACUAAUCUGUGAUGAUCCAAGCAACUAUGUAAUCUUCAUUACUAGAUUCUUUACUAGCUAUUAGGCGUAAUAGCAUGCUCUAGUUCUUGGAGGACUCAUCACUAGGAGGAUGGCGCACAUGGAACAUGGAGAUGGAGAUCACCAUGGUGAACAGGUUCUAUGGAGAUGGAGAUCACCAUAUGAAAACGGGCCAUACUGUGUCACAACUGUGUGAAUGCUAUUCUGUUUAUGUUUUACUUUCUGCAUGCUGUGAUGUUAGAAGUAGAACGAUCCCUCACAAAGUUUAAGUUAGUAUGCCCUCCCAACUAAAACUUGCACCGUCCCAUGUCUUGUACAAUUAGUGGUGGGUCUAUGAAAUUAGGGUGCCACUAGUUUUCCUUGACUAGACGGGUUUGUGUCGGACACUUACACGCAUAAGGGUUGGUUUGCUUAACAAGGUCAUCUUAACCGUUAAGGACUUUGGGGCAUAAAGGUUGGACGCCGAGACAUGGAGAUGUCACCCAACAACAGGAGUCAUAUGUGAUAUGAUUAGCAAAAGUUGCUUACCGAUCUACCUUUUUUGCUAGCGGCGAUGCUAAAGCUCACUAGUGGACUUGUUAGUUGUGGAUCCUGAAUCACUAAGUUUCAAUAGAGGGAUAUUGAUUUUAGUGGGAGUAGAUUCUGUUAAAAUAGUUUAAUGUGAUUUGCUCUAUUAUGGAUACGUUUGUCUUAGUGUAUUUUGCAUUACUUUGUUGUAGAUUAAUGGCACCUAGUAGCACUACACCGUUUGCUUUGCGUUCGGUCCUUGAGAAGGACAAGUUGAAUGGAACAAACUACUCGGAUUGGAUCCAUAACCUGAGAAUUGUUCUCAGGGCUGAGAAAAAGGAAGAUGUUCUAGACAACCCACUACCAGAAGAACCUGCUGAUGAUGCACCCGCUGCUGCUAAGAAUGCUUACAAGAAAGCAUGUGAUGCUAACCUCGAAGUAAGCUGCCUUAUGCUUGCUUGCAUGGAACCCGAGCUACAGAUGCAGUUCGAAACAAACCAUGAGGUGCACGAUAUGAUCGUGGCGCUUAGAGACAUGUUCCAAACACAGGCCAGGACUGAAAGGUUCAAUGUGUCUAAGGCCUUUGUUGAGAGCAAGCUAGCAGAAGGCGCAGCAGUAGGACCACACGUAAUCAAGAUGGUUGGUUACACUCAACGGUUGGAGAAGCUAGGCUUCCCACUGGGCCAAGAGUUGGCCACUGAUUUCAUUCUUUCGUCUCUUCCGCCUAGCUAUGGGAACUUCAUCUCGAACUACCAUAUGCAUGGGACGGAGAAGGGUCUGAAUGAGCUGUGUGGCAUGCUUAAAACAGCAGAGGCUGACAUCAAGAAAAGCACUAGUACCAGCCAUGUGAUGGCUAUACAGAACAAGCCUAGCUUUAAGAAGAAGGGCAAUUCUUGGAAGAAGAAGGGCAAGACUGGAACGUCCAAGCCAAACCCACCGCCCAAGGUUAAAGCUGGACCUGGACCUGCUCCAGAUAAAGAGUGCUUUUACUGUCAUGAACUUGGUCACUGGAAGAGAAACUGCAAGCAGUACCUAGCUUCCUUGAAGAACGGCGGAAGUAAGAGUACUUCUACCUCAGGUACGCUUGUUGUUAAUGUUAUAGACAACAUAUUUCUCACUGAUACAAUUAUUAAUUCUUGGGUAUUUGAUACCGGAUCGGUUGCUCAUAUUUGCAAUUCGAUGCAGGGAAUGAUAAGAAGUAGAAGCGUGGAAAGAGGAGAAGUUGAUUUCCGCGUGGGCAAUAAUGCAAGAGUUGCUGCGUUGACCGUCGGGACGAUGCAACUCCACCUCCCGUCAGGAUUUAUUAUGGAGUUGAAUAAUUGUUAUUUUGUUCCUAGUUUAAGUCGAAACAUUUUGUCUCCUUCAUGCAUGAUGAAGGAUGGUUAUUCAUUUGCGAGUGAAAACAAUGGUUGUGUGAUCUCUAAGAAUAAUAUAUUUAUGGCUUUUGCACCCAUUGUGAAUGGAUUAUUUGUUUUAAAUCUUGAUGGUUCACCUGUCUGUAAUGUAAGUGCUAAAAGGCCUCGGCCUAAUGAUUUGAGUCCUACCUACUUGUGGCAUUGUCGUUUGGGUCAUAUAAGUGAAAAGCGUAUGAAGAAGCUCCAUUCUGAUGGAGUUCUAACUUCGUUUGAUUUUGAAUCAUACGAGACAUGUGAGGCUUGCUUGCUAGGCAAGAUGACCAAGACGCCUUUCACAGGAUUUCCUGAGAGAGCAGUAGACUUGUUGGAACUCGUACAUAAUGAUGUAUGCGGACCAAUGAGCACGACGGCUAGAGGAGGAUUCCAAUACUUCAUAACUUUCACUGAUGAUUUUAGUAGAUAUGGCUAUGUCUACUAGAUGAGGCACAAGUCUGAAACCUUUGAAAAGUUCAAGGAAUUUCAGAAUGAAGUUGAAAAUCAGCGUGGCAAGAAAAUUAAGGCCUUACGAUCUGAUCGUGGAGGCGAAUAUUUGAGCCACGAGUUUAGCAAUCAUCUAAAGAGUUGCGGAAUUGUUCCACAACUUACGCCGCCUGGAACACCUCAGAGAAACGGUGUGUCCGAGCGACGUAAUCGAACUUUGUUAGACAUGGUUCGAUCAAUGAUGAGCCAGUCGGACCUACCGUUGUCAUUUUGGUGAUACGCUCUAGAAACAGCAGCUUUCACACUUAAUAGGGUACCAUCUAAAUCCGUAGUUAAGACACCAUAUGAGAUAUGGACUGGAAAGGUUCCUAAUUUGUCUUUUCUAAAGAUUUGGGGAUGUGAAGUCUUCGUCAAGCGACUUCAGUCGGACAAGAUCACACCCAAGUCGGAUAAGUGCAUUUUCGUGGGAUAUCCAAAGGAAACUUUGGGAUAUUAUUUCUACAACCGAUCAGAAGGCAAAGUGUUUGUCGCUCGGAACAGGGUUUUCCUAGAGAAAGAGUUUCUCAAAGGAGAAAAGAGUGGAAAGACAGUGCAUCUUGAAGAAGUUCAAUAUGAGCCGAUCGGGCAAGAAUCAAUGAGUGAUGCUAACGUAGCAGAACAAGUUGAGAUACCCAUGGCAAGAGAAGCACCACCACAACCACGAAGGUCGGCAAGGCUCCGCGAAAUGCGGGAAAUAUUAUUGUUGGACAAUGAUGAGUCUGCGACAUAUGCAGAAGCAAUGAUGGACCCAAACUCCGAAAAAUGGCAGAGUGCCAUGCAAUCCGAAAUAGAGUCCAUGGGAGACAAUCAAGUUUGGAACUUGGUUGACCCGCCUGAUGGUGUUAAAGCCAUAGAGUGCAAGUGGAUCUAUAAGAAGAAAAAGGACAUGGAUGGAAAUGUUCACAUCUAUAAAGCACGACUUGUCGCAAAAGGUUUUCGACAAGUUCAAGGAGUUGACUACAACGAGACCUUCUCGCCCGUAGUGAUGCUUAAGUCCAUUCGGAUUAUUCUAGCUAUAGCUGCAUAUUUCGAUUAUGAGAUAUGGCAGAUGGAUGUCAAGACAGCUUUCCUGAAUGGAAACCUAGCUGAGGACGUGUAUAUGAUACAGCCCGAGGGUUUUGUCGAUCCGAAAAAUGCUGGAAAGGUAUGCAAGCUUCAGAGAUCCAUUUAUGGAUUGAAGCAAGCAUCUAGGAGUUGGAACAUUCGUUUUGAUGAAGUGGUCAAAGGGUUUGACUUCACCAAGAACGAAGAAGAGUCUUGUGUUUACAAGAAGAUUAGUGGGAGCUCUGUAGUAUUUCUAAUUAUAUGUGGAUAACAUAUUACUGAUUGGAAAUAACAUUCCUAUGCUUGAGUCCGUAAAGACUUCACUGAAAAACAGUUUUCCGAUGAAGGACUUAGGGGAAGCGGCAUAUAUUCUGGGCAUUAAGAUCUAUAGAGAUAGAUCGAGAAGGCUUAUAGGUUUAAGCCAAGAUACUUACAUUGACAAAGUGUUGAAGCGGUUCAGCAUGGAAGAGGCAAAGAAAGGGUUCUUGCCUAUGUCACAUGGCAUACAUCUCAACAAGACUCAGUGUCCUUCGACUGCUGAUGAGCGGGAUCGCAUGAGUAGAGUGCCAUAUGCCUCGGCUAUUGGAUCUAUCAUGUAUGCAAUGAUAAGUACUCGCCCAGAUGUUUCAUAUGCGCUAAGUAUGAUAAGCAGACACCAAUCUGAUCUAGGUGAGAGUCACUGGACAGCGGUGAAAAACAUUCUUAAGUACUUGAGAAGGACUAAAGAUAUGUUCCUCAUCUAUGGAGGUGAGGAGGAGCUCGUUGUAAUAGGUUACACCGAUGCUAGUUUCCAAACCGACAAAGAUGAUUCAAAGUCACAAUCAGGAUUUGUGUUCACACUGAAUGGUGGUGCUGUUAGUUGGAAGAGUUCCAAGCAGGAGACGGUGGCCGAUUCUACGACAGAAGCCGAGUACAUCGCGGCUUCGGAAGCCGCGAAGGAAGGUGUUUGGAUAAGGAAUUUCCUCAUUGAGCUUGGUGUGUUUCCGAAUGCGUCCAGCCCAUUGAAUCUCUACUGUGAUAAUAAUGGGGCAAUUGCGCAAGCAAAGGAGCCAAGGAACCACCAGAAGAACAAACACGUAAUGCAGCGAUUUCAUCUCAUUCGAGACUUCGUUAACCGGGGUGAGAUCAAGAUAUGCAAAAUACACACGGAUCUGAACAUUUCUGAUGCGUUGACAAAGCCACUCCCGCAGGCUAAGCAUGAUGCGUAUGUAAGAGCUAUGGGUAUUAGGUACCUUCUAGAUUGACUCUAGUGCAAGUGGGAGACUGUUGGAGUAUGCCCUAGAGGCAAUCAUAGAGAUGAUGAUACUUCAUUUGUAUCCAUGAUUUGUAUGUUGUGUUCAUUGAAUAUCCAUUAAAGGCUACUUGAAUUGAUUUGCAAUUAUGUAAACUGUGUGUGAAACUCUUUACUUGUAUGGUUAUUCUAAGGUUGUCCCUAGUCGGAGUUCAUGUGAGGACACACAUGAAUAUUAGACUAGCACAUGUAUUAGUUGAUGACUAUGUUUCACAAGUCAUGGACAUGGAGAUGUUGAACUAAUAAUGUGGGCACAUGUGGAGACAUGUGCUAGGACUGACCCAACACGAGAAGUAGUUCUCUCUUUAAACAACAUAUACGCUUUGUCCUUAGACCUAAGAUUGUCGCAUGUACUCAAGAUGUGGAUCGACUUACUUAGGGGCUAUCAAACGCUAGUCGUAACAGGGUAGUUAUAAAGGUAGCUUUCAGGUUUGUCAAGAAGCAUGCUAUGAGACAUGGUCAAUCAAGAUGGGAUUUGCCCCUCUCUGAUUGAGAGUGAUAUCUCUGGGCCCCUCGAGUGAUCGGAUCCGAAAAUGCAUGGCCAUGCUACGUACGGUUAAGAGUUAACCUACAAAGGGAUUCAGAAUCACAGGAUCGAGAAAGAGCAGUCGACUUGAAGCUAGACCAAAUAUCGUGAGGCAAAGGGAAUAUCAUGUAUAUUAUGUUGUGAUGGUUCGUCUGAUAUGAUCUUCGUGUGCGUAUAGGAGUUGGCACGUCUUGCUAGAGACCGCUACCGACUAUUGGGCCGAGUAGGAGUACUCGGGCCAUGUCUAUACGUAUCCGAACCCAUAGGGUCACACACUUAAGGGGCUGGAAGCCCAAUUCGGAUCAGAUCCGAGUUGGAUUAGGUUUAGAAGUACUAAUGGGCCUCGGAUCCAGAGGCCCGUCAGGAACCUCUAUAAAUAGAGGGGUGGGGGCGCCCUAGGGUUUACACCUUUUGGCAAAACACACCUGUCACGCCUCCCACGCCCUCGCUGUUGCAACUCGCGGAUCUAGCAGUUCGGCUUGCGACGCUUCCUCCCUGCACGUGUGGAUACCUUGGAGGUGUUGCGCCUGCAACACUUGGACGAGCCGCCGACGAGCCGCCAAUGAACCACGACGAGCCAACGACGAGCCACGGCACCGGAGGCGAUCUUGCUGCACGUGGACGAGCUGCUGAGGAGCUGCUGGACGUUGACGUGAUCGACUACGUACGACUACGUUGAUCGACUACGUACGACUACGUGAUCGUCUUCACUGCAUCGACGCAUAUCUACAUCUUCCGCACCAGUAGUACGUCGAGUGGUAAUCCCGUGAUCCUUAUACGGCAGUUCUUCCUGGUUUUAUAUGGUAGAAAUUUUGAUUUGCGCUAGUGUAGCCUACCUCGUAUCUCAACAGCCGUGAGAGAUGAAGUGCCGGUAUUGAAUUGUAAUGGUACCCAAGAGUCAGAAACUUUGCAGCAUGGUUUAGGUGAAACACAAUCUGAUUUUGCCUUGGCCAUUGUGAAUGAUGAUUUUUCCAAUGAUACUUUUAAGCGGGAUGAAACAAAUAUAGAUGAUGAUGAUAUAUCUAUGGGUUUUGAAGAUGGUGAAUUUGAGGAUGAUGGGGUAGAAGAUGUCGAGGAAGAGGAGGAGUCAAAAUCUCAGAGUGAUGGGCCUGAAAAUGAGGACAAGGAGUCACAAUCUGAGGAGGAUGGGCCGCAGAUCAACACUGCAACUGUGCAUGAUGUAGAAGUCAUUGGUCGUGUGGAUGAAUGUUUUUUUUACACCCAUAAUGAGUUGCGGUUAUUGAAAGAAUGUGAUGUCGAACUGCCAUCCGUUCCCAAUGAUAAGGACAUAAGCAUGGUCCACAAAGGCAUAUGUGAAUCUAGUAUGGUUAAUUUUGAAGGGAUACCCUUUAGUGAGAGUCCAGUGAUUAAGAAGGGAAUAAAGUUGAAAAGUCUUGAGGAGCUCAAGUUUUUCUUGGCUGACUACGCAGUGAGGUUACAUAGGCCUUUCAGCGUACUUCACUCUGACAAGAAUCUAAGGUACGAUGUCACAUGCAAGCAAGGAUGCCUUUGGCAUGUAUGGUCUCGGCUAAUUAGAAGUACCAGGCAAUGGAGGAUUUCAAAUGUUGUGCAACCGCAUACUUCUUGUUCUUCACUGCCGAAGCGAGUGCAUGCCCAGUGCACAGCAAAGUACCUUGGGCGGCGUAUCCUCGGCAUUGUUCGUAAAGACAGCGAGAUAUCAGUGCCAUCCCUCGUUGAGUCCAUAUUCGCCUUUAGUGGAUACCGUGUCAAGAAUUCAAAGGCAUGGUGGGCGAAGCAACACGCCGUUGCCCUACUAUGGGGGGACUGAAAGGAGUCCUAUGGCAUGGUUCCUAGGGUACUCACAGCUAUAGCCUACUACAAUCCUGGGGUUAAAUGGUUCACUGACUCAUGCAGCAUGAUGCAGCCUGACAAUGGUGUUUUGAAGCACGUGCUCCAAAGGGUAUUUUGGUGCUUCCCUCAAUGCAGUGUGUCAUUUCAACAUUGUCGUCCUGUGAUAUUUGUGGACGGUACAUUCUUGACCGGGAAGUAUAAGGGUACACUAUUGAUGACAAUUGUAGUAGAUCUAGAACAUCAGCUUGUGCCUCUAGCUUUUGACUUGUUCGACAGUGAGAACAAUGACAUUUGGUCAUGGUUCAUGAAACUCGUUCGACGACACGUACUUGAACCAUCACAACAAAUAUGUUUGAUCUCGGAUAGGCACCAUAGGCUCCUAAAUUGUGCGAACGACCACAUGGAUGGGUUUCCACCACUCGUGCAUAGGUGGUGCACGAGAUACUUUGCCGCCAACAUGAGGCGUCGAUAAAGGAACAAGGACGUGAUUGGAAAGUUGAAGACUUUAUGCAUGGUACAUACGGAGACAGAAUUUAAUGAGAUGUUAGAUGAUCUAGUGAAGGACUUGAAUGAUGACGCAAAAGAAUGGUUGAAUGAUGAAAUGGAGGAUAAGGACAAAUGGGCGCAGGCUUUCGUUGAGGGAGGGGUGCGUUGGGGUAUUAUGACCACGAACUACUCGGAAUCCCUAAACGCUAUUUUCAAUGGCAUCCGAAGUAGGCCCGUUUCCAGAAUUAUUGAAUAGUCCUUCAAAAAAUGCAACGCCUACUUUGUGGACAGAUGGCAAAAGUCACGUGAACUAUUGAAUGAAGGUCAUAGGACUAGAAAGGUUGCAGAUGAACAUAUAUCAAAGGCUGAGCUUAGGUUCAUUAACCAAUUACCAAAACCAUACGGUUCAGAAAGAAUAGUAUAUUCUAUAAGAGGUUCCGGUACUACUAACAUUGGGGGUGAGAGCCAUGAAGGCCGACACUAUAGAGUGGAUCUCAACAAAGUUUCGUGCACCUGCAAUGUUCCUCAAUUGUUGCACCUUGCAUGUUCACACUUCAUUACAGCUUGCAAGGCAAGAGGUCUUAAUUAUGAAAGCCCCUUGUACAUGUCACCCUUGUACUCUAGGGAGCACACCAUUAGAAUUUAGUAAUCAAGCUUUGAACCUUACCUUGAUCCGUCACAGUGGCAGCUAUAUGAAGGGCUAGAGUAUGUCCCAAACCCCAAUUUGAACAAAAACAAAAUAGGUAGGAUGCAGAAGAAGUGUUUGAGAGGCGACAUGGAUGAGUCGCAAGGGAGGCUUUUAGCAGAUUAUGGCACUGACGAUUUUGAUGUGGACAGGUCGGAAAAUUGUUGCUGUAAGUGCCACAAGUUCAUUAAAAAUUGCACAUGCCGCAAGAAGAAAUCUAAAUGCAAGAAAUCUAGAGCGAAAAAUAGAAGCCAGCCUUCUUCCAACAUGAGAGUAGUCCAGGAGGUCGUAUUUUUGCAUGGUUAUCAUUAUAGUAUUUAUUGAUAGUAAAUUUUUAUUGUUACUCUACUUAUCGUGUAAUGAACCUUUUUAUGUUUAUUCUUUUUUAGGAUGGCGGCCCUAGUGUACCCGCUCCUUGAGACCGCGUACGACGUGCAGCACCGCGGCCACCUCCUCGCCGACGUCCACGAGGUACUACAUAUUAUAUGAAUGCGAUUUUUAUGUAUAUUCACCCUCAAUUAAAAUUAAUUGUCAACUAAAGAUAUUAAAAUUUUGGGCGAUUCAUAGAGUCUUGGAUACUGACUUGUCUCAAUACUAGAAAUUUUGCACAAUAUGAUGCAUUUAAUUUCAUUAAUUUUUUCCAUAAAGUGUUAAGAUGGGUGGCAUUGUCCAAAAUAGAAAAGACAGCUUGUAACAAUAUAGUUAUCUCGAACCCAUCCAUUAGUAAAGGCAGCUUGUAAUAAAAUAAUAGUAAAAUGAACAGGCAUAGUAAUAAUUUGUCCGUAGAGAGGAAGGAUGAAGUUUUAUGCCAUUGGUAACAUGUCUGAAACGGUGCAUAUGUCUCACACAGCAUCUGAAUUAAAUGUUCUUUUCUACAGUCUUCUUAUUUUUUACAAUACACAGGAGUUUUUUACAAUACACAGGAGAGCUGUUGUGUAUAUUUGUAGUUCUUUUCUAGUUUAAUUUUGACCAGCACCAUGUUGAACCUACCUUGCAUAAUCUGUCUUUGGUUGGAAAAUGCUUCAGCGAACCAGUUGUAAUUGAGUUUAUUUCAAUGACAAAACUAAUCACAUUUGAAUAUGAAUGUGGAACACACAAGUCAUCUGCUACAAAACCAAUCACUGUAUUGCUUACUUCACUGUAAAUUAGAUUUAUGAUAUCUAAGAGGUCAUUAUGUCUUUGUCUGUAGGUGCCUAUGAAAUGCCUAAUAUAGCACCCUUUCUUUUUUUGAAGAGUUGGAUAUUAGCUACAGUUCUGGCUUCCUGGUGUUGUUAUUUCAAAGGUAAAUUCCUAUAAUAAACCUAGUACUUUGUAAUAGCGUUGUUAAUAAUUUUAGAGCCUUUAUUUCUUGAAAUAUUCAUUGUUGGAUGAUUACAUACCAUUUCAUAUGAUACCAUUUGUAGUUGAAUGAUUAUAUAUCAUUUCAUAUGAUACCAUCAGUUUCCAUUUAUUUGCAAACAACCUUUUUGCAUCCAUUUCCAUUUCCUUGUAUGGUAAGAAAUAAUCUUAUUUCCUGUUUUGUAGGAAUUGAAGCCAUUAUAGGCGCGAGUGCACUCCCCACUUAGGUGGGAUGAGCGCUACGCUCCGUACCUGCAAAGAGCUGGAUUUUUGGACAUUGUUGUUCAGGUUAUUGCGGGCCUCCCUCCGAUGGAUGGACCCUUGUUGACCGCCAUGGUUGACCACUGGCGUCUGGAGACUCACAGCUUCCACCUACCGUGCGGCGAGAUGAUCGUCACCAUGCAGGACGUCACCAUGAUCCUCGGUCUUCCACUGGAGGGACUUCCAGUGAUGGGGAUCAUUCAGAGUGAGAACUGGCGUGACAUGGUAGAGGUGCACAUUGGAAUUAGGCCUCCUGAGCCCGAGGAGGGAGACAACUCGAAGAAGACCUCCGGUGUGAGCUCCGCAUGGUUGAGGAAGGAGUUCAGUGUGUUCCCACUGGGAGCAGAUGAUGAGCUUGUGGAGAGCCAUGCUCGUGUUUGGCUGUGGCACUUUGCUAGCACCUUCCUCCUACCUGAUGCAGCUGGGAACAUCGUGUCAUGGAUGGUUCUUCCAAUUUUGGGUCAGGAUUGGGACAACAUCCAUUUAUACAGUUGGGGAUCAGCGGUGCUCGCUUGGCUGUAUAGGCAGCUGUGUGACGCUUGCAGACGCACUACAAGGGAUUCAAAUUUUAGAGGGUGUGCAUUUUUGCUACAGAUCUGGGUUUGGGAAUGUCGGUGGGUCGACCUUGCCAUCUUUGUGUCGAGGUAAAACACUACGACGACUUCCCGUUUCCGCGUUGCAAUUCUCACAUCUUCUGUACCUUGCUAACAAUUGGAUUCCUUUGAAUUUUCAGCCUUGGUAGCGACAGGAUUGUUUUCCCACAUUCGCACAUGUGUGGAAGCAUGCGCAGCUUGUACGUGGCCCUUCAGAAAGGUGUUACAAGUUCUACACAAACGAGAUUGAUUUGUGUCACGCAGAAGCAGGUAAUUUGGUCACCAUAGUCUUUUUAAGCUCUAUUACAUACAAUCACCUAUGAAGUAACUAUUGUUUUUUUACUAAAUUUUGAAGGUCGAAUGGGAACCGUACACCCGUCAGCAGUUGAGCGAGAUCAUAUUUUCACCUAUGUGCUAUAGAGACAGGCAGUUGUGGUGGUCCACGACUCCACUGAUCUUGUACUAUGUCGUUGACAUGCACUUGCCACAUAGGGUGAUGCAGCAGUUUGGUAGGAUGCAACAGUGCCCUCCUAUCGAGUACUCGACUUCACAGGCAUUGCACAGGAAUGCAGGAAUCAUUACCCACUUCGCUUAUUCGAUACACCUAUGAAACAUGCUAGGCUAAUAACUUGCAAAAGUUGUAACGCAGGAUCGACCGCAAGAAGAGGUACAAGGAGAAUGAUUGGAGGGUGAAGCAUGUUGAGUACCUGCAUCGGUGGGAUAACAGGCCAAGAUGUGAUCCUGAUAAAGGGCCGUAUUGGCAUGCAGGACCACAUAGGGACUACCUAGAAUGGUACUAUGCUGCCACCAGGACUAGGAUCAAGCCAUCUUGGACCACGGAGCCCAUUGAGAAUCCAUCGUCCGACUCCUCCGAUGACAUAGUUGACGAGUAUGACACAAUGACAUGCUUAGGAACACAGCUUGAGCAUGCACCUCUCCAUGACUACAUGGUAAGAUUCCAUUCUACCUAUUUCCCUUGUCAAGGUAUGUAAUCGCAAUACCAUAACAUUGAUAAAUCAUGAAAUCAAAACUAUGCAUACAGGGACAGUAGCUUGCAAGGCUUGUCAAUGAAUUGGGCGUGGUCAUGGAGCAUGCAGUCGGAUCUGGUGAUGGUGUGCUUCGUCAGUUUGCAGAGGUACAAGCACAGCCUAGUUUGCAUUGAUCCCCGUACUAUCUAUGUAACCCUCUCAAUAUCAUAAUGGUGGCUCUAUGCUGCUUACAUGUUGCAAAGGGUUCGAAGAAGCUGUAGGCGAAUGGCCAUGAAGAUGAAUUGCAUGUCAGCCCGAGAUGUGCACCACGGCAGCAAUAGCCAGGGCACUUGUUCAGGAUCACGGCAUACUCCUAUCCACCACAGUAGUGGUGGAAUAUCUAGGACUCCCUUGAUGACCCCCCACAAGGACUGCAUCAGCAUCCACUACUCUAGGUCCUAGCAGGAGAUCACAAGGCAAGGCACCCGCGACCCUUGAGGCAAGCGAGGAGUCUGAAGGUAACGAGUCCGAGGAUGACGACCCUACAUAUGGUGAGCAACUGGAGAUGUCCAGCAUGUUUGAUGCUCCACUUGUGACUCAGACGCAGGGAGUGUUCAACCAGGUAGAUUCACCACUUUUCCCUAGUUGUAUUCUCAAUUGCUAAGUUCAAUUCACAAGGAAUCGUACACCUUGAUCAUUUCCUUUCAAUUUUUCGUAGCCACCUACAGCUCCAGCACGGAGGUCCCGCCGACGUCGUUCCCGGGACCACACCGACGUUGGCAGCGCCAAUGUGUUGCCCACGCAUCCUAGGAGGGAUUGUCGCCCAAGGGAUCCUUUUAGCCCUCCGGAUCAGUGGCAUCCACUGCAAUGAAAUUUGCAUGAAGUGUGUUGCACUAGGUGUUGGACUGUAAGACUAUGUAUGUUGCAAUUUGUUCUGCAUGUGUGUAAAAGACUGUUGGAAUUUAUCGAACCUGUGUGUAAAAGUCUGUUUCAAGUGGUGCACUUGUCAAGUGUGUAAAAGACCAUGCUCGAUUUUUGUUGGAUUUGUGCACCUGAAAUGCUCAUUUUCUUUCUCAUUUGACCACAUGCGUUUUAAACUUGAUAUGUGGGGAGGGACAUCUGGGCAACAUGUUUAAUAUGAUCAGAAGCCAGAUAUUUUCAGGCUUGUUUUCUUUACCAAAUAAUGUGCUUUUCAUUUCCUUUAAGUACACUGACCUUAUUUUGCCCAUUUCUCAAUAGAGCUACAACAAGAUAUGCUACUGUCCAUGCCCAAUUCGGCCCCAAGAAGUCCAAAUGGCUCCAGGAAAAUCUCAGUGGUGAGUUUUUGUGUUAGUUCCAUAGGAGUCCAAAUUUGAUACCUUGUGGUGCACUAACUAUGAAAACAGAAUCGAUGUUGGAUUCCUGUUAGUUUCUUUUCCCUUGCCUUGUUUCAUUCAAAUUAGCAGUGCUACUACCAUCUUGAGAAUGCCAUAUAAACUUGCUCAAGUCAACCAAGCUGAUUAUUGCUUUCUUGAUGUGCAGCACAAUUACUUAAAUUUGUGGGAACAAUUCUUAACAAUAGUGAAAUUCCAUCCAUCAUUGCAAUUAGAAUUGAAGUACUAAAGAGCAUAAUGAUUAGGUUGUUGCUAUUUUUAAUUUUCCCUAAUUCUGUGUAUCAUAAGAAAAGGUUCUGCACAUGAAAAGUUCUUCCUUUCUUGAAUCUUACCACCAUCACAGUUGCUUGUAUUGUCCACAGAGUUGUGGUUAGACAUGCUUCUUUCAAACUCUCAAUUGCUAGCUUGUAUUACGUUGUCUGGUGAGACAUGGCAUUACGUUUUUGUGCAGGCCAUACCCUGGAAUCAUACGAACUAAGUUGGCCAUUAUCACUGAAUCCAAACCAGGAUAAUUGGGACGAUUGAGUCAAAAGAAGGUGGCCAGACAAUGAUUGUGCUCUUUCAGAUAUGUUGAAUACCAUAACAUCCAGUACCUGUCAAUACAAGUCAAAAAUAUUUAGUCAGUUACAGCAUCAUUUCAAUUCUGUCAGAAAUAUAGUGAGCAGUGACUAAUAGGAUAGCUGACUACUUAAAUCCAUAAGGUAGCUUUGGCAGAAUGUAUAUCAAGAUCUCUAGGCAAAUUAAAAUGCUGACAAAUACUGAAAUACCUGAUCUCCUGAGGGCAGACAAUCGGAAGCAUGAGAUACAAUAGCUAACUGAUCCCCAUACCCUGCUGCUGUAACAACUGGGCCACUAACUGAGAGGAUAUGCAUCUGUAGAAAAAUAAAUUUGUUUGAUUAGUAUUGUGAUGCUGUUUGUCUUCCAUAAAAGAUAGGGCGAGAUGCAUGGUGGCUAAGGACUUUACCAGAAUGCAGGUUACAUUGCUGGCAAUUAGAUUCGUGGAGUGACGGUAGAAAAUAGAAAUAAGGAGUGAUGGGAAUAGCAACUGGAAAUAUGGAGAUGUAUUUGUCCAUUGCUUGUGUCUAUCUUGACCUCUCAUGAUAAUGUAUAUGACUCAACCCUCCUACUACUACUACAUUCACCUUAACCUGAGCUUGCAUUCUAUCAUAUCUUAUACAACUUUCUUACUGAAGACUGUUAAAUUGAUUGGACUUCUCUUUUCCCCGGUUUUAGUCAACUAUUUCCUUCUCUACCUGGCAUGGACAACAUCUGCAAGACUACAAGACCUCUAUAAGAUCUACAGCAAUUUUAUUUCCUCUUCAGUAUUCAAGUAAAAACAGAAUGUUAGAAUACCAGUCAGACAACCAAUAGUUCCCUCAACUUCCAUUAUCAUGGACAUUAUCAUGGCAUUAUGUUUUUGUGCAGCUUUUCAGAUAUCUACUAUCAAAUGCAGGAUGGUGGCUUGAAGAACAGGAACUGUACUGGAACUCCAUCAGUCACCAUGGCUGUUUCCCCAUCCGAAAAAUUCUGCUAAGCUAUUUCAAUUUUAAUUCUGCUAGAGGUUCUAAAUUCCUGUUCUCAUCAUGCCUGGAUGUUCUUUUUUUUUGUUAUUGCUUUGUUCUGCUUUAACAUGCCAGGAAUUUAAACUUACAUGAUUGGUUUAGCAUUCUUGGAGUAAUCUUCUUAAAAAGGCAUAUUUCUUUAAUGUCAGAUGAUAGAUGAUUGUUGCAGAAGUCACAAUUCUUUUCCUGGUUGUUGAUAUUGUGCUGCAAGAAAAUAUGGCAUGGAACUAUUGUGGUGGUCAUGCACCAAGAUUGCUUAUCAGUAUUUUCAUUCUCCAAUUUAAACUUGUACUGAGCUACCAGUACAAGUCUUGGCUUUUGUCCUCAGAAACUCUUCUCUUAGUUUUUGCUAUACACUUGUACUGAGCUACCAAUUUAAACUUUAUUUCUGAUAAAUAUAAUUUAAGUGGUUUCUCUUGUAUGUCCUACUGGUAUGUCAUUCACAUCUUUUUACAUAGGCGCAUGGCUAGUAUGCUACAUAGGAGUCUUUGGUAAUGAUGCAAGGGAUACAUAUCUUCCUCCUGAAGUAUGGCGAUACUACCUGCUUAUGAAUCGCCCUGAGGUCAGUAAAGAUAUUUGUUUAGAUCAUUUGAAGUUUGUGAUAGCACAUGUUACUUUUUCGACAUGUUUAAUCUUAUAUACUCAGGCAUCAGAUACACUCUUUAUUUGGGCUGAUUUGCAAGCCAAGUUGAACAGCGCGUUGGAGCCAACUAAAACUUUUUCAGCGUUUGUUUCUUGCAGUCAAGUGCUGAAAGUCUGGACGUACUGAAAGUUUGGUGCGCACGCGCGGCAGUUAAGCACUGCCACGCCACCUGGCGCGGCAACGCUCGAUCUGGCGUGGCAGAGCUUCGCUGCCGCACCUUGGGAACAUGCGUGACAGUACCCUUUCGAGAUUGUUUCGACGUACUGAAAGUUCGUGCGCAUAGCGCGGUAGUGCUUACUGCCGCGCCAGGCGGCCUGGCUGGCGCGGCAGAGCUUCGAUGCCGUACCUUCGGAACACACGUGACAGUACCUUUUCGACAUCGCUUGGCACGGCAACACUCUACUGCCGCGCCAGCUCGAUUGGCGCGAAGCUUCGCUACCGCACCCUAGGAGCACGCAUGACAGUACCCUUUCGACAUCGUUUGGAUGUACUGAAAGUUUGGUACGUACGGCGCAGCAGUUAAGCACUGCAGCGCCAGGCCGCUUGGCGCGGCAACACUCUAUUGCCGCGUCAGCUCGACUGGCACGAAGCUUCGCUACCGCACUCUAAGAGCACGCAUGACAGUACCCUUUCGAGAUCUUUUAGACGUACUGAAAAUUUGGUGUGCACCGCGCGGCAGUUAAGCUCUGCCGCACUAGGCGGCCUAGUGCCGCAACACUUUCCUGACGCGCCAGUUCUCCUAGCGUGGCAAAGCUUCCCAAUUUCACCACCGCGGCUAACUUAAAAUAAUAAUUAACUUAAAAGAAUAAUAGUUAUUUUCUUAUGAAUCAUCGAGACUGGGAGAGGCCAUAGAAUUUAGGAACAUUAGAAUUUCAUCAUUAUCUACAAAUAAUUUUGUAUUUUUCGUACCGAAAGUUUGGUAUGUCCUAGUCCUAGCUACCUGCAGGUUGCAUCAUCAGCUGCCAUGCUUCCUUGUGGUCGUGUGGCUCAUUAUUGCGUUGCGUCUUUAAUAGUUUAUUCAAUUUGCUCGCAGGAGGAUGAGGAUAAGGAUAUGUGUUCACCUGGAUGUUGGCUGGGACCAUCAAGAAACAUUUGCAUACGGUGGUAGUAACAUUUUGUAAGAACAAUGCAUGGAAUUUUAGGAACAUAUGGUUAGUAACAUAUGGUUCACGUCAAUAGUGUGGUAGGCAUGCAUGCUCAGUGUGCAUAUGUGCAUCACAAAGUUAAACUAGAUUACUUCCAGCAUUUCCGUGAGUUGGUCCAAGUUAUCAUAGGUAUGUUGCAAAAUCACAAUUAUUUCAAGAGUUGUUGCCACUUGGUGCUCCGUGCUCACCGGUCGUCGCCAUCUCCCCUUGCGGGAGUACACAUCUCUGAUGGUCAACCGUGCCAUGCUUCUGCUUCACAUUCAUGGGGAUGUGGUGAGGUUGGGCAGGACGAAACUCAUCUGCUCCAGCUCGCUCCCGGACUCUUUCAUUUUCUCCAUCGCUAUCAAUAAGUCCUGAUAGCCCCGUCCUCUUUCUCUCACUACACUUCUCUGUGUCUGUCCAUGUGGAUCGCCACGACGCCAUGUUCAAUCAUCCUGAGAAAUGGUAGUGGUAGUUGGUAGUUGUCCCCUUCCUCGUAGAAUCAGAGCUCUCCCAUUAUGAUUGUAACUAGAGUAAUCUGGUAGUGGAACAUAGUAGAAUCAUAGUGGUAGUGGAACAUAGUAGAAUUAUAGAGGUAGUGGAACAUAUAUAGCAUGAGAACGCUGUAGUCUAGAGGAACCAAGAGUAGUGGCCCGUGUUGCAUUGGGACUCCACGCACAACGCACGCACGCAAGUCUCGCACAGUCGUGUCGAGCCUAGAGAAUCGGGCCACUACCCUCUGCUCUUCCUUCUUGCAGCUUGACCGCCAAUCUAGAAGAACGGUAUACACACGUGGAUUAGAGAGUGCAAGUACUUAGAUUUGUAUUACAAUCAAUAGAUGCUAUAACCGAUUUUGAUUGCAUGCCAUACCCUCUUGUCCUCUAUCCCUUUUUGUGUGUGUGCUCAUCUGGAUCUUGGCUACAUUAAUGUGAUCUAGCAUGCAGUUGAGCUACUGGGCUGGGCUAGUUGCGGGUCUUGGAUCAGAAGAACGGCAUACACACGUGGAUUAGAGAGUUCAAGUACUUAUAUUUGUAUUAUCAUGCACGCACACUCAAUGCAAAUAACAUAAUACAUGUUUCUCAACAAAUAAUCAUAGUUCUCACAAUAAAUAUAGUUCUCCACAAUAAACAUAAUUCUCUCACAAAUGAACAUAGUUUUCACAACUAAAGAGAAACAUGAACCAACUGAAAUGAACACGUUCAUCUAGUUCGAGUCACCUUCACAUAGUAACUCAUCAUCAUCAUCCCCUGCAAUAACAACUCCCUUCCCUUUCUUAUCCACAUUAACCUUACCAACAGGUAAAUCAGCAACAAGUGCCUUCAUCGCCUUCAUUUGCACCUCUUCCACCCUUUCUUGUAACUCUUCCAUUUCAAUCCUUCUCUUUCUUGCCCUAACCUGCUGCAAAUAUUCUUCCUAUGAACCCUUAGGGUAUUUUGCAUUCGGAUCAACCAGAAAACCUAAGCGAUCUCUCUCCUCCCUCAACCUUUGUUUCUCCAACUCCCUCUCUUCCUGCAACUUCCUCCUAUUUUCUCUCUUCUCAUCUUCAGUUAGAAGACGUGGAUACUUGGCUCUGUUCUGCCUCCAAUACUUAAUGAUAGUUUCCUUCGCAUAAAGUCCUUCAGGCUUUACUGCAGUGUGGCGGAUCCACUUCGGAUCUACUUGGUUAAACCUGAUUUAGCCGCAUAAUACGCGACAAUCAUGCCUAAGCCGAGUAAACACGAAGUGCCGUCGGAUUUCUUCCGAUUUAACCACAUGAACAGGACCAUUUUAGCAGACCCACACGAAGGUGAGCGGUUCCAGAGAAUACAACAAGUCCACCGAGUUAACAACUUAACCACUGAUUUUUGAUUAGGAAAUGAACCUCAGAGUUUUACAAGGGUUUCAGAAAGACAAACAGAAGGUAAAACCACUAGCGGAAGCAACGUCGGGGUCGGACAUCCCUGGUGAGGCCAGCCGGGACAUCACUGAUCCCUCUCCUCGCCGUCCGAGGAGGGGUCCCACUCAACCGUCCAACCCGGAGGGAGCUGGGGCGGCCAAGUGCCAGCAGGAGAAGGGUCGGGAGCAGCAACUUCACCUGAAAAACAGGAGCCACAACAAGGCUGAGCUACUAAGCUCAACAAGACUUAACCGACAGGAGUAAAGCUACUCCACACUUCUAGACAUGCAAGGCUUUUUGGCUGAGGGGUUUGUUUACCAAAAGCACUAAGUAAAACCCUAUUUUCAAGUUUUAGCUCCGGUUCUAAGUUCAUUAACCGGUCUAGGUUUUGCAACCUAUUCUAAGCAAUCAUAGAACCAACCAAAGAUAUAUAUAUCAUCAACCAAACUCAUGUCAUCAUCAGAUUCCUUAUUUACUCAGGGUGACAUAGCGAUCAAGCAGUCUCAAACUGUGAGAGGCAGACAAAUCGAUUCGAGUUCUUUAACCAUGCAUGGUGAACCUAACCUCAUGGCAUCCGCGUACCCGGAGGUCGCUUCUUGUGUCGGCCUUCCCCAUCAAUCCCCUAACCCGUGUCGGGCCCAUUUCCUUUGGUGCAAGGUUCCACAGACCCGGCCUCUGCCGUUCUGUGACCACGCAUGCCACCACGUGCGACAUCCAGCAGGGGAAACUCUGUUCCAAGAACAAUGGGGCGACCGCUCACGUCUAGGUUCAAUCCGGUACUAGGCUUCCUCAUCCCAUACUAAGUAUGAGGUUAGUACUUUCAAACACUUGAUCACGAACACCACCACUGUCGGGACUUAGCCAAGUUUCAUAGACAGACGGGGCGACCAUCCGUCCACCAAAAGAGUUACCUCAUCCCUGCCCCGUCCAUCGUCCUUACAGGUGUAACAGAAGGGUAGACAUCCAACUCCUACCACUCGCGAGUGCCAGGAAAUCACUCGGUUUUUACCGUUUCCUAUUUAAGCAAGCAUCUACUCGGUCCAACAGCUAGUGUUCAGAUCAUGGGAGCCAACUCGUGCAUCUAGGGUUCCAACCAACUCCUAUAUGUAAAUGCACAAGCAUGUUUAAGGAAGGCACGCGCAAGUCUGGUAAAACAACACCGGGUUUUCAUGCAACCGGGGCUUGCCUUCGAGUAAGGAGGAAGAGAACUGCUCGACUUCGGGGGCGGCUUCGGCUUCAGAGGGCAGGAGCUCAGCUACACCGUUGUCUUCUGGCGCCGGGUGCAGCUCGUAGAAGCCAUCGGCGAGGCGCAGCUCUACACGAAUGCAAUGCAUUAGUUAGUAUAGACGGUUAUUUCAACAGCAACACUUGCAAGUCUGAGCCCAGAAACUCGCGACACAAAGCAGGAGGGUGGGAAGGUUCAAGGGAGCUGGUGGAGAUCAAGAGGUAAGGGUCGGAGGAAAGGCACUUAUGAUCUGACCCUUAAACUAGAGGGUUGGUGUGCUAGGGAUCCUUAGACACUCAACGCUGAAGGGUUCACAAGUUUUACACAUACACCCUCGGUUUGAAGAAAAGGUUACAGCCGAGCCCUCGGGCGAGGCGGAGAGGGGUCGGCGGAACAGGUAGGGUCGGGCGAGACGGAACCGGGGUUGGGCGGAUAAGAAGGGUCGGGCGAAGCGGACAGGGGUCGGACGAGGCGGACUAGGGGUCGGCAGCUUACCUUCUUCCUAUAAGAAAAGCUUGGGGUCGGGAAGGGACAGGCUUGGGACGGAGGGGCUAAGGUCUUGAACAACGGCUAGGUCCGGGAGUGCCUCGGCGGCGGCGGUGCUUCUUGUGGAUCACAAGUGAGCUCUUACGCAGCACGGAGGAGCAAGCGGCUGGAUGGCUUGGGGAAAACGGAGUGGAGCGGAGAGGAGAGUUCCUCAGGAACUUAGUGUGUGGCGCUUGGAGCUCGAGCAGGGAGCAAGAGAAAUGGCGGAAAGACAGCGAUGGCGGAGGGAACUCCGGCGGGGCUCGCGCAUUCCCUUUUAUAGCAACUGGGAAGUGGGAAGGGAAGCGGCGCGGGAGUAAGAAGGUGAGAGGCGCGAAGGCCGGGGAAGAAGCAAUAGAGUGCUCUGCCUGGGCGGCGAUUGAGCGACGAGGGCGGUGGUGCAGGACUUCGGGGAUGACGCCAGCGGUCAUUGGGCUCUGGCGUCAGGGCGGUGCAGGAGCGAGCAUGCCGGUGGUUGGGAUUUGGUGGAGGCGGGCGUCAUCGUGCGGUAGAGUUGAUGGAAGUGACCGGUUUAACGGCGCUAGAAUCGAGGGCGCACAGGUGAGAAGACAGGCAGCCGUGGGCGCGCAGGCGAGCGUGGAGCAACAGAUUGUCGGGCGGCUUCUGACAGAGCGGGGAAAGGAGCUGUCGCUGCCGUGGUCAGGGUUAGCGGAGGGGGAAUCGUCGGGUAGCGAAGACCAGGCGGCGCGACUGUGUCGAAGUGACGGAAAAGACGGGCGACAUCGGGGCUCUGCGGCCGGGAUCUGGCGAUGUGAUGAUGGACGCGGGAGGCGAGGCGUUGCAGAAAGGUUGCAGAGGGGCUUCCGCUACAAUUGGGGAAAGGGGGCGUGAGAAUCCACUUGGUCACGGGCCAGAGACGAGGCUGAUCGGCGGGCGUCGGAGAAGUUGAGCCACGCAGCGGGGAGACUCUGAAGCGGGCAUGCAACUCGAGUGCGCCUGUCGCAGAAGAUCUGGGGGAAAAAGAUCUCGGGGGUCCACCGGUCAGAUAGAACGGACAUUUUGGAAAGGACUCAGAAGGAUCAGACGGUGAGAUGGGUUGGCGGGGUCGGAACUGGAGGCAAGCGGGGAGGGGUCGGGUCUCAGGGGUCGGGGCCGGUCAGAAGGUUGAACACUUAGGCUUGGAAAACUAGACAGGUGAUCAGGGGCUGGAUUAAGAUUAACUUGGAAGAUUUGGGGCCGGUCGUGACAGCCUACCUCUCUUAAAAAGAAUCUCGUCCCGAGAUUCAGGUAUCAAGUAGGGUGUGCCGUUCUUACCUCCUUGAUGAGACAGAAAACCUGGGAAGUGCUUGUUCAGAUACUCGUCUGUUUCCCAUGUUGCUUCAUCCUCCGUAUGGUUUUCCCAGAGGAUCUUGUACAUCUUGACCAUUUGGCGCCGGGUAUGCCUCUCUUUCUGAUCAAGAACUCGGUCUGGGUAUUCGGCGUAGGUUAGGUCGGGCUCUACCUGAAGCUGCUCUGGCUCUAAGAUCUCGGUUGGAACUUGGACACAUUUCUUCAGUUGAGACACAUGGAAGACAUCGUGUAUGGCCGAUAGCUGUUCUGGGAGUUGGAUCCGGUAAGCCACGGGUCCACAGAUCUCCACAAUCUCAUAAGGGCCAAUGUAGCGGGGAGCCAACUUGCCUUUCACUCCAAACCGUUGCACUCCUUUGGUUGGGGAGACUCGAAGAUACACAUGAUCACCAAUGUCAAACUGCAGGGGCCUUCUUCGCCUGUCGGAAUAGCUUUUUUGUCGAGAUUGGGCAGCCUUGAGAUUUGCUUGAAUUACCCUUACUUGCUCUUCGGCUUCUGCCACUAAGUCAGGGCCAUAGAUCUGUCUUUCUCCUGCUUGGGACCAGUUCAAGGGUGUCCGACAUCUCCGGCCAUACAAGGCUUCAAACGGUGCCAUCUUCAAACUGGCCUGGUAGCUGUUGUUUUAGGAGAACUCUGCCAAGGGCAAGCACUUGUCCCAAUUCUUGUCAUAAUGGAUGACAGAAGCUCUCAACAUGUCUUCAAGGAUCUGAUUGACUCUUUCGGUUUGACCAUCGGUUUGAGGAUGAUAUGUUGAGCUACGGAUGAGCUUGGUGCCCAUGGAUGCUUGUAGCUGUUCCCAAAAGCGUGCCACAAACUGAACUCCUCUAUUAGAGAUGAUGGUCUUGGGUACACCGUGUAGGGAAACUAUGCGGUCGAGGUACAGCUCUGCAUACUGCUUGACUGUGUGGGUGGUGCGGACAGGAAGGAAGUGGGCGGUCUUGGUCAGGCGGUCCACUAUAACCCAGAUGGAGUCAUAUCGCUGUGAUGUAAGGGGCAAUCCAACUAUGAAGUCCAUGCUGAUGUCCUCCCAUUUCCAAGAGGGAAUAGGUAGGGGCUGCAGGGUACCCGCUACCUUUAGAUGGCUGGCUUUGACACGUUGACAGGUGUCACAUUCUGAAACAUAACGGGCAAUUUCCGACUUCAUUCCACUCCACCAAAAGGUUUGGCGGAGAUCAUGGUACAUCUUAUUGCUGCCAGGAUGGAUUGAGAACUUGGAGAGAUGAGCUUCAUCUAAGAUUUGCUGCUUAAUGUCGGGGUCGGCUGGUACAACCAGUCAGUCUCCAUAAUACACCUUUCCAACCUCAUCCUGUCGAAAAUGCUUAUGCCCUUCAUCCUUCAAUGAGAUCUUCCUGAUGAUCCGUUUUAUUUCCUCAUCUUCCAUUUGUGCGGACCGUAUUUGGUCUUCCAAAACUGAGUCAAGGGUGAUGUGACCGAGGGUUCCAUGGGGAACAAUUUCCAAACUGAGUUUCCCCAUCUCAUGACGCAGAGUCUCGGUGAAAGUUGUUGCCGACAAGCAAUUGCAACCGUUCUUGCGACUAAGAGCAUCGGCCACCACAUUGACUUUGCCGGGAUUAUAGUGAACUUCCAAGUCAUAGUCUUUUAUCAACUCUAACCAUCUUCUUUGGCGCAUGUUGAGGUCGGCUUGAGUGAAGAUGUACUUGAGGCUCUUGUGGUCGGUAUAGAUGUUGCAGUGGGUGCCCAUCAGAUAGUGUCUCCAUAUCUUUAAGGCAUGAAUUACUGCGGCCAACUCAAGAUCAUGGGUCGGGUAGUUCAGCUCAUGAGGUCGUAAUGCCCGUGAGGCAUAGGCAAUGACUCGGUGGUCUUGCAUAAGAACACACCCAAGUCCAGUGCCAGAGGCGUCACAGUACACAUCAAAACAGGGGCUGUGGUCAGCAGGUGCUUCAGGGUCUUGAAGGCUUCUUCGCACCUGUCGCUCCACGCGAACCUGACCUCUUUCUUCAACAACUCUGUUAUCGGCUUAGCUAUCUUAGAGAAAUCUGGUAUAAAGCGCCGAUAGUAGCCUGCCAAUCCAAGGAAACUUCUGAUCUGGGGCACUGAGGUAGGAGGCUUCCAUUCCAUGACUUCCUGUACCUUACUGGGGUCGACGGCUAUACCCUCCUUGGAGAUAAUGUGUCCCAAAAACUUGACAUUAUCUAACCAAAAUUCGCACUUGGAGAACUUGACAUAGAGUUGGUGAUCUCUCAGCCGUUGGAGAACUACAUGAAGAUAAUCGGCAUGUUCUUCUUCGCCCCUUGAGUACACAAGGAUAUCAUCAAUGAACACCACAACAAACUUGUCUAACUCUGGCAUGAACACUGAGUUCAUGAGGUACAUGAAAUAGGCGGGUGCAUUGGUGAGUCCAAAGGACAUGACCAGGUACUCGUACAGUCCAUAUCUUGUGGAGAAGGCUAUCUUGGGUAUGUCGCAGGGUCGGAUCUUGAUUUGGUGAUAACCCGAACGAAGAUCGAUCUUGGAGAACACUUUUGCUCCCGCUAACUGAUCAAACAAGACAUCGAUGCGUGGCAGUGGGUACUUGUUCUUGACGGUCACAGCAUUAAGGGGUCGGUAGUCCACACACAUGCGUAGACUGCCAUCCUUCUUCUUCACAAAUAGGGCAGGGCAACCCCAAGGUGAUGUGCUGGGUCGGAUGAAACCUUUUUCCAAUAGAUCAUGCAACUGGGUCUUCAACUCGGCCAAUUCAGCAGGUGGCAUCCGAUAGGGCCUCUUGGAUAGCGGUGCGGUGCCGGGGAUCAACUCUAUGGAAAACUCCACCUCUCUAUCAGGUGGCAUGCCAGGCAAGUCUUCGGGGAACACGUCAGGGUACUCACAGACAACAGGGAGGCUUUCUAGCCGGGCUGUCGAUAGAGGGUACGCACAAGGAGGUGCGGACUUAGGAUGUUUCAAGGAUAGGGUAGAACUUCCAUGGAAGGGUGAGUUGAUGUGGAGAGUUCGGGCGGCCGUAUCUAGAACCACUUGGUGUCUGGCCAUCCAAUCCAUCCCGAGGAUGAUAUCUAUGCCUUCUAGGUCAAGGAUGAUAAGGUUUUCCUUGAAAAGAGUUGGGCCUAGCUGGAGAUGUACAAGAGUAACGAUCUGAUCCGAGGCUAUCUUCCCUCCCGGAGUGGCGAUCACAUAGGAUUCCUUAGUGUGACCGACAUCCAGCUCACAUCUUUCCCUAGCCUUACUCCCGAUAAAGCUAUGAGAGGCUCCCGAAUCAAACAACACAACAAUAGCUUGAUUUAAGAUAAGGAAGGAACCCGUCAUUACUGGCGCACCUUCGGGGAGUUCAGUCAAGCUGGUGUAGUUGAGCCGGCCUUGUCGAACUUGCUGUUGGAGGUAUUCCCUAGAGGCAAUCAUAGAGAUGAUGAUAUUCCAUUUGUAUCCAUGAUUUGUAUAUUGUGUUCAUUGAAUAUCCAUUAAAGGCUACUUGAAUUGAUUUGCAAUUAUGUAAAUUGUAUGUGAAACUCUUUACUUGUAUGGUUAUUCUAAAGUUGUCCCUAGUCGGAGUUCAUGUGAGGACACACAUGAAUAUUAGACUAGCACAUGUAUUAGUUGAUGACUAUGUUUAGAUAUGGAUCGACCUACUUAGGGGCUAUCAAACGCUACGCCGUAACAGGGUAGUUAUAAAGGUAGCUUUCGGGUUUGUCAAGAAGCAUGCUAUGAGACAUGGUCAAUCAAGAUGGGAUUUGCCCCUCUCUGAUUGAGAGUGAUAUCUCUGGGCCCCUCGAGUGAUCGGAUCCGAAAAUGCAUGGCCAUGCUACGUACGGUUAAGAGUUAACCUACAAAGGGAUUCCGAAUCAUAGGAUCGAGAAAGAGCGGUCGGCUUGAAGCUAGACCAAAUAUCGUGAGGUGAUGGGAAUAGCAUGUAUAUUAUGUUGUGAUGGUUCGUCUGAUAUGAUCUUCGUGUGCGUAUAGGAGUUGGCACGUCUUGCUAGAGGCCGCUACCGACUAUUGGGCCGAGUAGGAGUACUCGGGCCAUGUCUAUACGUAUCCGAACCCAUAGGGUCACACACUUAAGGGGCUGGAAGCCCAAUUCGGAUCAGAUCCGAGUUGGAUUAGGUUUAGAAGUACUAAUGGGCCUCGGAUCCAGAGGCCCCUCAGGAACCUCUAUAAAUAGAGGGGUGGGGGCGCCCUAGGGUUUACACCUUUUGGCGAAACUCAUCUGCCACACCUCCCACGCCCUCGCCUGUUGCAACUCACGGAUCUAGCAGUCCAGCUUGUGACGCUUCCUCCCUGCACGUGUGGAUACCUUGGAGGUGUUGCGCCUGCAGAACUUGGACGAGCCGCCGACGAGCCACGACGAGCCAACGACGAGCCGCGGCAUCGGAGGCGAUCUUGCUGCACGUGGACGAGCUGCUGAGGAGCUGCUGGACGUUGAGGUGAUCAGUUACUUACGACUACGUGAUCGUCUUCACUGCAUCGACGCAUAUCUACAUCUUCCGCACCAGUAGUGCGUCGAGUGGUAAUCCCGUGAUCCUUAUACGGCAGUUCUUCCUGGUUAUACGCGGUAGAAAUUUUGAUUUGCGCUAGCGUACCCUACCUCGUAUCCCAACAGUAGUAUCAGAGCCGUAGCUGCUUAGUUUUGGAUUCGGGAUGUGUGCAUGUGGAGAUAUGCGAGUUUUCAGUUUGAUCUAUGUCCUGGUUUCGUGCUCUUGCUGCAAUGGUAGUGUAACGACAUACUCCUACCGGUCGGUUUCCGCCAUCGGAGUUAAGUGAUACACGUAAAUCUAGUUGCAGUGAGCGAAGAUCAAUAUGAUUGGUCGAAUCGAAAUCCAGGGUCAAACGCCAGGCGCAUUAGAUGUGCAAUAGUAGAUGAGAUCUACUGCCGGGAUCGGGAUUUUUGCCGUUUGCGUAUGCUUCGGUAAAUCAGCCGUAACUUUUCGGUACGAUCUCGGAUCGGGGCGAAUUUUAUAUGAAAAUUGAUCUACAGAAAAAGUUACACAUGAAAUUCAACCGCUUUGCCGUUUUCGGCGAAAUUAGAUUUCCCAAAUUCGGCUUGGAAGAUGGAGUUUCGGGCAUCCGAAGUUUGGAACGUUAUGGCGCCUAACUCUGUUUUGCAGGAUGUAUGUAUGUAUGUAUCUUGUGAUCAGUAUGGCCCCCUUGUGUAUGUGAUGCAUGUGUGUAACUUAUUCGUGACCUGCGUGUCGAGCGUACGGCAACACAGCAGGAGCCAUAUGUGUUGUCACUUUAUUGUAUUUAAUGGUCUGCGUACCAAUCUGUGAUGAUCCAAGCAACUAUGUAAUCUUCAUUACUAGAUUCUUUACUAGCUAUUAGGCGUAAUAGCAUGCUCUAGUUCUUGGAGGACUCAUCACCAGGAGGAUGGCGCACAUGGAACAUGGAGAUGGAGAUCACCAUGGUGAACAGGUUCUAUGGAGAUGGAGAUCACCAUAUGAAAACGGGUCAUACUGUGUCACAACUGUGUGAGUGCUAUUCUAUUUAUGUUUUACUUUCUGCAUGUUGUGAUGUUAGAAGUAGAACGAUCCCUCACAAAGUUUAAGUUAGUAUGCCCUCCCAACUAAAACUUGCACCGUCCCAUGUCUUGUACAAUUAGUGGUGGGUCUAUGAAAUUAGGGUGCCACUAGUUUUCCUUGACUAGACGGGUUUGUGUCGGACACUUACACGCAUAAGGGUUGGUUUGCUUAACAAAGUUAUCUUAACGGUUAAGGACCUUGGGGCAUAACGGUUGGGCACCGAGACAUGGAGAUGUCACCCAACAACAGGAGUCAUAUGUGAUAUGAUUAGCAAAAGUUGCUUACCGAUCUACCUUGUUUGCUAGCGGUGAUGCUAAAGCUCACUAGUGGACUUGUUAGUUGUCGAUCCUGAAUCACUAAGUUUCAAUAGAGCGAUAUUGAUUUUAGUGGGAGUAGAUUCUGUUAAAAUAGUUUAAUGUGAUUUGCUCUAUCAUGGAUACGUUUGUCUUAGUGUAUUUUGCAUUCAUUUGUUGUAGAUUAAAUGGCACCUAGCAGCACUACACCGUUUGCUUUGCGUUCGGUCCUUGAGAAGGACAAGUUGAAUGGAACAAACUACUCGGAUUGGAUCCGUAACCUGAGAAUUGUUCUCAGGGCUGAGAAAAAGGAAGAUGUUCUAGACAACCCACUACCAGAAGAACCUGUUGAUGAUGCACCUGCUGCUGCUAAGAAUGCUUACAAGAAAGCAUGUGAUGCUAACCUCGAAGUAAGCUGCCUUAUGCUUGCUUGCAUGGAACCCGAGCUGCAGAUGCAGUUCGAAACAAACCAUGAGGCGCACGAUAUGAUCGUGGCGCUUAGAGACAUGUUCCAAACACAGGCCAGGACUGAAAGAUUCAAUGUGUCUAAGGCCUUUGUUGAGAGCAAGCUAGCAGAAGGCGCAGCAGUAGGACCACACGUAAUCAAGAUGGUUGGUUACACUCAACGGUUGGAGAAGCUAGGCUUCCCACUGGGCCAAGAGUUGGCCACUGAUUUCAUUCUUUCGUCUCUUCCGCCUAGCUAUGAGAACUUCAUCUCGAACUACCAUAUGCAUGGGACGGAGAAGGGUCUGAAUGAGCUGUGUGGCAUGCUUAAAACAGCAGAGGCUGACAUCAAGAAAAGCGCUAGUACCAGCCAUGUGAUGGCUAUACAGAACAAGCCUAGCUUUAAGAAGAAGGGCAAUUCUUGGAAGAAGAAGGGCAAGGCUGGAACGUCCAAGCCAAACCCAGCGCCCAAGGUUAAAGCUGGACCUGGACCUGCUCCAGAUAAAUAGUGCUUUUACUGUCAUGAACUUGGUCACUGGUAGAUAAACUGCAAGCAGUACCUAGCUUCCUUGAAGAAUGGCGGAAGUAAGAGUACUUCUACCUUAGGUACGCUUGUUGUUAAUGUUAUAGACAACAUAUUUCUUGCUGAUACAAUUAUUAAUUCUUGGGUAUUUGAUACCGGAUCGGUUGCUCAUAUUUGCAAUUCGAUGCAAGGAAUGAUAAGAAAUAGAAGCGUGGAAAGAGGAGAAGUUGAUUUCCGCGUGGGCAAUAAUGCAAGAGUUGCUGCGUUGACCGUCGGGACAAUGCAACUCCACCUCCCGUCAGGAUUUAUUAUGGAGUUGAAUAAUUGUUAUUUUGUUCCUAGUUUAAGUCGAAACAUUUUGUCUCCUUCAUGCUUGAUGAAGGAUGAUUAUUCAUUUGCGAGUGAAAACAAUGGUUGUGUGAUCUCUAAGAAUGAUAUGUUUAUGGCUUUUGCACCCAUUGUGAAUGGAUUAUUUGUUUUAAAUCUUGAGGGUUCACCUGUCUGUAAUGUAAGUGCUAAAAGGCCUCGGCCUAAUGAUUUGAGUCCUACCUACUUGUGGCAUUGUCGUUUGGGUCAUAUAAGUGAAAAGCGCAUGAAGAAGCUCCAUUCUGAUGGACUUCUAACUUCAUUUGAUUUUGAAUCAUACGAGACAUGUGAGGCUUGCUUGCUAGGCAAGAUGACCAAGACGCCUUUCACAGGAUUUCCUGAGAGAGCAGUAGACUUGUUGGAACUCGUACAUAGUGAUGUAUGCGGACCAACGAGCACGACGGCUAGAAGAGGAUUCCAAUACUUCAUAACUUUCACUGAUGAUUUUAGUAGAUAUGGCUAUGUCUACUUGAUGAGGCACAAGUCUGAAACCUUUGAAAAGUUCAAGGAAUUUCAGAAUGAAGUUGAAAAUCAGCGUGGCAAGAAAAUUAAGGCCUUACGAUCUGAUCGUGGAGGCGAGUAUUUGAGCCACGAGUUUAGCAAUCAUCUAAAGAGUUGCGGAAUUGUUCCACAACUUACGCCGCCUGGAACACCUUAGAGAAACGGUGUGUCCGAGCGACGUAAUCGAACUUUGUUAGACAUGGUUUGAUCAAUGAUGAGCCAGUCGGACCUACCGUUGUCAUUUUGGUGAUACGCUCUAGAAACAGCAGCUUUCACACUUAAUAGGGUACCAUCUAAAUCCGUAGUUAAGACACCAUAUGAGAUAUGGAUUGGAAAGGUUCCUAGUUUGUCUUUUCUAAAGAUUUGGGGAUGUGAAGUCUUCGUCAAGCGAGUUCAGUCGGACAAGAUCACACCCAAGUCGGAUAAGUGCAUUUUCGUGGGAUAUCCAAAGGAAACAUUGGGAUAUUAUUUCUACAACCGAUCAGAAGGCAAAGUGUUUGUCGCUCGGAACGGGGUUUUCCUAGAGAAAGAGUUUCUCAAAGGAGAAAAGAGUGGAAAGACAGUGCAUCUUGAAGAAGUUCAAGAUGAGCCGAUCGGGCAAGAAUCAAUGAGUGAUGCUAACGUAGCAGAACAAGUUGAGAUACCCAUGGCAAGAGAAGCACCGCCACAACCACGAAAGUCGGCAAGGCUCCGCGAAAUGCGGGAAAUAUUAUUGUUGGACAAUGAUGAGCCUGCGACAUAUGCAGAAGCAAUGAUGGACCCAGACUCCGAAAAAUGGCAGAGUGCCAUGCAAUCCGAAAUAGAGUCCAUGGGAGACAAUCAAGUUUGGAACUUGGUUGAUCCGCCUGAUGGUGUUAAAGCCAUAGAGUGCAAGUGGAUCUAUAAGAAGAAAAAGGACAUGGAUGGAAAUGUUCACAUCUAUAAAGCACGACUUGUCGCAAAAGGUUUUCGACAAGUUCAAGGAGUUGACUACGACGAGACCUUCUCGCCCGUAGUGAUGCUUAAGUCCAUUCGGAUUAUUCUAGCUAUAGCUGCAUAUUUCGAUUAUGAGAUAUGGCAGAUGGAUGUCAAGACAGCUUUCCUGAAUGGAAACCUAGCUGAGGACGUGUAUAUGAUACAGCCCGAGGGUUUUGUCGAUCCGGAAAAUGCUGGAAAGGUAUGCAAGCUUCAGAGAUCCAUUUAUGGAUUGAAGCAAGCAUCUAGGAGUUGGAACAUUCGUUUUGAUGAAGUGGUCAAAGGGUUUGACUUCACCAAGAACGAAGAAGAGUCUUGUGUUUACAAGAAGGUUAGUGGGAGCUCUGUAGUAUUUCUAAUCUUAUAUGUGGAUGACAUAUUACUGAUUGGAAAUAACAUUCCUAUGCUUGAGUCCGUAAAGACUUCACUGAAAAAUAGUUUUUCGAUGAAGGACUUAGGGGAAGCGGCAUAUAUUCUGGGCAUUAAGAUCUAUAGAGAUAGAUCGAGAAGGCUUAUAGGUUUAAGCCAAGAUACUUACAUUGACAAAGUGUUGAAGCGGUUCAGCAUGGAAGAGGCAAAGAAAGGGUUCUUGCCUAUGUCACAUGGCAUACAUCUCAGCAAGACUCAGUGUCCUUCGACUGCUGAUGAGCGGGAUCGCAUGAGUAGAGUGCCAUAUGCCUCGGCUAUUGGAUCUAUCAUGUAUGCAAUGAUAAGUACUCGCCCAGAUGUUUCAUAUGCGCUAAGUAUGACAAGCAGACACCAAUCUGAUCCAGGUGAGAGUCACUGGACAGCGGUGAAAAAUAUUCUUAAGUACUUGAGAAGGACUAAAGAUAUGUUCCUCAUCUAUGGAGGUGAGGAGGAGCUCGUUGUAACAGGUUACACCGAUGCUAGUUUCCAAACCGACAAAGAUGAUUCAAAGUCACAAUCAGGAUUUGUGUUCACACUGAAUGGUGGUGCUGUUAGUUGGAAGAGUUCCAAGCAGGAGACGGUGGCCGAUUCUACGACAGAAGCCGAGUACAUCGCGGCUUCGGAAGCCGCGAAGGAAGGUGUUUGGAUAAGGAAUUUCCUCAUUGAGCUUGGUGUGUUCCCGAAUGCGUCCAGCCCAUUGAAUCUCUACUGUGAUAAUAAUGGGGCAAUUGCGCAAGCAAAGGAGCCAAGGAACCACCAGAAGAACAAACACGUAAUGCGGCGAUUUCAUCUCAUUCGAGACUUCGUUAACCGGGGUGAGAUCAAGAUAUGCAAAAUACACACGGAUCUGAACAUUUCUGAUGCGUUGACAAAGCCACUCCCGCAGGCUAAGCAUGAUGCGCAUGUAAGUGCUAUGGGUAUUAGGUACCUUCUAGAUUGACUCUAGUGCAAGUGGGAGACUGUUGGAGGUAUGCCCUAGAGGCAAUCAUAGAGAUGAUGAUAUUCCAUUUGUAUCCAUGAUUUGUAUAUUGUGUUCAUUGAAUAUCCAUUAAAGGCUACUUGAAUUGAUUUGCAAUUAUGUGAAUUGUAUGUGAAACUCUUUACUUGUAUGGUUAUUCUAAAGUUGUCCCUAGUCGGAGUUCAUGUGAGGACACACAUGAAUAUUAGACUAGCACAUGUAUUAGUUGAUGACUAUGUUUCACAAGUCAUGGACAUGGAGAUGUUGAACUAAUAAUGUGGACACAUGUGGAGACAUGUGCUAGGACUGACCCAACACGAGAAGUAGUUCUCUCUUUAAACAACAUAUACGCUUUGUCCUUAGACCUGAGAUUGUCGCAUGUAUUCUAGAUGUGGAUCGACCUACUUAGGGGCUAUCAAACGCUACGCCGUAACAGGGUAGUUAUAAAGGUAGCUUUCGGGUUUGUCAAGAAGCAUGCUAUGAGACAUGGUCAAUCAAGAUGGGAUUUGCCCCUCUCUGAUUGAGAGUGAUAUCUCUGGGCCCCUCGAGUGAUCGGAUCCGAAAAUGCAUGGCCAUGCUACGUACGGUUAAGAGUUAACCUACAAAGGGAUUCCGAAUCAUAGGAUCGAGAAAGAGCGGUCGACUUGAAGCUAGACCAAAUAUCGUGAGGCGAAGGGAAUAGCAUGUAUAUUAUGUUGUGAUGGUUCGUCUGAUAUGAUCUUCGUGUGCGUAUAGGAGUUGGCACGUCUUGCUAGAGGCCGCUACCGACUAUUGGGCCGAGUAGGAGUACUCGGGCCAUGUCUAUACGUAUCCGAACCCAUAGGGUCACACACUUAAGGGGCUGGAAGCCCAAUUCGGAUCAGAUCCGAGUUGGAUUAGGUUUAGAAGUACUAAUGGGCCUCGGAUCCAGAGGCCCGUCAGGAACCUCUAUAAAUAGAGGGGUGGGGGCGCCCUAGGGUUUACACCUUUUGGCGAAACUCAUCUACCACACCUCCCACGCCCUCGCCUGUUGCAACUCACGGAUCUAGCAGUCCGGCUUGCGACGCUUCCUCCCUGCACGUGUGGAUACCUUGGAGGUGUUGCGCCUGCAGCACUUGGACGAGCCGACGACGAGCCGCCGACGAGCCACGAUGAGCCAACGACGAGCCGCGGCAUCGGAGGCGAUCUUGCUGCACGUGGACGAGCUGCUGAGGAGCUGCUGGAUGUUGACGUGAUCGACUACGUACGACUACGUUGAUCGACUACGUACGACUACGUGAUCGUCUUCACUGCAUCGACGCAUAUCUACAUCUUCCGCACCAGUAGUGCGUCGAGUGGUAAUCCCGUGAUCCUUAUAUGGCAGUUCUUCCUGGUUAUACGCGGUAGAAAUUUUGAUUUGCGCUAGCAUAGCCUACCUCGUAUCCCAACACUUGCACCUUGGGCCUUCUUCCUCUGUUCGCCAGGGGGUUCUGGCCUUGCUGUUGAUGCUUGUUCCUGGGGCAGUCCUUAGCAAAAUGCCCUUCAUUGCCGCAGGUGAAGCAGCGGCUACUGGUUGCAGGGCGGGGUGGUGCUGGUGGGGUCGGCCGGGGCGCCUGUGGUUGGAAGCCGGGAAAACGGGGCGCUGCUAUUGGUGGGGGUCGGGCAAUCCACCUUCCCGACUGCUGGGGUCAGCCGGGGGCUUGCGGAGGAACCAUCCUGAACCUUCGGGUUGGCUGGCUCGGAAAUGCCAUGGAGGCCUUCCUCUUCUGGUCGGCUUUGAGAGCCUGUAUGCAAUCUUCUUGGGAGAUGAUCAGGUUGACCAACUCGUUGUAGGUGUCCACCUUGAUGGGGUUUAACCUUUCUCUGAGCUCCAAGCUCAGUCCUCAGCGGAAUCUGUCCUGCUUCUUCUCGUCUGUGUCCGCAUGAUAGCCGGCAUAACGGCAUAGAUCGUUGAAAACUUGGGCGUAGUGCAGGACAUCUUGGUUUCCCUGGGUAAGAGCCAGGAACUCGUUGAGCCUGCGCUCUAGGAGACCUUCUGGGAUGUGAUGCACUUUAAACGCGGUCUUGAACUUGUUCCAGCUGACCACAUGGCCAUCCGGCAACAUGGCAUGGUAGUGGUCCCACCAAAGCUGUGCGGAGCCACGCAGCUGUUGAGCGGCGAACCGAGCCUUGUUAUGGUCGGGGCACGGGGCGGUGAGAAGCUCGAACUUGGAUUCGAUCGUACGAACCCAGGCAUCGGCGUCGAGCGGUUCUUGUGUCUUCUGAAACAAAGGGGGCUGCGUCCCCAAAAAGUCCUCAUAGCGAGCCACAUGCGGCUGCUGCUGAGCCCUUCCACCAUGGGGCUGCUGCUGUUGUCCUUGUACAAGAUGCCUUAGCAGCUCGGUUUGAGUUGCUAGGAUUGCCUCUAGUAGAGAUGAGGGCAGGGGUGGGGGAAGAUCCUGUCGCUGCUCGCUGCUGCCGGGCACAGAACCAGAUCUGGUGCAAUGCGCCAUCUGCAAGAGUUAUCGUCCCAUUAAAUUCCAAAACUUAGAAGUACUCCAACCGAUGGAACGUAUAAGUUAAAUUCUCCAAUGCGACUCUUGCUGAUAAUGCAACACACGUCCUCAUAGGGAAGACACACUUCUUAUCUUCAUGUUAGUUAGCGUUUAUCCUAGCCUUGUACUUAACUUCGGGCGAAUCAUACCCUACUCAGACUCCUAUAAUCCAAACUUAAGCCAAGGGGUCAGGCUAGGCGAUCCUCCCGAGAAAAAGGGUCGGCAACGGUCCAUAUUAAAAAAAGGUCGGGCGAGGCGGAGACUGCCUCGUAAGGUCGGCGCAUCCGAUCUCGCGAAUUGGGGUCGGCCAACUUGAAUAGACUCACAGAAAACGGAGUGUGUGGUCGCGGCUCAACUCACUUAGUCUAUCAUUCCAACACUUUGCAAAAGUUAAAGGCCAGACUCAGGAAUUGACUUCAUUUACAACGGUGUUCCAAACACAGGGAGUACUCGACUCAAGGCUAACCUAUUACAAUUCUUUCCAAAAUUUAGGCUGCUGAGGAGAACAACAAAAGAAUGAGCCCCUGGUAACUCUUAAUCUACAAAUGGACACUAUGAGUAGGAGAAGGGGCGCCGUCUUCUUCAAUGUCCAUACUGGACGCUCCCUCAUCCUCCUCGGGGUCCUCUUGAGCUUCGAGUUGCAUAUGGAGGGCGUGCAUAUCGUCGAGCUCAGCUUGAUGCUCGUCCAAGUAAGCAUUGGCAACCGCCAGCUCCAUCUCUAUUUCCAUUUUCUCCUCCGACAGCUCGAUCAUGCCGUCCACCAGGUCGGCCACUUCUCCUUCGAGCUCGGAGAUCCGGUCUUGCAUGUCGUGUAUCUGAAUGCCUCGUUGGAUAAGCUGGUAGGUUUGGCCUACCAUGUCUCUCCUGGCUGACUGAAGGUGUCCUUGAGCGUCCACUGCGGUCCGGGCAAGGAUGGUCAUGGCUCUCCCUUGGAGCUCGAUCAGCCGAUAGAGGGCUGUCAUACAUCUGACGUUGGUGGAGAUUGUGACCAUGGAGUAAGUGGUGGCUAGCACCUCAAUAUUUCUGACGCGGUCGAGCCACGCCGGAUCCAACCGGUUCCUGGCGGGGAACAGGCCGAUAGGGUCUAGGGUGACCUCCAAGGGGUGCAGCUGACAGAACUGGGUAAGGAGCUGGAGAGCGGCGGACUCCCAGGUGUCCUCUGGAGCUAGGCCGUAGGCUGAUAUACCGAAGGAGGGCCAGUCGGGCAGCACAGGGGGAGGAGGUACCACCGCCUGUACAUUGCACGUCUGGAUGCCCUGCUCCAGGUAUAAUCGUCCUGCGUACAAUGGUGGGGACUGGUACCCGAACCAUUUCAAUGUGUCCCAUAAAAUCGCGGGGAAGCCCUCGAAAUAUAGACAGGUUGACUGGAAGGUACCAUCCGCUCCAAACAAAACGUGUCCGGGGACGGCCAUCUGGAACCAAGAAACCAAAACCACGUGAGAUAGACUCCAAGGGUCAGGGGUCGGAUAGAGAAGCAUUCGGCUUAACCGAGAGCAAUUGGAAGAACUAUAAAUCCUUAAAACCAAAAAGAGCUUUUCCGAGCAAGGUUGCUUUUGAGAAGAGUGACUUUACAGAUUUUGCUUAUGACGCAUGCACGGCCUACCUUAUUCUUAACCAAAACAACUGCCCGAAACCUGGGUCUUACGCGGUCAGUGCCGGUGGCAAGGCAACAAGUACGUCUCUCCCUAUAAUAGCUAGUCGGUUCUAGCCACGUCUCCUAAGCGAACGCGGUUAGUGUACCUGCAGAAAACACCACCACACGAACCUUUCGUGCCAGCACCCACGAAAGCGUUCCCAAACAUUACCGCUCACUAUAGGAUCGGUACCCAUGCGUUUAAGGCUGCAUGGACAGCACUCAACCGUGGAAAUAGGUUCCCUUUGAAUGGAACCGUAUAACCCUUCGCAUACUCGCGAUGCGGAAUCAACUCACGUGUGAUAAACGUGGCGAAUCAACCGUGUUGAUAGGUUCGUUGGAAUCGAACCGUACCAACCUUCGUAUGGAUUACAUAUGGGACUUGCGCACGUAUGAUAGACGUGGGCGAAAACAACCACGAUGAUAGGGUCCUUUGAAUAGAACUUCCUAUCAACCUUCGCAUACUCGUGAUGCAAAACUCGGCACACGUAUGACAAACGUGGCGAAGUGCUGGAAGGUUAGCAAGAUAACCAAAUAAAGUAUUAGCCACCUAAAACAACCCCAAAAUCCCCUAGGGCCUCUCGCACUAAAGUCAUCCUUAACGAUCGUACGAGAUUUUUCAAAAAGUUUCUUGCAACUUUUAUCUUUUCAAAGAAGUGUUAGGGCUUCUCGUGUUCUCUGUAUUGCUAAACCGGCUCUGGUACCAGCUGUGGCGGAUCCACUUCGGAUCUACUUGGUUAAACCUGAUUUAGCCGCAUAAUACGCGACAAUCAUGCCUAAGCCGAGUAAACACGAAGUGCCGUCGGAUUUCUUCCGAUUUAACCACAUGAACAGGACCAUUUUAGCAGACCCACACGAAGGUGAGCGGUUCCAGAGAAUACAACAAGUCCACCGAGUUAACAACUUAACCACUGAUUUUUGAUUAGGAAAUGAACCUCAGAGUUUUACAAGGGUUUCAGAAAGACAAACAGAAGGUAAAACCACUAGCGGAAGCAACGUCGGGGUCGGACAUCCCUGGUGAGGCCAGCCGGGACAUCACUGAUCCCUCUCCUCGCCGUCCGAGGAGGGGUCCCACUCAACCGUCCAACCCGGAGGGAGCUGGGGCGGCCAAGUGCCAGCAGGAGAAGGGUCGGGAGCAGCAACUUCACCUGAAAAACAGGAGCCACAACAAGGCUGAGCUACUAAGCUCAACAAGACUUAACCGACAGGAGUAAAGCUACUCCACACUUCUAGACAUGCAAGGCUUUUUGGCUGAGGGGUUUGUUUACCAAAAGCACUAAGUAAAACCCUAUUUUCAAGUUUUAGCUCCGGUUCUAAGUUCAUUAACCGGUCUAGGUUUUGCAACCUAUUCUAAGCAAUCAUAGAACCAACCAAAGAUAUAUAUAUCAUCAACCAAACUCAUGUCAUCAUCAGAUUCCUUAUUUACUCAGGGUGACAUAGCGAUCAAGCAGUCUCAAACUGUGAGAGGCAGACGAAUCGAUUCGAGUUCUUUAACCAUGCAUGGUGAACCUAACCUCACGACAUCCGCGUACCCGGAGGUCGCUUCCUGUGUCGGCCUUCCCCAUCAAUCCCCUAACCCGUGUCGGGCCCAUUUCCUUUGGUGCAAGGUUCCACAGACCCGGCCUCUGCCGUUCUGUGACCACGCAUGCCACCACGUGCGACAUCCAGCAGGGGAAACUCCAUUCCAAGAACAAUGGGGCGACCGCUCACGUCUAGGUUCAAUCCGGUACUAGGUUUCCUCAUCCCAUACUAAGUAUGAGGUUAGUACUUUCAAACACUUGAUCACGAACACCACCACUGUCGGGCCUUAGCCAAGUUUCAUAGACAGACGGGGCGACCAUCCGUCCACCAAAAGAGUUACCUCAUCCCUGCCCCGUCCAUCGUCCUUACAGGUGUAACAGAAGGGUAGACAUCCAACUCCUACCACUCGCGAGUGACAGGAAAUCACUCGGCUUUUACCGUUUCCUAUUUAAGCAAGCAUCUACUCGGUCUAACAGCUAGUGUUCAGAUCAUGGGAGCUAACUUGUGCAUCUAGGGUUCCAACCAACUCCUAUACGUAAAUGCACAAUCAUGUUUAAGGAAGGCAUGCGCAAGUCUGGUAAAACAACACCAGGUUUUCAUGCAACCGGGGCUUGCCUUCGAGCAAGGAGGAAGAGAACUGCUCGACUUCGGGGGCGGCUUCGGCUUCAGAGGGCAGGAGCUCAGCUACACCGUCGUCUUCUAGCGCCGGGUGCAGCUCGUAGAAGCCAUCGGCGAGGCGCAGCUCUACACGAAUGCAAUGCAUUAGUUAGUAUAGACGGUUAUUUCAACAGCAACACUUGCAAGUCUGAGCCCAGAAACUCGCGACACAAAGCAGGAGGGUGGGAAGGUUCAAGGGAGCUGGUGGAGAUCAAGAGGUAAGGGUCGGAGGAAAGGCACUUAUGAUCUGACCCUUAAACUAGAGGGUUGGUGUGCUAGGGAUCCUUAGACACUCAACGCUGAAGGGUUCACAAGUUUUACACAUACACCCUUGGUUUGAAGAAAAGGUUACAGCCGAGCCCUUGGGCGAGGCGGAGAGGGGUCGACGGAACAGGUAGGGUCGGGCGAGACGGAACCGGGGUCGGGCGGAUAAGAGGGGUCGGGCGAACCGGACAGGGGUCGGACGAGGCGGACCAGGGGUCGGCAGCUUACCUUCUUCCUAUAAGGAAAAAGCUUGGGGUCGGGAAGGGACACGCUUGGGACGGAGGGGCUAAGGUCUUGAACAACGGCUAGGUCCGGCAGUGCCUCGGUGGCGGCGGUGCUUCUUGUGGAUCACAAGUGAGCUCUUACGCAGCACGGAGGAGCAAGCGGCUGGAUGGCUUGGGGAAAAUGGAGUGGAGCGGAGAGGAGAGUUCCUCAGGAACUUAGUGUGUGGCGCUGGGAGCUCAAGCAGGGAGCAAGAGAAAUGGCGGAAAGACAGCGAUGGCGGAGGGAACUCCGGCGGGGUUCGCGCAUUCCCUUUUAUAGCGACUGGGAAGUGGGAAGGGAAGCGGCGCGGGAGUAAGAAGGUGAGCGGCGCGAAGGCCGGGGAAGAAGCAAUGGAGUGCUCUGCCUGGGCGGCGAUUGAGCGACGAGGGCGGUGGUGCAGGACUUCGGGGAUGACGCCAGUGGUCAUUGGGAUCUGGCAUUAGGGUGGCGCAGGAGCGGGCAUGCCGGUGGUUGGGAUUUAGCGGAGGCGGGCGUCGUUGUGCGGUAGAGUUGAUGGAAGUGACCGGUUUAAUGGCGCUAGAAUCGAGGGCGCACAGGUGAGAAGACAGGCAGCCGCGGGCGCGCAGGCGAGCGCGGAGCAACAGAUUGUCGGGCGGCUUCUGACAGGGCGGGGAAAGGAGCUGUCGCUGCCGUGGUCAGGGUUAGCGGAGGGGGAAUCGUCGGGUAGCGAAGACUAGGCGGCGCGACUGUGUCGAAGUGACGGAAAAGACGGGUGACAUCGGGGCUCUACGGCCGGGAUCUGGCGAUGUGAUGAUGGGCGCGGGAGGCGAGGCGUUGCAAAAAGGUUGCAGAGGGGCUUCCGCUACAAUUGGGGAAAGGGGGCGCGAGAAUCCACUUGGUCGCGGGCCAGAGACGAGGCUGAUCGGCGGGCGUCGGAGAAGUUGAGCCACGCGGCGGGGAGACUCUGAAGCAGGCAUGCAACUCGAGUGCGCCUAUCGCGGAAGAUCUGGGGGAAAAAGAUCUCGGGGGUCCACCGGUCAGAUAGAACGGACGUUUUGGAAAGGACCCAGAAGGAUCAGACGGUGAGAUGGGUUGGCGGGGUCGGAACUGGAGGCAAGCGGGGAGGGGUCAGGUCUCAGGGGUCGGGGCCGGUCGGAAGGUUGAACACUUAGGCUUGGAAAACUAGACAGGUGAUCAGGGGCUCGGAUUAAGAUUAACUUGGAAGAUUUGGGGCCGGUCGUCACAGCCUACCCCUCUUAAAAAGAAUCUCGUCCCGAGAUUCAGGUAUCAAGUAGGGUGUGCCGUUCUUACCUCCUUGACGAGACAGAAAACCUGGGAAGUGCUUGUUCAGAUACUCGUCUGUUUCCCAUGUUGCUUCAUCCUCCGUGUGGUUUCUGUUGGGAUACGAGGUAGGCUACACUAGCGCAAAUCAAAAUUUCUACCGCGUAUAACCAGGAAGAACUGCCGUAUAAGGAUCACGGGAUUACCACUCGACGCACUACUGGUGCGGAAGAUGUAGAUAUGCGUCGGUGCAGUGAAGACGAUCACGUAGUCGUACGUAGUCGAUCACGUCCAGCAGCUCCUUAGCAGCUCGUCCACGUGCACAGCAAGAUCGCCUCCGGUGCCGCGGCUCGUCGUCGGCUCGUCGUGGCUCGUCGGCGGCUCGUCGAUGGCUCGUCCAAGUGCUGCAGGCGCAACACCUCCAAGGUAUCCACACGUGCAGGGAGGAAGCGUCGCAAGCCGGAUUGCUAGAUCCGCGAGUUGCAACAGGCGAGGGCGUGGGAGGCGCGGCAGAAGUGUUUCGCCAAAAGGUGUAAACCCUAGGGCGCCCCCACCCCUCUAUUUAUAGGGGUUCCUGACGGGCCUCUGGAUCCGAGGCCCAUUAGUACUCCUAAACCUAAUCCAACUCGGAUCAGAUCCGAAUUGGGCUUCCAGCCCCUUAAGUGUGUGACCCUAUGGGUUCGGAUACGUAUAGACAUGGCCCGAGUACUCCUACUCGGCCCAAUAGUCGGUAGCGGCCUCUAGCAAGACGUGCCAACUCCUAUACGCAUACGAAGAUCAUAUCAGACGAACCAUCACAACAUAAUGUACAUGCUAUUCCCUUUGCCUCACGAUAUUUGGUCUAGCUUCAAGCCGACCGCUCUUUCUCGAUCCUGUGAUUCGGAAUCCUUUUGUAGGUUAACUCUUAACCGUACAUAGCAUGGCCAUGCAUUUUCGGAUCCGAUCACUCGAGGGGCCCAGAGAUAUCACUCUCAAUCAGAGAGGGGCAAAUCCCAUCUUGAUUGACCAUGUCUCAUAGCAUGCUUCUUGACAAACCCGAAAGCUACCUUUAUAACUACCCUGUUACGGCGUAGCGUUUGAUAGCCCCUAAGUAGGUCGAUCCACAUCUAGAACACAUGCGACAAUCUCAGGUCUAAGGACAAAGCGUAUAUGUUGUUUGAAGAGAGAACUACUUCUCGUGUUGGGUCAGUCCUACCACAUGUCUCCACAUGUGUCCACAUUAUUAGUUCAACAUCUCCAUGUCCAUGACUUGUGAAACAUAGUCAUCAACUAAUACAUGUGCUAGUCUAAUAUUCAUGUGUGUCCUCACAUGAACUCCGACUAGGGACAACUUUAGAAUAACCAUACAAGUAAAGGGUUUCACAUACAAUUCACAUAAUUGCAAAUCAAUUCAAGUAGCCUUUAAUGGAUAUUCAAUGAACACAAUAUACAAAUCAUGGAUACAAAUGGAAUAUCAUCAUCUCUAUGAUUGCCUCUAGGGCAUACCUCCAACAGUCUCCCACUUGCACUAGAGUCAAUCUAGAAGGUACCUAAUACUCAUAGCUCUUACAUGCGCAUCAUGCUUAGCCUGCGGGAGUGGUUUUGUCAACGGAUCAGAAAUGUUCAGAUCCGUGUGUAUUUUGCAUAUCUUGAUCUCACCCCGGUUAACGAAGUCUCGAAUGAGAUGAAAUCGCCGCAUUACGUGUUUGUUCUUCUGGUGGUUCCUUGGCUCCUUUGCUUGCGCAAUUGCCCCAUUGUUAUCACAGUAGAGAUUCAAUGGGCUGGACGCAUUCGGGAACACACCAAGCUCAAUGAGGAAAUUCCUUAUCCAAACACCUUCUUUCGCGGCUUCCGAAGCCGCGAUGUACACGGCUUCUGUCGUAGAAUCGGCCACCGUCUCCUGCUUGGAACUCUUCCAACUAACAGCACCACCAUUUAGCGUGAACACAAAUCCUGAUUGUGACUUUGAAUCAUCUCUGUCGGUUUGGAAACUAGCAUCGGUGUAACCUGUUACAACGAGCUCCUCCUGACCUCCAUAGACGAGGAACAUAUCUUUAGUCCUUCUCAAGUACUUAAGAAUGUUUUUCACCGCUGUCCAGUGACUCUCACCUGGAUCAGAUUGGUGUCUGCUUGUCAUACUUAGCGCAUAUGAAACAUCUGGGCGAGUACUUAUCAUUGCAUACAUGAUAGAUCCAAUAGCCGAGGCAUAUGGUACUCUACUCAUGCGAUCCCGCUCAUCAGCAGUCGAAGGACACUGAGUCUUGCUGAGAUGUAUGCCAUGUGACAUAGGCAAGAACCCUUUCUUUGCCUCUUCCAUGCUGAACCGCUUCAACACAUUGUCAAUGUAAGUAUCUUGGCUUAAACCUAUAAGCCUUCUUGAUCUAUCUCUAUAGAUCUUAAUACCCAGAAUAUAUGCCGCUUCCCCUAAGUCCUUCAUCGAAAAACUAUUUUUCAGUGAAGUCUUUACGGACUCAAGCAUAGGAAUGUUAUUUCCAAUCAGUAAUAUGUCAUCCACAUAUAACAUUAGAAAUACUACAGAGCUCCCACUAACCUUCUUGUAAACACAAGACUCUUCUUCGUUCUUGGUGAAGUCAAACCCUUUGACGACUUCAUCAAAACGAAUGUUCCAACUCCUAGAUGCUUGCUUCAAUCCAUAAAUGGAUCUCUGAAGCUUGCAUACCUUUCCAGCAUUUUUCGGAUCGACAAAACCCUCGGGCUGUAUCAUAUACACGUCCUCAGCUAGGUUUCCAUUCAGGAAAGCUGUCUUGACAUCCAUCUGCCAUAUCUCAUAAUCGAAAUAUGCAGCUAUAGCUAGAAUAAUCCGAAUGGACUUAAGCAUCACUACGGGCGAGAAGGUCUCGUCGUAGUCAACUCCUUGAACUUGUCGAAAACCUUUUGCGACAAGUCGUGCUUUAUAGAUGUGAACAUUUCCAUCCAUGUCCUUUUUCUUCUUAUAGAUCCACUUGCACUCUAUGGCUUUAACACCAUCAGGCGGGUCAACCAAGUUCCAAACUUGAUUGUCUCCCAUGGACUCUAUUUCGGAUUGCAUGGCACUCUGCCAUUUUUCGGAGUCUGGGUCCAUCAUUGCUUCUGCAUAUGUCGCAGGCUCAUCAUUGUCCAACAAUAAUAUUUCUCGCAUUUCGCGGAGCCUUGCUGACUUUCGUGGUUGUGGCGGUGCUUCUCUUGCCAUGGGUAUCUCAACUUGUUCUGCUACGUUAGCAUCACUCAUUGAUUCUUGCCCGAUCGGCUCAUAUUGAACUUCUUCAAGAUGCACUGUCUUUCCACUCUUUUCUCCUUUGAGAAACUCUUUCUCUAGGAAAACCCCGUUCCGAGCGACAAACACUUUGCCUUCUGAUCGGUUGUAGAAAUAAUAUCCCAAAGUUUCCUUUGGAUAUCCCACGAAAAUGCACUUAUCCGACUUGGGUGUGAUCUUGUCCGACUGAAGUCGCUUGACAAACACUUCACAUCCCCAAAUCUUUAGAAAAGACAAACUAGGAACCUUUCCAGUCCACAUCUCAUAUGGUGUCUUAACUACGGAUUUAGAUGGUACCCUAUUAAGUGUGAAAGCUGCUGUUUCUAGAGCGUAUCCCCAAAAUGACAACGGUAGGUCCGACUGGCUCAUCAUUGAUCGAACCAUGUCUAACAAAGUUCGAUUACGUCGCUCGGACACACCGUUUCUUCGAGGUGUUCCAGGCGGCGUAAGUUGUGGAACAAUUCCGCAACUCUUUAGAUGAUUGCUAAACUCGUGGCUCAAAUACUCGCCUCCACGAUCAGAUCGUAAGGCCUUAAUUUUCUUGCCACGCUGAUUUUCAACUUCAUUCUGAAAUUCCUUGAACUUUUCAAAGGUCUCAGACUUGUGCCUCAUCAAGCAGACAUAGCCAUAUCUACUAAAAUCAUCAGUGAAAGUUAUGAAGUAUUGGAAUCCUCUUCUAGCCGUCGUGCUCGUUGGUCCGCAUACAUCACUAUGUACGAGUUCCAACAAGUCUACUGCUCUCUCAGGAAAUCCUGUGAAAGGCGUCUUGGUCAUCUUGCCUAGCAAGCAAGCCUCACAUGUCUCGUAUGAUUCAAAAUCAAACGAAGUUAGAAGUCCAUCAGAAUGGAGCUUCUUCAUGCGCUUAUCACUUAUAUGACCCAAACGACAAUGCCACAAGUAGGUAGGACUCAAAUCAUUAGGCCGAGGCCUUUUAGCACUUACAUUAUAGACAGGUGAACCAUCAAGAUUUAAAACAAAUAAUCCAUUCACAAUGGGUGCAAAAGCCAUAAACAUAUUAUUCUUAGAGAUCACACAACCAUUGUUUUCACUCGCAAAUGAAUAAUCAUCCUUCAUCAAGCAUGAAGGAGACAAAAUGUUUCGACUUAAACUAGGAACAAAAUAACAAUUAUUCAACUCCAUAAUAAAUCCUGACGGGAGGUGGAGUUGCAUCGUCCCGACGGUCAAAGCAGCAACUCUUGCAUUAUUGCCCACGCGGAAAUCAACUUCUCCUCUUUCCACGCUUCUACUUCUUAUCAUUCCCUGCAUCGAAUUGCAAAUAUGAGCAACCGAUCCGGUAUCAAAUACCCAAGAAUUAAUAACUGUAUCAGCGAGAAAUGUGUUGUCUAUAACAUUAACAACAAGCGUACCUGAGGUAGAAGUACUCUUACUUCCGCCGUUCUUCAAGGAAGCUAGGUACUGCUUGCAGUUUCUCUUCCAGUGACCAAGUUCAUGACAGUAAAAGCACUCUUUAUCUGGAGCAGGUCCAGGUCCAGCUUUAACCUUGGGCAGUGGGUUUGGCUUGGACGUUCCAGCCUUGCCCUUCUUCUUCCAAGAAUUGCCCUUCUUUUUAAAGCUGGGCUUGUUCUGUAUCGCCAUCACAUGGCUGGUACUAGCGCUUUUCUUAAUGUCAGCCUCUGCUGUCUUGAGCAUACCACACAGCUCAUUCAGACCCUUCUCCGUCCCAUGCAUAUGGUAGUUCGAGAUGAAGUUCCCAUAGCUAGACGGAAGAGAUGAAAGAAUGAAAUCAGUGGCCAACUCUUGGCCCAGUGGGAAGCCUAGCUUCUCCAACCGUUGAGUGUAACCAACCAUCUUGAUUACGUGUGGUCCUACCGCUGCGCCUUCUGCUAGCUUGCUCUCAACAAAGGCCUUAGACACAUUGAACCUUUCAGUCCUGGCCUGUGUUUGGAACAUGUCUCUAAGCGCCACGAUCAUAUCGUGCGCCUCAUGGUUUGUUUCGAACUGCAUCUGCAGCUCGGGUUCCAUGCAAGCAAGCAUAAGGCAGCUUACUUCGAGGUUAGCAUCACAUGCUUUCUUGUAAGCAUUCUUAGCAGCAGCGGGUGCAUCCUCAGCAGGUUCUUCUGGUAGUGGGUUGUCUAGAACAUCUUCCUUUUUCUCAGCCCUGAGAACAAUUCUCAGGUUGCGGAUCCAAUCCGAGUAGUUUGUUCCAUUCAACUUGUCCUUCUCAAGGACCGAACGCAAAGCAAACGAUGUGGUGGUGUUGCUAGGUGCCAUUUAAUCUACAACAAAAGUAAUGCAAAAUACACUAAGACAAACGUAUCCAUGAUAGAGCAAAUCACAUUAAACUAUUUUAACAGAAUCUACUGCCACUAAAAUCAAUAUCCCUCUAUUGAAACUUAGUGAUUCAGGAUCCACAACUAACAAGUCCACUAGUGAGCUUUAGCAUCACCGCUAGCAAAUGAGGUAGAUCGAUAAGCAACUUUUGCUAAUCAUAUCACAUAUGACUCCUGUUGUUGGGUGACAUCUCUAUGUCUCGGCGCCCAACCUUUAUGCCCCAAGGUCCUUAACCGUUAAGAUGACCUCGUUAAGCAAACCAACCCUUAUGCGUGUAAGUGUCCGACACAAACCCGUCUAGUCAAGGAAAACUAGUGGCACUCUAAUUUCAUAGACCCACCACUAAUUGUACAAGACAUGAGACGGUGCAAGUUUUAGUUGGGAGGGCAUACUAACUUAAACUUUGUGAGGGAUCGUUCUACUUCUAACAUCACAGCAUGCAGAAAGUAAAACAUAAACAGAAUAGCAUUCACAUAGUUGUGACACAGUAUGGCCCGUUUUCAUAUGGUGAUCUCCAUCUCCAUAGAACCUGUUCACCAUGGUGAUCUUCAUAUCCAUGUUCCAUGUGCGCCAUCCUCCUGGUGAUGAGUCCUCCAAGAACUAGAGUAUGCUAUUACACCUAAUAGCUAGUAAAGAAUCUAGUAAUGAAGAUUACAUAGUUGCUUGGAUCAUCACAGAUUGGUACGCAGACCAUUAAAUACAAUAAAGUGACAACACAUAUGGCUCCUGCCGUGUUGCCGUACGCGCGACACGCAGGUCACGAAUGAGUUACACACAUGCAUCACAUACACAAGGGGGCCAUACUGAUCACAAGAUACAUACAUACAUCCUGCAAAAUAGAGUUAGACGUCCUAACGUUCCAAACUUCGGAGGCUCAAAACUCCAUCUUCCAAGCCGAAUUUGGCAAAUCUAAUUUCGUCGAAAACGGCGAAGCCGAUGAAUUUCAUGUGUAACUUUUUCUGUAGAUCAAUUUUCGUAUAGAAAUUGCCCCGAUCCGAGAUCGUACCGAAAAGUUACGGCUGAUUUACCGAAGCAUGCGCAUACGGCAAAAUCCCGACCCCGGCAGUAGAUCACAUCUACUAUUGCACAUCUAAUGCGCCUGGCGUAUGACCCUGGAUCUCGAUUUGACCAAUCAUAUUGAUCUUCCCUCACUGCAACUGGAUUUACGUGUAUCACUUAACUCCGAUGGCGGAAAUCGACCGGUAGGAGUAUGUCGUUACACUACCAUUGUAGCAAGGGCACGAAAUCAGGACAUAGAUCAAACAGAGAACUCGCAUAUCUCCAUAUGCACACAUCCCGAAUCCAAAACUAAGCAGCUACGGCUCUGAUACCACUGUUGGGAUACGAGGUGUGGUAGAUGAGUUUCGCCAAAAGGUGUAAACCCUAGGGCGCCCCCACCCCUCUAUUUAUAGAGGUUCCUGAGGGGCCUCUGGAUCCGAGGCCCAUUAGUACUUCUAAACCUAAUCCAACUCGGAUCUGAUCCGAAUUGGGCUUCCAGCCCCUUAAGUGUGUGACCCUAUGGGUUCGGAUACGUAUAGACAUGGCCCGAGUACUCCUACUCGGCCCAAUAGUCGGUAGCGGCCUCUAGCAAGACGUGCCAACUCCUAUACGCACACGAAGAUCAUAUCAGACGAACCAUCACAACAUAAUAUACAUGCUAUUCCCAUCACCUCACGAUAUUUGGUCUAGCUUCAAGCCGACCGCUCUUUCUCGAUCCUAUGAUUCGGAAUCCCUUUGUAGGUUAACUCUUAACCGUACGUAGCAUGGCCAUGCAUUUUCGGAUCCGAUCACUCGAGGGGCCCAGAGAUAUCACUCUCAAUCAGAGAGGGGCAAAUCCCAUCUUGAUUGACCAUGUCUCAUAGCAUGCUUCUUGACAAACCCGAAAGCUACCUUUAUAACUACCCUGUUACGGCGUAGCGUUUGAUAGCCCCUAAGUAGGUCGAUCCACAUCUAGAACACAUGCGACAAUCUCAGGUCUAAGGACAAAGCGUAUAUGUUGUUUGAAGAGAGAACUACUUCUCGUGUUGGGUCAGUCCUAACACAUGUCUCCACAUGUGUCCACAUUAUUAGUUCAACAUCUCCAUGUCCAUGACUUGUGAAACAUAGUCAUCAACUAAUACAUGUGCUAGUCUAAUAUUCAUGUGUGUCCUCACAUGAACUCCGACUAGGGACAACUUUAGAAUAACCAUACAAGUAAAGAGUUUCACAUACAAUUCACAUAAUUGCAAAUCAAUUCAAGUAGCCUUUAAUGGAUAUUCAAUGAACACAAUAUACAAAUCAUGGAUACAAAUGGAAUAUCAUCAUCUCUAUGAUUGCCUCUAGGGCAUACCUCCAACAGUUUCCCCAGAGGAUCGUGUACAUCUUGACCAUUUGGCGCCGGGUAUGCCUCUCUUUCUGAUCAAGAACUCGGUCUGGGUAUUCGGCGUAGGUUAGGUCGGGCUCUACCUGAAGCUGCUCUGGCUCUAAGAUCUCGGUUGGAACUUGGACACAUUUCUUUAGUUGAGACACAUGGAAGACAUCGUGUAUGGCCGAUAGCUGUUCUGGGAGUUGGAUCCGGUAAGCCACGGGUCCACAGAUCUCCACAAUCUCAUAAGGGCCAAUGUAGCGGGGAGCCAACUUGCCUUUCACUCCAAACCGUUGCACUCCUUUGGUCGGGGAGACUCGAAGAUACACAUGAUCACCAAUGUCAAACUGCAGGGGCCUUCUUCGCCUAUCGGAAUAGCUUUUUUGUCGAGAUUGGGCAGCCUUGAGAUUUGCUUGAAUUACCCUUACUUGCUCUUCGGCUUCUGCCACUAAGUCAGGGCCAUAGAUCUGUCUUUCUCCUGCUUGGGACCAGUUCAAGGGUGUCCGACAUCUCCGGCCAUACAAGGCUUCAAACGGUGCCAUCUUCAAACUGGCCGGUGUGAUAAUGCGGCCACUCGCUGAAUCGAACUCUCGGCAUGGCCGUGUGCAGCGAUAGGAAUGGAAAGAAUGGAGACAGAUACGAGGCAUCGCACGAGUGGACUGUCAACUAUACCUGCGCGUACCUGGGUAAGAGCCAAGGACAAAGGUAGGGGGUUACAUGCAAAAAGUUGUUCGAGCCACGCGCCAUGGUGGCAAAAUCCAACUGCAUGGAGUAUAUUUGACUGUCUAUGCACAUAACACUAAGUAAGUAGAGAACUGACCUUCUAUCCAGGUAUUUUUGUUCCAGUUGAUUUUGGACCCGGGACUAAAGUGGCUUUAGUCCCGAAUUAAAAAUGAGCCACCGAAGGGGGAGCUUUAGUCCCCGUUAUAACGGCUAGUGGGAUGAGGAGGCCUUUUACUCACGGUUGUUGUUUCCAAUCGGGACAAAAGGCUCCUCCUCCCACGCAGCCCCCCCUCUCUCUCCACUUUAUCUUCUCCUCACCCUUAACCUCCCUCCCUUAUCCUCUCGCGCGGGCACCUCCUCUCCUCCCUCUCCUCCUGUCCUCCCUCUCUUUUCUACCUUCCUCUCCCGCCUCCUCCCCCUCUGCUGCCCCUCCUCUUCCCCCUCUGCUCGCCCCUCACUGGCAGUGAGGAGCGGUAGCGGGGCGAGGGCAGGGUGAGCAGCAGGCGCAGGCGAGCAGCUGAGCGGCAGUGGGCAUGGGCUGGCGCGGGCAGAGGCGGCGGAGCCGAGGCAGACGAGGGCGGGUGGAGGUGGGCGAGGGCAGGCGGCGGUGAGCGGAGGCGGGCGGCAGUGGAGCGGAGGUGGGCGGAGAUGGAUGGAGCGGCGCCACCGCGCCGUCGGCCCACCUUUUUUUUAACCUUUUUAGUCCCGUUGGUAUUAUGAACCGGGACUAAAAGGGGUCUUUGGUCCCAGGUGAAUGACCCGGGACUAAAGGACCCCAUUUGUCUCGAAAACUUAGUCCCAGUUGGAUUUUUGGGAUCCAUGGCCCUACCCAACCUGGACUAAAGGUCCGUUUUCCACUAGUGUAAUUGACAAGUUCGUUUACCCACUUGCACGUUCUGCUAUUUAUUAGACCAAAAUGAUACAACCAUACAAGUUGUUGCAUGGUGGGUGCAAUUUACUCAUUAUAAAAAUUAGGAGGAGUUAGAGAGAUAAGACCACUAGUAGAGAACUGACUUUCGAUGUGCCCCCUUUUGUCCCGGUUUAAAGUAGGCCCGGGAGGAAAGGGGGUGCGCCACGGUAGGCAAGAAUGGAAGGGAGAUUUACUACCGGUUGGUAUUUGCAAUCGGAACUAAAGGCCCCCCUUUAGUCCCGGUUGUAACGGCUAGUUCCGGGGCGUCGGUGGCGUGACCCUUUUGUCCCGAUUGGAGGCUCCAACUGGGACAAAAGGUAACAUCAACCAGGACAAAAAGUUUAGUCUCGGUUGGUAAUUCCAACCGGGACAAAAGGGCCACCCUUUUGUCCCGAUUGGAGCCUCCAACCAGGAGUAAACUUUCAACUAGGACAAAACAUUUUCCUUUUUGUCUCGGUUGAAGUUUUUAACCGGGAUAAAAACUUGUCCCCCAUUAUAUACCAAGACAAAGGCCUUUCUUCCUCCUCCAGCCCGAGCCAGUCCACCACAAAGACAGAGAGUUGAGCUUCACCUACUCUCCGGUGGUGCCGAAGCAAGGGAGGUGCUGCCCGAAUUUUUUUCCCUAAUUUUCGCGGGAAUUUCACUAAUCCAAAGUGUUGUGAAGGUUUGCUACUUCAUCCGAGAUGAACAUGGUUUGCAAGUUCAACAAGUACGGAUUUGAAAAACCAUAUUGAAUUUGAUAAGAUAAACUAUCUAGACAAGGGUAGCAUCAUUCUUAAACUGCUGCAAGGAUACAUACUACAUACGACACAUAUGACACACUAAUUUUUUCCUCAUAAUUAAUAUUGAAAGCCUCUCCAUUCUACCUCACAUUUACUCCCCAUUCUCCCUCACAUUUUAGCUCAAAAUCCUCUCCAUUUUCUACUUUACAUUCUAGCAAAUAAACUAUCCAUCUCCAUUCUACAUAUCAAGUUGUUUUAACUAAUAAAAAUCGUAUAUAACAAGCAAACUAUCCACCACAUUCUAUCUCAAAAAUAUGUAUAAAUACAAAUCAUCUUCAUUCUCCCUCUUUCUAACAAGCAAAUUCAUUUUUCUCCCUCUCUAAAGUAUAAAACAAAGCAUAACAAUAAUAAAUGAAGAGAGAAUGAAGUAGUUAACCUUCACAACACUUUGGAUGAGUGAAAUCCCCACGAAAAUAAGGAAAAAAAUUCGUGCAGCACCUCCCCCAGGCUUGCUUCGGUGCCAUGGAGAGGAGGUGAAGCUCUCUGUCUCUGUGGAGUGGACUGGCUCGGGCUGGAAGAGGAAGAAAGGCCUCUAUCUUGGGAUUUAAUGGGGGAUGAUUUUUUAUCCCGAUUUAAAAUUCCAACCGGGAUAAAAAGGAAUACCUUUUGUCCCGGUUGAAGUUUACUCCCGGUUGGAACCGCCAAUCGGGACAAAAGCGCAACCCUUUAUCCCGGUUGGAAUUACCAACCGGGAGUCAACCGGGACAAAAGGGUUGCGCUUUUGUCCUGGUUGGAGGUUCCAACCGGGACAAAAGGGGACGCCGUCAGUGGUUGGGAACUAGUUGUUACAACCGGCACUAAAGCUCCGCCCCAUUUCAGCCUACCGUGGCGUGCUCCCUUUUGUCCUGGGUCAAUUUUAAACCGGGACAAAAGGGGGUGUAUGGAAUGUGAGUUCUCUACUUAGUGAUCCUUUUGCAACCAUUUUCAAUGAUGACAUAAUUUUCUGAAAGGUUGCUUAAGAAUGUUGCAAAACAAAGUGCAAUGUAUAGUGUGUUAUGUGUAUAUCUCGACAAUAUUACAUAACAAAUGCACAUGUCAGCAGCAUAUACAUUUGACAGAGCAAAAAUACCGAUGACGAAAAACUGAAAAAGCAAUCCUACAAUUCGCUGCAUGCAGCUGGUCCCUUCGAUGAAGGAAAGUAUUAGAUAAAAUUAACAUAUUACUAUGGGAAGUAAUACAUGCACAAGAUAACAUCGGGAGCAUAAGGGAACGGAACAUAUACAAUUCGAUCCUAUCAUCACAUCAACCCGCUUAAUUGUUUUUCCCAUAGCACUAAAAGAGGUGGUGAGUUCAGAACACACCCCUCAAGAACACGGGCCACAUAAUCACCAUCAAUAAUGAUCGUAAAUUUGAAUGAAAAAAAAUGAAAUCAAGGAGCAGAUGCAAAAUUGGUGGCACCUUUCUUAAUCCUAAAUAAUCCACCCAAAUUAAAUAAUUGAUGAAACAAUGUGAACGUGUGCUUACCUGCUGGAACUCUCAUCACGACAGCUAGGGGAAAGCACAGAAGAGCACAAGCUGAAGAUGACAUCAGGCACCUGCUAAGGUCGAUCGUGGCACACGCGGGCGGCAGAGGUGGACUGUGAGGCAGGUGGAGGCAGAUGUAUCGCUGUCGCCGCCACCAUUCAUUCCGCACAGUAUGAUGGGCAGGGAGCGGGGGACGGGGAAGGGGGCUAGGUAACGGCUAGGUUAAGGUGGGGACGGCAAGGGCGAUGAUGGUGAGCGAGGCAAGGGAAAAAUUUUGGCGAGGCAAGAACGAUGCGUUGAAGCCUUCGUGCGUAAUGUGCACAUGACUGGCCGGGUUGAGACACACCACAUCGAUAGCCAUGCACCCACUGCCCACGCGUCGACGACGUCUGUCGUACGCUGAUCAUAAACGAACACGCAGCACAACAACACAGGUAAAACUAGGAGAGGCUCCCGUAAGCAUGCAAUCCUUUCAGCCCUCCGCGCGUAAUGUGGACGCGUGUGGCCAGGUUGGGCCACACCACAUCGAUAGCCAUGCACCCACUGCACACGCGUCGAUGACGUCUGUCGUAUGCCGAUCAUAAGCGAACACGCAGCACAACAGCAUAGGUGAAAUUAGGAGAGGCUUCCGUAAGCGUGCAAUCCUUUCAGCCCUGCGCGUGUAACGUGCACACGACUAGCCAGGUUGGGCCACACCACAUCGACAGUCAUGCGCCUACUGCCCACGCGUCAACGAUGUCUGUCGUACACCGAUCAUAAGCGAACACGCGGCACAACAGCAUAGGUGAAACUACGAAGAGGCUCCCGUAAGCGUGCAAUCCUUUCAGCGAUAUAACUAUAGAUAUUAGCUAGCCAAAUAUAUUAUGACGACGGCGAACCGGGGUCAGGCCGGGGCCAAAGUCUUCGCCUUCCCAUGGCUUUGGUUUGAACUUUGACGCCGUGGGAAGCAACAGCAACACGGCCGCAUCACGCAACGCAACGGUGACUAGGGAUGGCAACGGGGCAGGUCAGGGCCGGGUGAAGCUUCCACUGACCCGUCCUCGAAACCCGAAUAGUAAACCCGCCCUGAACCCAAAACCCAAUUCGAGUGGAAAUGUUGCCCCGACCCCGAAACCUGCGGUGCCCAAAAUCGGGCAGGUCCCCGACACCCGAGCCGUCAACGAAGGCGACCACGAGGCCAUGAGCCGCAGGAGGUCGGAUGCCACACGCGAGGCCCAUGCUGUUGUCGUCGCCUCGCCAGCGUUGCCUGUCAGCCCAUGGGUGCCGUGCACCCCGUCGCCGGCGUUACCCGUCAGGAUCCCAGGCGCCGCCCGCGGGGUCCCGCUGCCGUUGCCGUGUUGCAGGGGUCCACGCCACCAUCACCGCGGGUGAAGGGGCCGAGGGGCACGGGCGGCUAAGACCUGCAAUGAAGGGUGUAGCUGUGUCGCCCGUGCGGGGCAGGGGGUGGCGCGGCAGUUGCCGCUGCAGCUGGGGAGUGGGGAUGGGGUGGAGGCCGCUAGGGUCACGGGAAGCGGGUGAGAAAGGAGAAGGGGGUGGAGGGCUGCUAGGCUAGAGGUGUGGAGGAGGCCGUGCGGGGGAGGUGUGGGCCGGUGCGGGUGAGUGAUAGGUAGGCCGGUGCGAUAACAGUUGUGCUUUGUGGGCCAAAAUUUUAAUCUGAUCCCGCAUCCACCAUGUGUCGGGUCCUGAAGCCAAGACCCGCAGAGGGAAUUCUAGACCUGUCAUGUCCGCGUUGGGUCUGAAACCUACGGAUCUCGGGUACAGACCCACCCGAUUGUCAUCCUAACGGUGAGCCGCUGAAAAUUAGUUACCGAACGUGCCCUUCCCCAUUUCACCUGUUUCCUCGUCUCGUCUACAAACAGCCUUCCUUUCCAUCCACCCGCACCCAUCCCUUCCCCGCAUCCGCGCCGCCACCGCCCCCUCUCCCUUCCACGAAACCCUAAUCCUAGCACGCAUCCUCAUCCACCUCGGGAGGGAGCGGCAGAGAGCGGCGGCGCGGGCAGCAUGUCCGCGGCGGUGUGCGGGAAGCGGGCCUCCUCCUUCUUCGAGGAGCAGCAGCACUCCCCGCACGCGGGCACCCCUCCGCCCUCCAAGCGCGCCCGCUUCCGCGCCGGCGGCGGCGGCGGGAGCCCAUCGCCGCCACGGCCGCGAGGCGGUGGGAGCGGCGACCCGGCACUCGUGGCCGCGAUCCACGCCAGGUUCCCCUCUGUGAGCCUCGAGGUAAUUCGAUCCGUCCGAUGUCGUCCAUGCUAUGCUCCACGUUGCGGCUCCUCAAAUGGUAACUUAUCGUCCCCGUUAGAGUACUAGCUUUUGCCGUUGCCGCAGCGCAAGGAUCAACCUGAGCGGCCACCGUGCUCGUUGCUGCCAAGGCUACUUGCGCAUCCGCGGUGUGCCAGCGGUGGGUCCUAAGGUCUGUCAUACGUUUGAAUUGAUUUGUAGGGACCUAGGAUCGUUUGUUCGGUUGUCCCUGCGUUUGGAGUGGUUUCUGGCAUUUUAGCUGCGCAUAUUAUGCUGAUUACUAUGGCGGUAUGGGUUAGCUCUGAAGAAACCUUGAAUUAUGCCUACAAUUGUGGCUGCAUGAGCACUUUUAUGCAUCUUGGAAUUAUCCAGGGUUUCUCCUUGAAGUUUGUGGAUCAAAUAUUAGUUGCUGGAUGUUAUUUUGUUGGUUUCUGGUGGACGAGAAUGCCACGACUAUGAUUGUCUAUUUUGCUUUGAUUCAGCUCAUGCCUUCUGCACAGCCUCUGAGAUAGAAAUCGGUUGUGCUGCAUUCUAAAGGGGUGUUUGGUUCCACGGACUAAAGUUUAGUCCCUGUCACAUCGAAUGUUUAGAUACUGAUUAGGACUAAAUAUGAGCUAAUUAUAAAACCAAUUGCACAGAUGGAUUCGCGAGACAAAUCUAUUAAGCCUAAUUAGUCCAUGAUUUCACAAUGUGAUGCUACAGUAAAUAUGUGCUAAUCAUGAAUUAAUUAGGCUUAAUAGAUUGGUCUCGCGAAUUAGCCUCCAUCUGUGCAAUUAGUUUUGUAAUUAGUCUAUGUUUAAUACUCCUAAUUAGUAUCUAAACAUUCGAUGUGAUAGGGACUAAACUUUAGUCCGUGGAACCAAACACCCCCUAAUUUGUUUGGAUGCUGCAUCACCUUUUCAUACGUAUUUAUUGUUUGCCUCCAUUAGUUUGCAUGAUAAUUAGCCAGUCUUCUAGCAACCCGGUGCAUCAACUGGAUUAUGGCAUGCAAGUAGUUGGCCGUUAGCCUGUUACUAAAAGAAAACAUGAAACUGGAAACCCUAAUGGCUUGAUGCCCAAGGAACCAAAAUGGCCUUUUCUUGGCCGUUUGUGCAUGAUGUCUGGCUUACCUCAUUACUUGAUGUCAUAUCCUAAUUUGUCCACGUAACUUGUUUUCACCCCAUUUAAUUAUGGAGUCCUUCCCCAACAUAUUAUUUGCUUUCAAUGAUAAGUAUAACCGUAUCAUGCCAUGCUGGCAUGGCUGUAGACUUAUCCACAACUUGAGGCCUCAUGCAAGCUUAUGUUAUUUCAGUUUAUUGAGAAGGCUCUGGAAGAGGGUGGAAAUGAUUUUGAUUUAGCAACAAAGUACUUGCUUAAUUUCCAUGCACAAUCUGCCGAAUGUGAUGCAGCUAAUGGGUACCAAUCUCCCAACGGGAUGACUACUGAGGAUCAAGUUCCUGCAGAAGGUAACCUUUUGAUGUCUGUCGCAUUCAUUCUUGUCAUGAUUAACAAUUACUUCUUUUGGCUGUCUAUUUUUUUCUGAACCUUUAGGCUCUUUAUCGUCUGGUUUCAUUGCUCCACGUUCAAUGAAUAUGUUUGGCACUUGAAAUAAACUCGUUUGCUAUCUCUUAUCAAUUGUAUUGUUUUUUAGCUUUAAUGACAUAACAUCUUACCCUGUGAUUGUGUGACUCUAAAGCCAAAUGAUUUACCCAAGGACCAGAGUUAGAGAUGGCAAUGGGUGCCCGAAACCCGAAACCCGAUGGGUUUAUACUCCAUUAGGGCAUGGGCAUGGGUCAAUUUUUCUACCCGUGGGUUUAUUAAUGGGCAAAAAGUGAGACCCAUCAGGUUCGCGGGCGUGGGUUUGGGAACAUAAAACCCGAACCUGUGAACCCAUGGGUUUUUUAGACCCGGCCAUAUAUAUCAAAUAAGCCCAUGUUCUUAGCGCACACCUCAAUUUUGAUGGCCAAAGCCCAACUCUUAAAUGCAUGCGCUACUUCUUGUCGUGACUUGAAUUGUUAAACACUGAACUUAGGUAGUUUAAGAUCUAUACUAUGCAUUUGUGUCACUAACCUGAAGUGCUUUGUUAACAUGUGGUGUUAUGAUUGGAUAACUCAUAUAUCUUCUCUUACUAUACUUCCAUUGAUUUACAUCAAUAUUGCAUGCAUAUAUAUUGAAUUGUGAACAUAUAUAUGUAUAUAACAAUUUUUUUGCUUGUUGAAUUGUGAACAUAUAUAUGUAUAUGACAAUUUUUUUUGCUUGCUUUGGUACCCACGGGCGACCCGUGAGUACCCGAUGGGCAUGGGUUUGGGCAUAAAAUUAAACCCGUAACAGGUCAUGGGUUUUUUAAUGGGCAGGUUUUGUAUUUGCGGGCAUGGGUUUGGGAUGGCAAAACCCAGCAGAUUUAUGCCCGUUGCCAUCUCUAACCAGAGUAUAUGCUUUACACAGUGCUUUUUGUAUGCUGAUUAGAAUUUUCUUUUAGCUUCCAACCUACUUGAAAAAGUAAAUCGUCUACUUGUCCAGUGAACAAGUCGAAUGAAUAAACUUGGAAAUAUUUGAAAUUGUGUACUAUGUAUCAAUACCUUGCAUAUUUAUCUGCUUUAAUGUUAAACAAUAUCAAUCUCUUCAAUUCCAGUAUUAGACAAAUGUAUCAAGAUAAAUGUUUGUUCAGAUCUGUUCCCCCUAAAUGUAUUGUAUAUCCAUUUAUUCUUGUUUUGAUUUGAGAAUUACCCUUUUGUGGUACUCUGGGAGUCUGGGUUAAUAGUUUGUUUUAUGUUAUAGAUAUUUUGGUUGACAAUGUGGUUGCUGCACCUGUAGAUAGUGUUCCUUGGGCAGAAAACCUUCCGUCAAGCAGCACUCAAUGGUCUGAGGUUCUUGUGAAGGAGAUGAUGAGUGCCUCCAACACGGAUGAUGCAAAGGCUCGUGCUUCCGGAGUACUGGAGGUUUUUGAGAGGGCCAUGACCUCUCGUAUUGGUGCAGAAGCACUUCAAAAUUUCCAGAAGGUAGCUGAGUUCCCUUCCUUGUUCUCGAGCAAUCUUUGUCAUUGAUGGUGAUGCACCUGUCCCUGCUCGUUGCCUUUCGUUGGUGCUCAGCAUGAAUUGCAAAAGUUGGCUGGAGUUUCUAAAACUUCAAUUUCUGGUUACUGCAUAGUUUGUCUUUUUUUUUCAGCACGUGUUUUGAAUUAUCUGGAUGAAUGAAUGAGGUAAAGGCCAGAAGAGCUGGCAUGCUAUCAAACCACUUUGCAGCAAGGUCAUUAAUGUGCAAGUGACUGGCAUCCUGAAAUGUUUGCAAAUACAUGCAUGAUAUAAUCUUUUCCCCGCAAACACAGUAUGUUAUAAUCUUAUUAUAGUUUGUUCUUUCUUUUCUGAUAAGGGUGAACUCCUUCCUUAAGUGUAGUCUUCCACACUAGCAGCUCCUUUAGUUCACAUUUUUUUCGCAUUGGAUGUCCUAUCAUGGUUCCUUAUUAUAAUAGAUUAGUAAUUCCUAGUCAGGAACCUGUUCCAUUUCAAUGUGAUAGUUUUUGUGCCUUGCACAAGGGGCCAUUCCUGCAAGCAUUAUACCGAGUGAUAUACAUGUUAAUGUGACAAAGAAACUGAGUGCAUAUCCAAAUCUUUUGUUUCAAACUUUUUGGUGAAAAGAAUGCAAACUUGAUCCAUCAUUACACCAACUAUUUUUCAAAUAUUCCAGUGUGCGCAAGGGCCAAGUUUAAGGGCCUGUUUGGUAGAUUCUCAGUGGGAGCUAACUCUUAGAGAGAAGUGAUUCUGUGGCUGAAAGUGAUUCUCUAUGAUUAACUUUAUGGAGAUUUUUUUUUCGAGAAGUGAAUCAGGAGGAAGCUAUUUUUUCAGCUCCCAGCUCCUGAAUUCAUUUCAGAGAAUCACUUCUCAGAAUCAGCAGACCCUAAAACAAUCUGAGCCACCAUAGAAUUGGGUAUUCAGAGCUCAUUCUCAUAUAAAUAUUUACUGAUUGAUCAAUUUUACUUAUUCAAGGUGCAUACGUUGCAAUUAAUUGAACUGCAUUAUGCUGGUUUAUUUUUGCUUUCUUUUGGUUUAUAUAUUGUUAUGUUAAAAGGCAGUAAAGCUUGUAUCCAACGUGAGUUGAUGUUCUUGCCUUUAAACAGGAAAAUUCGGUUUACAAGGAACAAUUUGAAGCUGUUAUUAGGGAGAACGCUAUUCUGAAGAAAGCAGUUGCAAUACAGCAUGAGCGCCAAAAGGAGCAAGAUGAGAGAAGCCAGGAGCUUCAGCAGCUGAAGCAGUUGGUUGUUCAGUAUCAGGAACAAGUUAGAAGCCUUGAGGUACAACAGCUUCGUUGUUCUUCUUUUUUUUUCGUCAAUCCUUUCUCCUUGAGGUGCCGAAGAAACUUAUGCUUUCCUUGUGUCCUCUUCUUUCUCUUUUGCAGGUUAACAACUAUGCCUUGUCCAUGCAUCUCAGGCAAGCGCAGCAAGGCAGCUCGAUUCCAGGGCACUUCCAGCGUGACAUUUUCUGAAUAAGUGGAAACCUGAACUGGAGGUUUCCAUAGCAUCAGGAUAGCAUUUCACCCUUUCAGUUAGUGGCAUGUCUUGUUAUUGGCCUAUAUUUAACAUAUAUAGCCAAAUGAUAACGUAUCUUAAUUUAUGUUGUAUACCAGUGUAAAUGUAUGCCCGUUGUUGGCACGCUGCUGCCCUCUGCAGUUGGGAGCUGGGAGAGCAAGCAGCCCAACAUCGGCGUAUUGUUGUCCAAAAACAGAUGUUACUAUGUUAUCGAUUUAGAGAGAGAAAAGAUGAAACGGCGUUAAGUUAUACUUGUGUGUACGUUAUUUCGGUCAGAAAUUUAGUUGAGUUUAAAUCAAACUCAAGAUAAUUUUCCAGUUUGCCUGAGUCAUUCGUUGCAGACGUGACUAGUAACUCCCUGGAAGCGUGUGACCUGGUAUUUGUAGGUUUUUUCUGGCGUUGCAAGUAACCCUGAUGGCUGCUAACGUCGUUGAUGUGGCGCUUUGUUGCUUGCGUCAUUGGUCUGAGGGCCAUUCAUAUGCUGCCGAAGCCACGUUAGAUAAUUUUGAAAUUUGAAACAAACAUAACUCUUGUUUUCGUUAUGGAACUGAAUUGUCUUUGAAAUCCAAAAGUGUGUUUUUGCAUCUGACCAGGCUGGAUCUCGUGGUAGAUGCCUAGAUGAUGAUCCAGUGCCAAUUUCAUCUCUAACAAUAUCUGACCAUGACUAUAUUGAAGAUGACAUCACAGUGACACAGUUAGUUGGUCAUAAGUGGUUUUUACUCGUGUGUAACAGCCCAUCACUGUUCUUUGACUGUUUGUAGGACACUGAUAAAAUAUGAUAUGGGCCUGGGCCCAAGAUGCUCCAGAAUCAUAAGUGGUUUUUACUCGUGUGAUACCGGAGGAGGAAAAACGACAUUAUGGCUUACAUACCACACGGUUGUGUUUGGCAAACAGAAAAUAUAGCAUACGGAUCUCAUCUACUGGUUUAACGGUGUUGGGAUACUAGGGGUUAAAAUUUAACCACGUUACAUCAGAUGUUCGGAUGCUAAUUAGGAGAACUAAAUAAUAGCUAAUUAUAAAACUAAUUGCAGAAUUCAAGCUAAUUCGCGAGAUAAAUCUAUUAAGCCUAAUUAAUCCAUGAUUAGCAAAUGGUUACUGUAGCACCACAUUGUCAAAUCAUGGACUAAUUAAGCUUAAAAGAUUCGUCUCACGAAUUAGACUCCAUCUGUGUAAUUAGUUUUUGUAAUUAGACUAUAUUAAUACUCAUAAUUAGUAUUUAAACAUCCGAUGUGACAGGGCUAAACUUUAGCUCCCUUGAGCCAAACACCCCUAAAAGACUCCUGUCAUUAGAACAAAAUCGCACUGUAUGUGUGCAACACAUGGGUAGAUUCAGGGGGUGUUUGGAUACUAGGUGCUAAACUUUAGCAGUGUCACAUCAAAUAUUCAUAUGCUAAUUAGAAGGACUAAACAUGAGCUGAUUAUAAAACUAAUUGCAGAACCCCUGGGCUAAUUCGCGAGACAAAUCUAUUAAGCCUAAUUAAUCCAUCAUUAGCAAAUGGUUACUGUAGCACCAUUUUGUCAAAUCAUGGACUAAUUAGGCUUAAUAGAUUCGUCUCGUGAAUUAGACUCCAUCUGUGUAAUUAGUUUUGUAAUUAGUAUAUGUUUAAUGCUCCUAAUUAGUAUCAAAUAUUCGAUGUGAUAAAUGCUAAAUUUUAGUAGGUGGUAUCCAAACGUAAUUCGUGAUGUUCGUGAUGUUCUCGGUCUCCUCGCCUUUCGAUCGACAGACAGCUCUCUUGGAAAACGAAAUUAGCUUCUGAUCAUACCUUUUUUUUUUGCUAAAAAACAAAUCAUCUUCAUCUGCAAGCAGAAUGGGUCUCGUAAAAGUUUCACAUUUUGUGUCAUCCCUCUGCACAUAUUUACGUGAGAAAUAUCCAGAAUUUGCAUUAAAAGCAAGCUACCUUAGCAUUAUUGUGAGAAAUCCUGAUCCACGCUGCAUCUGAAUCUUCAGUCUUAAAACCACGUACGGCAAGGCAGGAAAACACAACUUAUGGUUGCCAGGACAGCCAUGUUGCAUUCCUCCAGAGUGGUUUAGCAACACUAGACAGCCUAUCCAGGGGCCGUGAUGAUAAGCAAAUAUGAAAUGCAGAAAUAAAUGGCCAAACAUUACCCGAAGCCACCAAUGUGUUGUUAGUGCCCAGUCAUAUACUCCAUGAACUGAGCAACCAAAAUACCAGGCAUUAUGUCCCACAUUUUUGUGCCAAGAACGAGUAGCUGGUUCCAACAAAUAAACGUAGAGUAGAACGGAUUCAGAAUCGACUGCAGAAAAGUUUUGAUUGUAAAAGAACCAUGUCAGAACCUUGACAUGCUCCUCCAAAGAGGUUCAGCAACCGGCACUAUUCAUUGAUGAAUUUGCGAUAGCUAACGAUGCAAAACUCAAAACUGCAUCCUCAGAAGUACAGAAAUAAAUUACUGAACAUAUCUGAAGCAACUAAAGCAUUUCAUAUUCCCAGAGCGAGGAGUAUAUCCAGUUAACAUUCUAAUGAGACCAUGCCAAGGUACAUUUGAUCGUCCUAUCUGAUGCAAACCGAGACAUCGUAAGCAGGAAACAUUCUAGUUCUCACUGACGUACGAAUCCAUGAUCAGAGCAAGGUGAGUUCUGCAGAAGAAGGUGGCUGCCUGAAGCGAUCAUCAUUGAGUCAGAGCUCACCUCACCAGGCAUCGUCCGUCGCCACCCUGGCGUUGGCGCGCACGCGCUCGAACGCCUCGACGGGCACCGUGAGCGUCCCGGCGCGCGCGUGCCAGCGGGUGCCGUGCCGCGCUACCUUGCCCGACACGUCCUCGACGGCCUUGAGGAACUCCCUGGCCUGCGCCGGCUCUAGCACCUCCUUGACGGCGACCUCGACGGCGCGCCACCGCAGCUUGUCCGCCCGCCGGGCGGCGCGCGCCAUCUUGCACAUCUCCUCGGCGGCCGUCUCGGCGACGCCGUCCUUGGUCUUCUCGCACGCAAGCUUCAUGGCGUAGGUGGACUGGUACUCGGCCACCUCGCCGUCCAGCGCGGCCUCGCGGGCGCUGAGGCGGCGGGCGGCGGCGGAGAGUGCGUGGCUGGUGCGGGACGGGAGGGACGGGAACAGCGCCGGCAGCAAAGCCAGGAGCAUGCAGGACGGGCGGAGGUCCCCGCCGAGCCAGGAGAGUGCGGACACGGCCAGCGGCGGGUCGUCGGGGCGCGCCACCAGGCCGGGGACGUCGCGGGGGCGGACGGGCGGGCCGGCGGCCAGGCGGGAGUAGCGCGCGCGGAGGCGGGCGAGGUCGGCGGUGAUGUCCAUGGCGGCCGCGCUGUCGCUGUCGCUGGAGUCCGACGACAGAAGGCGACGGUGCGCCAUCGGGUCUACGGCGCCGGGCGCUGGCGACCAUGGGAAAGCAAGACGGCGAAUCAAAGAUUAAUUUUAUUCGACAGAAAGAAACAGCAAGAAGACGGGGAAGGAUUCGAGGCCAAGAAUCCAUGGGGAGAAUCAGGAACGCGGAGAUUGAAGCCAAGAAAGAGGGGUUAGUUAGUUACAGCAGGGGACGAAGCAGGGGAGGCAGGAGAGGAAGCCCUUCUCCUUCUCCUUCUCCUUGUCCUUCUUGGCGCUCUUGCCCGCACCGCCGCUGCGGUGGUACCCGGCGUCGUAGCCGAAGUAGAAGUCGUCGGCGUCGCCGCCGCCCAGGGGGCUCAGGAACGGCAUUGGCCCUGCGCGCGUAGAGAGAGAGAGAGAGAGAGGGAGAGAGAGAUGGCCGAGGCAAGGGGUGGGUGGGUUUAAUGAAGCCCGGCCGCGAGCCCGCGACCCUUGCCGCCGCGCCGGUGUGGGCGACGAGGCGCGGUGCGUUCCACCUUCCAAGUGGUAUUCUGCACCGUCUGAUCGUCGGAUCCGACGGCUGAGGAAUGACACUCAAGGGGAACGUGUAUGACAGAGGAUAGCACCAUGUCCUCCCUCCCGAUUUAACUGUCGCUUGGGAACCGGGAUUGUGAGGGAAACAUAGUUUCCGAGCGACACUUAAUAGGGGACAGAGGGAGUAAAGCACAUUCAUAGUAAAAUGCUCAAAAUUGAUGGGACGCAAAAACUGCAGACCAAAAUUGUAAAGAAUAUCUCCACCAAGGUCAUGUUUAGUUUCCUCCAAACUCCCAACUUUGACACUAUGCAAGAAGAAGAUUCUCCAUCACAUCAAACUUGCGGUACAUGCAUGGAGUACUAAAUGUAGAUGAAAUAAAAAACUAAUUGCACAGUUUUGUUGUACUUUGCGAGACGAAUCUUUUAAGCCUAAUUAGUCAAUAUUUGGACAAUAAUUCACAAAUACAAACGAAACGCUGCAGUUGCGCAUUUAUGGCAAAAUGCCAAUUUUGCCACUCCCAAAUUGGGAACUAAACAAGGCCCAAAUCAUGUGAAUUCGUGUGUUCUAGACACGACUCAAGAUGGGUUAUUUAUCCUCAGUCACCAAUAUAUUUUUUCUUUCCCUCACCAAUAAUAUUUUUUGUAUUUUUUUAACUAGUGUUGCAGCAGAUUAAACAGCACCAUGAAUAGAGUAGAAGGAUGAAUCCCCUUCAUUUAGGCGAGGGAGGUGUGUUUGGUGAUCACCAAAUUUCUUUUUUUGUAAUGGGAUCGGAUCAAUAGCACCUCUUAUCACCAAAAUGAUAUUUUUUUUUUAGUAUUGAGGAGAAGGAUGAGUAAUCUGGAUUUGGGGAUAUAGUCUUUUAAUCUCAUCUUGACCACUAACAUAAAUCUCAUCUUGGACUUUAUUUGAUGGGGAAAUGAUCUCAUCAUUACUUCUAUUUUUCUCUUCUAUUCAUGCCAAUUCCGGUGCUACCCCCUAGCAGUGUUAACAGGUGUGGAAAAUAAGGGAAAAUUAGUUUUGUAGCAUUGAAAGAUCGCGACUUCCGUAAAAUAUCACUGAAAGAUAUCAGCCCCCGUAAAAUACCACUGAAAGGUGCAUAUUUUUUUCACCGAAAACUUAUUUUGGAUACUUUUCAGCACAUAACGCGAACAUGAAAUGACCUUGCUACCCUUAGGUUGAGGACUAAAAGAAAAUCAAGUCCCAGGCGGUCGGUCAACCACACACCCGUGACUCAUCACCCUCCCCUUGCACAAGCCCGUCACCCUCCCACCAGCGGCGCCACCCCUCCCCACCACCUGCGACACUACCCAUCCGUCCCUGCAAGUGGGUAAGACUAAAACCCUAGCUCGUCCUAUCCCUGUUUCACCAACAACAAGAAGGAUGGCAGCUUCUGUAGAAACACCAACAAGACCACCAGGCACACCAGUGGGUGGACCAAUAACAAGAGGAAUAGCAGAACAACUGGAUAUAUCACCAGGAGGCAUUACUAGGAGGGUCAUCAUAAACUAGGCUAGUGUGAUCCUGAAUCAUUUCAUUGAACUAUUACUGUAUGGAAAAGUCAUGUAUUGAACCUAUUUUGAGCAUGUGUUGUUUUGCAUGUGUUGGACCAGAGCACUAAGUUGGCUAUUGCACUAGUAUGUGUUUCAUUAGUCACUAUGUUACGCGUUGGUCAAUAUUAGUCCAUGUGUUGAACCAGAAUAAUAUUUUUCAUGUGUUUAGUCAAUAUUUAGUGCAUGUGGUGACUUGUACAAUGAGCUUGUGUUGAAAUGCUAUCAGUUGAGGUCAUGUGCUUGUUUCUUAUGUUUUUAGUCAUCAGGUACCGGAUUGGGAGCCUUUUAAUUCAAGUUAAUAGAGCUAAUGCUGAAAUCUAACAGAUUGGUAUUUUCAGUUUAUGUCUUGGUAUUUUCAGUUCAUGUCUUCGCCUUUCAGUGGUGUUUUACGGGGCUGAUAUUUUUCAGUACUAUUUUACGGAAGUCGCGAUCUUUCGAUACUACAGAACCAAUUUUUUCAAAAGAUAAUAUUGCCCGCAUUGACACAAUCACUGCAACUGUACUCCUACUUCUGCAUAAUACAAGCUCUUGUGAUUGCGUAAAAAAACUGAAAUUAGAUCCCGAGAACCAAAAUAUUAGCAGCAGAUUGGAAUGGAAGAAAGACAGCAAGAUAGACAUAACUAACCUCAUAUAGCGGAAGAAAAGGAACGCCAACCAGCGUAUUUACUGUUGCGUUUUUCUUCACGCGGUUGAAAAACAUGCAUGAGCCGACCAGUCGCGUGGGGUCUACGCAAGCGCUUCGUCCGUGUAUCGCAAAGAAAUCAAUUCCCAUAUGCGGGCUGGCCUUUUGUAGGAACAAAUGCGACGCCGCUCCAUCAUCGCCGCCUCCACUCGGCCCCCGCCCCAGCAGCUCGCGGAGGAUACACUGGCAGUAAACUUAGUAUCAAUCCUGGUUAGUAGGAUGCAAAUUUUUCAAAAAUCUAUUCGGGAUAAACCAAUCGAGGGGAUCUUUUAUCCCAGGUCACUCAACCACGACUAAAAACUCUCUUUUAUUCCGAUUGAUAAUACCAUCGGGAUAAAAAGGGUCACUACCAAUCGGGAUAAAAAGGAUCGCCACACCAGGCGCUGCAAAAAAAAAAUCCCAGGGAGCCCCCCACACGCGCACAUCACAAGUCACGCCAGGCGGUGUGAGGGAUUCGAACCCACGACCUCCAGCCUCGCGCGUAGCUUCCUGCCAUCCCACCUACACAGCACAUCUGACUAUAUAGGGGAUGCAAUCCUUUUGUACUAACUCGUGGGGAACCCUUUCAUCCCGGUUGAAAACACCAACCGGGAUAAAAGACCUCUUUUUAUCUCGGUUGGUAUUACAAAUCGGGAUAAAAGGGUUCGAGGGAUUUAGUCCUCUUUCAGCCACCCCGUGGGGAUCCUUUUAUCCCGGUUUGAAACACCAACCGGGAUAAAAGACCCCUUUUUAUCUCUAUUAGUAUUACAAAUCGGAAUAAAAGGUCCUCGACCCUUUUAUCCCGGUUGGUGUUUCAAACCGGGAUAAAAGGUCUCCCAUGGUCUUUUUUUUUCCACUAGCCUUUGCAACCGGGAUAAAAGGUCCCGGUUGGUGAGCGCCAGUGACCGAGCUUUAGUCUCGGUUGGUGAACCUUUUAUCCCGAGCCAAUUUUAAAUCGAGAUAAAGGGACGCAUGGUAGGUGAGUUCUCUACUAGUCAGUUUCUUGCUAGGCGAGUGAAUGAUUAGCUGGAAUAGUGUUCAAUGCUCACCGUGCAAGGCGAUCUUCAUUAGAUUGAACAUUAUUCGUCAUCAGUAGUACACAAAAUUGAACCCCAGAUGCCGCUGGCCAUCCCUGUCUUGUUCUAUCAGUGUCGUCGCUCCUUUAGAUCAUUGCUCCUCCGUCACCCCCGAUCCUCUUCAUGUCCACCUUCUAAGCCAUCAGCUUUGACUCAAAAUGUAAUCAAUCCACUGCGCCAAAUCUUCCCAAAUCGAGCCUAACAUGAUCCAUUGAUUCCAAUGAAAAAAAAUAAUCCCAAAAUGAACAAAUCAAUACCAUCCCAUGUUUGAGACGCGAGCAGGCGCGGAUGAAGAGGAGGAAGAAGAAAAGGAGGAGGAACUACAUCCCCUUGGGUGCGAGAUUCUGAGCACCGAAGUCGGAAGGUAGUAUUAUCUUUUGCCACACUAGUUAACAUCCAUUUGAGUUGUGGAUGGAGGAUUUCUCUAUCUUUCGGUGUCAUAAAGAGUUCUCUAUUAGGUCAAGCAUAAUCAGUAACUAGUCACACUGCUAAGUAGAAACGAGUAUAUGCAUGCAGUCCUAAGUGCUCGUUAGCUUUUGAAAGAAGAGAACUGCUCUAAUGCUCAUAAAAUAGAAUUGAUAAUACUCCCUCCGGUCUAAAUUGUAGGUUGUUUUAGCUUUCUUAAUUCAUAUAGAUAUUAUUAUGCAUCUAGAUAUAGUGUAUGUGUAGGUGCAUAAUAAUAUCUAUGAACUUAGAAAAAUCAACAUGACAUACAAUUUAGAAUGGAGGGAGUAAUUAAUAAAUGCUUUAAGAUAUGUACUAUUUUUUUUUGGAAAAGAGUACUAGAGCAGAACUCUUAGGACCCCUUUGGCAAGGCUUCGACUCCUUGAAACAGCUCCAGCUAUGGCUCCAGUGACUUGUCUGGUGAAGCUGAAGUCGUUUUAGAAAAUGUUUGGCAAAACGACUUCUCCUAUUUUUCAUAACUGAAUGAAAUAUGUCAUAUGUCCAAUGUACCCCUAGCUGUUUCACUUUGUUGUACAAAUCAUUUUGUACUUUUCUUCAAUUUAUAUUGUAAUUUCAUAUGAAAUAGAAAAUGAUUAACAUAUAUAAGUAUAGAUUAAAGUAAUAGUUUCUCUUUUCUCUUUCUUUUUUUCUUUUUCUCUAUUUUUCUUUUAUUUUUCUGCCUUCUUUUUUUAUCCUUUUCUCCCUUCUUUAUUGCUCCUUAUCUGUUCCUCCCUGGCUCAUCCUUUCUUCGGGGCGGCGCUCUCUAGCUCCAUCCUCAUGAUGCUGCUUUUGUUCUGCGCCACACCGUGUCACUCUCUCCGUCCAUCCUCAUGCGUGCUGGUGUGGCCCGGGCCGCACGAGACAUCCGAUGCUGUCAGGUGAGGCUAGGCCGCAGAGCCAGGUGCUCGUGCCCACGCCGGGCGACGCGGCCAUGCUGGCGCCAGCUGGGGCAGGAACGGGGUGUGAAGCGCCUAGGCCAUUCGCCGGUGAUCCUCUGGCCGGCUGCAUACCGCCACGCUUCCGGUAUGAUAGGGGGACGAGGGGAUGGAGAGGUACAGUGGCAUUGCUACUGUAAUAGCUGCGAAACUGGAGGAGCAAUUUUGUACUCGUGCUUGAGGAGAUGGGGAGGAGCUGAGUGGAGCUGCUAUUUUAGGCUCCGUCCGCUCAAUUCAUUUGUGCGAAUGGCUCCUUCAGUGCUCCACCCCUGAAGCCAUUUUAGAUUUGGCCGUUUGGUAUGGCUCCUCCUGAAGCCGGUGUGGAGCUGUUAAAAGAGUGUAGGUACCCUUGGAAGUACGUGAUAUUAGAUUCUACGCCCAUGAGUUGUAUUCAUCUACUUAGUAACAUGAACAAUAUCAGAUCAAGGCACGAUAUCGCAUACUAUUAGCAUUUGGCAUGAUUUGCGGAGAAAAAAUUGUUAAAGUUUAUUCAAAACUAUAGAAAAGAAAUAGUAUACAGAUAGACAAAAUCAAGUGAGCACUCAUUUUGUGAGUUUUUGAAAUGGCGAAGUUUAUGGAUAAAAUGUCCCUACUUUUAGACCAUGCCGGUGUCUCAAUUUUUGUCAAACAACUAUACAUGGCCUAUUCCAAUCAGAGCAAAUUUCUUAGUUCUUCCUGAAAAUAUUGUAAUUUUUCUGCAAAAUCAUAUAGACUGUUUUAAACAUACUUCAACCGUUCUAUUCCCUAUAUUUGGAGUCAAACUUCUUAGAGCAACUCCAUGAGAUUGAUUUUCCCCUUUAUCUCCCUACGGGGGAAUCCCAUUUCACAAUUUUGGAUUUUGAAGAUGAAUGCUACAACAGAUUCCCUUUCCUGUUCUAUCCACGCGCCCACAUGUCAGUGAGUAAGGGAGUGUUUGGUUCUUUAGGACCUCCUAAAAUUCCUGUCACAUCGAAUGUUUGGAUACUAAUUAGGAGUGUUAAAUAUAGAUUAAUUAUAAAACCAAUUGCACAGAUGGAGACUAAUUUGUGAGGCGAAUCUAUUAAGCCUAAUUAGUCCAUGAUUUGACAAUAUGGUGCAGUAAACAUGUGCUAAUGAUGGAUUAAUUAGGCUUAAUAGAUUCGUCUCGUGAAUUAGCCUCCAUCUAUAUAAUUAGUUUUAUAAUUAGCUCAUGUUUAAUCCUCCUAAUUAACAUCGAAUAUUCGAGGUGCCAUGAAUUUUAGUCCGAACUAAAGAACUAAGACCCCCCCUAAAUCAUCUUCUUCCUUCUCUCCCUCGCUUCUCCUCCCGUGGCUGGGGCAACGAAGGUCGCUUGGCUGCUCGCGCGUGUGGGAGGGGCCACAGCACGCUUGACCUGCUCGCCCGUGCCGUGGGAGAAGCCACGGCGGCGCCUGGCUCGCUCGCCCGUGGGCAGGGUGGCAGCGCUCAGGCUGUUUGCCUAGUAGGGGGCAACGCUCAGCCCUGCCGUGGCACCGUGCGUUGGAGUGGGUGGCGCGCGAGGAGGGGGGCAAAGGACGGUGGCAAGGGUCGGGACGCCACACACGGGCGUGGCUUGCAAUGGCAGCAUGUGACUGGACGGUGCAGAGGGAGGGGUGGUGCGGAUCGUGUGGCUAGGAGACCAGGGAUCAUGCGAUUGUGAAAGAAUUGAUGGAAAGGGAGAAGGGUGAUUUCUCCUUUAGAAAGGGGAGAGGGAGGAAGAUAAACAUAAUCGAGAAAAAAAUAAAGAGGAAUGGAGAAUGGAAAGAGAACCUAGAUGAGGUUUUUUACCCUCUCAGUCUAUUUUAUGGCUGAAAAGUGGACAAAGUAAAUGGAGAAGGGGAUCUUUUGAGGUUGCUCUUAGAUAGGACACCGUUUUUAUCUUGCACGUCAACUUGACACUAAAAGAAAUGAAAACAUGGUUCAAGUCGAUCAUAACAACUAAAACAUCUUUGUUUCCACUUUGGAUUGUGAAUGCUAAUUUCAAAAGCUAAAGCAAAACAACCAUCUUACUUUUUAAAGUGCUUGUGGGAGUGCAAAGCCUCCUCUACAUCUAACUUUAGGUUGCAUCCAACCAACAACAACAUAUUAAUGGUUUGUUUAGUAUCGCUCCAAUCUAUGUUUCUUAGUUCCAAUCUAUAUUUCUACGACGAAGCAGAUCUGUCAUGAAGCUAAAGCUGCUACGCGAGCAAGGGAAUGAAAGGGUUUUGUGUGUGAUUGCUGAUGGUACCCUUAUGGUGUUUACACCCACUCUAUGACACCAUUUGGUCAAAAUUUUAUACCACAAAAAUAUUUACAGAUGCUUAUGUAAAAAUUUACGGAUGCUUACGUAAAGAUUUACGUGUGUACAUAAAACACGACAAUGGCACGCGGAAGUUCGUAUACAAAGAUAGUAUCUUUCUGGAAAAAUUCGUCCCCUAAAAAGAAAAGCCGCCCAUGGACACGCUACUUGGUCUGCCAUCAUCUGUGUGAUCACAAACUCUGACGGGCAGCAGCAGCAACGAUGAGAAAGCGUGUUGACGGUUCUGACCCCCAAAGCCAAACAUUACCUCUGCGAGCUCGUCUUUGCUUUGCUUUGCUUUCCUGCUCACCACCAAACCACAGGUACUAUAAUCAACAGCCGUCAGCAGAUCACUCGCUCUCACACUGAUCACUCCUGUCCUCUGAAAAAGGCGGAGAGGGUAGGGGAGUGAGGUGGUUUGGUGGCCGCAGCUGAUGGCGCCGCCGCUGCUCCCCUCCUCCGUGCUCCUCUUGCUCCACAUCGCGCUGCUGCUGCUCGUCGUCCCCUGCUCCGCCCAGGUACCGCCCUCUCUCCCUCCCUCGUAACUAGCCCGCCUGCGGUCUGAUUCUUGCUGCGGUCUCAGUUUCUUGGGUGUGCCUAUCCGUGGGUGGCUCGUGUAAAAAUUCUUGCCCGGUUCGAUCUGAUCCUUACGACUCAGUUCUUGUUAGACGUUUUUUGGUUCUUGCUAUAAUUGGAGCGCGAUUAGUUAUUCGGGGUGCCUUUUUUUUGCUAAACUUGCGACCAGAAUUCACUUCACCGCUGGGCAUCAGUGAAUGAACGAUUCGUGCGGUUCUUGUUCCGAUCAGGUUGGGGAUUCGUGCUCCUCCGCGCGCGACUGCGGCACGGGCCUGUACUGCGGCAACUGCCCCGCCUCCGGCAGGACCAAGCCCUCCUGCAUCAGGGACCUCGCGAUCCAGCCCACCUCCAUUGUAACCCACCGCACCCCCCUGUUCCGCCUCUUCCUCUGUAGCUUCUCUUCGUCCUGAUACAAAUGGGGAUUUCGCUUCUUGUCCAGGUGAAGGGGCUGCCCUUCAACAGGUACUCAUGGCUCGUCACCCACAAUUCCUUCUCCAUCCUCGGGGAGCCGUCGCGCACCGGGGUGGAGAGGGUCACGUUCUACAAUCAGGAGGACUCCGUCACCAACCAAUUGAGGGUAUGUUCUGGAUCUUUACGAGCAGAUUAAGUAUGUCUGGGAAGAGAGUGUAACCGAUUAAGCAAUUGAUGUGGAGGUGCUUGCAGAAUGGCGUCAGGGGACUAAUGCUUGAUAUGUAUGACUUCAACAAUGAUGUAUGGCUUUGCCACUCCCUGCAAGGGCAAUGCUACAACUUCACUGCUUUCGUAAGUUUAUUCCUUGUAGAUACUUACUGGUUCAUCGCCCAUCUCAUAAUUCUGUAACUCCAUGUUCGGACUCAGGACUAGUGUUUGUUUAUUGUUUUCAUUAUUAAUCUUGAUUUCCCCCAAUUUUGGAUGAGAACACCUCCUGGAAGAAUUCAAUUGGUCUGAAUAAAUGUAGGAAAUGAUAGUUUAUUUCUUUGUCCCUAAAUUUAUCUGCAACUCUGAAAGAUGUUACACGGGCUCCAAAACUAAAAUGUUCAACUUAAAUUUGAUGUUAGGUACCAGCAGUUGAGACACUAAAAGAGGUGGAAGCAUUUCUCUCUGAGAAUCCCUCGGAGAUUGUAACAAUAUUUAUCGAGGAUUAUGUUCGUUCACCGAUGGGACUGAGCAAGGUCUUUACUGCUGCUGACUUGAUGAAGUAUUGGUACCCCAUCUCGGAAAUGCCAACUAAUGGUAAGGACUGGCCAAGCGUCACAGAUAUGGUUGCAAAGAACCACAGGUUGCUGGUGUUUACUUCUGAUUCUUCAAAGGAGGCUAGUGAAGGAAUAGCUUACCAAUGGAGCUAUUUGAUAGAGAAUGAGUGUAAGUAUGACUAUCUGUGCUCUACUAAGAUAUAGUUACACAUGGCUUCCUGUAUAUUGUUAGAUAGUGAUGACCAAAUAGAAAGCACUUCAGUUACAAUAUGUACUACCAUAUCUUCCUAGUUCAGAAUUGAGACUAGUUUACUACAAAGAUGAGUAUGACCAAUUUGGAACCAAAACUAGUGAGUGUUGAGUGACUUCAUUGUUUCCCUCCGGGUUUUGAUGUUCAUAAAUAACCAGCAGUUACUUUAGAAUUGGAAGAAAAACUGCUUUGAAUGUUAGAUUUGUUUCAACAUAACCAACAUAUUGUUUUUAGUACUGACAUGUACUUAGGUUUCUCAGUUUCUACUAAUUUUGAAUAAUUUUAAUUUGUUUCUUAGGAUGAUACGAUCUGAAAAUGUACAUGACAUAAGACUGUACACGUGAAUGUUGCCAUUGUGAAUUGAUACCUAAUAUACCUAAAGUAUGCCUUGGAACAAUUGUGUUACCCCUAAUAUUGAACUUGAAAUUUUUAUUAUUGUUUUGUGCAUAAUGAUUAGUCAAAAUGUAAAAAAUAUCUGAAGUUCACACAGUGCUGUACUUGUUCACUUCGAUUCGAAUACUAUGGCAGCUCAAAUAUAUUAUGUAUUUAAACUGUAAAAAUCUCUUGCUGAUUGCAACCAAAUCAUGCGAUCUUUUGUGUCAAUGUUACUAUGAUGCAGUGCAAUAUCCUGUGCUGAAUUUGUGUUAACGAUAUAUGCUGCCAUUUUGCUAGUAUAGGAAGUAUUUUCCUAUACUAGCAAAAUGGCAGCAUAUAUGGUUUACACAAAUGCAUAUAUCGUUAACACAAAUGCAUUGGAUCUGCUAUAGCUUCGCAAAUGCAUUUUUUAUAAAGUUUUAUGUAAUCUGUAGAUUCAUGCUUGAAUAUUGAUGUACACUAAAUUAUAAUCUUUUUGGAAUGUCGUCUUUCCUACUAGUACACAUAGCAAAGCUGAGUCGGAGUGGAAUCAUCUGCAAAAGUGCAAUUGGCAGAUUUCCUUCCUCCUAUUGUUUUGGUGGCUACGUAUCCAUAUGGUUUUAGAGUUUAAGAAACCUAUUAGUUAUACUGAUUUCAAGGGAAAAUGGGUUGACUACUUUCAAAAUGCAAGUUUCGGAUGUUCCUAUCAUUUAUUUCAGAACAUGGUAUCUAGUCUAAAAUGUGUAGCAAUCUCAUCAAUAUGUUAUGCUCCUUCUUAAACAAGACAUAACCAAUAACAGUGAACAAGAUUAAUUGUUGUAUAGUCGUACAAAUGAGAUUGCUUGAAGCUUCUGAAUAAUCGUAUCUGCAGUCUAAAUUCUAAGAAUCACUAAAGUAAAUGCACAGCUUCCUGUCUUGUUCUGUUAACAUUGGUCAAGAUUUUUCGGACUGGUAACCAUGUUAUGCACACUAGCAAUACACAUAUCUUAUGGCUAAAUAAGAAAAGAAAUUAACUAGAAAAUGUCCUUGCACAAUCUUAAUUGCACAUACUUCACCCGAUGCAAUCUGGUUAAAAAUAGACACAAAUUUGUUUUGAUCUCAGGAACGCGAUUGUGGCUUUAUUUACCGCAACACAAGAUUUGAGGUUAGAAAUUGUAUUCCUAACCAAGAGGCUAGAUUAUGCCUUAGACUGACCUGGUGACCAUCUAUGAAUUUGCCAUCUGAAAAAUGAAAUAUUAAUAGCCCUGGUAACUAUUACUCAACUAUAAGGUAUCUGCAAUAGACUUCUCUUCUGCCAAAAUUCUCAUUUCAUUUCUUGUGGUCAUGGCAGCUGGAGAUCCAGGGAUUGUGCCUGGUUCUUGUCCAAACAGAAAGGAAUCACAGCCACUGAACUCAAGAUCUGCAUCUCUAUUUCUGCAAAAUUACUUCCCCACGAUGCCUGUACAGAAUGAAGCAUGUAAAGAGAAUUCUGGGCUACCACAAAUGGCCCAAGCUUGCUAUGCUGCAGCUGGAAAUAGAAUCCCCAACUUCAUAGCUGUGAAUUUCUACAUGGUAAUAUUUGAUUCCCACAGUUACAAACGAGAUAUGUCUUCUUGUGGAAUAAAAAGUUUCUUACUGUACUCUCUGCAGCGAAGUGAUGGUGGUGGUGUUUUUGAUGUUCAAGACAGAAUCAAUGGCAUCACAUUAUGUGGUUGCAACACCAUUGCUGCUUGCCAGGUAAUUAUAAAGUUGCAGUUGUAAUGCUGACCACUUUCUGCACUAGGGUUAGUUUGUUCUCCAUGAUCAUUAGCACCGGCCUGACAUUUCUGGGAGGACGGAGGACCAUAAAGCAUUCUCUUUUGGAGCAUACGAGUUUUGUCAUAUCCCUUUUUUUUUUUCAGAAUACGCAGGAGAGCUGCGUAUCUUUUCAUUAAGAAGAGAAUAUACCUUUUUUUUCAGACUGGUGUUUUUCAUCAAUGUCCUCACCAAUGAAUAUCUGCAGGCUGGGGCACCAAUGGGCGCAUGCAAGGACACUGGGGCACCUAAUCGGACUCCGUCAUCAUCAUCGUCAUCCUCCUCCUCUGUAGAUGGAAACAUCUAUUCGGGAACUAUAGAAUUCAAGACCCAUCCGACUGCUGAUGCCAGCACUACAUCCAUGCGGAGUAGUUUUGUUCUUCUGCUAAGCCUGGUGUUGACUGUAAAGCUGGUUGCAUCUUUCAUGCAUUAGUUUCUUUUUCAAACUUUUCCACGGUUUUUUUAUAGAAGAAAUUGAUAUCAGUGUUUGAAGUGAGCUUGUCUCUCUAUUCAGAUGACAGUUAGCACCUUACUAGCUUUAUAGUCUAGAGUUGAGAGGGGGGGAGUAGAUGACGUUUGGAUCAAUGUUAAUAGAAGAAUGAGUAGCAAUCUUACUCUGUUCACCCAAAAAUAUUACAAACAAACCGAUGGGUCAUGUUCCUGCUGCUAGUGUCAUAUGCAGAUGUGUGUUAUGUUGCCAAGUUGCAUGGAGUACUACGAAGAAAAUAUCUAGAAUUUUACCAAACUUGUGUGGUUGUGUUUUUUUUUUCGUUUUCCAGAUCAUUGAGAUAAUACUUCAUCUAUCAGUGCCAUACAUUACAUCACAUACGUUAGGAUCAUACGACAGAUGGUUGUCUCAGAGCAACUCCAAGAGGCGGCUAAUCUUACCCCAAUACCUUUUUUAGGAAAAAAGAGAGAAAAAAUAAACUCCAACAAUCCACCUAAACCUUCCCUAAUUUUUUGGCGACGCUAAAAAAUAGCCUGCCACCGCGUAUAUUUUAGCGUUAGCGUUUCUCCCCCAAUCCUGAUUCCCGCACGCCCGCGCGUCCCUUCCGAUGGGCCCAAUACGAUGACGUGGCCUGUGUUUGAAGUAUUGGGGGCUAUUUAUUAGCGAUCUGCUGUGGACUGAUAUGUUUUUGGGGAAAUUUUUUUUGAAAGAACUCCCAAUACAUAGUUUUGGGGAAGAAUUUUUUAGGAUACUCUUGGAGUUGCUCUCAGAUGGUUAAUGUUUCUCCAUAAACCAUUUUAAUUGGUGCAUUCAACCGCUCUAAUGAUAUUUUUUUCUUCACGUACAAAUUGAGUCUUAAAUUUUCUGGUGUAACGACGAAAUAUCAUAAUUAUGUAAAAAUAUAUUAGAAACUUUCAUGAUCAGUUUAAAGAUUAUGGUCAUUUGGUAACACAUUAACCCUAGAAAUAGAAGAUCGCAUGCGAAAAAAUGAUGAAAACACUUUUAAAGAUUUAUUUCUAGAAUUCUUGGUUUUUUCCCCCUUGAGUCCGUUUUGUGAUAUUUGUUUCUAUUAUAUGAAACAUAGUAGAGAUAGAGAUGUUUUUUCUAGUAAAGAUGGAGAUGUUAAUAUACACACAGGCAUGCCCACUUCUAUGAAUACGUACUCACACACCCUAUCCCGAUUGGAGAAAAAUGUUUUUUGAAUGAAAUUAUUAAAAGAACAAUUAGCUAAAAAUACAAGCAAUUUAUCUAAUGGUCACGUUACACCACAACAGAUAUAACCAACAAAGGUACCCUAUCUUCAUCUGGUAUCUAAAUGGGUGUCAAAUCAACCUUCAAUGAUGGUGUUUCUUUCAUUUUAAGACAUAGUUUUUCCCUUGAUAAAAUUACUACCUCCGUUCCAAUAUGAACAGAGAGUAUUUAUUUUGCCAUUAAGAUUUCAUUAAUUCUUUCAUUCUUUCAGCGAUGCCUGCAUCGACAAGGUGUGUGUGGACCCACUUGGUAAAUGGACGUUAAAUAUGGGAGAAAAGCAAAGUUUGCAGCGACAACGAAUAAGAACUAUCAACUCUUUCCUCCAUUUCAAAUUGUAUGUCAUUUUGACUAGAUGCACGUCUACAAUUUGGAACGGAUGAAGUAUAUAUCUCUGUUUUUUUAACCUGAGAUCUUUUUUGGCCAGUGUUACCCUUAGAAUUUAGAAAUGUGGAGUGGCCUGUCCAUGCUAAAACCUUCCCUUCCUGAAAUGCAAGUCUGAACUCUGAAUACAAAGAACUGCGAAGUUUUUUUUUAAAAGGCAAGAACUGCGAAGUUCGGGACGGGAUUGAACCUGAAGCAACAACCGUGGUCGUCGUUCCUUGCGUUUUUUUUUUCGAAAGAUGUCGUUCCUUGCGUUAAUAAUAUUUAAAAAAAACAUCCACGGCCGUGUGGAUUGUGGUGCCUGCUUUUUCCUCCCUGGGGGAAAAUCUCUAGCUGCAUGCGUCCAUGCAGGGUUCUCGUCGGAUAGUGGAAAUCAGCACAUGGAGCCGCGUCGGGUGACCGCGAGCGAGACUGCAAGGAGGGAAGAGAAACACGACUCGGCCGGCCGACGUCCGCCGACGCGAACGGAGCUACAGCGACGUCGGAAGCUGCCCUUCGCCGGCCACCGCUGAACCGUCGUCAUCUAGCUAAAUGUGGAAAUGCUUUGUUCUCGUAUUAUGUUUUGUGAGAUGGUGGAAGCUCAAGCAUUUCCACAUUUUCAAAAAGAAAACUUGCAAUGAUCUGGUUUUAGGGUCUUCCAAAAACUAGUCAACCAUUAGUGUAUCCAUAGCUAUUGUGCCCAAUUUUGAGAACCGGUGACAACCGCGAGAUCGAGUUUGGUACGUACGAAGAUGAUGUGAAUUGGAAGAUUGUGAUAGCGUAGACCUUCACUAUAUCUCGCCAUAUUGGUUGUUGGUUUUGGGUUGGCAAAAUAGAGAUUGUGUGCAAAAUACUGAGCAUAGAUUUUUGGGGGCAGUUUUUCCUCUUCAUGCAUAAAAUUCAAUUUUAUAUAAUACUCCUUUGUAUACCUGACAUUGUUUACUUUGACCAACCUUUUUUACUUAUCUUCAUGUAGCAACACUAAAAUGGCGGGAAUAAUCUGUCAGCAUUAAAAUGGAUUACCAUUUCAGAGAUGUUGGUUCUAGAGCGAGGGCGAGCACGUGCACAAGUCGAGUGUCGAUCACGCAAACGGUGGCCGCGGCGCGGACGGCCGAGAACGGUCCGGUCCCUAUCCGUUCGCCGUCGUCGUCGGCACGCAUGCUUUUGCAUUUGCUUCCCCACCAGCUAGCUACUCUACCUAUAAUAUCCUCCCAGUCAAUCACCAGGCUGCAGCCAUUAGCCGUCCAGCCCCACCCCCGCUCGGAUCGACCACCCAGUCGUUCCCUCGGCGCACCAGGCGGCGCCGCCAUGGACGCCACGCUGCUGCUCUCCGCCAACGCCGCCCUCGCCGCCCGGCGCCGCCCUUCUACGCCCGCGGGACGCCCGGGGCGGGUUGUGCCGGGGCGGGGCCCGGCGUCCUGCAGGCCCGUCCGCGCGCGCGCCGCAGCAGCGGCCGCGCCAGCCGCGGGAGGCGUCGACGGGGUGAGGACGGCUUUUUUUACUUUUCUCUAAAUUUUCCUUGGUUAUAAGAGGAAUUGAUGCUAUUUUGGUAUCUACCCUUGUUUAGAAUAGUACUCCUUCCGUCUUUAAAGUUGAAUUGGUGCUGGAUUAUAUACUCAUGCUUGAAACCAACCCCUUUUUCCGGCCGAAAUUCUCCCAAGAAUGAAUUGGAGGCUUUUCUUCUUCAGAAUCAGAACAGGGAAAAAGAAGUGAACAGUAACUCUUUCUGAAAUAACCUCCUUGUAACAGCACUGUUGUAAAAAGGGAGGGGAAAAAAGCAAUUUUCCUUUAGAUUAGUAGGACGAUGUCAAAGUCAUUCUUGUUCAAUUCACAUUCCUGUCGUUCAGAUGCCUCUUUCAGCAAGCGCACAAAUACUAGUGUUCAUCUGUUGACGAAAUUGUUCUCCUUGGAAUUGAAUAUAUGUAUGGGUUUUAACAUCACUUCUGUACUGAUAAUAUCUGCACCCUCCUUGUUCAGCAAAGCAAUGGAGUUUACACGGUUGGUGACUUCAUGACGACAAGGGAAAAUCUCUACGUUGUCAAACCUACAACUUCAGUUGACGAAGGUACCCCUCUCCUCCUUCCUAGUGUGAUGCCUGGGCUCGAUUGCUUUGUAAUUUCCCAAGUUGCUCACUUCUGCUGUUUCUUUUUGCGCAGCCCUUGAGAUGUUGGUGCAGCACAGGAUCUCUGGCUUCCCUGUGAUUGACGACAACUGGAAGCUGGUUAGUUUUAUCCUUAAAUCUUUUCCCCAACUGUCUUAUAGAGUUAUAGUAUUCUUCUACUCUGUUGUUAUUGGACCGCAUGAACUUAGUUCACUUUCCUCUGUUAACCUGAAUUACACCAAUUAGCUUGGCUAUUAUUGCAGUGCUAUCUCUGAUGUCAAUUAUAUUCCCAAUAUCUGCACCUGCAGGUUGGGGUCGUAUCAGAUUAUGAUCUGUUAGCAUUGGACUCAAUGCCAGGUAUUCAUGAUUUCCAGGAAAUUUUAAUCUUUUGCUUGCAAAGAAUUCAUAUUACACCAUUUGUUUGGAACUGCACACAUACCAAGUCAUUCAUGCUACUAGUCAGUUGUGAUGCAACAAAAGGAGCUACCUUCUGCAUGUUGUCUGUAGUAUAUUUCAUACAACACUUUGAUCAUAUCCUUUCCAUUACUUUCUAUUGUGUCCUGCAAUUCAUCUUUACAGUCAUAUAUUGUUCUACAUGGUGUCUGGCGCUAUUCUUCUUUUUUGGGAAACAGUUAGUGGUAGUAUUCACUAUUCUUCUUUUUUGGGAAACAGUUAGUGGUAGUAUUCAUUAUCUCUUCAUUUAUUAUAUUUAUCUCAUGAUUCAGGAAAUGGACUGGCUGACACAAAUACAAACAUGUUCCCUGAGGUGGAUAGUACUUGGAAGGUAUCUCAUGAUUGAAUUACUCAUGUUGGCUAGUGUACUACUUUUAAAAAAUAGUAUCUUUACAUAUCAGCUUUAUUUUUUCUGACCUUUUUAUCUCCCACCUAUUGAGAUGAAAUGCUCUGCUUUAUGUGGAGGCAGUUUUUCUUUAUGGGGGGAAUUUUCUGUGUUGACAAAACAGCUCCUCCAUAGAAUAAAAUGUUCGCACCACAUGAGACUUUGAACCACACUUUUGUACAUCAAGAAUCCUCAAUCAGUCUAGCUUAAACAAAAUAAGGAUAACAUUCUGCACUGUUUGUACUAUUAGAAUAUCUGAUUAUUUCUCUCAUUUGUUUUCACUACUUCUAUGAAUAAAUUUGUGGUCAUCUCUUCAGGAUAUACUUUUUUUAACUCAUAAUUACUGCUCUACAGACAUUCCGUGAGAUACAGAGACUAUUAAACAAAACUAAUGGCAAAGUCAUUGGUGAUGUAAUGACUUCUUCACCUCUUGCGGUGCGUGAAAAUACUAAUCUUGAUGCUGCCAUAAGGUUGCUACUUGAAACCAAAUACCGAAGAUUACCUGUAGUUGACAGCACAGGGAAACUAGUGAGUGGAUCCAUCCUUCCUUGCAGUUCCUGUUUGUCUGCUUUAGCUCAAUACCAUUAACAAAAUAUUUUGAACAUUCUUUUUUGCGUAAACAUAAUGAAAUUUCCGUUCCUGAAGGUUGGGAUGAUAACAAGGGGAAACGUCGUCGGAGCUGCUCUCAAAAUAAAGAAGAAAUCUGAAGAAGGCGCUUGAAUCGCACAGUGCCUUGGCAUUCAAUUCAUUGAGACAUUGAUUGGUGAACUUCAUUACAUAUACACUGAGUGCAGCUCCAAGUUCUACCUGGACACCAGCAGAUGGAUAUGGUGUUGUAUGCAGAUUAAUAUAAGUUGCAAAGGGCUCUGAUAUAGUUUCAUAUAAGGACUACUAUAAUUCAUUUGAGGUAAUCAUACUUGGUUCCCUCUCAAUAUUAGGUGGUGCUAGCGUAGUGGUGUAUAGGUUAAUUUAUAUAGUGAAAUUUAGAGCUUGUGAUAUGAUGGGAAUCUUUGGAUUGAGGUAACAGUAUUAAAAACUGUGUUAUGAUUCCAGCAUGUCCUUGAGAACUAUGUUUCAUCCGCAGCAGACCAGCUUAAAACAAACACUCUGGUUCACGGUGCUUAUUGUUUUACAGUUGGGCAUAAGAAGAUAGAUGAAAUGAUCACCUUACUCUGGAUGUUCUUUAAAGUGUGCACGUGUUAGAGAGUUGUUGAUUUAUGAUGCAUUUAAGGAAGGGUACGUGUAAGACUAGAAAAAGCACGUCAAACCUGCCAGAAGUUGUAGAACAACAAACAAGUAUUUUGUAGAUUGUAGAAGAGUUUAAACAACUACUGUAGUAUAUUGAUCCAGAGCGAGUAUGUUGAAUAGGCUCCAAAUUUAUAUUCGUCUGCUCGCAUGAACCAUCAAACAUUCAAACAUCAUCUAAGCACCGUUCUAAAGGUGAACGCUCAUGAGCAGAAGCACAGGAAGAUGAUUUCCCUCGAGCAACUUGACGGUAUUUCGCCAAGAGGUUGAUAUUUGGUUUUUGAUUUAAAAAGCAUGUUGUCAUCUCAUUUUAGUUUUGUUGAUUGUUGCAUUGCUGCCGGUUUUGUUUAGCUAGUUACACUUAUGCUCAGGAUGUGCAGCCACAAAAGCAGACCAUUCAAUUCCAAAAGGAAAAAAAGGAAAAAUUGGAUCAUACCAUCAAAAGAAACAGCUAUUAGAUAUAUACCAUCAAAAGAUUGAACUACAGAUGUUUACCACCAAAAAGUUGCAACGUUAAACUAUCUAGUAUUUCUGUUUGCCUCCGUCAAAAACUGCCCAACAGCCCAAGUCCAGGUGAAGAAAACACAGCCACCAGGUGAAGAAAACACCAGCCACGGCGGCGCCGCUCUUUCCUGGCAGCACCAUGCGUCCGAGCCGGACCGCUGCACACCUGCACGCCCGCACACGCCGCUCCUUCUCUGCAGGUUUCACCGUGCCUCCACUACUCCUGCCCCCACCCCCAUCAGGCGCAGCCGCGCCGCCGGCCGCCGGCCGCCGCUCCUGCUCCGCGUGCUCGCCCUUGCACCGCCGGCCAUUACACCAUGCCGCCGCAAGCCGGUUAGGAGCACCUGCGGACGAAAGGAAUUGGAAAGUGUUGGAAAGGGGUGAAAAUUGGACGUUAAAAAAUAUUUCUGACGCUUGGGUGCUACUUUUUUCACGGAGAAGAAAUUGACCCGCCCAACCCAUCCCCCUCCCCGCUCAGCAAUUUUCACGUCACCCGCGUAAACCACGCUCCUUUCCUUCGGUUACCUUUCCUAAUCACGGUAGUAAUAUUUUCUUUCCCUAAUCUCCAUGCGUUCCCUACUGCUAGCUUCCUCGGCCCUCUGCGCUCCGCGUCGCUACCGCAAGAUCGACGUCGGCGGCUCCACGAGAGCGCCCUGCCACCACGCCCACGCGAAGGUAAGGACUGCCGGCCUCUUAUCUCGCUGGUUGCGCAAACGGCAAGCCUCCUCCCUGUUCCUGCACUACCACACACACGAAAAGCGAUCGACGACGUUGAAGCCAUGCGCAGAAACGGAGCGGCCACCUCCAUGAUCAUGACGGCGAUUAGUGCCGCACGCUGCCGGUCAGACCCUCCACACCAUCACACCAUCACGCUGCCGGUUUCAAUUUAUUUGUUUUAGCUUCUCAUCCUUCCAAACCUCUCCAUGCACCCUCACUCCUGUUGGAUCUUCUGUUAACACCGGUAUGUUUACCAGAAUCAAUCGAAAAAGAUAAGAUUCUGAUAGGUGAUAAAAGAGAAAGGAAGGGUCCGUUGACGGUUCGAUGUUGACCAAAGUCCACCACGAGCGAUUGGGUUCCAGAAGUCGAUAGAAGACGGGAGGGAUCCGAUCCGAAGAGAAACCGACUCCACCAAAUAAGGGAAAGCGUGGAGAUUUAUCUCUAGUAGUUUUUAUACUCGUUUGUAUCGGUUCAUAUCGUAAUCGACUAGGAUUUUAGCUUGCUCCAAGGUAUAAAAUAAACCCAUGAGCCUUGUAAAAAAAGAAUCAUCAAUCAAUCAACGCAACCUUUCGGCGCCACGCCACCAAAACCUAAGGAGUAGGAGUAGAGUAGAAACCGGCAAGUUUCUUUUUGCGUGCAAGGUUGCAUUGGUUUUGAUCUCAGACGAGCUUGUAAGUACCGUCACCCGAUCGUUACGUUAUCUGUAUCAGAAUUUUCUAGGCAUCGUCCAAUAUUCUGAUCUCUUAUCGUAAGGGCUAGUUAUCGAGUUAACUUAGAUUGAAAGUAGAACUUUCUAAGCUUUGUCCAAUGUUCUAUUUGUCUUUGACAUUGCUCAUAGUUAUCGAGUUAUUUGGUUUUAUUAAGUUGUAUCGUAUCAAUCUCUUAGUUUUAUGAAGUGCUCACACUAGUUAGGUUGUCUUUCUCGGCUUCUUGAUCUUGUUUAAGCGUUCACCCAUUAUCUGAUCGUAUUGGCUGGUUAGAUCUUGCAUGCUUUAAUUUCUUUACAUAUGCUAGGUCCGAUAGAUCUUUACCUCUGCCCCUCGUAUUGCUAGCUAUCGGAUCUUUAACGUCAAAACGCUACCAUUGAGAGCCGAUACAUAGGCUGGGUAUCAUCCAUAUCUCUCAAAAGCAUGAUGACGUCAUUGAGCCGAUAGCUAUGCGUACGAGAUCUUGCUGCCGCAAGCUAGUCUGUUAAGUUAGUGGGCCAAAGUUAAUGUUCUCUCAGCUGUAUUGCCUUGAUUAAGUUCAAUAUACUUCUCAUGACAUUAAUCAGAUCCGUUAGCUUAAUCGACUUGUAAGUGGUAGGCAAGAGCAUGCUUUAAAUUUUUAGAUUAAUAGAUUGAGGUUAAUGUCCUCUCAGUCGUACUGUCUUGGUUAAGUCCAAUCUACGUCUCAUGAUAUUGACUAGAUCUAUUAAUUUAAUUGACAUGCGCAUGAUUAGCAAGUGAUACUGUUAUGACUGUUGUUUUAUAUUGCAUCUAUCUUAGCUCGUCGGCUCAUAUAGCCGAUGGCACAUGCCAUCAAUACUUCUUUUUAUUUACUUACAUUGAAAAUCUAACUGUAAUGGUGUUUAUUCAAAGGCGUUUAAUGGUGUUUAUUCAAAGUAACGCCUAUCAAUGAGCUAGAAUGCUUAGCCGCCUAUUAGCUCAGGAAUUUAGUGUUUCCGUUGUUAAUUUCAAGUCAAAUUGACUGACACGCCUUGCACCUUCGUGAGCCGAUUUGGAUCCUACACUGGAGUCAAGUAGAUAUCCCAGGUCCUCCAUGUUGUUCAACGAAGAAGCCUGAAGCCUAGAUUUUGCGUCAACACGCUCUUGGCACGCUCGGUGGGACCAACAAUCAACAAACGUCAUUAGUGCUCGUCGUUGUCUCAACUUCAACCAGAUGACUGGCGAGACUGGAGACGAUCAAUCCGGUGAUCCCAAAGCUCCCAAGCAGUUUGUGGCAACUGAGAUUACCAUGGACAAACUUGAUGAAUUACAAAGGAAAGAAGUAGAAGACGCUACUGCAAAGUUCCAAGCAGCUUGUCUGCAAUCGUUUAGCAUGAACCGCAACAGGGCUCACAAGAAUCAUCCUCUGCCAGUGCCAAUGCCACGAACCAGAGAUAAAAAUCAGGAGGCCGAGGAAGAUGACCUUGAGCUUCAGUCUAAGAUCAACUCUAUGGUCAACAAGGCUUUGAAUAGCCCAACUGGGGUAUUUGCAAAUGAAAUCCAGAAGACGAUCUUGCAGGUUGCAGAGCAUUAUGUUAACAAACAGUCCUGGAAAAGAUAUGUGGCUAACAUGUCUGGUCACGGAGGUGGUGUACAUGAUUUAUCUUCCAGACACCUGGCAAGACAGCCGACGAUCGGCCCAUCUAAUGGCCAGCCGAGACAAAGAUCAGGAUCAAUUUCUAUCCAGACUGCAAAUCAACACUCAAUGCCACCAAGGCAGUCAGAUUUUACAUUUGAUGGAAACAGAGCAUUUGAUAUUCGAGAACCUCAUGUUAUAGAUGGAUUUGUACCCUCAGCCUCUCCACAUUAGCAGCAUGGAAAUGGGCAGAAUAAUGAAGAUUGGGCUGCGAAAAUUACUGAGGUUAUGAGCAGUCAAUUUGGUUUGAAGCCCAAGGAACAAUCUUAUACAUACCAACGCCCAUACCCUACAUGGUUUGAUCAAGUGGCGAUGCCACAUCGGUACCGUGUUCCUGAUUUUGCUAAAUUUUCUAGAGAAGACAAUAUGUCUACAAGGAAAUACGUCAGUCGAUUCCUAGUCCAAUGCGGAGAAGCGGCUACCAUGGACGCACUUAAAGUGUGAAUGUUUCCAUUAUCAUUGACGAGACUCGCUUUUACAUGGUUUUCAACAUUGGCACCCAACUCCAUCAAUAAUUGGGAAGAUUUGGAAAGAUUAUUUUAUAGGCGCUAUUAUGUAGAAGCCCAAGAGAUGAAGCUAAAGGAUCUGAUGAUGAUGAAGAAGCAAAUAAAUAGGGAAACGGUGGCUGCCUUUGUCUAGAGGUUUUGGGAUGUGCGCAACAAGUGUUAUAAUAUAUUCUUAACUGAUGGACAACUGGUUGAAUUGGCUUAUCAAGAGCUACUGGAUCCUACCAAAGAAAAGUUUGCUCCUUAGGACUUUGAAAGCUUAGCAUAACUAGUGCAUAAGGUCUCGGUUCAUGAGAGCCUAUUCCAGAACACGCGUAGGGGAAAAUAUGGAGUCUCCAACUUCAAUGCAUAUGAUUCAUCUAAUGAAGACUCCGAUGCAGAAGGGGAGAUUGUUGUUGCAGAGUGGGUCAAGAGGAAGAAGCCGGUUUCGUGUCCAUGGAUCAAAACCAAUAUGGAGACAUAUGACUUUGAUAUUACUAAGGCCGAUGAAAUAUUUGACUUGUUGCUGCAAGAAGGACAGAUUAAAUUGCCUCCGGGUCAUAAGAUACCAUCGGCUGAGGGACUUAAGAAGAGGAAGUCUUGCAAGCUGCACAACUUUGUCACACCUCACACCAAUAAUUGUAAAGUGUUCCAUCAGCAGAUUCAGACCGCCAUAGAACAAGGAAGGUUAAAGGUUGACGACAACAAGAAGUAGAUGAAGGUUGACAAGCACCCUUUCCCAGCAGUUAACAUGGUAGAAGCUACCCUAGUUGAUAGGAAAGAAGAAACUAGGCUCCAGUCGGCACUUCUCACGUCCCAGAGAGCCAAGGAAUCUGGAAUAGUGGACUCGCGGGUGUAGAUAUCGGCUGAGGACUACAAAAAGAAAGUAAGCUAGUCUCAAGAAGUAGAGGAAGAUGAAGCCAGCCGAUCUGUUAGGAAUCCUAAAGUAACAUCCAAGAUGCUAAUCAAGAAGUACCAGCGCAAACGAGAGGUUCAGGAAGCUAGGGCAGAUGAUGACCGGAGCAAGUUUGAGUCACAUUGGAAGUAUCCUUUCUUCCAAUACUGCUAGAAUGAAAAGCUUUGGUUACCAUCGACUAUUGAUUGCCCAUAGUGCAGUUCACAGUAUCAAGGCUAUCGUGAGUCCAAGAGACAAUGCCGAUCGGUGCAUGAACGACAGUCAUCAAGGCACCGUCGGGCAGUCGAGGGAUCCGAUGAGGAAAGGGAAGUUCAAUCUGUGCAUGAGAGACUAAGCUACCUACCAAGGUGCAACUAUGUUGUCAUCGACGAGUCCAAGGAGGAACUUAUCAGACGUCAAUAGAAGCUGAUUCCUAGGGAGCGUUGGUGCCCAGAAGGGUUAACCAAGACUUAGAGAAGGAGGGUUCAACACCUGCGCUUCUAGGAACAAAACUAGGAGUGGCGUGUCAAGCAAGCGAAUAAAGAUAAAGAGGUAUCAGCUGAAAUUAAUAUGGUUUUUAUUUUACCUUCUGAAUUUGGGGCAUGUCAUAGCGAUGAACAGGAGGUUGCCUAAUUGGUGUUGCCGGCCCAGCAAGCUAUAUUUGAGAAACCAGAGGAUGAGAGACACCGUCACCUCAAGCCUUUGUACCUGAAAGGUCAUUGUUGGGGGGAAAUAUUAACGAUCCCCUAAGACACCACUUAAGGAAGCAGACACGGAGGCCCGGGCCCACCUAAACGUGAUCAAAGCUCCGCCUCGCCCGACCAAGACGCCAGGAUCGGGAACGUCCGACCCCCUUCCACAAAGUUUCCGCCUCGCCCGACUGCGGCCCCGGGGUCUGGGGCGCCCGACCCCUCGUCACGAAGUUCCGCCUCGUCCGACCCCAAGCGAAGGGGUCGGGCGCGUUGAGGCCCCCGGGGCAAGCAUCCCCCUCGGAUACGGUCCAGAUGGACGAGACCGACAAAAUCCUGUGGGUCCAAUCGUCGGCCUCGCCAUAAAUGCGCCGCAGGCCCGGCAGAGGGAACGGAUGACCGCGCUCCUCACGCAACCUGUCACAAGUACCCGUGCACGACCACACUGUACAGGCUACAGUGCCGGCGGCUGACUCCCAUUCGCCGCAGGGUACUCAUGACUUGCGCCGGCCGGAGCGAAGGAGAGACCGGCCUAUCCUCGGGCCCCGCGCGCCCUCGGGCCCCGCACGGCAAGGAUGUGACGCUCUCUCUCAGGAGCCAUCGCCUGAACAACAGCAUCCACCGUCCUCCCCAGCAGACACCAGGAUAACGAUGGAACGCCCUCAUCAUGACCCGACACCUAUGGGUAUCGAAGGAGCUAUCUGUAGGGAGCAACAACAGUUGGCACACGGCGGCCUCCCCUUCCAGCAUGCACGCCGGCGUUCGCCAGGGGCCGGCAGAGGCGUCGGGCGCCUAGGAACUUGCUCCUCCUCCCUGCCGUGUUUUUACCAUUCUACGCUUUACUCUUUACAGUCCUCUUCACCCGAUCCCAACUGUAACUCCGGCCACCCCCUUGCGAUAUAAAAGGAGGAAUCCAGGGCUGGAGGGGGGAUCGACUUCUUCUCCCACAAGCCACUGCACACAACGACUCUCCUUGAGAGCACGAGCACCCAAAGAGACUUGGGACCAGUCCCUCUCUCGUCGACCUGUAACCCCUACUACAGAACCCCGCGUGGGCAACACGAACAUCCUCGAUACUGGACGUAGGGCUUCCCUUGCCCGAACCAGUCUAAACCCGUGUCUCCCACGCUACCACCUGAGGCUUACGCGCAUAAAAGAAAUUUACUAGUCUAAGUCUUGAUCGGCCGAUCUUGACAACGACAGUUGGCGCGCCAGGUAGGGGACCUUUACGCGUACGUUCCCAGCCUCAGAUGGCCAAUUACGACGGUAGCUUUACUCCGGGCUCCCUGAUCUGAUUCGGGAGCCUGGACUUCCUCGCCACCGCGGAAGGGAUCGAGCUGAUCCCUGUCCUCGUCCUACCCGCUCGCCCAGCUGCCCUCGGCCCUGCCGCCGGGACGGCGGCGAGCGGUCGCUCGCCCACUGGAAGGACCUCACCAAGAGGACAGCCCUUCGGGCUACGCAACGCCACGGGGGCUUACGGACGCCUCCUAGCGCGGUCCUUGACCACGUCGCCCGCGAGCAGCGAGCUCGUAGGCGCGGCAAGGACAAUCUCUGACGCUGGCUCCAGCAGCGGGAGUCCCCACCCCUCGCGCGAGUGCCUUGUGGUCGACGCGCACUCCGAGGGGUCCAACGGCGAUGGUGCCGAGGGGAGACAACGGGUUCCCCCCUCGCGCGCCGCAGCUACAACUGGAGCCUUACCAAGGGCCCCGGAGUGCUCUCGGCAACCAGAAGCACGCGUGGGCGCUCGCCAAGAAGUAGAGCACCCCCACCACGAGGGGGGAGCGCGACAACGGGCGCGUGACGUCCAGCAACGCAUCUGUGCGGACGGAGAGCGUCCGCCGCUCUUUGCCCGCGCUAGCCAAAACGUCGCAGCCGCGGCGGUGUUGCUCCGACAGCUCCCCGAACCAGCGACGCCCGAGGAGCGACGGGCACACCAAGAGAUGCGCAACCUGCUCGAGUGCGCCGCCGUCCAGCAGGCGGAAAGUUUGGCGUCCUGGCGACGCGGGCAGAAAGCCAGCCGGGCGACGCCUGACGCACCCCCAGAACGGCGGGGGGAAUCUGUCCAUCAACCCCCUCCGGGGGCGAAUCAGGCCGCGUCCGCCCGACGGACCCCGCCCCCCGCGGGAGGCGAGGCUCGAUCCGUCCACCAGCGCGUCGGUCUCGUCCGCGACGCCCGCGACACCCUGAAUGCGCGGAGACGCUCCCGCGCGGACAGGGGGGACGGGGCAGAUCGAGGCUACCACGUUCACUGUGGCGGGCGCUACGACAGCGGGGAAGACCGCAGCCCGAGCCCAGGAACGGCUGGGCCUCGGGCCUUCUUCGCGCGCAUCCUAAAUGCGCCCUUUCCGCCGCGCUUCAGGCAACCCACGAGUGUAGCCAAAUACUCAGGGGAGACAAAUCCUGGAGUGUGGCUCAGCGAUUACCAGCUUGCAUGUCAAGCCGGCGGGGCGGAUGAUGACCUGUUUAUCAUCCGCAACCUACCCCUUUUCCUGGCAGACUCCACGCGAGCUUGGCUAGAACAUAUCCCUUCGGGACGCGUUCGCAACUGGAACGACCUGAAAGAGGUUUUCAUAGGAAACUUCCAAGGGACGUACACGUGCCCCGGCAACUCCUGGGAUCUCCGGAGCUAUCGUCAGGGGGCGGACGAGUCCCUCCGGGAUUACAUCCGGCGCUUCUCCAGAAAGCGCACCGAGCUCUCCAACGUCGCGGACGCCGACGUCAUAGGAGCCUUCCUAGCAGGGACCUCUUGCCGGCCCCUCGUCCACGAGCUGGGACGCCGAGGCCCGCGAACCACGGAAGAGCUCCUCAAUAUCGCCACUAGCUACGCCUCCGGCGAAGAGGCUGUCGGAGCGAUCUUCGAUCGUUCCAAAGGCAAGGCGAAACGAGAGGAGGACGCCAACGAAGGCACUUCCAACCGCCAGCAGAAGAAGAAGGGCAAGCAGCGGCGCGAGGCCCCCCUCGUGGCCGCGGUCGAGCGCAAGCGGGGGCAGCCGCCCCCUGAAGGCGCUCCCGGCUUCUUCGACAAGUUGCUCGAGGGACCGUGCCCAAACCACGAGUUCCCCGUCAAGCACGCCUACAAAGACUGUAACCUCAUGAAGAGGUACUUUGUGGGCAAUCCGGUGAAAGGCGACCGGAAGCGGAAGCCCGAUGAGGAAAAGAAGGGCGACGAAGAGAAGGAAGACGGCUUCCCUAAAGUCGACGGCUGCUUCAUGAUCUUCGGCGGCUCUGCAGCGUACGACACCAAGCGCCAGCAAAAGCUGGAGCGCCGGGAGGUCUACGCGGCCGAGCCUGCGACUCCGGCCUUCCUCGACUGGUCCGGGCCGGCCAUCACCUUCGAUAGGUCCGACCACCCUGAACGCGUCCGACAUCCGGGGCGUUACCCUCUCGUCGCGGACCCUAUCGUCGGCACGACGCGCCUCACCAAGGUACUCAUGGAUGGGGGCAGCGGCCUCAACCUCCUCUACACCGAGACUCUCGACGCUAUGGGGAUCGAUCGCUCCCACCUCCGUCCUAGCAAGGCACCCUUCCAUGGCGUCGUGCCAGGGAAGCAGGCGACGCCCCUCGGGCAAAUCGACCUGCCCGUUACGUUUGGGACCCCUUCCAACUAUAGGAAGGAGGUCCUCACCUUCGAGGUGGUGGGGUUUCGCGGAACCUACCAUGCCAUCUUAGGACGGCCGUGCUACGCGAAGUUCAUGGCAAUCCCCAACUACACCUACCUCAAGCUCAAGCUGCCAGGGCCCAACGGGGUCAUCACCGUCGGCACGACCUUCCAGAAGGCAUAUGAGUGCGACGUAGAGUGUUGCGAGUACACCGCGGCCAUCACCGUCACGAGCGGCAUGGCGGUCCAGCUUGCGGAGGUGACCGAAGAUCAACCCGACGCCAAGCAGUCGAAUACCUCCUUCGAGCCCACCGAAGGCAUCAAGGAAGUCCCUCUCGAUCCCGGCUGUUCCAAUGGUGGGGUUGUGCGGAUCAGCGCGGCUCUAUCCCCCAAAUAGGAAAGCGCGCUCGUCGACUUCCUCCGCGCGAACAGCGACGUCUUCGCGUGGAAGCCCUCGGACAUGCCAGGCAUCCCGAGAGAAGUCGCCGAGCAUUCCUUGAACAUCAGGGCCAGCUCCAAACCAGUGAAGCAAGGUUUGCGCCGUUUCGACGAGGAAAGGCGCAGGGCCAUUGGUGAAGAGCUCCAGAAGCUCCUGGCGGCUGGGUUCAUCAAGGAAGUGCGCCACCCCGAGUGGCUGGCCAAUCCUGUCCUUGUACCAAAAAAGAACGGGAAAUGGAGGAUGUGUGUCGAUUAUACCGGUCUCAACAAAGCGUGUCCAAAGGAUCCGUUUCCUUUGCCACGCAUAGAUCAAAUAGUCGACUCAACCGCCGGGUGCGAGACCCUCAGCUUCCUCGACGCAUAUUCCGGCUACCACCAGAUCGCGAUGAAAGAGGCCGACCAGCUCACUACCUCCUUCAUCACCCCCUUUGGUCCCUACUGCUACGUUAAGAUGCCGUUCGGCCUCAAAAACGCGGGGGCUACCUUCCAGUGAUGCAUGCUGAAGUGCUCCGGAGAUCUCAUCGGGUGGACCGUUGAGGCCUACGUCGACGACAUCGUGGUUAAAUCCAGGAAGGGUGACCAGCUCGUUCCCGACCUGGAGCUAGCCUUCGAAAGACUGAGGGAUAAGCGUAUUAAGCUCAAUCCCGAGAAAUGUGUGUUCGGAGUCCCAAGGGGCAUGCUAUUAGGCUUCGUCGUCUCUGUGCGCGGCAUCGAGGCAAACCCGGAGAAGAUGGCGGCCAUCAGCGACAUAGGGCCAAUCCGGAACAUAAAGGGGGGUGCAGCGCGUCAUGGGAUGCUUAGCAGCUCUAAGCCGCUUCAUCUCGCGCCUCGGCGAGCGAGGUCUUCCUCUCUAUCGGCUCCUGAAGAAGUCUGACCGCUUCGAAUGGACCAGCGAGGCCCAGGAGGCACUUGACCGACUCAAGGACCUCCUAACGAAGGCCCCAAUUCUAGUCCCGCCCGCCGACGGCGAGUCCCUCCUGCUCUACGUCGCGGCAACCACCCAGGUGGUUAGCGCGGCCCUGGUGGUGGAGUGGGAGGAGGAGGGGCACGCUCUUAAGGUGCAACGCCCGGUGUACUUAAUCAGCGAAGUCUUGUCCGAGUCCAAGACACGAUAUCCACAGAUCCAGAAGCUCGUCUACGCCAUCCUCAUCACGAAGAGGAAGCUGCGUCACUACUUCACCUCCCACCCGGUAACGGUCGUUUCAUCAUUCCCGCUUGGUGAAGUAAUCCGGAACCCAAAUGCUAUAGGGAGGAUCGCGAAGUGGGCGCUUGAGCUUAUGGACCAGGGUAUCACCUACGUCCCCCGCACCGCCAUCAAGUCCCAGGCACUUGCCGACUUCGUGGCCGAAUGGACGGAGGUGCAAGCGCCGUCGGCGCCAGAAGAGCGGGAGUACUGGACGAUGUACUUCGACGGGUCACUGAUGAGGGCCCGCACCGGAGCAGGCCUCAUCUUCGUCUCUCCAUUGGGCGUGCGCAUCAGGUACAUGAUCCGCCUCCAUUUCCCUGCAUCCAAUAAUGUUGCCGAGUACGAAGCCCUACUCAACGGGCUCCGUAUCGCCAUCGAGCUGGGUAUCCGUCGGCUAGACGUCCGGGGCGAUUCCCAGUUGGUCGUCGAACAAGUCAUGAAGGAGUGGAGCUACCACGACCCCAAAAUGGCAGCCUACUGCAACGAGGUCCGUAAGCUCGAGGACAAGUUCGACGGGUUGGAGCUCAACCACGUCGCAAGGCGCUUCAACGAAGCCGCUGACGAGCUGGCGAAGGCGGCGUCCGGCCGGAUGCCCGUCCCCGACGGCGUUUUCGUUAGCGACCAGUUGAAGCCUUCAAUCCGUUAUCUGGAGCCGGCAGGGGUCGGCGAAGCACUCCCAGCCCUGGGGUCGGGACCCGAGCCGGGGGAGGUCGGCAACGCGCCACCUGUCUCGGACCCGAGCACCGGUCCCGAGGGAAUCAACGUUGCCUUACCCGACUCGGCCCUGGAAGCCAAGCCAUCCGACCCCGUGGUCAUGGAAAUCACGGCAGACCCCGCGGCGGGGGCCGACCCCCCAAUCGACUGGAGAGCCCCGUACCUCGACUACCUUGUCCGCGGUACGCUCCCGGCAGACAAAACAGAAGCCCGCAGGAUCGCGCGCCGUGCAAAAUCCUUCACCAUCAUCGACCAGGAGCUCUACAAGAGAAGUCACACUGGGAUCCUCCAGCGCUGCAUCCCGAUCGAGCAGGGAAAGGCGCUGAUCCAGGAUAUCCACGCCGGGGCUUGUGGUCACCACGCCGCGCCAAGGACACUCGUUGGCAACGCCUUCCGACAAGGUUUUUACUGGCCAACCGUGGUCGCGGAUGCUACCCAGGUAGUCCGCACCUGUGAAGGAUGCCAGUUCUUUGCCUGCCAAACUCACCUGCCCGCGCAAGCGUUGCAAACCAUCCCCAUCACAUGGCCGUUUGCGGUCUGGGGGCUGGAUCUCGUCGGACCCUUCAAAAGGGCGCCCGGGGGCUUCACCCAUCUGCUCGUCGCUAUCGACAAGUUCUCCAAAUGGAUCGAAGCAAGACCAGUGGCGCAAAUCAGGUCCGAGCAGGCGGUACAGUUCUUCACCGACAUCAUCCACCGCUUCAGGAUCCUAAAUUCCAUCAUCACCGACAACGGCACGCAGUUCACCGGGAAGAGAUUUCUCCAGUUCUGCGACGACCACCACAUUCGAGUGGAUUGGGCGGCAGUGGCGCACCCCCGCACGAACAGGCAAGUCGAGCGAGCCAACAGCAUGAUACUCCAGGGUCUCAAGCCACGGAUCUUCGACCGCCUUAAAAAGUUCGGCGGACGGUGGGUUGCGGAGCUCCCAGCAGUCCUCUAGAGCUUGAGGACGACCCCCAGCCGGGCGACGGGGUUCACCCCGUUCUUCAUGAUCUACGAGUCAGAGGCCAUUUUGCCCACCGACCUAGAAUACGGGUCGCCGAGUGUCAAGGCGUACGACGAACAGGGAAACCAGGCGUCACUCGAGGACGCACGAGAUCAACUCGACGAGGCGCGAGACGUAGCCCUGCUACACUCGGCUAAAUACCAGCAGGCCCUAUGGCGUUACCACAGCCGCAAGAUACAAGGCCACGCCUUCAACGUCGGUGAUUUGGUGCUCCGCCUCGUCCAGGACAACAGGGGUCGGCACAAGUUGACUCCCCCAUGGGAAGGCCCGUUCAUCGUCGUACAACUACUACGACCAGGCACCUGCAAGCUGGCAACUCCCGACGGGCAAAUCUUCAGCAAUGCCUGGAACAUAGAACAGCUAAGGCACUUUUACCCAUAGCUUUUAUUUCCAAGUUCUGCAUAAACUUACCGUCAUUUCCGUUCUUUCAUUUAAGCUCAGGGGCAUCCGACCCUGGCCUCGUUCCAGGGCCGCAUACCCCUCGGGGGCUACCACUUUUGUUCUUCUGCGAAAAAAGAAACCCCGAGCCACCUCGGUUCAGGCCUUUUUCCUUUAAGCUCAGGGGUAUCCGACCCUGGCCUUGCUCCAGGACCGCAUACCCCUCGGGGGCUAUCAGGGGUCCCAACCCAAGCCGCUGGGCACCAUCUAAAAAGAAAACGUUUUUUUUUCAAACCGAACACUCCCUUUCUAGACCUUUGGACGCAAAAAAGAGAAGGAUGCGUGAACGGUGCUCAGGCAAGAUUUGAUCGGACCGCGAAAAAACCUACGCCCCAGCGGCUACGGCACCUUUGCUCAUCAAAACUUACUGACGCACCCGGCAAUGCAUCCUAAGCUUUCAAGCCCAAAGGAACAACAAAGGGAAUCGGGUUCUUUCAUGCAACAAAAGUCAUAGAACAGGCCCGUAUGGCCAACGCGAAACGAGUUCAAGGCUGACAUAAUUACAAACUUUUUUGGGGCGCAAGCCCGGCACAGCUAACUUGGCGAGGGGUCGGCAGGAGGGGCGGCCUCAUCCUCCAGGAGCUUCGCGAGGGCCUCCGCCGACGCGGUCACCGCGGCGUCGAUCUCGUCCAGCUCAGCUUCGGUGUAGCCCGUGGUGUACCCUUCACUCAUCCCGGCAAAGUUGAUGCCAGAAUAGUGAGAGCCGAAGACCCCGAAGGCUCGCCGCACGCCAAGGUGAAGCGCGUCCACGGCGAUCUCGCGACGCCGAUGGCGUACCCCGAGGCCACGAGCCGGCAGAGAGCUCGACCCCUCCUCCGGAGCUACGCCAAAGUCGUCGCAGACGACGCGGGCCGCAUCUCGCAGGGCGCUGUGCUCACCGCGCUCCUCGUCGAGCAGACCCCGCAACUUGGCGAUUUCACCUGCAGAAACCCCCCAGGAACCCAUCGCCGGAAGAGGGAGGAGAUCGACGGAGACGGGAAGAAGAGCGCGCGGCUUGGAGCGGAGGAAACGAGGCGAGCGCGGAUGAACUGAGCGUGAAGCUGGGAGGCAAGAAGGCUCGAAUGCGGAAGGAAGGCGAAACCGGCGCGGCGAGCCCCUGCUUUUAUAGGAAAAGUAACGGGGAAGCCAAAUCGACGCCCCGGUCGCCAUAAAUGCAGCGCCAAGUACGCCCCUGCCACGCCCGUUUCCUUUUCGAAAACCGCACGCACGAUCGGCCGCGAAAACAUCCUAUCCUCCUCGAUUCGCGGGACGGCGCUCCCCAUAACUCCACUUCCCGGGUAGCGCGCCCACGAUGCCUCCCACGUUCGGCCCAGGCGCAACGACCGCUCUGCUCUGGCCCAAGGCCCACAGGGAGGUAAGAAAGGGAUACGGGGCUGAAAAUGCCCCUACGGCCCAUUACGGUCCAGAGGUUCGAAAGCUGGCCCGACACGGGUUCGACAGCUGCCUCAGGACAACCCCCGAGCAAGGGGUGAGAAGGGACGGGCCCGCUAGCGGCCAAUACCCAGGCGAGCGAAAGCCAAGGGCGUCCCAAUCUCACGUUCGAGUCCCGCCCGGUAUAAAAUUCAUGGUUUUUCCACGGGGAAAGGCAACGAGCCCCCAGAUCCGGUCGAACGGAUCCGGGAACUAUAUGAACUGGCCGGCGGGAAAUUGGAGUGCGCCACCAGCUUGGCCCGAGCCGGACCCCCCCCGAACGGGGACCGGGACUCCACUCGAACCUACCCGUUUGCAGCUCAAACGAGCACCACGGUUUGUCCAACGCGGAUAACGUGGCCCGGCUCAACCCCUCCGUCCUAGCGAACGGACGCCUGAGGGACAACGAUCAAAAGUCGACCUAGCCUCCCGAUCGGUUUCCUGCAACGAGCAGGAGCUCGGGGGCUAGUUUCGCAACCAACUACCACACGUGUGGUCACAAUUCGAAGGUUCCCCAACUAGGCUAAAAUAAACCAAACGCGCCAUAAAAUAGAGCCCGCGGCAAAACAGCGAAAGAAGCCUCCGGAGGAGCACUUCUGCUCCACCACAGGCUCGGGGGCUACUGUUGGGGGGAAAUAUUAACGAUCCCCUAAGACACCACUUAAGGAAGCAGACACGGUGGCCCGGGCCCACCUAGACGUGAUCAAAGCUCCGCCUCGCCCGACCAAGACGCCAGGAUCGGGAACGUCCGACCCCCUUCCACAAAGUUUCCGCCUCGCCCGACUGCGGCCCCGGGGUCUGGGGCGCCCGACCCCUCGUCACGAAGUUCCGCCUCGUCCGACCCCAAGCGAAGGGGUUGGGCGCGUUGAGGCCCCCGGGGCAAGCAUCCCCCUCGGAUACGGUCCAGAUGGACGAGACCGACAAAAUCCUGUGGGUCCCCUCGUCGGCCUCGCCAUAAAUGCGCCGCAGGCCUGGCAGAGGGAACGGAUGACCGCGCUCCUCACGCAACCUGUCACAAGUACCCGUGCACGACCACACUGUACAGGCUACAGUGCCGGCGGCUGACUCCCAUUCGCCGCAGGGUACUCAUGACCUGCGCCGGCCGGAGCGAAGGAGAGACCGGCCUAUCCUCGGGCCCCGCGCGCCCUCGGGCCCCGCACGGCAAGGAUGUGACGCUCUCUCUCAGGAGCCAUCGCCUGAACAACAGCAUCCACCGUCCUCCCCAGCAGACACCAGGAUAACGACGGAACACCCUCAUCAUGACCCGACGCCUACGGGUAUCGAAGGAGCUAUCUUUAGGGAGCAACAACAGUUGGCACACGGCGGCCUCCCCUUCCGGCAUGCACGCCGGCGUUCGCCAGGGGCCGGCAGAGGCGUCGGUCGCCUAGGAAAUUGCUCCUCCUCCCUGCCGUGUUUUUACCAUUCUACGCUUUACUCUUUACAGUCCUCUUCACCCGAUCCCAACUGUAACUCCGGCCACCCCCUUGCGAUAUAAAAGGAGGAAUCCAGGGCCGGAGGGGGGAUCGGCUUCUUCUCUCACAAGCCACUGCACACAACGACUCUCCUUGAGAGCACGAGCACCCAAAGAGACUUGGGACCAGUCCCUCUCUCGUCGACCUGUAACCCCUACUACAGAACCCCGCGUGGGAAACACGAACAUCCUCGAUACUGGACGUAGGGCUUCCCUUGCCUGAACCAGUCUAAACUCGUGUCUCCCACGCUACCACCUGAGGCUUACGCGCAUAAAAGAAAUUUACUAGUCUAAGUCUUGAUUGGCCGAUCUUGACAACGACAGUCAUGUUGACGGUCAGCCGAUGGCCAAGAUGCUGGUUGAUGGUGGUGGUGCUGUGAAUAUAAUACCAUAUGUUACUUAUCGUAAGCUUUGAAAAACUCCAAAAUAUUUGAUCAAGACUAACAUGAUCCUAAAAGACUUUGAAGGGAAGAGGUUAGAAACGAAAGGGAUCCUGAACGUCGAAUUGACAAUUGGUAGCAAAACUCUACUUACUACCUUCUUCGUCAUCGAUGGCAAAGGUUCAUACAAUCUUCUUAUGGGUCGAGAUUGGAUUCACGCAAAUUGUUGUAUUCCGUCCAUCAUGCAUCAGCUGCUAAUUCAAUGGAUGGUGAUAUGGUGGAAAUCGUGCCAGCUGAUGAAACUAAUAUCAUUGCUGCAACUGAUAUUCCUUUUUGGGAGUUUGACGAAGUGUGCUGCUUAUCUAGUAAUGCCUGGGAGGAGGAUGAAUGCAUGAAUGCUGCAAAAUUCUUAUUUCAGCUAGAUCAAGCAGCCAAUGAGGAGGAAUGAAGCAAAUACAAGUGGUUGUGUCGGCUAACCUGUUAGAUAGUUAUAUCCAUAGGUGAUAGGUCAAAGCCGACAGUAUGUAAAAGCCGAUGUAUACCUGUUGAUAUCGCCUUUAGCACAAAAAAUAUAUAAAUAAAUGAUGUUUCCUUAGAAAUAAAGAGUAUUGCUAAUUAAAAGUUAAAGCAUAUCAUAAUAAGCUUCGCCGUGCAAACUUUUUCAUAUCAUAGGAUUACAAAAGCCGAUGAUUGUAUUCAUCAUCUUAAAAUAGCUGAUAACUUAGGAUAUCGCCUUUAGAACAAAAAAUGAAAGGAAAAUACAAGAGGAAGUGCAAGUUUGAUGAGGGAUGGUGUCCUUCUAUCAUGACAUCUUUCAGAAGCUCGUUGUAGAUGGUGUGGAGGUACGUCACGAGAAUUCUUCUUGCAUUGUAGCCUCCAUAUUUCACAAAAGAGGCCAUGAAGGGAAGGAGUAUCCUAUUCUAUUUCACAAGAAUUCUUCUGGCAUCUGGUGGUUAUGGAUCCUCUAUGAGCUUCCAGCCUACGAGUCCUAUUCUUUGAGCCAUGGUUCUUGGUGGUGGAAAGUGCUAGCGCUGGUGGUUUAUUUAUAGCAAGAUUGUUGGUGUGUGAUCAAGGCAAUACAGAAAGCUCGUGAGGUGUAAUGACAUGAAUCUUUCAGCUUUCACGGAUCACCAAGGCAAUAGUGUUCUCGUGAUGGUUGGCUUGGCCUAAAUGUAACGCCCGUAAAAAUCUACCAAAUUAAAUCACUUGUUAAAAAUGCAUUCCAAAAUUUUCCAACCGCUGAGCCCCGGCAAAAUUUUCCGUCGGACCCGUUGUUCCGGCCCCGACUCGUCAACCCUCUUUUUCCGCUCCCCGUAAUUUUCGCUGCGUGCCCGUCCAAUCCAUCACGCGUGCCGUCAAAUUCUGCAACUUUCGCCGAGCUGCCCCUCCCUUUUUCCUCCUCCUUUUUCCUCUCCUCUUUCCCCCUUUUCUUUUUCCUAUUUUUUUCCCUUCUUCUUCCUCCUUCCUCCUUUUUCUCUCUCCUUCCUUUUCUCCUGCCGCCCCCUUCUUUUCCCCUGGCGCCGCCCGUGCGCUCCAGGCCGCGCCGGCCGUGCCCGGCCCCACCAGCGUGGGGGCCGCGCUGACCAGCGCCGCACCCGGCCGCCCGCUCCCGACCGCCCGCACACGCCCGCGCAAGCCCGACCGCCCGCACCCGGCCGCCCGCUCCCGGCUGCCCGCGCCAGGCCGACGCCUGCCGCACGCGCGCCUGCGCUCGCACGGCUCCGUCGCCCGGCCGUGCGCGCCUGCGACCGUGUCGCGCCUGUCCAUGCACCCCGGGCCGCGCGUGUCCCGCCGGCGCCGCCGGCCGGUCUUUGGCCGUCCCCUUCCAGCGCGCUUCCCCAUGAAGUCGCCGCCCCCUGUGCCUCCUCGUUGACCACGCCGCCACGCCAUCCAUGAGCAAGCCCGUCCCGGCACGCCACCGGCCGGAAAAAUCCCGGCCACCAUCAUCACCACCGGCCGCUCCCUCUCCGACCUAUAAAAGGGGGCAACGCCCCGGCUCUCCGCACCACCACCGCCGCUAGCCUCACCACCACCCCUCCCCUGUUUCCCCCGUGCGCCCAACCGCCACCUCCACCGUGCGCCGCCACCCCUACCCAUUGCUGGCCACCCCUCCUCCCAUCUCCAACUCCCCAAGGUAAGGGGCAAAAUGGGACCCCCUCCACCUUCUCCACCUCCUUCGCCCCACGGCUCGCCGCCGGCGAGGCCCGGCCGGCCGCCCCCUCCCCCCCCCCCCCCCCCCCACCGGCCCCUUCCCUUCCUCCACUCCUGGGCACGGUUGAAGGAAGAAGAAGGGGAAAAAUCCCCUUCAAUUUCGAUCUGCCCCUCCCCUUCCUCCUAUUUGCAAACUGGCCCUUCCACCUCUCUCAGAAAAGUUUCACGGAUACGCCCUUCCACCCUUCAGAAAUAAUUACAAAUAGGUCCCUGGUUCUCGCGGUUUAGUCCUAAACCUCAUUUUAAAGCCCCUAAUACUCCUUUAACCCGUCAUUUCAUGCGUCAAACUUCCUCCAAUCGAUCCCAAAUUCAACCACGACCUCCCCUCAUAUUUUUCCACCGAGGCAUAUCCAAAGUUCAUGAAAAUACCCUUCCUACCUAUUUUCCGUUCACAUUUCCUAUUCGGAGCUCAACGGGUAAAAUCUUUUUCCUUUUUAUUUAUUGUGUGCUCGUUGGUGUGUGCCGUAGAUCGCGGAGUACCCGAGGAGGAGCGCGAGGAGGAGUUCGACCGCGAGCCCGAGCCCGAGGACCAGUACCGCGAGCAGGAGCUCCCGGAAGGCUUUGAGAACGGCAAGUCCAAUUUCACCCUUUGAUGCAUAUUUAAUACCCAGUUUUUCAGACACAACCUAUUGGCCUGUUUUAUAAAAUGCAUAUUGUUUUAUCGCAAGACAUGGUUGGAUAGCCACCCCUUGGUUGUUAUGAUUAUUCCUUGUUGUCCUAUAUUUAUCUCUAAAUAUGAGUUGCUCUGUUUAGAUGAUAAAUACUGCUAGAAUGCUUAGGAACUCGUUACCCAAAUUCAAUCAUGACUACAUCUGUUUAUUCGGAAAAUAAAUGUGUGAGUGUGUUCAACUGAGGAGUUGGGUUUUCGGGUGUAAAGAAAAGUGGUGCGUGGAUGAGAUGGAUGGGCGUUUCUUGUGUGGAAUGCCGGAUUGUUGAGCUCGUACCUUAGUGGUUGAGCAGAGUUGGGAGAUAUCCAUCUUGUCGUAGCUAAGGACCGAGUUGAUGUGUCAUCUUGCCUGAUUCCACCAUCGUGCAACCACUCGACCGUUGUAUGGGCAACGGCUUAGCAUAAACCCCACUAGCUAAACUGCUAGGCUUCAGGUGUGCUGGUGAGCGACGGGAGCCCAUGAAAAAGGACUAAGCUCUUGGUGACUUAGGUCCCGGUUUCGGCCCUGUGGAUGGGUUGCUAACUGUUGGAGGUAUGCCCUAGAGGCAAUCAUAGAGAUGAUGAUAUUCCAUUUGUAUCCAUGAUUUGUAUGUUGUGUUCAUUGAAUAUCCAUUGAAGGCUACUUGAAUUGAUUUGCAAUUAUGUGAAUUGUAUGUGAAACUCUUUACUUGUAUGGUUAUUCUAAAGUUGUCCCUAGUCAGAGUUCAUGUGAGGACACACAUGAAUAUUAGACUAGCACAUGUAUUAGUUGAUGACUAUGUUUCACAAGUCAUGGACAUGGAGAUGUUGAACUAAUAAUGUGGACACAUGUGGAGACAUGUGUUAGGACUGACCCAACACGAGAAGUAGUUCUCUCUUUAAACAACAUAUACGCUUUGUCCUUAGACCUGAGAUUGUCGCAUGUAUUCUAGAUGUGGAUCGACCUACUUAGGGGCUAUCAAACGCUACGCCGUAACAGGGUAGUUAUAAAGGUAGCUUUCGGGUUUGUCAAGAAGCAUGCUAUGAGACAUGGUCAAUCAAGAUGGGAUUUGCCCCUCUCUGAUUGAGAGUGAUAUCUCUGGGCCCCUCGAGUGAUCGGAUCCGAAAAUGCAUGGCCAUGCUACGUACGGUUAAGAGUUAACCUACAAAGGGAUUCCGAAUCACAGGAUCGAGAAAGAGCGGUCGGCUUGAAGCUAGACCAAAUAUCGUGAGUCAAAGGGAAUAGCAUGUAUAUUAUGUUGUGAUGGUUCGUCUGAUAUGAUCUUCGUAUGCGUAUAGGAGUUGGCACGUCUUGCUAGAGGCCGCUACCGACUAUUGGGCCGAGUAGGAGUACUCGGGCCAUGUCUAUACGUAUCCGAACCCAUAGGGUCACACACUUAAGGGUCUGGAAGCCCAAUUUGGAUCUGAUCCGAGUUGGAUUAGGUUUAGAAGUACUAAUGGGCCUCGGAUCCAGAGGCCCGUCAGGAACCUCUAUAAAUAGAGGGGUGGGGGCGCCCUAGGGUUUACACCUUUUGGCGAAACACACCUGCCGCGCCUCCCACGCCCUCGCCUGUUGCAACUCGCGGAUCUAGCAGUCCGGCUUGCGACGCUUCCUCCCUGCACGUGUGGAUACCUUGGAGGUGUUGCGCCUGCAGCACUUGGACGAGCCGCCGACGAGCCGCCGACGAGCCAUGACGAGCCGAUGACGAGCCGCGGCACCGGAGGCGAUCUUGCUGCACGUGGACGAGCUGCUGAGGAGCUGUUGGACGUGAUCGACUACGUACGACUACGUUGAUCGACUACGUACGACUACGUGAUCGUCUUCACUGCAUCGACGCAUAUCUACAUCUUCCGCACCAGUAGUGCGUCGAGUGGUAAUCCUGUGAUCCUUAUACGGCAGUUCUUCCUGGUUAUACGCGGUAGAAUUUUUGAAUUGCGCUAGUGUAGCCUACCUCGUAUCCCAACACUAACCCCUUGGGUGCUUCCGUGUUGACUAGUCAGUGUUGGCUAAGGUGGGUAAUGGCUUUGUUAGGAUCCGCACCAUCACUAAGGUGAUCGUGAUGCGGUACCCUACUUGUGGGAAAAGUGUGCAACCUCUGCAGAGUUAAAACCUAUCCGGGUAGCCCUGUCCACGGCAUUGGACGAGUUACGGCUCGGUCACACAACUAGCUUUUGGAGAUGGUUGGUUUUAACGGUGUGUGUUGGAUUUUGGAAGUGUCCGGCAGUUGUGCCGUGCGCUACGGCGGACGGGGAGUCCGGUAGCGAUAAAACUUGGAUCCUUUGUGUAGGAUCAACCCCACUUAAUGUUUUGGUUACUACAGAAAAUGCAUUACGAAAAUUUCUUUGAAAUAAGACCUUGCAUGUGUCAAAAAUCUAGCUUUAUUGCAAAUAAACCUUAACCAUAUCCUUGUUGAAUCCUAUGUAUAUUCUUGUUGUAUCCCCCCUCCGUGGAUGGGGUUGGACUUGUUGAGUACUUUUGUACUCACCCUUGUGUUGUUGCUUCAGAGGAGGAUCCGGACUUCGUCGCCGAGGACUUCGAGUAGGAGGUUGCGUCUGCACCCAACACUGCCUGUGAUGUUGGCCCUUUUGCAGGAUGCUUCCGCUGACGCAUAGUUCCGAUUGCAGCCCGGAGUCCGACUGGACUGCAACUUGGAUUUGUAUUGUUAUCGCUUUAGUCUUGCUUUGGGUGUGGCUUGCACGCCCGCUCCUUCGGGAGUUGUACGGUUUCUGAACUAUCUGUUGAAUAAAUGUGUUUAUCAGCCUCCUGGGACUGAUAAUUGGAUCACAUUUAGUCUCUACUUAUGUGGGGAUGAUUCACUAAAGUGGUAAAGAAAAUUCAUUGCGUCAGGUCAAGAAAAGUAAAGAUGGCAUUGAAAGGUCUCUUUCAAAGGCUAAAGUAAGUGCACACAAGUUACAAGAGGAUUAAUUGUUCUUUACAAAGCCCUUUCAAUGGCCUCUAUCGCACGCAGGCGAAUCUGAUCGACAUCGGCUACCAGUCAAAUGUCUUCUUCGUCAAACCCUGAGACUUCAUUGAUGUACCAAUGUUGUUGAUAGGCUUGUUUGAUAGAACUGGACAAUUCUUUCUUGUUCUCCUAGAUGGCAGCGGAAUACUUGUCGACUUGAUUUCUUGCUACCACGAUAUUCUACUCAACUUGGUCCAGCUCCUGGAUCAGUUCAUCUUGUUUGGUCUCUAGAUCCUUCAACUUUUGUUCUAUAGUGAGGCAGGAGGCAACUAGCUCAUCAGCCUGUUGUUUGAGUUCUUUAACCUUGAGUCGAUUGGUUUCCAGUUGGGUAGUAGCAUCCUGGUUAGUUUGCUGAUCGGCUGUGCGUUUUUUGGCUUCCUGGACUUGAAGAUAGUGCAAUUCAAUAAAUGCUGCAGGAGUCAAUGCUGCUGCCAAAUCUUCAGCCAACUAGGUUCUUAUUUGCCUAUACAAUUUCUGGAUUGGCUCAGCGUCUUCUAGCAAUAUAGAUAUAUUUUGACGAAGUAAUUGCAGAAUCGCUGAUAGCUGAUCCUUGAUAUCUGGAUGGUUUUGUGCUGGACGACUUGAGCUAGUGUCUUCCUCAUCUGCGAAUUCUUCUAUGCUAAAUGAGAAGAGAUGUGACACUGACGGGUUGAUGGCCUGUACAAGGGAUUUAUUAAAUAAAGAAUGUGGUAUCUCAAACAGAAGGUGAAAGAAUCACAAACCUGAGCGGGAUCUCUUGGAACUUCAUCUUGGGGUUCCUCCUCAUCGGCUGUGAUUUUUGGUGACUCCAUGGCCGACUGAUUUAUUUCUGGUUCUUCUUCAGAUGGUUCUUCCUGCAAGUAGGUAUAAAUUAGAAUAUAUUGAAGCAGAGGAAUAAAUAUUAAUUGAUAAAACAGAUAUGUUACCGGGAUGUUUUCUUGGAUCGAUGAUUGUUGUCGGCUCGGCACAGGGUUAUCUUUUGGAAAUUCCGUGUCCAACAACCGAUGCUGAUACCAAUGCCGACGCUGAAGCCGAUACUCCCAAAACCAACUGAGUAAAUCAAGAUAUUAGUAUGUAAGUGCGAUGUGAAGAAUAAGUUGGUGAGAAUUAUACCUCUAUAACCAAUCUCUUCAAUUGGAUGUGAGUUUCUUCUUCCGUUGGUACCACCUUUGGUUGUUUAUCCACUGGUAUAUCAUUGACUAGUGGCAGUUGGGUUCCUUCGGGAGAGUUUCUCUGCAAAAGCCAGUUAAGAGAAGAUAUUGAUAAGGAGAAUAAAUUGACGAAGGAAGAUUGGAUUAUCAGUAUGUUACCGAAGCCGAUGGAGCUUCAGAUCUAGGAGGUGUGCUUGAUGAGGCAAGGACCUUAUUUUUUCUUCUUGCUCAAUAGCUUGGAUGGCAGCUUGCGUUUACCCAUGGUAGAAACUUUGAGCAGAUCAGAAACAUGGGGGGCAUCAGAUCCCAAGACUGGAUGUGGUGUAGGAGGGGCAUAACCGAUCGGCUCACCACUUAGGGGGCGUUUGGAUUUUUAGUCCCGACUAAAAUUCAUGUCACAUCGAAUAUUCGAAGGUUAAUUAGGAGGACUAAAUAUGAGCUAAUUAUAAAACUAAUUACAUAGAUGGAGGCUAAUUCUCUAGACGAAUCUAUUAAGCCUAAUUAAUCCAUCAUUAGCACAUGUUUACUGUAGCACCACAUUGUCAAAUCAUGGACUAAUUAGGCUUAAUAGAUUCGUCUCGCAAAUUAGCCUCCAUAUGUGCAAUUGGUUUUAUAAUUAGUCUAUAUUUAAUACUCCUAAUUAGUAUCUAAACAUUUAGUGUGAUAGAAAUUUUAGGAGGUGCUAAAGAAAUCAACGGGCUUUAAACUCACAUGAGGGACUUCAGUGUCAUUUUCCUAAAAAUAUAUAGUGUUAUAAUAAGCUAAGGGAAAUGAGGGAAAUGAAGUAUGUGAAGUAGUUACCUCUCCAUCGGAUGGUGCGUAGUUAAGGGAAAGCUUUUUGCAGUAAUGAGAUAUUGCCUAGUUUGUCAAAUGACUUCUCCAUUCAUUCCACCAUCGGUCGAAAGAUUCAAAUGACACCUCAGUGCCGUUCCAACUUUGCAAAUCAAAUGGGGGCACUGACGACGUCAAAGCGGCCAAGCAGUCAUAUUCUGCACUAGUGGUGACUAAGUCCCUUGACUUUACUUUAUCAACAAAGAAUAAGCUGAUUGGGACUUGACCAAAUCUAAGUUGGCGUGCAAAGGCCGAAGGAUGGUAAAACUCAUAAGAGGGCUUUUGAGAUCGGCCAUUGGCGAAACUGACUAGGAGGAUGCAAGGAACUGCAGAUGAUUGAAGGCCAAUGUGAGUAGUUCGUUUGGGCCGGUCUUUGAAAAGAUGGAAUCCUAUGGGAAACCAAACUGCUUGAUAUAUGCAUAAGCACACCAAGUUACAACAUUCCCUUCGAAGCCGCGAUAGAAAAGCUUGAAGAGUUGGGAUGUUUCUGGUGCCAAUAGAGAGCAGCCUGUGACGCUUGAUGAUGAUGCUCCAUAAGACUCACAUCGGCGAUGGGAUUCUUUUUCUCCUUCAGCAUAAGUAUUAGAGCGUGCAGAGAGAUCUAUUCCUUGACCCUUUGCAAUGUAAACAGUAAGCCAAAGUUGAACAAACCACCAUGGGCCACCGGUGUCAAUAGCUGCACUAGCUCAUAGCUUGAUUGUUGUAUGAUGCAUCAAACGGUGUACGGAUCCAAGUAGAAAUUUUCCAAGGGGGAAUUUUUGGUUCUGAGAUAACUAUUCUGCAAAGACCAGCAUAGUUGAUGCAGGGCCUGCAGUGGAUCCACAUGAUACAAAUCUCUCCAGCCACAUAUUUAGGAAAAAUGCGUGCUCUUCAUCAGUGAUUAUGCCAGAUGCUUUGCUAUAUGAAGAAAUGUAUCCGAACCAUCCAUUCUGGCUCUUUGAUUUUACCUUAUAAGAAGGUCUGGUCCUCAAACUGAAAGGUCAAUUGGAGUGGUGACGUCCAGACCUAACAGCAUAGAUACAUAUAAUAGGCUUGGAGACAUUGGGCCAUGGCCAAACAGAAACGCAUUCAGAGCGUCAAAUCAAAAAUAUGCGGCGGCUACUAGCAAUGGUUCAUUCUUAUCCAUUUCAGCCGAAGAGAGUUUAAUGCAAUGGCUGAUUCUAGAGUCCUCCCUGUUGGUUCCCUUUUCGGCUGCCAUACGAAGAUACUAGGAUCUUUAACCAGAGAUUUUGCUUGACCAUGAAUGGAAGGUACUUUUCCAAUCUAACAGAUUCAUGGUGGCGUGUUUAUAAGGGACCCCCUGAGUUUCAACAUUUAUAAAUUCUAUCGGAUCCUUACUACCCAUGGCCCCCACAAAGAAGUUUGCUUGUGUAUCGGCUACGGGGAUCAAGAGAUUGUUCCUAAGUUCCUACUCGGGUGGCAGGGAUCAAGCAAAAAUGAGAGUUUAGUGUACAGUGGAUAGAUUGGAUCUAGGGAAGAAAAAAGAAUAAUAAAGAUACAUGGUACCUGCGGAAUGGAGGAUAAUGUCGCCAUUGCCAAUCUGGAGAGUCUUGGUUGAUAGAACCUGAUGAUGAUGGUGGACGGUGAGGUAAUCGCUGCACGUGUGAGGGAGAAUUGGUUUGGACUGUGAGUGGUUAUUGUUGGCUUGGUAAAGAAGACGAAGGGGACGAAGCAAUUAUAUAGCAAUUUUUGCACUGUAAAUCCCGAAAAAUAGGAAGGGCACUAUCACAAAAAUCAGGAAAAGGAAUCAUGAUUGCAGCAAUGACUCUUCUAGUUUUGGAAGGGUAUCAGCUCAGGACCUGUGAAGGUGCUGACAAGAGAAUAGAAUUUUGGAACAUAAUAUUAUAUUCAAAAACUGGGGGGCAUGUGUUGACAUUGGUUUUUUUGACAAGAGUCAACCGAAGAAGAUUAGGUUCCUCCAACAGCCGAUAAAAGGAGAAAUGAAGGGUCUGUUGAUGGUUCGAUGUUGACCAAAGUCCACCACCGGCGACCUAGUUCCAGAAGCUGAUAGAGACCAGGAGGGAUCUGAUCCAAAGCGAAACCAACUCCACCAAAUGAGGGAAAUCGUGGAGAUUUAUCUUUAGUAGUUUUUAGACUCAUUUGUAUCGGUUCAUAUCGUAACCGACUAGGAUUUUAGCUUGCUCCAGGGUAUAAAUAUAAACCUAUGAGCCUUGUAAAAAAAGAAUCAUAAAUCAAUCAACACAACCUUUCGGCGCUACACCACCAAAACCCUAGGAGUAGGAGUAGAGUAGAAACCAGCAAGUUUCUAAUCUCAGACGAACUUGUAAGUACCAUCACCCGAUCGUUACGUUAUCUGUACCAGAACUUUCUAGGCAUCGUCCAAUAUUCUGAUCUCUUAUCGUAAGGGCUAGUUAUCGAGUUAACUUCGAUUGAAAGUAGAACUUUCUAGGUUUUGUCCAAUGUUCUAUUUGUCUUUGACAUUGCUCAUAGUUAUCGAGUUAUUUGAUUUUAUUAAGUCGUAUCGAUAUCUUAGUUUUAUCAAGUGCUCACACUAGUUAGGUUGUCUUUCUCGGCUUCUUGAUCUUGUUUAAGCGUUCACCCGUUAUCUGAUCGUAUUGGCUGGUUAGAUCUUGCAUGCUUUAAUUUCUUUACAUAUGCUAGGUCCGAUAGAUCUUUACCUCUUCCCCUCAUAUUGCUAGCUGUCGGAUCUUUAACGUCAAAACGCUACCAUUAAGAGCCGAUACAUCGGCUAGGUAUCAUCCAUAUCUCUCAAAAGCGUGAUGACAUCAUUGAGGUGAUAGCUAUGCGUACGAGGCCUUGCUAUCGCAAGCUAGUCUAUUAAGUUAGUGGCCGCCGCAUCCAUUGUCCCCGCGCGCCCGCGGCCCCCAAAGCUUGCCGGAUCUAGCCGUAGAUCCACCAACGCCGCUGCAUCCAUCACCCCAUCACAGAUCCACUGCAAAUCCACCAUCCCCGCCGCAUCCUCUCCCCCGUGUGCUGCCUCCGCUCCUCACCCUAUCGCCGCUCCUCGCUACCGCGAGUGAGGGGCGAGCGACGGGAGGAGAGGAGGGGACAGUCGAGGAAGGGAGGGGCCUGGCGGAGAGAGGAAGGAGGGAGGGGGCCGCCGAAGAGACCAAGGGCCGGCGGGAGAGGGAGGGAGGAGGCCAGCCAAGAGCGGGAGGGACAGCGGGAGAAGGAGGGGGGGAGGGGGUCAAAGAGAGGGAGGGAGCGGCUGGGGAGAGAGGGUGUGGGGAGUGGGUAGUGGGGACAGGGGGGAGGGGGCCGCUGAAGAGACCAAGGGCCGGCGGGAGAGGGAGGGAGGAGGCCGGCCAAGAGCGGGAGGGACAGUGGGAGAAGGAGGGAGGGAGGGGGGUCAAAGAGAGGGAGGGAGCGGCUGGGGAGAGAGGGUGUGGGGAGUGGGUAGUGGGGACAGGAGGGAGCGAAAGGAGAAUCACCGCGGUUGUGAGGGCCGCUGCCCCUAUUUGCUUUAGAACCGGCGGUGAAAAGGCAUCACCAACAGCUCCUCUAAAAUCGGCGGUGAUAGCCCGGCAUUGAUAGCCUCUUCUGUAGUAGUGUGUCUAACCAUUGGGCCCCAUAUUUCCCUGGAACUAUUAUUAAAUGAUGGCUGCCGCUGGUGUUGUCGUCGUCGCGUUGCAGGAACUAGCACCGGUGAUCAUCUUGCAUCCCUGGGUGUCGCCUGGAACGAUCUGUAUCUGGCUGUCGCUGGCAACUAUUACCACCGGUGAUCAACGUCGUGUGGCCUCAGGCGCCUCCUGGAUCCAUCAUCGUGUUAACAUAAGCAAGUAUAGAUCGCUAAUGCCUUUUGUCCAACGAUUUUGGCGUAAGGGCGAUCAACAUCUAUGUAUCCAUUUGCCUAACCAUAUAUCGCAACCCAUAUUUUCCAGUAACUAUUAUCGAAGGUGUCAUUGACGUCGCGUUUGCAGGGACUAGCACCAGUGAUCGACGUCACAAUCGGCAUCUCAUUGUCGCUGGCAGCGAACUACCACCGGUGACCAACGUCGUGUGGCCUCGAUUGGUCGCCUGGAUCCAUCGUCUUAACGUGGCUAGGAGAUCCUUUACUGUUGCUAAUUUUUGUUGUCCAACGAUUUUGUCGUAGGGGCGAUCGGUGUUGAAAUCUAGGGCGAUCUGCGCCUACGAAUAAUCGAUAUAUAUAACAAUUGUCAGUUUACUCCAGAGUUGAUUUUAAAGCAUCCAAUGUUUCGUGCUCAUAAAUUAGCAUGCUCCACUUGGACAUGUCACAAAUGUAUCAAAUCGAUCUUCUGGUCGUAAUCGUAAGAGGCCGAGAGAGGAAAAUGUUUCGCCGGCAUUGAAUGAAAAUCAAGCAAUUGGUGGAGGUGAACUUGAGUGCUUUAUUUUUUUCAUAUGUCUUUUCUUUAUAUUCUCUGGUGUAUGGAUCUUGAUGUAUCCACUAAAUGCGGAUGGGGAAGGCCUUGAGAAUUUUGAUCCAGCCGAACGUCGAAGGCAAAAGGCAAGGGAAAAGCAUGCAAGUUUGACUGAAGAACAGAAGGCAAAAAGAGCAAAGCUAAGGAAAAAUUACUAUAGUAAGGUCCUGUUUGGCAUAGCUCUAGCUCUUGGUGGAGCUGCUCCACUCCAGAACUCCAGGUGGAGCCAGCUCCACUUCAGAACGUGUUUGGCUAUAUGAGUGCUCUCAGCUCCAAAAAAGACCGAUUUUAGUGUGAAUAUCCAUUGUUGCCCCCCAAUUCAGACCCCACUUGUCAUUCUCUCUAUCCCAUCUUCUUUUUCCCUAGAUAGUUUUUUCCCAUUGGUAGUGCGCGUUGAAUUGACCCUCAAUUGAUGACGGCAAGCCCCUGUAAGUACGGGUAUUGACCCUGAAAAGGAUCCCGUUCAUGAGGGAUUGACUCUGCGAGGUUCUAGCGGUCUACCUUCUGUAACCUGCAAUGGUGCUAUUCAACAAGAUGAAUAGGACCAACCACCCAUUUACAGAGUGCACUAUAAUGUUUGAAGAGCAGAUUGGUGACAAGUCUCAACUGGAAAAGAAUCACUCUCUAUAUGAUGAUGGCACCAUGUUGGAAAAGAAUAAGGUCUGUGGUGGGCUGAAUGUGCAGACUGCUCCAGAGUCUCGUAGCUGCAAUGUAACCUUCCAUGAUAGAAGUUCAGAAGGCAACCCUUUAUCCGAGCAAAAUAUUGAAACAAACACAACUGACAUUCGGAAACAUAGUUGUAGUACAUCAGUGACAUUUGAAGACUCUGGAAAGUUCUAUUUCCCAGUGUGCAACUGUACUAAAGCCACUGAAGCAUACCAAAAAGCAAAGAAAACUUAUAUUGAAGCUAGAAAGAAACUAGCUGCUUUCCUUGGCACAGAGCAAUUGCUCAAGCAACAUGACGAGCAGCAAACUGGAGUGCUUCCAAGAGCUGCCAACGGUGAGGGUCAAUUGAAUGGAUGUGAUUCAACGCCGACUCGGCAUGCCCCUACACCUGUACCCCAGCGGCAUGCAGGUGGCGCUGCCGCACGCGUAGCCGACGUUGCCCACGAGCCGGUCGUCGACAGGUACUCGUCCAUGAGCCCGACGGUACUUGCCGCCCCUGGCCGGUGGGGCAGGUACUCGACGCCCCUUGCUGGGACGGGCAUCGCCAGGCGGCCACCACCGUGGAGGUCAAGGGGGAACUUGGGCCGGCCGUCGAAGGUGAAGAAGCCCCCAGUGGCGCUCGAAGUUUCCCGGUGCCACCCUCUUGGCGUCCUCGUCCAUGAGCCCGAACAGGUGGAGGCGGGCGGUCUCGGCGGCCGCGGGCUGGUUCGGCGGUGGAGGCGGGCUGGUUCAGCGGUGGAGGCGGGCGGCCUCGGCAGUGGCGCAGCCAGGCCCCGCGGGCGGCCGGCGGAACUCUGCGCCCAGGGGAUAAGGUGCGGGGUGUUGGGAGGAAUGGAAGCGAAGCGUUAUUUUUGUGUAACGAGUGGCAUUGGUGGGUAAUUACCUACCAACUCCACGAGGGGGUUCAAAAGAGGGGGUUUUGGAGCAACAAAAGAGGUGCUCCAAAACUCCACCCCCAUUUGCACUACAACUCCAUGGAGUUGGCAGCUCCAUGGAGUUUUAGAGUUAGGAUGUUUGGCUAGAUUUUUUGCUGGAGUUGUGGAGUGGAACCAUGCCAAACAGGCCCUAAGAAGGCCCAAGGUGGAACAACAACUACGGACCAAGCUACUGCCGGCACUUUAUUUAUUAUUAUGGUAUAUGGAUUUAUUGUUUUGAUAACCAUCAUAGAAUCUACUAUCAUGUCAGGACCAUCAAGGGAGUUGAGACCAGCUUGUGAAAUGACAAGCACCGGCGAAACAGAUGCCUAUAAUGGAAUGCAUAAUCGUACCAACCAAUCUAUUAUCACACGAUCAGAACCAUAUGAGGCAUCCAGUAUUUUUAGUCUGCGUGAUAGUAGCGAAUCUGUGCAGAAAAUUUGGAGCUGGUUGGGUGCAAUUAUAUGUCAAUCGUUUCAUGCACAUACCGAUGGAGCUGCAGGCUCAGGUGUCGACUCUAUCUUAUACCGACUAAGCUAAUUUCAUGGACUGUAGGCUGAUGUUGUGAAUAAGCUUAAUGCGCAUGCGAAGAGUAUUUUCUAGCUGUGUCACAUUUGCACGUAGUGAUUGUUAAUUCAUUUGAUGUUGACAACAAUUUGUUAUAGCACUCUUAAGGGUGUCAGCGCCUAUAUGCAUGGUCUAGCCAUGUAUAUUAAGGGAUGUUGUAUUUUAUUAAUAAUUUCCCCCUUUGCUAGCAUGAAAUUGGAUAGACACCUGAGCGAUCUAUAUGAAAAGAGGAUGAAGUUUUUACAAAUCCUAUAUGAAAAACGAUCGUGAUGGUUUCAUCUGGUCCAAGUACUUAGGCAACUUAAUAAAUAGUUUAAACCUUGAUUUAAUAAUAUAUUUAGAUAAUUUAUGUGACUUUGUCAUUUACCCUAAUUAAAUAAACAUAUCUGUACUACUAUAUCCGUUUAUGAAUAUAAAUCACGUUUAUAAUUCUUUUAAACAUGUGCAUGUCGCACGUGCAUUUUUACUAGUUCAAAUAAAGCAUUCUAUCUAAACCUUUUUUUUCUCCAAUCGCAACAGGAAAGUUGAGAUAUGUCAGUAUUCAGUUGGCAGAAUGCUGUUUAGUCUAUUAUGAAGAUAUGCUUACAUGUGUACUUCCUCUAUUUCAAAUUGUAGAUUGUUAUAAAUUUUCUACAUACAUGAUUUUUGAAGAUAUAGAUCUACAUUUUGAAGCGGAUGGAGUAUUUGUCAAUAACAACAUGGAUAUUUUGGUGUAAACUUUUUUGUUCUGGUUGCAAUGGAUGGCCACUCACCUAGUUGAAUUCAAGGGAUAUAUGAUGUACUCGUGUGAUUGUCACGUUGUCACUGCUCCCUCCAUCUCAAAUUACUAUUCAUUUUGACUUUGGUUAUUAAUAUAUACCCAAAUAUAUACUAUGUCUGGAUAUAUAAGUAAAAGUUAUUCUAGGACAAAGGGAGUACCAAGCAAUAAUAAUAACCAGUCUACCAUGAGAUACCUCGAGAGGGUACAUACCAUUAAUAUAUAUUUGAGACCAAUGCUAGUACUUCCGUCCUGGGCACUUUCCCUUAAGUAUAUAUGCCACUAUUAUGUGCAAGAGCUGCACUCAAAUGGGGGGAACUAGAGAUGGCAAGUAAGUGUAGGCGUGAAAGAACGAAAUGAAAAAGGGGUGUAAAACAUCUUAUGUUGGAAGGCACCAGGAAAUAGCCUCUCGCAGUCAACCGCUGUUCUUCAUCUUCACCCAUACCUGAUCGGUAGCUAGAAAUUGAUAUGGUCUGUCGAUUUCUAGGUGCCAAUGUGGCCCGGGAGAAGAUCCACACGUGUAGGCGGCAGCUGAGUGCAUGGAGCUUCUUGGUUUCUCACCCACCAUGUCCCUCUAGCUGCUCGACCCUGGGACUACUUUCUCUAUCCUAAAAAGAAUGCAACUUUCACUUCCCGAGAACUCAACCAAUUUUAAAUUUCAUCAAAUCUAUACAAAAUAAUACUAACAUUUAUGGUACAAAAUAAAUAUCAAUAAAUUAAUCAUGUAAUAUAUUUUCAUAUUAAAUCUAUUUGGAGACGUGAAUGUUAGUACUUUAUUAUAAAUUUAAUCAAAUUUGAAAUUAUUUGACUCUUCGAGAAACGAGAGUUGCAUUAAUUUUGGGACGGAGGGAGUAUGUUUUGCUUGAGCAUUGGAAGGUGGCCAAUAUGGCCCUGCAUGGGACUAUCAAUAAUGUGCAUGGUUUGGCCACAAAAUGAUAUAAAUAUGCAUGUCUCACUCACACGAGCUAAAUAAGCAUUAUAAUAUAAGGAUUAAAUAUUGUCUAGUAACCCCAAAUAAAUAUAGUGGCAUAUCUUAUCUGACCAUCUCGCUAGUCAUGUAAAAAUGUUACAACAUAAAGGUUAGAAUUUCUUAGUGAGCUUGGACCAUAUCUAUGUAAUUGGACCUUGAUGAGUGGUAAUUUAUAUACUAUUUUGGUUUUGGGUAACCCGACAUGUAUAUGCGGGUAAGGUUUCUUGCCCGUGGGCAAGAAUUCGUGCCCGUACCCUUUGAUAUGAACCCGUUAGGGUUGAUUCCUGAUGUUUCGAUGAGAGGUGUGGGAUAACUCGAUUGGUGGAUGGAGACGACGUUCACGACCCGACUACAGCCUUCCAAAGACGUUGCGUUUUAGCAACCGAUACACCACCUCCAAUGGCUGCCGCGAUCUUAUGGAGCACGUCACCUGACCACUAGGGCACUUGUCCUGCAAGCAAUCGAAGAACUAGCAAAAAUAAGUAUAACAAGUACUGAAUUACUAGAUGUAGAUGAAGGUUUCAAACUCAAUCUCAAAUAAGGUGGGGUUCCGAAGAUAAGAAGACGGACGGCCGAAGAUAAGAAGACGGACGGCUGAUCCAGCACGUGCGCUUACAAGCAAGUAGCGAGAGCUAAACUUGAUCUAAACAAAAUCCAAUUGUUCUUAGUGAUGGCUAAGUGGUAUAUAAAGGUGGGAGGAUGACCACCAGGGUGUUAGGGUUAUGCUCCAACCCUAAGAUCAUUGGACCAAAAUAAGGCGACGCAACACCUUUAGACAGAAAACCUCUUUAUAGUAAUUGAGUUAUUGCAGCCGCCUCAGAACAGAUAUGGACUUAAGUCCAGAUCCAUAUGAAAAUAGACUUCAUAAGAAUUUCAUGAAGUACUUGGAUGCUCAAAUCCGAGUCCGUAUGCAACCGUGGUGACCAUCACAAAUUGGUGUUGUCCUGCCGUCCGAAUCCAGCAUGCGCGAAUCCUUUCCCGUUUCGAUCUUCUCCCUGGUUCCUAACCAAAACAAGAGUGCACGUGUCUCCAUGGUAUAAAUAUGAUGGAUAGGAACUCAAGAGUGAACUUACUUGAUGAUUAAGUUGACGAGCAUGGGCACGAGUAAUAGGAUCAGAAACUAGUAUUUGUGUCGGCUUGAAUGCAUCGAUGAUGGUGAUGUCCUCAUCAUCCUUACCCAUAGGCGAGAAUUGAUGCUAUGCCCUCGCCCAUCGGGUACGAAACCCAUGGGGAAGAAUUUAGGCCUUGUUUAGUUGCCCUGAAUUUGGGUGUCCAAAAUUACUGUUGUAGCACUGUAGCACACUGUAGCAUUUCGUUUGUAUUUGUGAAUUAUUGUCCAAAUAUUGACUAAUUAGGCUCAAAAGAUUCAUCUCGCAAAGUACAACAAAACUGUGCAAUUAGUUUUUGAUUUCGUCUACAUUUAGUACUCCAUGCAUGUACCGCAAGUUUGAUGUGAUGGGGAAUCUUCUUUUUGCAUAGUGUCAAAAUUAGGAGUUUGGGUGGAACGACCUUAGCUCAAAUGUACGGGUGAUAUGCGUAGAUUGGGCUAGGAUUCAGCGCCGAUAGAUUGCUAACUUGUCUCACGUAUCAUCGCUGUCGUAAAUGAAUCUAGCUAAUAUUGGCUUGCCAUAACAUGCAUGUCGAUAUCAUUGUCCCUAGGACCCAUUUAAGCGCGAACUGGUUGGAAAAGGAUUUAUUUGUAGCAGAGGAUGUGGGAACAUUUUGCAUUAGAAGCUAGGAGGCUAAGCAAAUGGUUCAACAAUGAUGCAGUAUCAACGCCUUUUUUCCUUAUUUGAACAAUAGAGCUUAACCUUUUCCACUUAAUAAAUUGGAUUUGUACGAUCAUUCGACAUAAUCACCCUCAACAUUCAAUUAGUUCCACUUUUGGUUCUAAGUUGACAUGUCGAAUUCCAUAACUAAUGAUGAUAAAACUCAAAAUCAGGGAUCAUACUCAGAGCAAUCAAUACAAUUCAUAUUGACUGUUGCGUGUAGUUUAUGUGUCGAUAAAUUUAGAGCUUAGCAUUCCUUGUUUUUCAACUAUGGCACUAUUUAGUUGUUUUUCAACUAUAGCCCUAUUUAGAACGAGGGUCGGCUAAAAAUUAGCCCCUGAUGAUCCAACGGUAGAAGUGGGCUAAAAAUUAACCAACCUCUAACUAAACUUUAGUUCAUUAGACCUCCAAAUCUAACUAAUAGGGGCUAAUUUCAGACAAGAACGGCAAAAGACAAAAAUACCCUUCCACUGCAACCUUAUAAUUUUUUUCUCAUACACACCCUAAGGAUAGAAUGGACUUUCACUUAAUAAAUAGGCUAAAAAAUAGUUCUAAUAGGGUUAAUUUUAGCCAUCUAAAAUUUAGAUGCCUAAAUUUUGAUCAGAACCAAACUUUAUCCAUGCCCUGUAUAUUUGAGUUCAUACUCUACGAGCUCGAUGCAUCUUUGCCAUGUUAGAACUCGGAUACCGAUUUCUGAAAGAAUUCCACGUCCUUAUUUCGCCAAACAACAAAUUCCUGGUCCGGUGCACCAUCUUCUCCCCUUGUCCUGCUCCCUCCGGAGUCCGGAUGUUCCAGAAGCCGCCGCGCGCCGCCACGUCACGAUCCCCCCAUCCCCUCAGCCCCGUCCCGCUCGGACACGUCGGCUUCCCCCACGCGUCCCGAUCCCCUCCGUCGACGGACGUCCGUGUCCGAUCCGACGGCCCCGGGCGACGAGGGUUUUGCCCCGGGGGUACAAAUAGCGCCUCCUCCCCCGCCGCGCCGCCUCCGCGCUCUAUUCUCUCUCCUUGCGACGCCGCCGUUGGGAGCCCUGCCCUGACCCCGGGAGAGCCCCCAACCCUUAUCAAACCCUAAACCAGAAAACUAUCCCCCAAAAAAAUCCGCAAAAAAACCAGAAAAAAAAUCACCACCUGAUCGGAGAUGGCGGCGCAGGGGCAGGCGGCGGCGGCGGUGUCGGCGGCUGCUGCGGCUGGAUCUGCGUCCGAGUCCGGCGGCGGCUCCCCGGCCGCGGCGGCGGCGGCGUUCCCGGCGACCUCACUGUACGUGGGCGACCUGCACGAGAGCGUGCAGGACGCGCAGCUCUUCGACGUCUUCAGCCAGGUCGGCGGCGUCGUCUCCGUCCGCGUCUGCAGGGACAUCAACUCCCGCAAGUCGCUAGGCUACGCCUACGUCAACUACAACAACCCGGCUGACGGUGAGCCCCCCGUACUCCUCCCCGUGUUCCCGAUCUGUCGGUUAGGGUCCCGGUACAGCCGGUUGCGAUCGGCUCCGCGCUAGGGUUUGGGGAAGCCGCCGGAUUUGGCGGCGGUUAGGGUUUAGACGCCCAAUCCCCGAUCGGUUGGCUCGAUUCGGCUAGGUUUUGAUGCAUUGUAGUUAUCUAGCCCUAUUGCACGGUCGCAAUCAUGGUUUCCUCUAACAUGUUGCUUGUUUUGAUGCGUUGCUGUGAUUGCAACAUGUUUUAUCGGUUGGGAAAUUUGGGUACCCCGUUACUGAAUGUUGGCUGAUUUCCUCUUUGGCCAAGUUAGGUUCUGAUGGUUGAUUUCAUAGGAGUAAAAAAAUGUUUCUUGGUUGCUUAUUCUAUUUAUUGCUGUUAUGUCUUUAUCAAUAUGCUAGGGUUUCCUUAUAAGGUGCGCUGCUGUUCUGUGGUGCAAUGUUUGUGGAUUUGUACUGCAACCCUUGGUCACUUAAUGUAUGUUAUAUGUUGGCUUCAAAAGAGUAUCUUUUGAUUACUGGCAGCAGAUCUUUAGGAUUGUUGCUUUGUUUGAUGUGUUGGCUGUGAUUGCAACAUGUUUUGUCUGUGGUGAAUUUUGGUUUCUUCAUACUGUUUAUCUUGAAGUUUUCCUCAACAAGGAGCUUGGGUGCCCCACCAAAAUCACUUAUUACCUGAGCCUCUAUAUCUUGUGAGAUAACUUGAUGCGUGCCUAUGUAUGUUUAAAGGAGAUGGUUUCUUUCCUGUGAAAGUUCUUACCAUGCUGUUCAUGUGAAGGUAAUGGGAAUUGCCUUGCCUUUCUUUCCCUGUUCUGGGAGAUGUUGUUGGCUAAGUUGUGCCUGGUGGCUAAUGGAUAUCAGUCACUUAAAAAGGUUUCUUUUAUUGCUUAUAUAGGGAUAUUUGUGUUGUUGCAUCUUCAUUCAAUAUAUAUGCUGGUUUUCUUGCAAGAUGUGCUAUCUGUUGCACAAUGUUUGUUCGUCUGUACUUCAUCCCUUGAUUUACCUCAAAAGUUUGUUAUGGGCUGCCAAACGAACUCUUUUAAUUACCCCCAAAAUGUAAUUUUGAAAACUUAUUGCGUGCGACCUUGCCAUGCGUGUGCUGUCCUGUAGAUUUCCGUAUAAAUUCUUGAAGUGUGGCACAUCAUUAGGGGUUGCACGCUUUCUGACUCACUUAAUUUGCAUCUGGUACUCUUGUGAAGCAUACUUAUCUUCUUUAUGGUUUUGUACUGAUUAAAAAUCUAUUGCAGCUGCACGGGCCCUUGAACUGCUUAACUUCACUCCUAUCAAUGGAAAGCCUAUCAGGAUCAUGUAUUCUAACCGUGACCCCAGCUCGCGCAAAAGUGGCACAGGAAAUAUAUUUAUUAAGGUGUGUACCAAAUUUCCGUGCCUCUUUUAUGCUCCUAUCAGUUCUUAUAAUGGGUUUUAUCUCUCCUGUACCUUUAUUUGCUUGGUUUAGCAGAUGGUUUGCUGCUAAAUUCCUAUGCGAUGUCGACUUUCCAGUUAUGAAUCCUGACCUUCUGUUCUAUUUUGCAGAAUCUUGAUAAGUCAAUAGACAACAAAGCUUUGUAUGACACGUUCUGUGCAUUUGGGAACAUUCUUUCAUGUAAAAUUGCUACAGAUCCUUCGGGAGAAUCAAGGGGCUAUGGCUUUGUUCAGUUUGAGCGGGAUGAAUCUGCUCAGUCUGCUAUUGAUAAGCUCAAUGGGAUGCUUAUCAAUGACAAGAAAGUGUAUGUUGGACCAUUUGUCCGCAAGCAGGACAGGGAGAAUGUCUCAAGCAAUGUCAAGUUCAGCAAUGUUUAUGUGAAGAAUCUGUCCGAGACUGUAACUGAUGAUGAGUUGAAGGAAAUGUUUGGAAAGUAUGGAACCAUAACUAGUGCUGUUGUUAUGAGGGACAGUGAUGGGAAAUCCAGGUGUUUUGGAUUUGUCAAUUUUGAAAAUGCAGAUGAUGCUGCUCAGGCUGUUCAAGAGUUGAACGGCAAGGUAUUCAAUGACAAGGAACUGUAUGUUGGAAGAGCACAGAAGAAGUCAGAAAGAGAGAUGGAGUUGAAGGAGAAAUUUGAAAAGAAUAUUCAAGAAGUUGCUGAGAAGUUCCAAAACACUAACCUGUACCUGAAAAACUUAGAAGACAAUGUUGAUGAUGAGAAGUUGCGUGAACUGUUUGCUGAGUAUGGCACUAUUACUUCCUGCAAGGUCUGUUUAACUGGCUAAUUCGCUAAUAAUAUGCUUCUUAGGUUUGGUUGCUGACAGGAACUAUGUUGUAGGUUAUGCGGGAUGCGAAUGGUGUCAGCAGAGGGUCAGGGUUUGUUGCUUUCAAAUCUGCUGAAGAUGCUAACCGAGCUGUAAGCUUUGUUUGUGUCCAUAUAUUUUGCAAUUCUGAUUUGAUUUGACAAAUUGAUAAAUCAUUUUCUUGUCUUGAUAACUGUGUACAGCUCACGGAAAUGAAUGGCAAAAUGGUUGGAACCAAGCCCCUUUAUGUAGCUCUUGCACAGAGAAAAGAAGACAGGAAGGCAAAGCUACAGGUAAAUAUCCGACUAUCUGAGGUUAAGCUUGCUGCACGGUAAUGUUGCAUCUGUGCUUUUUUGUAUGCUCUUUCACAACACAGAAUCUCUUGGUUGUUUUCCUCGCAUAGUUGAUGAACAAGUCUAGCGAAUAUGCCUAUAAGAUAUGCAUCACCGUAUAUUGUAUUUCACAUGUUAAUGCACAUGCUUGUUUAUGAUUAAAAAAUGUUACUUUUGUAUUUACUUAAAUUCUUAUGAGAUCGCUCGGCUAGAAAUUUACAGCGUAUUUUAUUUUGCAAAUGUCAAACUUUGACCAACACUUAAUCAACAUUGACCAACAUUUGAUCAAAUUAUGAUAUAUUUGUUGAGCAAAAUUUAUACAGCUAGAUUGAUAUUUCAAAUUGCUAUCACCCAAUGUAUAUAUCAGUAUAAAUCAAUGGUUAAAGUCUAGCUUUUGAGACCAAGCCAAAAUAAAAUAUACCUUCUGUUCUUGAGCAGAGAACUGUGCAUUCUGAUAAAAUUGGGAUAAUAGUUAAGACUUAAAAUGGUUACUGCAUACUUUUUGGUUGCUCAACAUAUUUGGCUUUUUUAUUCUUGUUUAUGGGUUGAUUAGUUUUAUGCAAGCGGGAAAGCAAGUGAUGUAUAAUAGCUUUGUGGCAUCAGAAUUACUAAAAUCCUUUUGAAUCUGUACACUUUUUAAAUGUCAAUUCAAUUCCAACUGUUUUGGCAAAAUUGCUGUGACUCGCAUGAUCGUUUUGUGCUGUUUUAUGUUCAGUGUUCAGUUAAUAUGUGUUUGCUAGUGUUAAUGUAAUGUACUUUUGAUCCUCAUAAUAUUUGCUCUGUUGCAAUCUGCUAUGUAAGUUCAGUACUAAUUUACUUAUCAUUUGCAGGCACAGUUUUCACAAAUGCGUCCUGUUGCCAUGGCACCCUCUGUAGGUCCUCGCAUGCCCAUGUUUCCACCUGGUGUUCCUGGAGUUGGUCAGCAGCUGUUUUAUGGUCAGCCACCUCCAGCCUUUAUCAACCCUCAGGUAUUAUGUUGUUCACUUUUAUGAUGUAUAUAUAUGCUGCUUGGUGUAUAUGAUAAUUUAUCUUUAUUGACAUGAAAUCUUGUGUAGUGUGUGUACAAAAGAAAUGCUGAUAUAACCUCCUCAUGGUUUCCAUUUCUUCUAUUAAAAGCCUUAAAGAUUAAGAAGAAAUUAGCUGCUUAGUGUUUGCUCCAUGAAUUAGCUUAGCUGCCCCCCCCCCUCCCUAAUGUUUGCAUCCUAGCUCCAUCCCUGUCUGUCAUUCUUCGGUAGCUACUUUACUGGUUUGGUUGCACAACUGACCAAAUGUAGCAAAAGUUGUGUUGCUUUGAUUAUCAUUCAAAUUGAUAAGUCUGUAAACCUAAUGUUGAAUUGCAUUCUUGACAUACACUUGCUUGUUGGCUUCUUUGUUGUGAAAGUUUGAUGAAUACAAAUGAAAAUUCAUUGUGAAUAAUUCUUUAUUGAUAGUUUAUAUCUUUUUUUUUUGUUUACGUGAUGAACAUGAACCCAUCUGUUUUGUCUUAAUAUUUGUGGAACUGAUAAGUGUUGUGAUGUUUUGUUAGGCUGGGUUUGCCUUCCAGCAACCUCUGAUGCCUGGGAUGAGGCCUGGCGGUCCAAUGCCAAACUUUAUGAUGCCGAUGGUUCAGCAAGGACAGCAACCACAACGUCCUGCUGGUAGGCGUGCUGGUGCUGGUGGAAUGCAGCAACCCAUGCCAAUGGGUGGUCAGCAACAGGUAUAUGCUGUAUUGCUCAAAUGCAUUAUUCAGUUUCAUUCGUCUUUUGGAGAAACAGGUGGUAGAGUUCGUCUUUUGGAGGAACUGGCCUGACUUUUCUGUAUUAUGCAGAUGUUCCCUAGAGGUGGGCGUGGCUACCGCUAUCCCACAGGACGUGGAAUGCCUGAUCCUGGCAUGCAUGGUGUUGGGGCUGUGAUGCCAUCUCCAUAUGAGAUGGGUGGGAUGCCAAUUAGAGAUGCUGGUGUGUCACAACCUGUUCCAAUUGGGGCCCUUGCCACUGCUCUUGCUAACGCACCACCGGAUCAGCAGAGGCUGGUAUGAUAUCGAGCCUGCGAUUUGUUGGUUGGACUUUUUUGUUAAUGAAGGGCUGAUGGUGACUUUGUAAUGUUUGUUGUAGAUGCUUGGUGAGAACCUGUAUCCUCUAGUUGACCAGCUGGAGCAUGAGCAGGCUGCCAAGGUGACUGGCAUGCUUUUGGAGAUGGAUCAGACAGAGGUCCUGCACCUGCUGGAGUCCCCAGAUGCUCUCAAGGCCAAGGUUGCUGAAGCCAUGGAGGUCCUCCGCUCUGCCCAGCAUCUUCAGCAGACCAACGCCUCCCCUGAGCAGCAGCUGGCCAAUCUGUCGCUGAAUGACGGCGUCGUCUCCAGUUGAAAGUCUCCGAUGACUGAGUGAUCGAAGACUGCUGGCAAUUUUUGCUUGAUACCAUCCUAUCUAGAGUGCAAUGACUUGGUUUGCUUGGUUAUUGGAGUUUUAGCUUGCUCUAUAAUUAGCUGAACUAGGGGUUGGUCUAGUUUUGUCGUGGAUUGGUUAUUUUGGUCUUAUGGAUAUGUUGUUUCGUUGAAGCUAUCGUCGUGUUUAUUACCGUUGUUGCUUUGUUGAGCGUCGUUCGUUGUGGGUUUGGUUGGAUGAGCAGGUUGUAGACUUGUAGUGGCCCUCCUGGACUGAGAGCCAGCGUCCCUAUGGGGGCUGUGUCUGAGCUCAGCCACCCAGCUAUGGGGCUGCAGGGUACUUCAAUAGUUAGGUCUCGCGAUCACAAAACACAUGCACGUUGACUCUGCGAGGAGACAUGCAACUCAAGUUGUUUCUUACCAUAUGUUUGAUUCUUGGUACAGAGCUUCCUCGUAGGGUUAGACUUAGGAGACUGGAUAUAAUUAAUGUUGCAAAACGCAAUAUAGCAGAGUGCUCCUAAAAAGCUACAGGUGCUCUCCUAAAAAGCUGCAGGUGCUAUAACGCAGAGCGGCAGCCAUGACCUUUAGCGGUGCGGAAAAAACAGCAAAAUUUACCCUAAUAGUAAUUUCUCUAAUUUAAACUUAUAAAAGGCCUUUAGCGGUACGGAAAAAACUGCAAAAUUUAUUUAAACUUAUAAAAGACCUUUAGCGGUACGAAAAAAACUGCAAAAUUUACCCCUAAUAGUCUCUAAUUUAAACUCGUAUUUUAUAAGUACAUGUCCUCGUAUGGUAGACAUAAGCAAACAUAAAAAAUAAGUCAACUCACAAGAUAUACCAUAAGUUGUCAUUUACUUCCUUCAUUCCAAAUUAUAAGUUGUUUUUAGCUUUUCAAUGUUCAUAAAUGUUAUUAUGCAUCUAGACACACUAUGUCUAGUGUAUGACUAGAUGCAUAAUAAUAUUUAUGAAUCUAAACAAUCAAAACGACCUACAAUUUGGAAUUGAGGAUUCAUAAAUCACAAUUUGAUCAUAACGGAGUUAGCAGUGCUAGGCUAUUGAAUUUAGCGGUGCUAUUUCAUACAAUAGCGGAGUUAGCAGCAUUAGCGAUAAUAUUUGCAAUAUUAUUGGGAUACCUUUCUCAAAAAAACUAUAACGACGCUAUAGCAGACUACUAUUUGCUAUAGUGGAUAUAAUUCAAUUUAAGAACUUGAACUAGAUGGAUUUGGACAUCCGAUAAUUUAAAAUCCAUUAGCUUUGGAUCUUACUGGACAAAAACAAUAACAAUUGGAUAAUCCAAAUUAAAUUGGACUUUUUCUGAAUCACGAACAGAGCGGACUCCUAGUUCUUGGUCGACUGCCAGAUGGGUGGACUCCUAGUUCUUGGUCGACUGCCAGAUGGCCACCUACUAGCACCAUCGUGAGCAUCAAUGCAGACCUCAUCUGUUCCUCCCGUAUUCAAACCGGCGGCAGCGCACACCAAGGCACCACUAGGACCAGCGGCAUUGCCGCCGCCUUGGAUCGCAACAACUGCUCAUCUUCGUCCUCUUCCGCCAGGAGCACAAGGAAGGGGCUCAAGCGCUACUGAUAGGCUAGGAUGAUGCCAUUUCAGGUUGAGUUUAAUUUUGUGUUGACACCCUGCAGCUGGCUGCCUGCUCCUCCUUUACGUAGUAGGACGUUGGAUUGACUUGGAUGGAUUUGAAUUUUUAGGACGAUUGAAUUGGAUUGGAUGCUACAGGUUUUGUUUGAGUUUGAAUUGGACGGGGACUUAUUCUAGUUGGAUUUUUAUUAUUUGGAUUUUGGAUACCAAUCCACACCAACCUCCACCCAGGGUGGCAUUUGGUGGCUCCGAUGAAUGAGACCGAUCUUUCAUGUUGCUUGAGCAGGUCACAAUCGAAUUUUUGCAAGAAGCUUCGAGAUAGUUUUGUGUUGCAAAGAGCUACGAAGGAGGUUGAACAAAGAGGAGUCCAUACUGUUGAUGUUCUGAUUGGUACAUCCACACUCACACUAGCUAAUAGCUAUCAAAUUGGAUGGUUUGAAUUCAUUUUCAUCGAAGAGUAAGAAAUCCAUGUGAGCAAACCCUAGUUGGGAAGAAGGAAAGACAGAGUAUAUGUGAAUUAUAAAAGGAAAAAAAAGAUGGCAUAGUCUUCGGUGUCCAUGAAUAGGGCAUUGUGGACGAUAUAUAUGCAAGUCCUUCUCCUUGAGCUUUUGUAAUCUGAAAUAGUUAAAGACUUGAAAUGGUACGAAAUAAUUAGCGAAUGCUUGAAUCAGGAUCCAAAUUCUUCUUAGCAAAUGAUUCUUCCCAGUGGAUAGACCACCGCUUCCCAAUAGUGCCAUGCUGCCUGCCUGCUAUCCUGACUUUGCACAAACUUAUCUGCCCAAUGGCAGUCAGUUUAUCAUGGUAGGAUUAGCUGAUGUAUGCUGGCCUCUCUAGAAAUCUAGAAGCAAUGGGUGCCUUGAAAGAAAACUACGAGAUCACAAACUGAGCUUGUUUGCCUGGAUAUAAACUGCCAUGAGGACCAGAAGGCGCCGGAAGGAGGAGCUGAAACCUUGAAGUCAGCGUCCCUUCACUUCCACCCACGCCAAGAACAGCUGAACCUGAAGUUGACCGUGAGAUGAUGCAGUUCCACCAAAAGCCUGAACAAGCAAAAUGAUAAGCCUGGUGCUGACAGCGAGCACAUGCUACAUUUAGUUCUAGUUCGUUCCUUGCCUUUAUGCCAGUUUUUUGUUGCAUCCUGUAUAAAGAUUUUGGAGUGUGAAACGUUGCGAGUGUUGUUAAAGCACAUGGAUGGCGUGUCCUAUUUAUGUUGGACAAAAAAAAUCGGCUGUGUGAUCAAGAGGACGAAACUAUGCAACACGAUGGACGAAACUUGAAUUUUUUUUGGGCAUGUAUAUGGUUCUUUCCUACUAUCAAGAGUUGGACGGCAACACCACAUAUCUUUGCUUAACGAAGGAAUCGAACGCUAGCUACCGCGCUCUGAGCUGCUGCUCUGGUGCAUUGACACGAUGGAGAGAGAGAACCAAAUCCCUCAAUUUAAUGGGACAGGUUGGAUCCACAUUAACCUGCGUUUGGUUGAAAAACGAAGUGGGUUGGGUCCAUCCAGGUGAGGAAUAUUUUCCUUAGAUGCGGGUCGAAUGCAUCCUUCCAAAACGAGCAGACGCACUCAACCUAGAUGGAUGCUGUUCCUCUCCGUUUCGAGUGACAACGGGAGAGGCAAGGGCGGCCGCCCAGGGUGAGAACCAGCUCCGCCGGCUGGGCGAGGGCACAGGGAGAGGCAGGGGCAGCGGCUAGGGCGAGCUCAAGGCCGCUGGCGCCGGGCGAGGGCACGGGAAGAGGUAGGGGCGGCGGCCAAGGUGAGCUCUAGCUUCAGCCGGGCUAGCUUGACUUCCGUCGUCGGGGCCAGGCGCAACGCCAACGACGAUGCUGGGGUCGAGGAAGAAGUGCGGAGGGAUGGGUGGUGGAGGACGGGUAGAGAAGAUAAGGGCGGCAGAAAAAAAAAGAAAGGAAAGAAGGAUGACACAUGGGACCCAUAGAUGAUAGGUGGGAUUCGCUGAUAAGCGUCACCAACUCUGUUAAAAUGGUAUCCAUCCUAAACCUCUCAACCCCUCCAACUAAAUAAAAAACUGAAACGAAUCCAUCCCUCCAAACUAAACACGAGAUGAGUCGAACCAGUCCCAAAAUUAAACAUUCCACUCGUGGGGAUGUAGGAAGGGCGGGCGAUCCUAUUGUUUGAGAUGGAACAAGGUUGGUAGAGGGGUGAAAGACGAUGAUAGCUACACAUGGAAGACUGCGCGAGUAAGAGGAGAGGAAGAAAUGACGGGUGUGAACACGUUAUUAGGUUAGUUUUUUUUUCUGCUUUUGCUGGCUUCCGAGACGAGUUGUAGAACUGGCUUUUGAAAAGUUGGCUUAAGAAAAAGUUACUACAACAGUUAUUAGCAAAAAACUAACUGCUAGCCAGAAGCCAAAAUGUCAGGAAAAAAACAACUUUUCAGCCAAAAGCCCAAAAGGUUUAGCCCAAACAAACGCGACCUAAGUAGCUACCAUCCUCAUGAUUCCACGGUACCAUUACCAAUAGUACAUAAAGUAACUUUCUUUAGUACAUCCAGACAAUAUAAUACAAUAUCACUUAGGAUUACAACUUAUACGUAACCUCUUGCAACAUAGACCAAGGUUAAUUAACCUUGCUUGUAGAUCCACGAUACACAGCAAGCAGCUAGAUGGAAAUAAUUAAAGGGAAUGUACUCUCUCCAUUCUUUUUUACAUGUUACAUUAGGUUUGUGCUAAGUCAAACUUAUCCGACUUUGAACAAAAUAUAUUUUCUGUAAACUUGAUCAAAGUCGGAUAGAUUUGACAUAGGACAAACUUAAUGCGACAUGUAAAAAACCAAAUCAUAAAGGGUUAUGACAACAUAGAUCAUUGACCUUGUUUGAAGAUCUAUGGACGAGCUAGGGUAUAUGGUGUGAUUAAGGGGUGCUGAGGCGUCCACAUAAAUUUGCAAAAGCGGUGGUUAGGUCCAAAUUUUCACCACAUAUGCAUCACCGCGGUUCAACUCUAUGAUCUUAAGGCAACACACUUGUGACAUCCUUAGUAAUUAAGAGCAAGAUCAAGAGAAAUUAAGAAAGAGAUUAGAAACAAAUAAAAAAUUUCUAAAGAUUAAAGGCCAAUCAAAUGUUGCUAAGUGUUGAAACACCCCUUAAUGGUGCUUACUUGGGCAGCAAAUAAAAACAGAUUUUAUAUAAGAAUAUAAAUUUUGGCCAAUAUAAAAGUGGUAGAUCUCUCCAAAUAGAGAAACAUUCAUAAUUAGCAUUUUUUCUGAUUUUAAGUGGAAGGUAUUAAAAAAUUGGAUUGAAGUUCGGCCAAAAAUUCAAAUUCAAUUCAAAACCAGUUGACUGGCGUUCCACCAAAGUUCCCUCAAUUUUAUCUCCAAUUCUAGGCCUUUAUAGAAGUUGGAGCCUAUGUUUUGGGCUCAAACUUUUACAUUUGGAGUUUUGACCGUGAAGUUCAAAUUUUGGGAGAAAAUCUGCACAGAAGAUCAGCCUCUCUCGCGCCACACGAGAAUGCCAUGUGCGCUGGGUGCGGUAGCCGCGUCGUGGCUCGCCGGUGCCACGCAGCGCCACAGGCCUGCCACCGCUGCGCCGCCCAACCGCCGGUCGCAUAGCGACAACACAGGGCGCAGGCUCACCCAACUCGCGCGCAUGCUAAUCCUCCCCCUACACGCCUUAUCCCAUCCGGCCAACCGCCGUUCGCGUGCCACGCCACGCGUCGGUGCACCGCAUGGCCGCCGGCCACACAUGCGCGCCCUCCACUGCCCGGCCACCGUCCAGCCGCCCAAUAUGCGGAGAGCCUGCACUGGACGUCUCACCUCUGUCCCUCCCCUUUGUUGGCCAUAUAAAGGGCCAGUGCCCAUGCCGCCGGCUGCUCCUUCACUACUGCUCGAAACCCCGCUGCCCGUGGAGCCCUUAUCUCCGGUCAUCACCGUCGCCACCCAAGCACCGCAGAGCCCUCCCCUACCACCACUUCACCUUCCCCACCCCAUAGUCGGCCACCACCGUCGCCGGCUCACCUCCGACCCCAAGCCCUACACCGAAGAGGUCACCGGUGAGUCACUCAUCACUCCCAAACCCUCAGCCCACAACCGCCACCGCCGCCCUCGCUAGAAUCUCGCCGCCCUGAGCCGCCGGCCGGCCCAAGGGCUCAAUUGUGAUUUGAGUUUUAGUUCUAGGGACCUUAGUGUAAAACACAGGGGCAUUGCUCUGAGAUUUUGAACAGUUUAAGGGUCCUUGGUUGAAGUGAAAACUCAAAUUUGAAUAAAAUGCAUAGAAAAUAGCUGAAACUUGGAAAAUGCAUAGAAAAUGGUAGAAAAGUAAUAAAAAUGUGAAUCUUGUUUUGUUGAGUUCCUGAUAAUGUCUAGUUUAUUUCAAAAAUGCUUAUGCACAUGUUACUACUGCAUAUCUGAGGCUAUAAUUUAAUUUUUUCUAGACUUGUUAAAUGCUUUAUAAAUCAUGUGAUGAUCCAAAAAGUGUGAAACUAAUUUUGUUAGCUUUCAUUAACAUGCAUGUUCCAGCUCUGCAACUUGUGUUAAUAGAAUCUAUGGUGUUCAUACUGUUUUAAAUCCAAAUGCUUAAUUGCUAUCUUAUUAUGGUUAUUUGCAUGAUAAUCAGUGGAAAAUUGAUAAAAAUACAAAAUAAAUUUUAUUAGUUUCCUGAUGCUCAUACCUGACUAGUAAAAAUAUUUAUCCUUGUGAAAUAUGUAUUUUUGGUUGCUUAACAAAAUGCAUGUUGUUUAAUCUCAUUAUUGUGGAAUAAAUAGAUCUCGUCCUUAUAGAAUCCUGAUAAAUUCACGGUAGCCUCUGAUAGAGUGGAAAACCAUUAUGUAAAACUUGUAGCACUAAACUGAUGAUAAACUAUAGUUAUAAAUCAUUCUUCAUAUCUGUAGAAUAAACAUAUUUAGUUUUUAGUAAAUUUUGCGGUUGUCAAAUCCAUCUUAAAUUUUUAUAGUAGAAUUCUUGUGUAGGAGGAAAGCUCUUGUAAAAAUUUCAUGUUUAUAUACUAGCAGAUUCUUCCUGAACAUUUAUUCAUGUUAAAAGCUAGUUAUUUAGUAAAGACAGUUGUUACUAGGCCUGGUAGGUUCACAAAUGAUUAUUUAUACUCUUCACCAAUACCAUGAUCAUUCCUAAAAGUUGGCUAAACAAUACCAAAACACCACCACCUAUUGUCUUUUGAAUAAUAAGUUUCUAAGAAUUUUAUAUGUGUACACAAUCACCAUCAAAAUCAAAGCUAUGUUUUCUUUCCAACCAACCUUGUUUUGGUGAAGAAAAGAAAUGUUAUGAACUUGUCUAGGUGAAUGUGGCAAAAAGAAAAAGAAUUAUUUAUAAACUUGUCUAGGUGAAUGUGGUCAAAAGAAAAGAAAUCUUAUGCAUAUGCAUCUCGUGUAGAAGCGAACUUCACUGACGGAAUUUACGAGCUGGUUCUGGAGCCUGAAUCCGAAGCCUGAAGAAGGACACCCUCCUGCUGAGCUGAACCUAAUCGAGACAAACCAAGACCCGAACCAAGAUUCGGAAGAACCCAAGGCUAACCUAGCAUAAGAAGGUAAGCCCCAGAGCAUAACCCUUCUUUUCAAGUUUAUGCAAUAUCGUGUUUACUUAUGUAUGUGCAUUAAGUUCAUAGGAGGUGUAUUGAAACCUUUGUUGUAUGCUCCUAGUACCCAUGUGUUGAAUACUAGCAUGUUAAGUCACGUAGUUGCUAUGCUAAAUAGGGACAUGGUAAAAGUCGAGUGGUUUCCUAUCACUUGCGAACUAUAGGAGUUGCCUGUUUACUUAUGUUGGAAUCAUAAGAUUGACGGGCGGGGCUUGGUGCUAUGUUCUUGAAAUUGUGGAUGCCCCGUCUGUAUAGAGGAAAAUUGCUAAGGUCAAAACGUGUCGGCGUUCGUGGUCAAGUGUUUGAACGUACUAAACACAUGCUAAGAGAAUGAGGAAUUAGUAAGCCUAGUACUUGAUUGAACCGGCGUGGAACUUUUCCCUGCUCUCUUUGGAAUCGGGUUCCCUUGGUGCAUGGGUACAAGUGCGGCCACGACACGACAUCGUUCCGGGGACCGGUGGGGCCUUGUCUCCAAGGGAAGUGGGCUUUUGACAAGCGCCGCGGAUUGAUGGGAACUGUUGAUAAUAUGUGAACCCAUCGCGAUACACAUAUGUUGUGUGUUUAGGUCCACCUUGCAAGGUUAAGAAAUUCGAUUCGAAUCAGUUGCUUCUCAUAGUCUGGGACUACUUGAUCACUAUUCUGCACGGAUUAAGAGCUGAACAAGGAUGAUGCUUAAUAUUGAUGCUUGUUUAAACUGUUUGUUCUACCAUGCUUGCUUAGAAUAGGUGCUAGUUAAUUAACUAGAACUUGAUGCUAAAACUUGAAAGUAAGGAUCCACUUUAGGAGCUUUUGGCAAAAACAAACCCCUCAGCCAAAAAGCCUUGCAUGUCUAGGAGUCAGUGGAUUAGAUACCACCUGACGGGUAAGUCUUGAAGAGUAUUAGUAUACUCAGCCUUACUUGUAGCUAUAUUUUCAGGUAAUAGUUUUGAUGAUGUGGUUGCUAGUGCGACUUGGCCGUAUCAGCUCUCUCCGAGAUGGACGGUAGAAUGGGACCCAUCCUUGCUGGGCGAGGACUGUUGUGAGUGAUAUCAUGGACGGCUUCACCAUGGUAUCGUGCAUCAACGCUAGAUUUAUCUUUUUUUUCUCUGCUUUUGAACUCUGAACUACUUUAUGUUUUGAACUCGGUUGGUAAUAACUCAAUUGGGACCUCUGUAAUAUUUUAUCUAGAUUGUUGUAAUCUCUAGGCUUGUCUUCUACGAGUAUUGUAUGCUUGUUUCGAUUGGAAAUAUGUGGUUUUAUCAGGUGAAAUCCGACAGACUACCAUUUUGAUCUAAUUAAAGUGUCUGUUCGCAUCUGAGGUGAUGUUUAGCACACUUUAGUCGGGUUAAUUUGGAUGGUUCUGCCAUAGUUGGUAUCAGAGAAAAAAGUAUGCACCAGAGAAAGCAACGAUCCUUAAGAACUGGUUUUGAUAAAACUUGCCCAGAAAAAUUUUGUUUGAAAAAUGCAUUGGUUCGUUAAGGAUGAAAUAUAGUUCGUGAAGCCCUACGGGAUUAUGGAUUGAUCAGGUGGCUAGCUAACUUAUUGGUUAUGUUAUACUAACUUCUAGCACAUUACUUUCAGUCAAAACUUACCUUCUUGCACAACGGUUGGCGCAGGGGUACGACGAUUGCUGUAACGUACCCACAACACCAUAUGAAAAUAUGGUGGCGGUACAUAGAAAGAUGGUUGCCGCAGGGGUACAAUGAUUGUUGUAAUGUACUCACGGCAUCAUAUGAAAAUAUGAUGGCAGCACAUAAAAAGUGAAUAUGCUAUCUCGGCGUAUGAACAUUGUGCGUGCAGCAAAAAUCGUACGGAUGCCAUUUCUACAGUGAACGGUAAUGAAUGGGGAUGCUUUCGUGAGCGUUGGCACGAAAGGUUUAAUUUGUACAAAUGAUCUUCUACAGGUACACUAACUGUGAUUACGUUAAGUUAACGAACAGUUAGAAACUCGGCUAUAUAUUAUAGGGAGAGCCAUAACUUUAUGCCAUGCCACCGACACUAACCCCGUAAGUCCAAGCUAUUGGCAAUUCUUUGGAUUCUGUGAGGACGCAUAGGACGUGCAUGCAUUAUGUUAAAGAUCUACAAAUUGGAAUUUGGAACAACUUUUGUAUGGAUAACAUGUCAACCUAAUGCAACUCUCACAAAAAUUCUUUCCAAUCACCUAAGGAAUUUCUAGCUAUCAACAACUGUAACUACCUACUAUAGAAUUUUUUUUUCAGGCUAUGUGAUGAUCUUUAUUUCAGAAAUAUCCUGUAAGAAAGUGGUUCCAAAUUUAGCAUGGGUUAUGCUGUAAAAAUCUCAUAGAAUUUGGCGAGUGGAACUCAAGUUAUACCCAAAUUGGUAAACCGCUGUUUGAUGAAAUUUCUGGGUUUACAGACGACAGAGAUUGAAUUUUUCAGCCACAUUGGGAUCGGUUUUUGUCCAGUGUCAUAAAAUAAAAGUUGUAGGUAACAUAGUAAAGAAUCUUGGGGUAAAAUUUCAUGAUUUUUGGAUGAGAAUCUUAAGAGUUAUGGUCAGAUUAGUGAUACACAGUUACAGAAAAUUUCAGAUUGGACCACAGCAGGGAAAUCCAAGUUUAUGACCCUCUUAGAUGCUGUUUGAGCAAAAGUUUUGAAUAACUAAGUUGUGACCAAAUACCUAAGGAACAUUCUGGUAAAAUUUGGGAAAUUUGGGAUUGCUACUUCUUGAGUCAUGGCCAUUUUACUAUCUAUCGAGGAAUCUGUCAUUCUUGGUCAAGUGGUGUUUCCUAGCUCACACCCUCGAUUUUUGUUUUCUUCAGAUGGCCGACCCUGUCUGCAUCAUGGUGAGUUCACUCUGAUUACAUAUACUGGGAGGGCUUUCCUUCCAUCUUGUGGGGCGUCUUGAGCUCGGUGGGAUACCCUACCCCUCCCCGCUACGUGGGAUAGGAGUACGAGGAGCGCGGAGUGCCCCGUUGCCGCAUGCACCUCACGCUUCUCCCCUACCCGAUGCACCCCGAGUGGCCGACCUUGGAGGUUGAGACUCUUGGGUACCCCCUUGACGACACCUUGGAGACGACUGCUCUUUAGGGGCUCACUACCUUUUGUAGUCUGCACCCCGAGAAGGUUGCUAUCGCUCCCGUGGGGUUGUUUCCGUCACCACAGGUAGACGACCCCAUGUGGCUUGAUAGGAUGGACCACAUGGAUCUUCUGGGGUUUAGUUUCCCUCAGGAGAUGAUCUUCACUUCAGCACGGAGCAUGAAUGCACUAUACCGUCUCCAGGCUCUCCAGGGCAAGGCAAUAGCCCAAUUAUCCGAUCUGGCACAGGCGAAUCAGAUCAUGUUGAAUGAUAGGAACAACCAGAUGGUUGACCUCUCAGUUGAGUUGGUUGACAAGGAUGCAAGGAUUUCCCAGUUGAAGGCUCAGGUGGGAGAGCCUCAGACAAAACUAAGUGACAGAGUGGCCGCUAUUGAUUUAUUGGAGGAUCAGAUUCAUGACCUCAACAUGGAGUUGGAGGACACGAACGAUCACACUGAGAUGCACCAUGAGUAGGAGGCAGCUAUGCAGGCUCCUCCGACUGUCAUGGAGGAGGAUGAGGACCCCGAGGAGAUGGAGGAUGUCUCCGGUAUGGGGAGCUCACUCCUUAGUGUAGCCUAAAUUUUGGACCAUGGAUAUAAUAGGAUAGCUUAGAGUUGAAUAUUAUUUUGCGUAGGUGAUGCUAUGAUUGUGACACUUGAUGAUGGGGGCAUGUUCCCAAGAACUUGACAUUGGAUGUAAUCGACAUGUGGCUGCCGACUUUCUGCAGCAGAAGCAUGCUUGAAUUUUUAACCUGGUUUCCUUUCAUUUCUGGACCGUUUGAUGAAUACCAAAGUUGCUGGAAAUUGCAUAACCUAAAUGCUCACAAAAUUUUAGUAUCAUUGGACUCACCUAACUCGAGCCAUUAUUAAAACAUUACAGCUUGGCCUGCUAAAAAAACAGCUAGGACAGAGAGGCAAAGAUGGAAUUUUUCGGCCUAUGUAACCCUUGAAUUGGUCUUUGAGUUAAAUACCAACGUUGUAGCAUACUAAAUUUCCUACUCACUGAUUAAAGAUGAGAAUUUAUGGACACUUGAGUCAGGAGAUAUGAAUUUUCUCCUAAGUUACAGUUUUCUGCCCACAUUAUCUAGCUGCAUCUUGAACUUUAAGAUUCCGUACAUAUUUUACCUUGUUUCAUCUUCUUGUGAGUAAGUUUGAAAAUUAUGUGACUAAUGGAAAGGUUCACCCUUGCAAAUGGUGCAAGGAACAUGUCAAAACCCCGGUGGUUUUGGACCUAGUGGCAGCAGGCAAUAGCAAGGACCACCACCACCACCCCAGCCUUCCAUGGAGGCGAUAUUGGCUGCCCAAACCGAGUUACUGCGACAUCUUGUCCAAGGACAGCAGCAACAGCAGCAGCACCAGGGUGGGAGAAACGCCAAUCCACCCCAGGUCGCAAGCUACCAAGAUUUCCUAGGCACUCAGCCCCCUUUGUUUCACAGAUUAGAGGAGCCUUUGGAUGCGGAUGCUUGGGUUCGCACUAUUGAGUCCAAGUUCUCUCUACUCACGGCAGUUUGUCCUGAAGAGAGCAAGGAGAAGUUUGCUGCACAACAACUUCGAGGCUCGGCAUGUUUGUGGUGGGAUCAUUAUCAGGCUAUGCUCCCAGAAGAUCAUGUGGUUUCUUCGGAAGAAUUCAAAACUGAUUUCAAGGGCCAUCAUAUUCCAGAAGGAUUAUUGGAAAGGAAGCUAAAUGAGUUUCUGGCACUGACUCAGGGCACACGUACUGUGCUCCAAUAUGCUCAAGCCUUUAAUGACUUGUGUCAAUACGCGGGUGUUGGCACUAAAAACUAGCUGAUGAUCUUCAGCGUCGGACACACGACCCGGGAGAAUCUGCUUAACUCCUGUUCGGGUGAUCGCCCUGGUACGGUUCGCGCGGCGUGCCAGUCAAUCUGACUUAUUGAUUGACAAGGAAAGAAACGUAUUAAAUUCCAGGGGUUUCGAUCGGCUAAAUUUCCGAUCUGUCUCGAAAAGCAUAUCAGCGAAUCAGCCGAUUUGCUAUGAAGAUGACCGGCUAUAGAACAACCGAUAAUCACGCAGCGAUUGUAAAGAAACUACUGGAGUAGGCUAAACAACGCUACAAAUGCAACACUUGAAAUAGAUCUAAUCGGCUGUAUAAUGAUAAAUAAGAAUAACAAUGAUAAAGCCGACAGUUCAAAUCCCAAGCUGGAUAACUGGUGAUAAAACUAGAACAAUAGAUAAGACCUAUAGUUCUAGUAAAUAUCGAUAACUGGCGAAUAAAUCUAAAUGAAAUGAUAGCGAUGCGUCCGAAGUUAAAACUUAGAUAUUACCCGAUAAGCGGAACUUACAGAAUCGGCCAGAGAUCGUGUCGAUGUAGCCCUGCCAACCCGUACGAACUCGUGAAAGAAAAAGAAGUAUUGGCGAAGUCGCCGACUUAAAAGUAAAGUACGAUGAAAAAGUAGAUUGUUUGUAUUGAUUGAUGUGUUUUUUUACAAAUCUCUAAAGAUGGCUAUUUAUAGCCUGUUACAACUAAUUUCCUAACUGACUAGGAUCUAUCUCUAAUUUUAAACAAAAACGAAUAUUUACAAACACAACUCGUACCAGAGUUGGUCAUCAUACUCCCAUGGGCCAACCUUUCUCUAUCUUCUUUUUCUAGCCCACCUUAAGCCCAUAUUGACCCAAUCGUUCCAGCCUUCCAAUCGCCCAAUCGUAACCUUUUAAACUGCCGCAUCGACCAAUCUUUUCCUUUCUUGACGCCGAUCCAAAACGUGUCAAAAUCUGGCGUCAACACACGCCCCCCAGUUUCGGAGUAAAACAUAACUUUUACUUCGAAAUUCUUUCUUUAACUCACCCUCUAAAACAAAUGCGGCAAAAACCCCCUUCUGUUUCGCGGUCUUCUACCUGAUAAUUGCAAUCUUUUCAAACUGGGCGCCUGAGACAACUGCUCCCCCGAAAUUCGUGUAGACGGCACGGUAAAAAUCCCAUCUUUACCUCUUCUCUCAGACCGUCUUUAAAUACUGGCGUUCUCUGCCGCUUCUUCUCCACGAGCUCAAUAACUUUCUCUUCGGCGAAUCACUUUCCAUCUUCUCCCAGCGCCCUUUUGGCUUCCAAUCGCAUUCUCCGGCGAUCCCCCUUUCGUCCGCAUCCUGCUUCAUUUCCCCUCAAUGGUGGCACCAUCGGCAAUCCACCAGCAACCCCGCCGGCAGCUCCAUCAGAGACGAUAGUUCCAUUGGUGACCCAUCAGCAAUGAUGAGUUUCAUUCCACAGGUAAACAUCCGAAGCCUUUCUUCUUUACUUUUUACCACCCAUGCACCCUUUAGAUCUAUUUUUAGUUUUUCCUUUUUAUCUUUCUUAGGCGGUCAGACAGCAAAUCACAAUCUGCCUUUCCGACGCACCUGGCCUUAUCUGCCUAGGCCCUAUGGGGAACCCAGACCUAACUGAUCUGAUCAAUUUAGAAACCCAUAGGAUCCCCUUCAAGCAAUCACCUAUGGAUUUGAGCCAGUGGUCAGGCACUUUUAGAUCUUGGCCGAAUGAAACCCCCGGUUGGAAAGAGUGGUAUCAAAGAAUGGCCAACUCCAAGAGAGUUCAAUGGGAUGAACUAAAAAUCGGGCAGUGCAUCAAUCUAUCUUUGUCCCAGAUGGAGAAGAAUGAACCCUUGGUAAUAGCAGCUUCUUACUUCUGGUCUAACGCGCUCAAUGCGUUUCUCUUUGGGCACGGACCCAUGACCCCAACUCUAGCCGAUGUUCUGAUGCUGACCGGCCUCGAUAUUUCCUCCCCCGAUACACCCUUCAAUUAUCUGAUCAAGCUGACCCAUCGGCUAGAAACGAAAGGAAUCGGCGAGUGGAUGGGGUAUAUCAAUAAAAACAUGAGGACCGGGACGGAUUUAGAGAGAGAAUACGCGACCUUCUUGAUGAUGUGGCUGGAGAAGCACCUUUUCUGUGGCAGAGCAGUCGACCCUUCUUCCAACACACAAGCUCUGGCCGAAGCCCUAUCAAGAGGAGCCACCAUCCCUCUCGGGAAGCAUCUGCUAGGAUCGGCCUACCACAUGAUGCACAAGAUUGGUGUCAAACUGUCAAAGGGAGAGCCGAUUGGUAAUCAUGGUGGUCCCUGGUGGUUCAUCACCCUCUGGCUCAACUUGUACAUGAGCAAGUUCUUCCAGCAGCAGAUAGAGACCAAGACAUUCCCCAACAUUGAGUCAGAGGAAAACCCCACAGUAUGACGACGGUGCACCUCUUUCGGCGAAGCGGCAUCAGCUUUCCCUGGUUGCCAGUUCACCACCACCCAGAUAGCCGAGUAUUUCAGAUGCUUCUACAAUGGCUUUAGUGAAGAAACCACAAGUUGGUACCCAUACCAGAGGACAGAGCCACUUUUUGAGCUUCCCUUCUGCUAUGACUCGAUGUCCAACUCCUUUGACAAUGAUCUCACGGACGCCUUGAUCAAACCAGGGAUCUUACCAGUGAACUUCUUCUCUGGGAAACACUCCCCAACUUACGAAUUCUAUAAUCCAUCAGUUGCAGCAUGGCAGUUCAGCCUUAGUCAGCUACCGAUUCAGGUUUAUUUUGCCGGCCGCGCAAAAUUCUGAGAUGAGCUCACUAAGGGCCUUGACUACAAUCGGCUGUGCAAUUUAGUGCCUGAUUCCAGUACCAUUGAUCUGAACAAUUGGGUAGUAGCUCCUUUUGCUGUCUAACAAUUCAAAUUAUGGUGGGCAGAAUGGAAGCAGCAUCUCUUUUGUGUCUCCCUUGCAACAUAUUGUAAUGAUCUGGACCUUGACAACAUCGACCCAAAUGCAGCGGUACUGCUCUCUUCUCAGCCAAUUUCAAUGUCAUUUCCUUUUAUGCUACAAAUUUUCCGCUAACUCUUAUUUCCUUUUACAGUCCGAAAGUCGACUUCCUCCGAUGCGGAGCCGAAGUGGUAGGCCGAUAGAAAAUCGCUAUCCAUAUACAUCAUUCCCACUCAUGGGCUAUCAUGCUCCAACCAUCAAAGACAUCACCACCGGCCGAUCGAAACAGGCGUCGAAGAAAACCUCUUCAAAGAAGACGAGUCGCCGAGUGCGCGCCUGUAUAGAAUCGGCCGAUCAGUCGGCGGCGGCAUCGGCUGAAUCUUUAGCUGUGCCGAUUCUAGUGAUUGUCGAAGAAGUCAAACCCCAGGCCGCUUCAGAGGCUAGAGCAGCUGCUGCCUCAUUGUUGGUAGAAGCUGUUCAGGUAACCUCGUAUACCCCACAUUCUUCUAAGUAUUCUGUCGGUAUUAACUUCUUCUUUCUGUUAGGCUGCGCAAAUCGCUCCAGUGCAAUCCCCGCAACGAUCGGCCACAAUCCAGGCAGAAACCAGGAUGCCAGUGAUUCCUCCCACUGAGGUAGAGAGUGUUUGUUUAACUCAAUUUUCUUAAUACUUAAUAGAAAGCUAAUCGAUUUUGAUGCAGGCUACCCUGUGCACAUCGAUUGUACCCUUCCAACAACCAUCGGCCAGGCGACUCACAGAAGUAAAGCAGCCAUUAUAUAUCAUCAGACUUAACCAUUUGCCUUAUUCUUAUAAAAUCCGCUUCCUGCAGCUUUCCAGGAGGCUGGCCCGAGCACAGCGCCAAUAAUCGUCGAAUCCUCCUCCUCCGAUGAACUAGCCGCGCCAAUUCCCGAAAUGAGGGAUGCACUCCCGCCGGCGCAAGCAGAAGAAAUCUACUUUAAAGAGGUAAGAAACUUGACAACCAAAUCGGCUGAUUUCCUAUUACCGUCGGCUAAUCCGUAUCUUAAUUACCCAUUCUUUUUCAGGAGCAGGAAACGCCCAACAACAGCCUCUUCUCCUUUACGGUUGCACUUUCUGAUGACGAAGAAGUCGCCUCUCGCCAAGUUGCAUUGAGCUCAAUACCUGAUGACGUCUGUGCCAAGCUUGCGAGCAUACGGACCCUCCUCUAAGAUGACAUCGGCCGACUAGUGGAAGACGCCUCGCCGAUUCGGCAGCUUCUUAGUGAAAUCAGAGGCUGAGUUCCAGAAGAGGCAAAAGAGGCUCUGGCACCCGCCGCAUACAUCGAGUCAAUGCGGAUUCCAGUGUUCAGGGCCUUGCGCCAUAUGGACGAUUGUGCCAAACUAGCGAAAGCCCGCGAGGAGGAAGAUUCCUACAAACAUCGAGCUCAAGAGGUGCAUCAACGAAUCAGCUUCCUUGAAAGCUCUCGCCCAGAUAUCGUUGGUGCCAUAGACCGCCUCAAAUGGCGAAGAGCAGAGCUUGCUAAGGAGAUGGAGCAGGUGACCAAGGCCAUAGCCACUAAAGAGAAGAAACCUCAAGACCUCCCAUCUGUCAUUGCUGAUUUGAAGCAGGAGUAGCAGAACUUGGCCCAUGAAGCAAUCUGACUCCAUCAUCACAUGCCAGAAGUCCUUGGAUCGGUUGAUGACGACCAGAGGACUUUAGACUCGGCCGAUCAGGUUAGGCAGCGAGCGAUUGCGGCUAUUAAUGCCCUCCUUGGGUGAAUUGUAAAAGCACUGAAUGCUCUGUAAAAACAUUUAAUGUCCUCUUGCCGUUGACGUGCGGAUUCAAACUUGAACCAUCCUCUGUGGCAGCCUUUUCAUUUAAUGACCCUUUAUUCCGAUGGGACACGUCUUACCAACCAUUCAUCCUUUUCCUUCUAUAAGUAUGAAGCCCCGUAUCGAUUCUAAAGGCAUUCACAUCGCCCGUCCUCUUUUCCUCUAGUAGUUUGAUCUCCAUACCCUCAAACUAGAUGCCGAGAUGUCUUCUUCCUCUUUUUCCUUCUCCGUCAAUCAGGUACGAAACACCAGUGAAUGCUGUCAUGCGCUACUUCCCGAACCUCCGUGUCUAGGUCCUGCCUACAGAUUGAUUUGAAUAGAACACUAUAGAUUUUGACAACCAUUUCCAUUAGAUGGACAAAUAGAAUGUGCUUGGCCGCAGCAUCGUAGCUAGGAGCAGGUGCAACACCGUAGCUAGGUUCCAAGAAGACAGCUUUUUGUGGGUUCUGGUACAAAGCCUGCCAUUGUUUUCCCUCCUCCGGUUUCUGCACAGUAGGAAUCCGGUAAAAUAACAAACCUAGGUUUCCCGCUUCCGAUUACUAAAGUGCUAAACCAACCUGGAUUUAGCCCUCCUCUCUACUAUCUACUGGCUAUUCUAGCACCCAGCUGUGCCAUGUGUUUAUUCUAUUUUGCAGGUAUUCCUUUGAAUAACUCAUCUUUUUAGGAUUUUUCUUGGGAAGUUUCGGGAAGAAAUUGGAAUGGAAUAAUAUCGAUUCAUACAGAGGAAAAAGCUUCCUUCGUUCCUCCGUCUGACCUUUCAAUCAAUCUGACGAUGAGUGGUUGCUUGCUGCUUUUCAGCCGAGACGCCUUAGUCCUGACCUGGAAUGAGCGAUCGAGGUCAUGCAUUCCGACGAACCGCUGACGCAGGCGGACAGAGAUCUGAUCAGGACUCAUUACGAAGAACUCAAAGAUCAUAUCCCCGCUGAUGUUCAAAAGAUCCUGGACCAUAUAGACACCAACUGCUCUAGGCGGCUGCCAACUGAAAGGAGUCAUCCUCUUCCUCGUCAGGUCACCCUUGAGGAUGCCGUGGCGGGGACAUCCCAACCACCUCUUGAUAGGAGCCACCCACUGCCUCGUCAAGUUGAGGUCGAAGCUGCCAUGGAGGAUUUGGAGGAAAAGAGCACCCGCCUCUUGAUAGAAUUGGGUUGGGUCGAGAGGGAGAUUAAGAAAAAGCAUGGUCAAUAAAUAUGUUGGUACUUUUGUUCUAAGGGCAAGUUGAACCAUGUCGGCCAUGUACCCUGUUGCUUGAACCGAAUAAUAAAUCGGCUAGACUAAUUGAAUGUUUCGUCCUUAAGGCGAUGCUAUCUUUGCAUCGGCUAUAUAAACACGAGCCAAUAGGAGUUGGCCAUGUUGUCUUGAUGCACCCUAUUGUCAGCUAUGCAUCCACCCAUAUACUAGGAUAGUAUCUCUUUAGAUAUCUUCCGUUCAAGGCUCUUGUCAAUUCUUCUCCUUCAAUAGCAUCCAGUGUAUAUGCGUUUCCUGGAGCGCAUUGGCCGAUUUUAUACAGCCCUUCCCAAGUGGGCGGCCAUUUACCGAAUUUGGGAUCCUUAGACCCUAUCGGCAGCUCCAACUUCCAUACCAAAUCUCCUUGGGAGAAUUGUUUGACCUUGACCUUCUUGUCGUACCACCUGACCACCCUUUUCUUGUUUUCUUCAAUGCUGAUCAGGGCCCUUAAUCGCUGACCUACCAAAUCGUCGAGCUCUCCCUUCAUGAGGAGGGAAUAGUCAUCGGCCGUCAAUUGAUCUUGAAUCGAUGUGCGCCUUGACCCCGUCCUUAAUUCCCAAGGCAAUACUGCCUCGUGACCAUAUACCAACUGAUAAGGAGAUAUUUUAGUGGCCCCGUGGCAGGCCAUUUGUAAGCCCAUAAAGUUUCAGUUAUAGACAGGUGCCACUUCUUGAGUUGUUCUUCUAUCUUCCUCUUGAUCAACUUGAUUAUCCCCUUAUUGGACGAUUCGGCCUGACCGUUGGCUUGAGCAUAAUACGGAGAAGAAUUCAACAGUUUAAUUCCCAUAUCGGCGGUGAACUCUUCGAACUCCCCUGAAGUGAACAUCGUCCCUUGAUCAAUUGUUAUGGUUUGAGGGAUACCGUACCGAUAAACAAUAUGAUCUCUUAUGAAAUCGACCAUAGCGGCCGAUGUCACGGCCUUCAACGGAACUGCCUUCACCCACUUGGUAAAAUAAUCAGUGGCUACUAAUAUGAACUUGUGUCCCUUGCUUAAUGGAGGGUAAAUCUGUCCGAUGAGGUCUAUUCCCCAACCUCUAAACGGCCAUCGUUUGAUUAUUGGAUUCAUAGCCGAGGUUGGUGCACGCUGCACGUUUCCAAACUUCUGACAAUCUUAACAACCUAUAUAAUAUUUAAAGCAAUCUUCGAGUAUCGUCGGCCAAUAAUACCUGUUGUUUCUAAUCAUCCACUUCAUUUUGUGAGCCGAUUGGUGAGCUCCGUACACGCCCUCGUGAAUUUCUCCCAUCAGGACCUUUGCUUUUUCCGUUCCGAGGCAUUUGAGCAGAACUCCAUCAAUCGUCCAGUAAAACAAAUCGCCUUCGAGCAACACAUAUUUCGUGGCUUGGAAACGCACUCACCGAUCCACUUUCUUGGACGGAUCUCUCAAGUAAUUGGCGAUAUCUUUUCGCCAAUCGUCGGCCGCAAGUUCUAGAGUCAUGGCACCUUGAAUCGGCCGAUACCCAGACGCGUGUUGGGCAAGCCUAUUGGCCUCUUCAUUGUAAUUUAUGGGAAUAUGCACAAUAACCGCGGACUUGAAUUCUAUCAAAAGUUGGAGGCAAUCUUCGUAGUAAAUCCUCAAGACAUCAUCUUUGCAUUCAGAUCUCCCCAUUAAUUGAUCCACAAUGAGCAUGGAAUCUCCAAAUUUUCACAGCAUCGGCUUUGAUUUCUCUCAACAAUUGAAUGCCCUUUAGAAUGGCUGGGUAUUCUGCCUGAUUAUUGGUCGCGGAUGCUUCUAUUGCCAGAGAGAAAUCAUAUCUUGCCCCCCGAGGCGAUAUGAGGAGGAUGCCGAUUUCUGAUCCGGCCCCACAUGAAGAAUCGUCGAUAAUCACGCAACGAUUGUAAAGAAACUACUAGAGUAGGCUAAACAACGCUACAAAUGCAACACUUGAAAUAGAUCUAAUUGGCUGUAUAAUGAUAAAUAAGAAUAACAAUGAUGAAGCCAAAAGUUCAAAUCCCAAGCUGGAUAACUGGUGAUAAAACUAGAACAAUAGAUAAGACCUAUAAUUCUAGUAAAUAUCGAUAACUGGUGAAUAAAUCUAAAUGAAACGAUAUCGAUGCGCCCGAAGUUAAAGCUUAGAUAUUACCCGAUAAGCGGAACUUACAGAAUCGGCCAGAGAUCGUGUCGAUGUAGCCCUGCCAACCCGUACGAACUCGUGAAAGAAAAAGAAGUAUUGGCGAAGUCGCCGACUUAAAAGUAAAGUACGAUGAAAAAGUAGAUUGUUUGUAUUGAUUGAUGUGUUUUUUACAAAUCUCUAAAUAUGGCUAUUUAUAGCCUGUUACAACUGAUUUCCUAACCGACUAGGAUCUAUCUCUAAUUUUAAACGAAAAUGAAUAUUUACAAACACAACUCGUACCGGAGUUGGUCAUUAUACUCCCACAGGCCAACCUUUCUCUAUCUUCUUUUUUUGGCCCACCUUAAGCCCAUAUUGGCCCAAUCGCUCUAGCCUUCCAAUCGGCCGAUCCCUACCAACUCCGUCUACCAAUCGCUCGAAACACUGUAGCACCAAUUGGCCGAUUCCCAACUGUAGCGCCAAUCGGCCGAUUCCCAAUCGUAACCUUUUAAACUGCCGCAUCGGCCAAUCCUUUCCUCUCUUGACGCCCAUCCAAAACGUGUCAAAAUCUGGCAUCAAUAGCGGGCUAUCAUGCUGACACAGAUGAGAAUAAGAGGGACCGUUUCCGUCAAGGUCUCAACUCCAAGCUCAGGGAACGACUGAAUCCCAUCAAAGUAAACAUUUAUAAUGAGCUAGUGAACUUAACGAUCUCGCAGGAGGAUUGUAUCUUGACUCAUCGUGUAGAUAAAAAGAGGAAGGCUCCAAUGGCCUUAGCUAUUUCCCCAAACCAGAAAUUUUGGAUAGUCCAGAACACUCCACCCAGAGUUCCUUAGAGAACCCAACAGCCUGGACGUUGGGUCAUCAGGCCACCUCAGCAGCAGGAAGCUCCACGUUUCCCUAACUUCUAGCAGAAAGGCCCAACGCCCAAUGCUCCAUAGCCAGCUCACACUGGCAAUGGGAAUCGCUGCUUCAUCUAUCGGAGUCCCAAUCACUUUGCUAAAGAGUGUCUGCAGAACAGGCCCUAGAACCAGGGACAAGGCUUAAAUCAGAACAAGGGAAAGAAGCAGAAAGUACAAGUCAAGCAAGGGAGGCUUAACUUCACAACUCUUGCCGAUCUUCCUGAGGGUGCACCAGUAAUGACGGGUAUUUUCUCUAUCCAUAACCAACCUGCGGUUAUAUUAUUCGAUUCUGGUGCAUCACAUAGUUUUAUUGGAACAAAAUUCAGUGAUAAAUAUGGAUUGGAUUUCUGUCAUACAAAAGGGUCAUUUAUGAUUUCAACACCCGGUGGUAAAAUUGCUUCCAACCAAAUAACACGUCGUGUGCCACUCAAGUUAGGUAGUAAAAUUUUCAAAACUGACCUUAUUAUUUUGGGACUUGAAGGCAUAAAUAUUAUUUUAGGAACAAAUUGGAUGACUCAGCACAAAGUCACAUUAGACAUUGCAGCACGGGCUGUUGAGAUAAAUUCACCUGCACAUGGAUCUUCCACACUUUACUUGCCAUCCCGAGAGUGCAUUAAUUUGUGCGUUUAUCUGGCAAUAGGGUCCCAACUAGAGGAAAUUCUUGUGGUAUGUGAGUAUGCCGAUGUUUUUCCAGAUGACUUGCCAGGAAUGCCACUGGAUAGGGACAUUGAGUUUGCCAUUGAACUACAACCAGGCACUGCACCUAUCUCGAAAAGACCCUAUCGAAUGCCGCCUGUGGAGUUGGCAGAAUUAAAAACCCAACUUCAAGAGCUACUAGACAAGGGUUUUAUUCGCCCAAGCACAUCACCUUGGGGCUGCUCAGCUCCCUUUGUAAAGAAAAAGGAUGAUAGUUAGAGGAUGUGUGUAGAUUACCGACCUCUCAAUGGGGUGACUAUCAAAAAUAAAUAUCCACUACCCCAUAUUGAUGUCCUCUUUGACCAACUAGCCAGAGCCAAAGUGUUCUCCAAAAUUGAUCUCCGCUCUGGAUAUCAUCAAAUUAAGAUCCGGCCAAGUGACAUUCCUAAGACCGCCUUCUCUACUCGAUAUGGAUUAUGUGAGUACUUAGUCAUAUCUUUCAAGCUCUUGAAUGCUCCUGCCUACUUCACGUAUCUCAUGAAUUCAGUGUUUAUACUCGAGCUUGACAAGUUCGUUGUGGUCUUUAUUAAUGACAUCCUCAUAUAUUCCAAAAAUGAGGAAGAGCAUGCCCAACAUCUCCGUAUUGUUCUUCAACGUCUUAGAGAUCAUCAACUUUAUGCCAAAUUCUCUAAAUGUGAAUUUUAGUUGGAUAGUGUGAAAUUCUUGGGACUCACCAUCUUUAGUGAAGGCAUAGCCGUUGAUCCAGACAAAGUAAAAGAAGUGAUGGAUUGGAAGCCACCCACUUCCGUUCAUCAAAUCAGAAGUUUCCUUGGCCUAGCGGGCUAUUAUCGUCAUUUCAUUCCGAACUUCUCAAAAAUUGCUAAGCCAAUGACAGAGUUUUUAAAGAAGGAGGUCAAGUUUGUAUGGAGCUAAAAGUGUGAAUAAGCUUUCCACACUCUGCGAAAACAUUUGACCUCAUCACCAGUCUUAGCUCAACCCGAUACCACCAAGCCCCUUGAUGUUUACUGUGACACCUCUAGCGCUGGUCUUGAUUGUGUUCUUAUGAAAAAUAAUCAAGUCAUUGCUUAUGCUUCACGUGCACUUCGGCCUCACGAGCAGAACUACCCAACCCAUGACCUCAAGCUAGCGGCCGUCAUACAUGCUCCAAAGAUCUGGAGGCAUUAUCUAAUGGGUUCUCAUUGCCAUAUCUACACCAAUCACAAAAGUCUCAAGUAUAUCUUUACCCAGGCCGAUCUGAAUAUGCGUCAAAGGAGGUGGUUGGAGUAAUCACGGAUUAUGAUCUCGAGAUGCACUAUCACCCCGGGAAGGCCAAGUGGUUGUGGACGCAUUAAUCCGCAAGGCUCAUUGCAAUUGCCUUUCCGCAGAAACCUUUAUAGAAACCUUGUGUCAUGAGAUGAGGAAGUUUAAUUUGGAAAUUAUUCCUCAAGGCAUAAUGAAUCACAUCUCUAUCGAACCUACCCUGCACGAUCAAAUCGUUAUGGCACAGUUAGAGGAUGAAGAUAUAAAAAUUAUAAAGCAAAGGUUCUCUCAAGGGGACGAGAGAUAUAAGUGUUUCCGCCAAGACUGGAAGGGAGUUGUAUGGUUUUAGGACCGCUUGGUUGUUCUAGAAAAUCACGAUCUCCAAAAGCAAAUCCUGGAUGAGACACAUCUCUCCAAGUUCUCUAUUCACCCGGGUAGCAUCAAAAUGUACCAAGAUCUCAAAUAGAAUUUUUGGUGGACUGGGAUGAAACUAGAGAUUGCUAAAUAUGUGUCGGAAUGCGACACUUGUCAAAGGGAAAAGUAAGCCACUUAAGAGUAGCCGGUCCUAUUCAACCAUUGCCUAUACCAUCCUGGAAAUGGGAGGAUAUAAGAAUGGAUUUCAUUGUUGGUCUGCCCAACACCUCUCAGAAGCAUGAUUCCAUAUGGGUUAUAGUCGAUAGGCUUACUAAAAUGACACAUUUUAUUCCGGUUCAAACAACCUGCACAACCAAGAGAUAUGCUGAGAUAUAUCUUGAUCGUAUUGUUUGCCUACAUGGAGUGCCCAAAACGAUCAUCUCAGAUUGAGGUACUCAGUUUGUGGCACGCUUCUGGGAACAGUUGCAAGCUUCUCUUGGCACUAAGCUAAUUCGCAGCUUGACCUAUCACCCUCAAACAGAUGGACAAACUGAAAGGUCCAAUCAAAUCCUUGAAGAUAUGCUUCGAGCUUGCGUCAUUCAUUAUGACAAAAAACUGGGAGAAAUGCUUACCUCUAGCCGAUUUUUCUUAUAACAACAGCUACCAAGCUAGUCUAAAAAUGGCACCGUUUGAGACCUUAUAUGGUUGUAGGUGUCAAACUCCGUUGAGUUGGUCCCAAGCUGGAGAGCGAAAAAUAUUCGGGCCAGAAUUGGUACUUGAGGCAGAAGAAAAGGUAAGGGUAAUACAAGCACACCUUCAAGCCGCCCAGUCUAGGCAAAAGAGCUAUUUUGACAAAAGGAGGAAACCCUUGCAAUUCGAAGUUGAUGACCAUGUAUACCUUCGGGUUUCACCAACCAAAGGUGUGCAAAGGUUCGAAGUAAAGGGAAAACUAGCUCCUCGAUACAUUGGUCCCUAUGAAAUCACUAAAAUUUGCGGACCCGUGGCCUAUCGAGUGAAGCUUCCACCUAGACUCUUAGCGAUCCAUGAUGUCUUCCAUGUCUCUCAACAUAAGAAAUGUGUUCGAGUUCCAACCGAGGUUAUCGAACAAGAGGAAAUAUGGGUAGAACUGGAUCUUUCUUAUGUUGAGUUUCCCCUCAAGAUUCUUGAUUGCAAGGAAAGGACUAGGCGACAAGUGGUAAGAAUGUUUAAAAUUCAAUGGAGCCAUCAUACCGAACAUGAGGCAAUGUGGGAAAUCGAAGAAUUUCUCAACAAAAUUUUCCGCGGUUUCCUAUUUGGACAGAAAGGAACACGCACAUCCACACUAGUUUUUAAUCACCUGAAUCUCGGGACGGGAUUCUUUUUAAGGGGGUAGGCUGUGACAUCCCUAGUAAUUAAGAGCAAGAUCAAGAGAAAUUAAGAAAGAGAUUAGAGACAAAUAAAAAAUUUCUAAAGAUUAAAGGUCAAUCAAAUGUUGCUAAUUUUGAAACACCCCUUAAUGGUGCUCAAUUGGGUAGAAAAUAAAAAUAGAUUUUAUAUAAGAACUCAAAUUUUGGCUAGUAUAAAAGUGGUAGAUCUCUCCAAAUUGAACAACUUUUAUAGUUAGCACUUUUUCUGAUUUUGAGUGGAAUGUGUUCCAAAACUAGGUUGAAGUUCCACCACAAAUUGAAAUUCAAUUCAAAACCAGUUGACCGGCGUUCUACCAAAUUUCCCUCAAUUUUAUCUCCAAUUCUAUCAAGUUUUUCACCUGUUGGCCUUUAUAGAAGUUGGAGCCUAUGUUUUGGGCUCAAACUUUUACAUUUGGAGUUUUGACCGUGAAGUUUAAAGUUUGGGAGAAAAUCUACAUAGAAGAUCAGCCCCUCGCGCGCCACACGGGAACGCUAUGUGCGCUGGGCGCGGUCACCGUGCCGCGGCGAGCUCGCCGGCGCCACGCAGUGCCACAGGCCUGCCACCGCCGCGCCGCCCAACCGUCAGCCGCACAGCGACACCACAGGGCGCAGCUCACCCAACCCGCGCACACGCUAAUCCUCCCCCCGCAUGCCAUAUCCCGACCGACCAACCGCUGUUCACGCGCCACCGCAUGGCCGCCGACCACUCAUGUAUGCCCUCCACUACCCAGCCACCGCCCCGCUGCCCAAUGUGUGGAGAGCCUGUGCUGGACAUCUGUAGGGAUACAAGGUAGGCUACACUAGCGCAAUUCAAAAAUUCUACCGCAUAUAACCAGGAAGAACUGCCGUAUAAGGAUCACGGGAUUACCACUCGACGCACUACUGGUGCGGAAGAUGUAGAUAUGCGUCGAUGCAGUGAAGACGAUCACGUAGUCGUACGUAGUCGAUCAACGUAGUCGUACGUAGUCGAUCACGUCCAGCAGCUCCUCAGCAGCUCGUCCACGUGCAGCAAGAUCGCCUCCGGUGCCGCGGCUCGUCGUCGGCUCGUCGUGGCUCGUCGGCGGCUCGUCGAUGGCUCGUCCAAGUGCUGCAGGCGCAACACCUCCAAGGUAUCCACACGUGCAGGGAGGAAGCAUCGCAAGCCGGACUGCUAGAUCCGCGAGUUGCAAUAGGCGAGGGCGUGGGAGGCGCGGCAGGUGUGUUUCGCCAAAAGGUGUAAACCCUAGGGCGCCCCCACCCCUCUAUUUAUAGAGGUUCCUGACGGGCCUCUGGAUCCGAGGCCCAUUAGCACUUCUAAACCUAAUCCAACUCGGAUCAGAUCCGAAUUGGGCUUCCAGCCCCUUAAGUGUGUUACCCUAUGGGUUCGGAUACGUAUAGACAUGGCCCGAGUACUCCUACUCGGCCCAAUAGUCGGUAGCGGCCUCUAGCAAGACGUGCCAACUCCUAUACGCACACGAAGAUCAUAUCAGACGAACCAUCACAACAUAAUAUACAUGCUAUUCCCUUUGCCUCACGAUAUUUGGUCUAGCUUCAAGCCGACCGCUCUUUCUCGAUCCUGUGAUUCGGAAUCCCUUUGUAGGUUAACUCUUAACCGUACGUAGCAUGGCCAUGCAUUUUCAGAUCCGAUCACUCGAGGGACCCAGAGAUAUCACUCUCAAUCAGAGAGGGGCAAAUCCCAUCUUGAUUGACCAUGUCUCAUAGCAUGCUUCUUGACAAGCCCGAAAGCUACCUUUAUAACUACCCUGUUACGGCGUAGCGUUUGAUAGCCCCUAAGUAGGUCGAUCCACAUCUUGAAAACAUGCGACAAUCUCAGGUCUAAGGACAAAGCGUAUAUGUUGUUUAAAGAGAGAACUACUUCUCGUGUUGGGUCAGUCCUAACACAUGUCUCCACAUGUGUCCACACUAUUAGUUCAACAUCUCCAUGUCCAUGACUUGUGAAACAUAGUCAUCAACUAAUACAUGUGCUAGUCUAAUAUUCAUGUGUGUCCUCACAUGAAUUCCGACUAGGGACAACUUUACAAUAACCAUACAAGUAAAGAGUUUCACAUACAAUUCACAUAAUUGCAAAUCAAUUCAAGUAGCCUUUAAUGGAUAUUCAAUGAACACAAUAUACAAAUCAUGGAUACAAAAUGGAAUAUCAUCAUCUCUAUGAUUGCCUCUAGGGCAUACCUCCAACAACAUCCCACCCCCGUCCAUUCCCUUUGCCGGCCAUAUAAAGGGCCAGUGCCCAUGCCGCCGGCUGCUCCUUCACCAUUGCCCGAAACCCCACUGCUUGUGGAGCCCUCACCUCCGAUCAUCAGCGUCGCCACCCAAGCAUCACAGAGCCCUCCCUUACCACCACUUCACCUUCCCCGCCCCAUAGCUAGCCACCACCGCCGCCACUGUCGCCGGUGCCCGAGUAGAAGCGGCCGUGCUGCCACUGCUCCGCCGCAGGACCUCACCGGCUCACCUCUGACCCUAAGCCCUACACCGUAGAGGUCACCGGUGAGUCACUCAUCACUCCCGUGCCCUCAGCCCACGACCGCCACCGUCGCCAUCUCCGGAAUCUCGCCGCCCCGAGGCGCCGGCCGGCCCAAGGGCUCAAUUGUGAUUUGAGUUUUAGUUCUAGGGACAUUAGUGUAAAAUAUAGGGGCAUCGUUGUUAGAUUUUUAAAAGUUUAAGGGCCCUUCGGUAGAAGUGAAAACUCAAAUUUGAAUAAAAUGCAUUAAAAAUGGUUGAAACUUGAAAAAUGCAUAGAAAAUGGUAGAAAACUGAUAAAAAUGUGAAUCUUGUUUUGUUGAGUUCGUGAUGAUGUCUAGUUUAUUUCAAAAAUUCUUAUGUACAUGUUACUUUUGCAUAUCUGAGGCUAUAAUGUAUUUUAUUCUAGACUUGUUAAAUGCUUUAUAAAUCAUGUGAUGAUCCAAAAAGUGUGAAACGAAUUUUGUCAGCUUCCAUUUAACAUGCAUGUUCCAGAUCUGCAACUUGUGUUAGUAUAUUCUAUGGUGUUCAUACUGUUUUAAAUCCAAAUGUUUAAUUACUGUCUUCUUAUGGUUAUUUGCAUGAUAAUCAGUGGAAAAUUGAUAAAAAUGCAAAAUAAAUUUUUCUAGCUUCCUGAUGCUCAUACUCGACUAGUAAAAAUAUUUAUCCUUUUGAAAUAUGUAUUUUUGGUUGCUUAACAAAAUGCAUGUUGUUUAAUCUCAUUAUUGUGGAAUAAAUAGAACUCAUGCUGAUAAAAUCCUGAUAAAUUCACAGUAGCCUAUGAUAGAGUGGUAAACCAUUUCGUAAAAUUUGUAACACUAAACUGAUGAUAAAACUAUAGUUAUAAAUCAUUCUUUAUAUCUGUAGAAUAAACAUAUUUGAUUUUUAGUAAAUUCUACGAUUGUCAAAUCCAUCUCAAAUUUUUAUAGUAGAAUUCUUGUGCAGAGGGAAAGCUCUUGUAAAAUUUUUAUGUUUAUAUACUAGCAAAUGCUUCCUUAACAUUUAUUCAUGUUAAAAGCUAGUUAUUCAUGCUGAGAGAAUGGGGAAUCAGUAAGCCUAGUACCGGAUUGAACGGCAUGGACCUUUUCCCCGCUCUCUCUGGAACCGGGUUCCCUUGGUGCAUCAUGUGGGUACAAAUGCGGCCACGGCACGGCGUCAUUCUGGGGACUGGUGGGGUCUUGUAUCCAAGGGAAGUGGGCUCUGGACAACCGCCGCAGAUUGAUAGGAAUCGUUGAUAAUAUGUGAACCUGUCGCGGUACGCAUAUGUCGUGUGUUUAAGUCACCUUGCAAGGUUAAGAAAUUCAAUUCAAAUCAUCUAAUUCUCACAGUCUGGGACUACUUGAUCACUAUUUUGCACUGAGUAAGAAGCUGGACAAGGAUGAUGCUUAAUAUUGAUGCUUGAUUAAACUGCUUGUUCUACCAUGCUUGCUUAGAAUAGGUGCUUAUCUAGAAUGGUUAAUCAACCAGAACUUGAUGCUAAAACUUGAAAGUAACGAUCCACUUUAGAAGCUUUUGGCAAAAACAAACCCCUCAACCAAAAAGCCUUGCAUGUCUAGGAGUCGAUGGAUUAGAUAGCACCUGACGGGUAAGUCUUUCGAAGUAUCAGUAUACUCAGCCUUGCUUAUGGCUAUAUUUUCAGGUAAUGAUGUUGAUGAUAUGGUUGCUACUGCGACUUGGCCGUACCAGCUCCCUCCGGGAUGGACGGUUGAAUGGGAUCCGUCCUCGGUGGGCAAGGACCGUGGCGUGGUGAGUGAUAUCAUGGACGACUUCACCAUGGUAUCGUGUAUCGAUGCUAGAUUUAUCCAUUUUUUCCGCUGUUUUUGAACUCUAAACUACUUUAUGUUUUGAACUCAGUUUGUAAUAAUUCAAUUAUUUGGAUUGUUGUAAUCUCUACCCUCAGUCUUCGUAUUGUAUGUUUGUUUCGAUCAGAAAUAUGUGGUUGUAUCGGGUGAAACUCGACAUACUACUAUUUUGAUCCGAUUAAAGUGUCUGUUCGCAUCUGAGGUGAUGUUUAGCACACUGUAGCCGGGUUAAUUUGGGUGGUUCUGCCACAACACUCCCUCCAAUUUGCUAUAAAGAUACAUGAUACAUCACAAGCAGCUAGUUGCAAAGAUCAAAGGGGUUUCUAUUUUAGGAUUUUGCAUGAAUCUCCAAAUUCCAACACUUCAAAUAUACAAGUUACAUUUGAAUAUUUCUAGUUUGUUCGGCCCAUUAUAUCAUGAAUCUUUCUAGUUUGUUCGGUCCAUUAUAUUUCUAUUUUCUAACCUUACGUUACAUAUACCGGAUAUGUAGCGACGACAGUGGUGGCGUGGCGGUGCAUGGCGAGGAUGGAUGCAAUCGAGCAUACGAAGUUAGGGUUUUGCACUAAUCUUCAAGCUACAUCCGACGUUAGAGCAUGCACGCACGUGAUACUGGGUAAAAGACGAAGAAGCGAUGGGAUGAAUCGUAGAGGUAGCUGGCCAGCACUACCGCCCCAGUCAGCCAAUUGAAGCACCCGGCUUUCAACAUUUUGGCGAGGCAGAGGUGCAGAGCCCCGAUCGAGCAACACGACGGUUUUUAUCGCUUUUCGCCUGCUGUCCUCUCGUGCCGUCUCCGCCUUCAAUCAGAGCGGAGCGGGGCAUCGAUCGCUCCACCACCCACCAAGAGGGGAGCGGAGCGCAGCGGCGAAGCGAUGGGGCGGCCGAGGCCCAAGAGAGGGGAGCGGCGGAUCGACGCCGCCAUUGACCACCUCGCCGAAUACGGCUUCCCCAAGCCCCGAAUCCGCAAGAUCAUCAACAACCUCCUGCAGGUAGCUGUUGCUCCCCUUCCUCAGAUUUUUUUUUUCUUUGCAUCUUUCAAUCCACUAGUGUGUAUGUUCUUGUUCAUGAUCUUCUGAUCCUUGGGGAGUUAGUGCUCUAUGAUUUUCUUCUUGUCGCGCAUCCUUGUUUUCUUCCGCCCUUAGACUUCUUGGACUUGGUCUGCACCUCCAACUAUGGAAAUGAAAAUUCCGCCUCAUUUUCUCCCAAAGAUUGUUACAUGCGUCCUGGAUUCUUGCAAUUUCGUUGCGGAUAGACGCAGUUGAAAUUUUUGUGGGCGUUGAGUAGAAAAGGUGGGCCCUUUCCCUGCUCCAAGAAACCAUGGGGGCGGCGUAGAUUUUUCUAUGUUGGUUCCCCUGUAUUUUUUUUGGGUUUAUUGUUGCGCUGCUGGAUCAUCUAGCGCAGUGGAGUAGACCGCAGAUGCACCUGAAAUUCAGAAAUGCUUGCUACAGGAUGUUCCUAGCAAAGAAAUCACCUUGAUUUCAUCCUACGGGAGAGAUGUGGUGUGGCAAUUUUUUUCCAUUUUUCUUUUUAAAUUUUGGGGUGAGGAAUGUAGCAACGCUGUCAAUUUUUUUCAGGAUUAGAGAACAGUUCGGUUUUUAAGUUGAUUGAGGAAUUCCUUUAUUUUUCUUAGAAAUGUUUGAUUGAAGAAUAAGGAAUACCACUAACUAGUUCUGUUCACAAUGCUUCAAUGAUUCAGCUGUAUGGGAGGGAUGGCUGGGUCUUCCUGGAGGAGGGAUCAUACAAAAUUGUGCUUGACACACUCCUGGAAGAACAGGAGCAGCUGGAGGUGAACUCCCUUCCUUCCUCACCUAUGUGUAUAUGUUCUGCUUGCCUGAAUUUUACGUCAUAGUUGUGCAUACUCUCUCUUUUUUUUUGAGAACGUUGUGCAUACUCUCUUAAGCAGGAGGCCUGGAGCAUGUAAAGUUCCAGCAUUGAUCCUCUGAUACACACUGUAUUGGAAUGGAUCGAGCCCCAGAUAACUGCAUGGUGUGGUCAACUUUUUUCCAGCUGCAUUUCCUGUGGUCUUGAAAUGCCAUCCCUGGCCUAGGAUCUAAGUAAAAUUGUAAACAACACUGUCAAAUUUUCAUCAUCAUGUUGUAUUGAAGACCUGCUUUCAGUUGCUAGCAAAACUCAUAUCAGAGAUCUUAACAAAAACCAAAAAUAACAUAGUUGCUCACUGCUUGGGAUUUAUUUUGCUAUCCAGUCAGAUUUUUAAGUGGACUUGCUUUCUAUGCAGAAACAACAAGCAGCAGCAGCGGAUGAGGCAUCACUACAAAAAGAUAUGGAAGUGUCACCAGCAGUGCAUAGUGAGGCACUGACUGAAUCUCAGUCAGCCGUUGAACCACAAGCUUUUCCCAACAGUUCACCUCCCCGGGAACAUGUACUGCCUCCAGCUAAAGGAGCUGCUCGUGCAAGGCCUCCCUGCCGUGGAUGGAUUAGCGAAGAGUCUGAUACGGAGAGUGAACUAGAGGAUGGAGAAAUGAUCUCCCAUGCACAAAGGCCAUUUUUCUCAAAAAAGGAUAUACCAAAUCCUGCGGAAAGCUUGCCUUAUUCUAAGAGGAAGCGACCAACUAGAUGGGAUGUGCGCCCUAAUAACUAGUAAUGAUUCUGACUGAACUCACUCUUGCUUCUAUAAUCUGGUAUUGCAGACAAUUUCUGUGGCUAGUCUGUAUUUUUCCCCAGAACCAGUUUUUAGCCGAUAAUACUAUACACUUGACAUGACCUAUCCCUUUUUCUGAACACGCCCUUGGCUUAAAUAUUAUCUUUAUUUCUGCAAGAACAACAGUUGAGCUUUGGAACUUUGUAAGAAUGAAAUGGUCCAAAACCUGCAUAGAAGAAGUGAAGUUGGUUAGUUGUGUAUGCCUUUCUGCUUUCACAUCAAUGAGUUCAAGUUGGCAUAACUCACGUGUGAUCAUACACGCUAAGGGUGUCACAUCUGAAGUAUCAUAACGAAUCCUCGAAAAAUUAAAUCUGAAGGUUACAAAAUUUCAAGACAGCAGUCAAUGGAAUGGAACUAGUUGUCUUUUGGUGUAACGAAUUUACUGAGCACAAUCUUUAAUUUUAUCUGGCGCCUAAAUACACACCAUGCAAUAUUUAGCAAAGUGCUUUGCAGAAUUGAUAUAUCGAUUUAGUAAGGGAAGCCUGUCAAUGCUGAGUCGCUGACCAUUAUCAACUGCAUGCUUGUCUUGAACCUCAGGGUUUAGGGCUGAGAUCAAAGUUGCAAGAUGGUGGCCUUCAAGGAUGGAGAAGUCAUAACGCAGGGAGCAAGAUGUUGGUCCAUGAAUUGUCUUUCACCUGUAUCUUGUACAUGUAGAACAUAUCUAGCAGAGAGUAGCGGACGGUAUGAGACAAUGUAGCUGCUUUGUGGUUGCAGAUUGUCUGCAGAAUGCAGACUGCUUAGGUCUGACAAUGCUUGUGCGGUUGAGACCUGGAGUAUGUACUAUCUACUAUGUAGAACUAGAAACGUUGAUCCAUCCUUAUUAUGUUGUGUUGUGUCAUAUAUGACUUACCUGGUAGCAUUUGCUUUUAGAAUCUGAGCAUGGAUUGUCUCUUAAGUAAUUAAUUUAGGCGUUGGAAUAUCGAUAUCUGAUUUGCAUGGCUAAUUGGUUUGGCAUUAUACCGUGGGAAGAAGUGGUCAAAAGAAACCAGCAUACCGGUGUCUGGCUAGUAUGGAGGACAAGAAGUGAAAUUAUGAUGUCAUAACAGACUAAACAUGAAUUCUUUGCAUCGCAUUUGCAACCUUAUAGCGGCUGCUGUGCUGUAUGGUAGAACAGUACAAGGGGCCAUUCAAUUCUUUUCCCCAUUCUGCAACCUACGCGCUCAAUAGCUACGUUAAUAAAUUCAAUAAUAGAUAAUAGAAAUUUGGUCCAAAUAUGCUCCUAAACACUUACCAUAGAUGUUCUAAACUAGUAUCACUUCCGCGCAAACCUCUCUGUUGGCUUGGAUGGCACUACAAUUUCCAAUUGGUCCUGUUUGAUUUGGAAAGCACAAAAUUUAGCUGGGUCGCCUUGGUAGGCCAAGUUUCUGCAAAGGGCUCCAUUGAUCGAAUAGUAUAAACUAGGAGGGUUCCAGCUUCAUUUCGCAGACACCACCGCGGCCCCGCCCAAGUUUCUGCAAGCGCAAGCGCUGUUGGAGCCGAGCCAUUGUAAUCAUUUUGUUAUAUUUUAUACAUGUAAAUAAUGAUCAAAGUAGAGAAUGGAUGACUGUGUGUGUCUAUGUCAAACACGACGCUCUUUUGUAAAUAGAGAUCUUACAACGAUCCUUAUCUCGGCUCCACGUAUAUAUUCUGCACAUCCAUCUUGGUCAAGGCUCAAGAAAAAACAAUUAAACCUUCUAGUACCAUCUCCAACGGCUCAAUACUCUCUGCCUCUUUGGGUAGACCCAUCACGAUUUUUGCUCACUUGGUUUAACACACUAUUUAGACACACCAUAAGUAAUACUAUAAACUUGACAUAAACAAUUUUAACGACCAAUUUUCACGUCAUAGGCACAAGGUAUACUGUAUUUUUUAAGAGAAGAUUUAUCAUACUUCCAUUUCAUUGCAAAACCUCAAUCACACAUCCAACCAAUAAGUACUUUUACUCCCUACUCUCAAAUACAUUGAUGACAAAAAUCUAGUGGGAAAAGAACCAUCUGGAAGCAACCAGUUUAGUUUCGAUCAUUUUAGUACCAUGUGGACAUGCUGAUUGGGCAAUAACAUAGAUAGGUGUAAGGCUAUCACAAAAGCUCGAGACACGUGAGCUGACUUGGUUCAUUCAUACCUCAUGAUUAGUUGGGCUCGGUCCUUAAAUGAACUGAGCCAAGCCUCAAUUCCAUCUCAUUUUCUUAACAAGUCAGCUCAUAAACCGCUUCUGAGGUGUUCAAUUGGCUCAUUAGGUUCGACAGAGAUGACAAUUGUAAGGAAAAUGGUCCUAACUAGGUCAUUAGUGAUUUUGGUGAUUGUGUUGACAUGCUAACCUAUGGGACUAACAACGUUUGCAAAUAUACAAGGUUUAGUCGUAUGGAUGCAAGGUAAUGGAUUUGGGUGAUCAAACACAUCAAACGAAAGUCAAGAGGACAUGCACAAGAUACUAGAAGCCUUUAAAGCAACCCAAGACAUCAUAAAAGAGAAGAUGGAUAAAGACACAUGAAGAAUUGAAGCAAAACGGUGAAGAUUGCUCACAGUCGCAUAACAUAGUAUCAUACUAUAAUCACAGUCGCAUAUCAGAGUAUCAUAUAGUGAUCACAGUCGCAUAUCAUAGUAUUAUACGAUGAUCAUAGUCGCAAUCAUAGGAUGAAUCGGGGGUUGGUUCAGUUUGAAGUCAACAUGCAUCAUAGGAUAAUACGAUGAUCACAGUCGCAAUCAUAAGAUGAAUCGGUGUGAUCGAUUCAGUUCGGCAUCGGCUCAGAUUUGGCUUUGGAAGUUUUUAUGCAUACACUAAAUGAUACCAUGACUACAAUACCUGGAGCAUAGGGUCAAUCGGUGAUCAUAGGAUGAUACGGUGAUAGCUAUAAAGGGGUCAUAGUACAAAUCGGUGAUCACUGUUUUUGUGACCGGUGGAGCAACAACUAGUUUCUUGGCUUGAGGCUAUAAAUACCCCAUUGCUCAGCCAUUUCAAGGGUGUUAGAGUUUGGAAAAGCUAUAGGCUUGGUUUCUGCAUGUACACAAGUGCUCUAUCCACCAAAGUGCUCAAGGAAAGAUUAAGGCAAUUAGUAUAAGGCUUAGGUCUUGAUUAGUGCUAGUUUAGGCCUAUUAGCGCAUUGCUUUAGGAAUUAGCCUAGAGUUAGGCAAUGUUUGCAUAACUCUUUGUUAUACAGUACUUGCACGCACCAAGAGUUGUGAAUCCAAGGCUUGUAAGUCUUGCAAGACCCUUCAAACCGUGUUUGUGGAGUGGCCGCUGGUGCAUGUGAUGGGAGAAGAGGCUCUUGGCGUUUUUGCCAAAGCUCUACACCCUAAAGAGUGGCGAGGAGCAUCUGGGAGAGGCUAGGUGGAGACCCACUUGCGCGUGGGGAAGGCCCGUCAGCUAUUUUAUAGAGUUACUUGAUAGGGGAGUUUAUGCCCUUGCGCGGGCAUUCCCUUUAAGAGGGGCUUAAAAAACAAGUGCUAGUGGAAAGUUUUGCUUUCUGAUACCUCAGUAAAAAUCAUCGUGUCACCGUGUUGGGAGUUAUUUUUUGCCCCUUUACAUUCUGCUUUUACCUUUCCUAAAAUUUCCAUAUGCAGUUUAUAGGAUUGGAACCUAGGGUGCAAUUUUUUUUAAUAUAGCAACACAUGGAAAAACCUAAUAUAUAAAUUGGAAUAAAUUUUUAUAUAUGCUUAGAGCCUUAGUUUUUAGAACACCGAAUUCACCCCUUCAUGUGGCGUCACGGUCCCUUCAACAAUACCAAACUUAUUUUGUAUCAAUACAGGUGCAUUAGUAUUAUUUGGUUAAAACAAGCUAUUCAUUCAACUUGUAAGUCAAAAUUGGUACUAAUUAAGUCUAUUUUUUUUUGAAGCAAUAAUUAAGUCUAUUUAUGAUUCUCCAAACAUCUUUAUUAUCCCAAUUUAUAAAAUUAUAUUAUUUAUUUUUGUAAUAGCAUCAUACGCUAAAUUUUAGAUAUUAUUAGCAUGCUUAAAUUAUCAUAUAUUGGUUAAUAUCAUCGUUGAUCCUAACUUCAAUGUUGAAUAAUGCUUAGCUCAUGAGCCAAGCGUGCGGCCUCAAACUUUCGAACAAUUUAAGUGAAACUUGAUUUUUAGCUCGUCAACCUUAACGAAUUGAGAUGAUUCGUACCCACCACUAGAUAGGUGUCAAUUGUCAUAGCCCGAAUUUCAAAUACACUGAUAAUUAUCGUUACUUGCAUCAUGGAAUUCACAGGAAAAAACAAAAUUAAUUUUAUGAAUUAACUGCUGCAUUGACUUUUUUUUGAAGAAAAUUAAAAUUUCACCAAAGAAAAUAUGACAGUUGACCUGCAAGCUUUUUCUUAUUUUAUACACCGAAUGUUAGGUGAACACAUGUUGGUUUGAGUUUUCUGGACGUUAGUCUAUUUAUAGCACCACAAAAGUUAGCAUAAUUUUUAAAAGCUUAUACGGUACUCUUUGUGAGAGAGCAGAUGGAGUAGAAUUAGAAUUUGUUGGGAGCAGAGGAAGAAGACAAGACUCGUGAAAAAAAAAAACAUACCACGACUGAUAUGCCUCACAUAUGGCAGGUAGGACCCAUUAAAAACUGGUGCUAACGGUGUUAAGAUGGCAUUCAUCCCAUCCCUCUCAACCUCUCCAAACAAAUAAAAAACUAGAUCAGACCCAUCUUCCUAACCAAACACGAGAUGGGUUGAACCCAACCUAAAAAAAAGGGAUAGAGCCAACCCAUUCCACUUGGUCCCAAAACUAAACACAUGCUUAGUGUCCAUAGACCCACCUGUCGGUCUCUCUCUUCUUUUAUCCCACCCGUUGCUCUGCUCCUGUACAAAGCGGGCGCGCCACGUGGCAGGCGGCCAUUGCUGAAGCUGGGCGACCCACCAGCCACGCCCGAACCUCCUCCUGUUCCCCUCCGGACUACCCUGUUAUCCUUCAUAUCUUCUCUCCCUAGUUACCCAGGGACCUCCUUCGCCCGUUCCCUCUGCCUCAGCCUGCUGUCUCCCGCGCGAACCAAGCUGACGUGCACGCGACCACCACCGUCUCCACCGUUGCUCCGCACUGGAAGCCUCCUCUACCCAAGCCCAGCCACCGGUGCAUGAGCUUUUCCGCGACAAGGUACAUAUACCAUAGCUUUGCUUCGUGCGCUGCUGGCUACAUCAACUCCGGGAGUGUUUGAAUCCAUGGACUAAUUUUUAGUUCGGGUCACAUCGGAUGUUUGAAUACCAAUUAGAAGGACUAAGGGCCUGUUUGGGACUGCUCCGCUCCAAAAAAAUAGCUCCACUCCACCAACUUCAGGAAAAUAGGGAGCUAUGUACCUGUUUGGCUACCGGAUGCAAAUUUAACUCCAGGAAUUGUAGGAACUAAUGGGAAUAAUCACUCUUGCCCUUGGGUGGGUUUUUCCCCACGUUACAGUACCGCGCUACAGUGAGCACGAGGUCUGGAACAGUGAGCGUUGGCGUCUAAUCUUUCUACCUUUGCACCAAGACCAAGUUGCCCAUUCAAUUGCAACCAAAAAAUGUUUUCAUGGACCAUGGUGUACGUACCCAUUGAUGGGAAAAAGAUGAUCAGUUGCUAUCAGUUUAUCUGUCAACUAGGUUGACGUGAACUGUACACACACAGUACAUACCAAAACAUUGAUUUAAGAUAUGUACAAUCGGUUGCAAUUCAGUCACAAUAUAUGCAACAAGUAACAAAUAGCACAUGGAAUACUAACCACACUAACAUUAACUAGUUCCAAGCAAGAGAAAGGACGGUGGCCAACUCAUCAUGGAAUACAUCCAUAUUUGGAGCAUUGGCAUUCGAAGUAGACCGGUCGGACGCUAAGGGAGAAACUGCAUAUUUGUUAUACCUUUUCGGGAUAGUAGGUAUAUAAUUAGGAUCAUGAUCAAACCGAUCAAAGUCAAUGUUUUCACCUCCAUGUUCACGGAUAUAAUUAUGAAGGACCAUCGCAGCCACAACAAUCAUCUUUUGCUUGUACAUGGGGUACGGUGGCAUCUUGUAGAGAAUUUACCACUUCAGUUUUAAUAGUCCAAAUGAUCACUCAAUAACAUUGUGAAUAGAUGAGUGAACAUGAUUGAACCUUUCAGUGGGAGUCUUUGGUUCCAUACCCCUAUGCCAUUCAGGUAAAUGAUACCUUUCACCCUUGUAAGGAGCUAGAUACCUAGGGCGAUUAGGAUAACCCGCAUCAACAACAUAGUAUUUGCCUGCAAAAUGAGAAGAUAAUACAAUUUAUUAUUUGUUCAAUAUUGGGACAAGUAAAACAUAAAUCGUACAAAGGCGAUGUUGCCUUGUGGAGGAUGUGGGAAGAAUUCUUCAUCCACUCUAAUUGCAUUGUACAUCACACUAGUUUCAUGCAUAGCCCUGGGCUGACCCGUGGAUACAUAAGUGAAACGCAUGUCAAAAUCACAGAUAGCUAGAACAUUUUGGGUUGCCAUUCUGGUUUUCCCAAUUUAUCUUACCAUAUCCUCAGGUGACAAAGCAACACGGAUAUGAGUGCCAUCAAAAGCACCUAUGCAAUCUUUGAAGUGUGGAUAUACACGUCUAUCAUCUCUUAUCCUUUUAUGGACAGUAGGGAAGUUUGAUUUUUUUGCUCUAAUGAAAUCCAUUUCCAUAGCAAUCAAACAUAAUAAGUCCUCAUCAAAUUUUCUACUUAUAGUUUCACUAGAGUGGUUGAAUCUAUUUUGAGCUCUCCUAUUAGACCCAUUUCCACCCAAAGUGUAUAAUAAAAUCGCCAACAUCUCAAGUGUGUUCAUAUGCAUGGAAGGUUUAAGCUCAUAUCUUCCCACCAAUAAAUCAUGAAGGUCCAUAAAUAUAUCCUCAUUCAUAUGAAGUUGUCUAUGGCAUUCACCCGCAUUCCUUAUUGUCUCCAUCAACCAUCCCAUGCCACUAAGGUUUGAUAUUCUUGGUGGGUUUUUAUCUAGAUAAAGAUCGACGUAAAUUUGAGCUACUUGAGCACCACCAAGAACUAAACUCCAAAACUUCUCACUCUCCUCACUACUAUCACUCUCACUGUCGGACACCUGCAAUUUGACAUGCAACAAAAUGACAUGAAUAUAUUUUGACUAGACAUGACAUAGACAUGAAACAAAAUGAUGUAAAUACACCAUUGUUGACAUUAAUACAAAAGGUUCAAUGAUGACAAAGUUCAAGUGACAUUAAUAAAAUAACAUGAAAAUAGCGUCCAAAUAACCAAAAAGUGAUAAAGUUCAAAUGACAUAAAAAGAACAUGAAAAGGACGUCCGACAACACAAAUGAUGGUUUUCAAUUCCCGUAUUUGGCGUUGAACUUCCUCAUAAGCCAACCGAAUCUAAUGUCCUUCGUUGGAAGGGUCAUGAACAUGUCCCUUUGAUCUUUCUUCACAAACAACUCAGUGGCAAUGAAAUGCUCAUUGGUACCAUACCUCGCUCCACAGUCCAAAACAAGGUCCAUUACUUGUUCAACAGUAACUUCGCCAACCUUCCUUGAUGUGAAAGCCUUGACUUGUUCAGCUAUCUCACUCAAAUUUUCCUGAAUCACAAGUGUUAUUCCUGUUUUUUUCUUUUAUUUUCUAUGACAACCAUUGAUCUUCCUUUUCCAUUGACAAAGGAUGGAGACUGAAGGACCAAAACAGGUGACAAGAAGGGGGGGGGGGUUGAAUGGGAGCUGAUUCAAAUUUUCUCAAAGAACCUCAGCUAUAGUCCCAACCCAAUCCACAAACCUUUCUUCUAGCAACGAUCAAGAUCACGUAGUCACAGCGAACCUACUAACCUUAGGAACAAUGCUAGGAAGGCUCAAAAGCAACACGAAAGCAAACACAAAAGAUUUAUGCAAAAUCAAUCUCAAAACACCUUCCAGGCAUCGAAACUUCUGACCUUUUAUCAGAACUUCCAAGAGUGAUAUCGGAACUUCCGACCCUGUAUCAAAACUUCCAUUACCUAUUGGAAGUAUUGAGAAACUAUCGACAGGGACUUUUAGAUUUUCAAAAAUUAACUCAUCGGAACUUCCGGUCCUGUGUCAGAACUUCCGGUACCUAUCGGAAGUAUUGAGAAACUGCUGACAGGGACUUUCAGGUUUUCAAAAAUUAACUCAUCGGAGCUUCCAAACCUGUGUCGGAACAUUCGUCGCGUCGGAACUUCCUAUACAGUGUCGGAACUUCCUACAGCUCAGAAAAACAGCCCAAAAACUUUAGGUCAAUACUUCAAAAUUUGAUCAAAUAACCUCCAAAAUUCACGAAAUUUUAACCAUAGCUCCGCAACAAAAUUCCAAAGUUAUUCCCAAAAUAUCUCCUCAAAAAGAUCAAGACUUCCCCUUUGAAUUCAUGAUUUUGAUCAAGAACACAAGAAAGGAGUGGUUUUCGGGGAAACGCAAAAUUAAGCCGAAUCCGUGGAAGAUUUGAGAGGAGAUCCCUGCAAAGAUGUUAGCAAGGAACUCAACAGCAUAUUCCCGCAACAAACCUCGAAGGAUUUGGACUCAAACGCGAAGAAUGAAAAUCCCACGAAAAAUGCUCCAAAAAUACCAAAAAAGAAAAACGCUCGGGAAUCAAAGAUUUGGCACGAAUCAAGACAUCUAUUAAAACCAAAUCACAAGGAAAUCAUCUUUACAAGAUGAGGACUAGCCUUCUCCCUUCAUCCACCUACUAAAGAUGAAGAAAUCAAGAGAAAAGGAGCAAAUCACCCUCUAAUCUCCCUCUCUCCUCUCUCACUAAGCACUUGGCUAGUCUUUAAGCAAAUGAUUUAGGAUUUUCUAGAGAGGUUACUGAAAUGAACAGCCAUCCACCUAUAUUUAUAGUCCGGGAUGGAUUACCAAACUACUCCUACAACUAAAACUAGGAUAAUUACCCACGUAGGGACAUUUUGGUCCAAGUUUUUCUGCGCUCAUCAGACGGACACGCCACCUUCACGACUUUGCUUUGCCUCGACGCAAGCUUCGCGAUGAUACCACGUGCCCUCCUUCUUGAAGCUCCGUUCGCACUGGGCUCGCCCCCAGUUUUGAGACCCAAACCAGCGAACCUGCCUGCGAGGUGGUUUUGAGGCGCAAACCACCCAAACCGUCCAUUUCCACUUGGCCGCCACGUGACCUCCUUGAUGUCGACAUGUGUCGGGUCUCCACUAAGCCUUUGACGCCUCCAAGUCUUUUGCUCCCGGCUCCCGGGCCACCUACUUGACUCACCUCCAUCCCGCUUGACUCGACCGAUGCCGUCUCCAUCCCAUCAUGUUCUCUUGCUCUUCUGUGCACCAUGUGGACCGCCUAUGAGUCCGCUUGGACUCCUUAGGUCCAUCGGUCCAAGCCUACUUGCGUUCAUCCUUCACCGCCCUUGGUCCAUUGACAUGAACCUUUCGCUUGACCUUCAUCGCACUUCAUCGGCCGUCACACUGCAUCCUACACCAGCACAUCACAAGCCAAGAGCAACAUCAUUCCAACACAACGUUUCAAUCACUCAUCAUCCAAGGGUGACUACCAUUGGUCCUCAAUCUCCCCCUUGAUGAGUGCAUUGACAACACCCAACAAAAAUUCAUAGUUGAAAAAGAAGAAAGGAAGAAACUCAAAAUGAAAAGUCUCAGUCCCCUAAGAUAAGGGCAAUAGCUCUACACAGCUGGGACAAAAACACAUGAUCCCUCAACAAGAGGUAGAAAUAGCUCAACACCAAUCAUGUGAAGAUCAAAUGCUCAAACUAAAUGCCAGCUCCUCAAGAAGAGGUAAAAAGCUCCAUGCAACUGGCAAAAGAGCACAAGAGCAUAACAAGCUCACAAAUAUAGCACAAGAGCUCACAAAACUCCCCCUGAACAUAUGCACUCCCCCUGAAAACAUGCAUACAUGCAAUCUCUCCCUUUUGACAGAUGAAUGAGUUUGUGUAAAUUUCUCUCCCCCUUGUUUACAAUUCAAACAUCAAGACAAGCAUGAGAGCACAAAAUGCACGUCAUGAAAUGCAUAAUCUACCAAGCUUCUCAAAUGUACCACAAAAUACUCUCAAAGGCUACAAGGGAGAAAAGGCUUGGUGGAUGAGAAAGAGCAAGAGCAUCAUCAUCAAGAGGAUAUUAUGUUACAACCAGGAGGUGAAGCAAGUAUCCAGUUUAGCAAUGUGUAAAAAGAUCACCACAUGAGCAAGCACCUAGUUAAGAAUUACCCAAGCAAGAAGAAACUAGGCCAUCAAGAGCUCAUACAAGAAACAUACAUUCUUAACAAGAGAUCAUUGCAAGCACCCACAUAUGCACCACUAGUCAUGUCUAGGCUUGUUGAAACCAUGUGCCUACUUCUUUCUAGCAGACAUCAUGUAACAACUAAGCAAUCAAGAAUAUGAACAUUAAGCAUAAACACUUGGUGAAUUUGUGAAUUUUAUCAUUUUUCUUUUCAUUAUUCACACAAAGCAAAGUACAUGAAGUGCCUUUGCGGCACAAAGAAGUCAUGCUUCCCUAAGGGAUGCAUCAUGAGCUAAAUAUUUGCAAUGAUACCUAGAUCUUUGACCCAAUUGAAAAGAACAUGAAUUCCAACCACAAGCUAAAUAUGGAACCAACAUUCAAACAAGGGCAAAUCAUAACCAAGGAUCUACUUAUGGGUUAUAAGCAAGUUAAUAUAGUAGAAUUUAGCAUUGGAUUUUAAAAACAGUUAACUCAUCAUGUAUACAAUAUCAUCAAGAGCAUAACUGCACAUUGCAUCAAAGAUUACCAACCAAGGCAGUAGCUCACAAGUAGCAUAAGAUAAUAGUCACGGCAUAUAAGAGAAACUCAUCUAGUGCAAUAUGAUACAGAUGUAAUGAAAGCCAAACUAGCUUACUACAAAGAUGCUAAUGAGAAAAAUGACUAUACAAAUAUAAUACAAGAGAAGCUCCAAAACUCAACUCAGAAAGGAAAGCACAUACCCAACUCCCCCCGCAAACGAGCAAAAGUGGCUUGAUCAAGGGGCUUGGUGAAGAUGUCAGCGAGUUAGUUUUGGGUAGUAACAUAGCCAAGGUCAAUGUCCCCUCUCUCAACAUGAUGUCUCACAAAAUGAUAUCUCACAUCUAUGUGUUUUGUUUUUGAGUGGAGAACGCGGUUCUUGGCUACACUAAUGGCACUCGUGCUGUCACAAAGAAGAGGUACAUGAGAAAAAAUCCAAACCAAAAUCUCUCAAAGUGAAAAUCAUCCACAACAGCUAGGAACAGCAACUAGCAGCAGCAACGUACUCGACUUCGGUGGUAGAUUGAGCAACACUAGACUGUUUGCGGGAAGACCAAGAGACCAAUGAUGAACCAAGAAAUUGGCAAGUGCCAGAAGUGGACUUGCAAUCCAAUCGACACCCAGCAAAGUCCGCGUCGGAGUAUCCGCGGAGCGUGAGUGUUGAGGAGGCAGAGUACCACAAACCAAAUUCAGGUGUGAAGCGGAGGUACCUCAUGAUUCUCUUCACUACCUGAUGGUGAGAUGUCCUCGGUGAAGCCUGAAAAUGGGCGCACAGAUAUACAAAGAAGUGUAUGUCCGGCCUCAUCACCGUCAAGUAGGUAAGGGAGCCGAUCAUGCUCUGGUACUCCUUCUGGUCCACCGGUUCUCUGUCUUCAUCGCAUCCAGUGCUGUCAUCGUCGCCAUGGGUGUCGACAGUGGCUUGGCAUCAGCCAUGUCAAACUUUCUCAGCACAUCCUUCGUGUACUUCCCUUGCUGCACAAAGGUUCUAUCCUUGCUUUGCUUGAUUUGUAGCCCAAGGAAGAAGAUCGGCUCACCCAUCAUUGACAUCUAGAAUUCCCUACUCAUGUCAUCUGCAAACUUGGCAACCAAAGCAUGAGAGGAACCACCAAAGAUAAUAUCAUCCACGUAAAUCUGAAUAAUCAACAACUCAUUGCCUUACCUGAGGAGAAAGAGAGUUUUAUCCACUGACCCUAUUUCAAACCCAUUCCAAGCAGAAAGGAUUUCAACCUAGCAUACCACGCUCUGGGUGCUUGUUUUAGGCCAUAGAGAGCUUUCUGGAGUUUGAAAACACGGUCAGGAUGCUUAGGAUUCUCAAAACCAGGGGGUUGUUUCACAUACACUUACUCUUUAAUAAAACCAUAAAGGAAGGCACAUUUCACAUCCAUUUGGAAGAACAUGAAACCUUUAGCCAUAGAGAAGGCUAGAAGGAUUCUAAUCACUUCCAAACGGGCAAUAGGGGCAAAGACUUCCUCAUAAUCAAUUCGCACUUUUUGGCUAAAAUCUUGGGCAACCAACCUCACUUUGUUUCUCACAACCAACCCAUCCUGGUCUUGUUUAUUUUUGAAAACCCAUUUUGUUCCUAUAGGGUGGCAAUUUGGAGGUGGUUCAACUAAAACCCAAAUCCUGUUUCUCUCAAAGUUUUCUAACUCCUCAUGCAUGGCAUUGACCCAGUUUGAAUCAGCAUGUCCAAUAUCUUGGGGGUUCAAAAGAGGCAACAAAUGCAGAAUGUGCAAAGUGUGAAAUCUGCCUAGAGCUGUGCCUAGUGGUGUGCUCAUGCAAGUUCAUGAUCAUUUGCUGUGGAGGAUGGUUACGCUGAAUGUGUCGUGGAGCCCCUCGCUCUGAAAUCGCCUCCCUCUCAACAACAGUCGGAUAACUCUGAUCUUCUUCUUCAUCAUCAUGUAGUAGUACUUGUUGAUGGCUUGUUAUAGUGGGUGUAGGAGUAGGUCCAUCAACCAUCAUAGUCGAAGCCGAAGGUAUAGGUGCAGCAGCUGGAGCAUGACCAGUCUCAUCAUCAUCUUCAUCACCACCACCAACAUGCCCUUCCUCUUCCUCAAAAAUGCUUUGCCCCAUUUCAUGUUCACUUGAAACUUCAAACACAGGGGUUGUGCAAGGCAUAGUUUCAUCGAAGGUAAUUUCACAAGUUUCUACAAUCCGGUUAGUUUCAAGGUUAAGCACACGAUAAGAAUAACUAUGAGAGGCAUAACCAAGAAAAAUACCAUAUGUAGAACGAGAUUCAAAUUUGUCCAAAUUACCUUGCUUGAGACGCACUUGCAGCCAAACACUCUCAGGUGACUUACUUUGGGGGUGCGUCGAUGCAUCAGCUCAUAUGAGGUUUUCUUCAGGAAAGCUCGCAAGAAGAUUUGAUUGGAAACAUAGCAACCAGUGUUGACGGCUUCAACCUAAUAUUUUGUAGGAGUCCUAUGCUCAUCAAGCAUCGUCCUAGCCAUUUCACAAAGCGUUCGAUUCUUUCGUUCAACAACACCAUUCUGAGGAGGGACAUAAGGUGAUGAAAACUGGUGUUCAAGACCAAGAUCAUUGCAAAAGGCUUUAAAACGAGCAUUCUUGAAUUCUAUGCCAUUGUCACUACGAAUAGCUCUCAUGGCAUCUGUAGGUCGCUCAUUUUUCAAUCUCAAGAUCAAAUCUCGAACAAAAGGAAAUGCCUCAUCCUUAGAUUCCAUGAAGAAAACCCAUGAAUACCUCGAAAAAUCAUCAACAAUCACAAGCACAUACCACUUCUCACCAACUAAGCAAACGCGAGCUGGACCAACUGUAUCCAUGUGCAAUAGCUCCCCUGGAUUCUCAGUCAUCACCUGAUUCAGAGGUGGGUGAGAAGCGACAACUAUUUUGCCAUGAUGACAUGGAGCACAAAUAAGAUCCUUCUCAAAUUUUAGCUUAGGCAAACCUCGAAUAAGAUCAAGAACACUCAAGCGGGAAAGCAAAUCAAAGCUCAAAUGACCCAAUCUUCUGUGCCACUUCCAAAGCUUAGAAGAUGAACCAGCAACUAGACACCGAGAGAGACCAAAUGACUUAGAGAAAUCAACUCGAAACACUUGACCCUUGGGGACGAUCAUACACACAAGAUCACCUCGAGAGUCUAAAAUCCGUGUGGCCCCUUGCUUGAAAUGAACCUCAAAACUAUCAUCAAGCUGUUGCAAAACUGAAAGCAAAUUGAAGCCGAGGGAAUCCACAAGAGCAACUCGCUUGAGCAUGAAAUUUUCACUCACCUUGAUGGCACCCUUGGACAAUACCUUGCCUCUUCUAUUAUCCCCUAAAGUGAUGUACUCCUUGGUCAUGAUCGGAGUGAGGCUGGAGAACCAUCUGUGAUCACCAGUCAUGUGUCGAGAGCAACCGGAAUCAAUGAGCCAUGUGUUCUCCAGGCCUCCAACCUGCUCAAACAAAAGGAGACCAUGGAUGAGUAAAUGUCUCAACACUGGGGUUAGUAAAACAAGUAGAAUACCAGUGUUGAACCAUUUACUCAAGAGUGGGGUUAGCAAAAUCAACCAUCUCACGUCUCACUGGAGGACUACGGCCACCAUGAGGGGGAAAAUGUGGUCCGUUGUACCUCUGAGACUCAAAACCACGGUCAUGCUGUCCUAAGUCGUAUUGAUCAUGAUGAGGAGCAUGCCUGGCAAACUACAAGAAGGAGUUGAACGCACACUAUCCACAUAACAAGGUGGAGGAGCUGUUCUAGGUGAUGUACACCAUGAGAGGGGUGGUACAUGUCCUUGUUGGCCCACGCACAUGCAUCAUCAAGUUGAAUCUGUAAAGCAGGGCAAGAUUUACAAGCACCAAGUAAAAUAGGUCUAGUCUUCAUCUAAAGCAGCUCUAGUCAAAUCAAGUUCAUCUACAAGCAAAACAUGCUUAGAUUGCAAAGAAGCUAUACUAUCCAUGUGAACAGCACAUUCAUCACACUCAACAACAUCAGAAAUAGUAGGAGCAGAUUUGAUCAUAUCUAUUUGUUGACACAAAAUCUUGAUGAUGGUGGACCCUGCAUCACCACAUGAGGACCUAGGAGAUCUGCUUAACUUCAGUGCAGAAUCCUAAUCAGUGUGCGUGCUGUGCACGAGCGUGCCAGUCAGUUUAACCAUUCAAUUGACAAGGUAGAGAUAAUCCUUCUUGGUGAGGGUGAGUAGCUCAUUGGCUAUCCAGCCGAUUCAACACAAUUGGCGAGAACCAUCGGUUGGAGAGCCGAUAGGAGACAGAGCGCCGUCGAGUUCUUGACCAUAGCCAGAGCCACAAGCUAAUGAGAUUCAAACUAACGUCGCUACCAAUAUUUUUAGGUGAAACCACAGCGAUGCGCUCGGUAGUUAGCAGCUUAGAAACACUCAGCAGGACGUCAAUUUAAACCCCGCCAGCUAAUGAAUCUAAUCACAAUGAAACUCAAUUCCGACAGCACUGGAGGGGUAACCAAGAUUAAGAUGCAACAGGCUAUUAAAAAUAGAUCUAUCGUCUAUUCCGAUAGAAUUAAUAACAAUUAAUAUGUCGUAAAUGGCAAGAUGAUAGAACAGAUUAAUAUUAGCUGAUGCAAGCUUAAUCAAGACGGGAUAAUUGGUGAAUAUCGUAGAUCGAGACAGAAGCGAUUCACCGUAAGUUAAAGAUCCAAGAUACUCGAUAACUGGUAGAUGAAACUAGAUGAAACCACAGCGAUGCGCCCGGUGGUUAAAGCCUAGAACACCUGGUGAUGGAACUUGCAGCUCGCCGGAGGUCCAGGUCGAUGCAGCCCAGCUUGCUAGAAGGAACUCGUCAAGAAGCUACAUUACUCCUACUUCUAGGGCAAUGGCGUGAAGCCAUAUAGGUAAAUAUGUUGUAUUAUUGAUCGUGUGAUAAUUCUUUACAAUGGCCACAUCCCUUUAUAUUUAUAGGAUGGACGUUGCAUAAUUGGCAUCUAACGACGCACAAGGCAAGUCACGUACACAAUCUUUUCUAAUAAAAAACUCUAUCUCUAACUAACCCAACUCUAUCUCUAAAAUAUUUUAUUCUAUGAAACAACCUCCCAUACGUGGGCUUCCCUUGGAUGCCAAACUGUUGGAACUUUUGCAUCAUCGGUCGAUUCCUUCCUUUCAUAGCAUACUUCCUACGUUCGGUGUCAACACAGGCCCCCCAGUUUUGAAUCAAAGCACUCUCCAACUUAGCCUUAAGCUCAAUUUGUUCACGAGCAACCUUUUUAAUCAACUUAUCUUGAUUUAGCAAGCAAUCAUUAAGUUCAUCUACUGCUAUGGCAAGUUGUUCAGGAGUAGGUUUUACCUUUAUUUUUGUGUCAGAGUUGCUUUCCUUGUCAUCCUUCUUGUUGUCAGUGUUGAGAGCCAUGACGCAGUAUCCGUCAUGGUUCUUGCCGGAGUAGAAGCAGAGGCCGUUUAAGUUCUUGCCAUCCUUCUUCUUCGUCUUGCGGUUGUCAUCCUCCUCACUUGAGCUUGAGUCAGUGUGGUCGUCGGUGUCGGAGUUGACAUCGCUGAGAGAGCGAUGAAGGCGAGCGCUUUGGCCUUCUUGCUGUACUCCUUCUUCUCACGAUCAAUGUACUUCUUCUUCUUCUUAGUGCCAUCCUUGUUCUUGUGCUUGUUGUAGUCGUACCCGCUCUUGGACUUGUUCUUGCCGGGGCAGUCGGUGGCGAAGUGACCUGGCUUGCCACAAUCGAAGUAAUUGUUGUUGUUCCUUCGCCAGUUCUUGCGGUUGUCGUUGAAGCGCAUGAACCGCCUCAUGAUCAAGGCAAGCUCCUCAUAAUCAAGAACCUCCAGCUGCUCCUCUGAAUCAGAAACCAAGGAAGACAAGGCAAACGACAUAGAAGAAUAGUUAUCCAAGGACGUAGGCUGUCCAGAGCCUGACAUGAGAGCCAUACUAUGUGGAUUAGUAGGGCUCCCUUGUUUUGCUUGGAGCCUCUUGUCAACCUUUGUCGACUUCAGCUUGGCAAAGAGCUCAUCGGUGGAAAGAGUCUCAUAGUUUGUGGACUCGAUGAUAGCAUCAACCUUCGUACCCUACACCUCAUGAUCCAAUGCAUGCAGGAGCUUCAAAGCUCUAUCAUGAUCGGUGUAGGGAAAGUUGGUAGUGUUUGCUUUCAUCUUAUUCACAAUGGCAAGAAAUCGCUGGAACAAAGCAUCAGCAGACUCACCGGGCAAAUGGACAAAAUUUUCAUACUCACACCGGUAAGUCUCAAAGAGUUUUGCCUUCACUUGAGUGUUUCCCUCAUGGAAACUCUAAAGUCGGGACCAAAUCUCAUGAGCUAGAGAUAGAUCCUCAACACGGUCAAACUCAGCACGACACAUACUCACAAACAAGAUAUUAACCGCCUUGUUGUUGGCAUGAUACUUAUCCCUGUCAAGCGAAUAGAUGGGCUCUCAGACCCCUGCGCCCUUACUAUUAAGAUGGGCUCUCAUGCGAGUUUUCCAGUACGGGUAAUCGGAGCCAUCAAAGUAAGAUGCAGUGGUCGAGGAAGAAUGCUCAAAGGUCACCAUAAUGGGUUUCGAAACCGAAUCGGGUAUGGAGAAACCUUAACCGGCUCUGAUACAAAUUGAAGGACCGAAACAGGCGACCAGGGGGGUGGAUGGGAGCUGAUUGAAAUUUUCUCAAAGAACCUCAACUAUAGUCCCAACCCAAUCCACAAACCUUUCUUCUAGCUAUGAUCAAGAUCACGUAGUCACGGUGGACCUACUGACCUUAGCAACAAUGCUAGGAAUGCUCAAAAGCAACACGGAAAGAAACACAAAAGAUUUAUGCAAAAUCAAUCUCAACACACCUUCCAGGUAUCGGAACUUCUAACCUUUUAUCGAAACUUCCAAGAGUGAGAUCGGAACUUCCGACCUUGUAUUGGAACUUCCGAUACCUAUCGAAAGUAUUGAGAAAUUGCCGACAGGGACUUUUGAGUUUUCAAAAAUUAACUCAUCGGAACUUCCAGUCCUGUCAGAACUUCCAGUACCUAUCAAAAGUAUUGAGUAACUAUCGACAGGGACUUUCAGGUUUUCAAAAAUUAUCUCACCGGAAUGUGGCGGAACACCUCGGAUUAUCUUAACUAAAGCACGGUUAAGUCGCUUGACACGCGAUACUCAUGCCUUAAUCAAAUUAACUCGAUGUGCCGUCGGAUUUCAUCCUAUUUAACCACUUAACAGGAUCGAGUUAGCAUGGCUCACACGAAGGUGAGUGGUUCCAAAGAAUACAACAGAUCCACCAGUUGAUUAACAAUUUAUGUCACACUAGUUAAAAAAUCAGAGUUUUACAAGUUAUGAAAGAAACAACAGAAGGCAAAAACUUCGCAGAAGCUAUCGUCGGGGUUGGAUGUCCCUAGUGAGGCCAGACAGGACAUCAAUGAUCCCAUUCCCCGCCGUCCGAGGAAGGAUCCCACUCAACCGUCCACCCAGGAGGAAGCUGGGGCGGCCAAGUGCCAACAGCAAGCUCGGAAGUUUCAACAUCACCUGAAAAGAGAGCCACAAACAAGGCUGAGCUGUUAAGCUCAACAAGACUUAACCGACUGGUGGGAAAACUACUCCACCACGUCUAGACAUGCAAGGCUUUUUGGCUGAGGGGUUUUAUUUGCCAAUCGCAACUAUGUUGGUUCUUACUUUCAAAGUUUUAGCUCAGAUUCUAAGUUCAUUAACCAGUCUACAUUUACAACUUACACUAAGCAAGCAUAGAUCCAACAUUAUGUAUACAAACUUAACAUCAAGACCAUGUCAUCAUCAUACUCCUUCAUUACUCAGUGUAGCAUAGAGAUAAAGCAGUCUCAAAAUGUGAGAGGCAGACGAAUCGAUUCGAGUUCUUUAACCAUGCAUGGUGAACCUAACCUCACGACAUCCGCGCACCACCGAGGGUCGCUUCCUGUGUCGGCCUUCCCCAUCAAUCCCCUAACCCGUGUCGGGCCCACUUCCCUUGGUGCAAGGUUCCAUAGAUCCGGCCUCUGCCGUUCUGUGACCACACUUGCCACCACGUGCGGCCGCAGGGGAACUUCAUUCCAGAGACAGUGGAUUGAACCGCUCAUGUUUAGGUUCAAUCAGGUACUAGGCUUCCCCAUCCCAUAAUGGGUAUGAGAUUAGUACUUUCAAACACUUGAUCACGAACACCACCACUGUCGGGCCUUAACAGAUUAAGUAAACAGACAGGGCGAUCAGCCGACCACCAAAAGAGUUAACCAUAACCCUACCCCGUCCAUUGUCCUUAUAGUUGUAACAGAAGAGAACAUCCAACUCCUAUAACUCACGAGUGAUAGAAAAUCACUCGACUUUUACCAAGUCCUCUUAAGCAUUGCCACUACUCGAACCCAACAGACUAGUGUUCAGAUCAAAGGAACUAUGUCAUGCAUCUAGGGUUGCAAACAACUCCUAUACGUAAAUGCACAUUCAUGAGAAGGAAGGCAUGUCCGAGUUUAGAAAAUUGGAUUCAUGCUCCGGGGCUUGCCUUCAAGCGGAGUGGAGGGAAACUGGUCUUCAGCUGGCGUUGCUUCGGCUUCUGGGAUUGGCGGUUCUGCUACAGCUCUAUCUUCAGGCACCGGGUGUAGCUCGUAGGUGCCGUCGCCGAGAUGUAACUCUACACGAAUGCAAAUGCAGGAGUUAGCGUAUAGACGGUUAUUUCAACAACACUUGCAAGUUAAAGCUCAGACACUUGUAGCAAAGCUACAGAAAGGGUGGGGGAGUUCAACUUUAGUUGGUGGAGAACAGGAUAAAAGGGUCGGAUGGGGGUAAACUUGUGAUCUGACCCUUAAAGUUAAGGAAUAACUGUGCCGGGGUCCUCAGACUUAACAUAGAGAAGUCCCCAAUAUUUUACACAGAUACCCUCAGGUCAAGGAAAAAGAUACAGCCGAGCCGUCGGGCGAGGUGGAUAAGGGUCAGCGAACAGACAGGGUCGGGCGAGAUGGAAAAAGGGGGCGGGCGAACCAUGAAGGGGUCGGCAGCUUACCUUCAGGUCUAUAGGUAAAGCUUUGGGGUCGGGAAGGAACAGACUUGGGCGGAAGGACCUAAGCACUAAGGCUUGGGCGGCGGCGAGGUUUGACCGUGCUCCGGCAAUGGCGGUGCUUCUUGUGGGCAACAAGAAAGCUCUAGCACAGCGCGGAGGAGCAGACGGCUGGUGGGUUGGGGAGAAGCGGGUUUAAGCGGAGAGGGGAACUUCUCAAGAGCUUAGCGGGAGUGCUCAAGUGCGCUCAGAGUAUGGGCGGCGAAACAGCGAUGGCGAAGGAACUCCGGUGGGACUCUGGUAUUCCCUUUUAUAGCUGCGUGGAGGAGAGAGAUUUCGAGCAGCACGAAGACCGGGAAGAGAAAGGAUGAAGUGCGCUGCCAUGGUGGCGAUUGAGCGGCGAUGGGCUCCGGAACAGAGCCUUGGAGACAGGAUCUUCGGCCAUUGGGCACUGGAGACAAGGCCGGCGCAAGCGCGGCUUUGCCGGGAUUUAGAUUUUGCGGAGGCGAGCGUGGUCUGGUCGCGUCGAGUGGCAGAUUUGACUGGCGUGUGACAGGGAAGAAGGUGCUACAAGUGAGGUUGCAACAGGCGAAGUGACAGGGCGAGUGGCGGCGCGGGCGAGCGCGAAACAGCGGGUUGCCGGGGCACAUUACUGGCGAGGCGGGAAAAGGAGCUGUCACGGCCAGAGUCGGGGUUGGCGAGGGAGGUAUCAUCGUGGAGUGAGCUCGUGGGCGGCGCAACUGUGGAGAGGCGGAAAAACCGGAAGGCAUCCGGGCUUGCAGCCGGGGAUCCGGGCAAGAUGAUGGGCGCGGGUCGCGAGGCGGUCUGACGCAGCAGCGGCAAAACUCUGCCACGGUGGUGACGGGGCACCUUGGCGCGGCCGGCGAGGGCGCGAGCGAGACGAGGCGAGGCACAAGGGGUUGCAGGGGGCUUCCUCUGCGAUUGGAGAGGAGGGCGCGUUGAUCCAUCCUGUCGCGGCCGGCGACUGGGCGAGGCGGCGAGCAUCGGAGGGAUCAAGCCACGCGGCGGGGGAGCUCUGAAACAGCGCAUGCUGCCCAGGCGCGUCUGCCUCAAGAGAACCGGGGAAAAAGAUUGCGGGUCCACCAAUCAGUCUCGGUUUCUCCACUACUUCAAGAUUUGAAGGAACACUGCCUUUGGACUUAGAAAGAACCGGCGAUUUUGGGUUGGGUUUUCUGGGGUCGGGACUGAGAACCGGAUUUUGAGCGCUUAAGCUCCGGAAAGCUGAGUCAGCGGGAUUAGGGACUUUGGUUGAAGAUUAACUUGGCUGAUUAUCCAAGGUCGUUACAUGGAACUUCCCGUCCUUUGUCAGAACUUCCGUCACAUCGUAACUUCCUAUACAGUGUCGGAACUUCCUAUAGCUUAGAAAAACAACCCAAAAACUUUAGGUCAAUACUUCAAAAUUUGAUCAAAUGACCUCCAAAAUUAACAAAAUUUUAACCAUAGCUUUGGAACAACAUUCUAAACCUAUUCCCAAAAGAUCUCUUCAAAAAGAUCAAGACUUCCCCUUUGAAUUCAUGAUUUCGGUCAAGAACACAAGAAAUGAGUGGUUCUCAGGGAAAUGCCAAAUUAAGCCGAAUCCGUGGAUGAUUUGAGAGGAGAUCACUUCAAAGAUCUUCACAAGGAACUGAGCUACAUAUUCCCCCAACAAACCUUAAAGGAUUUGCACUCAAACAUGAAGAACAAAAAUCCCAUGAAUAAUGCUCUGAAAAUACCAAAAAAGAAAAAUGCUCGGGAAUCAAAGAUUUGGCACGAAUCAAGACAUCUAUUAAAACCAAAUCAUAAGGAAAUCAUCUUUACAAGAUGAGGACUAGCCUCCUCCUUUAUCCAUCUACUAAAGAUGAAAAAAUCAAGAGAAAAGGAGCAAAUCACCCUCUAAUCUCCCUCUCUCAUUUGUCACUAAGCACUUGGCUGGCCUCUAAGCAAAUGAUUUAGGGUUUUCUAGAGAGGUUACUGAAAUGAACAGCCAUCCACCCAUAUUUAUAGUCCGGGAUGGAUGACCAAACUACCCCUACAACUACAACUAGGAUAAUUACCUACGUAGGGGUAUUUUGGUUCAAGUUUUUCUACGCUCAUCGGACGGACACGAUACCUUCAUGACUUUGCUUUGCCUCGAUGCAAGCUUCGCGAUGAUGCCACGUGCCCUCCUUCUCGAAGCUUCAGCCGCACCGGGCUCGCCCCCAGUUUUGAGGCCCAAAUUGGCAAACCUGCCUGCGUGGUGGUUUUGAGGCCCAAACCACCCAAACCAUCCAUCUCCGCUUGGCCGCCACGCGACCUCCUUGAUGUCGACGCAUGUUCGGUCUCCGCCAAGCCUUUGACGCCUCCAAGUCUUUUGCUCCUGGCUCCCGGGUCGCCUACUUGACUCGCCUCCAUCCCGUUUGACUCGACCAACGUCGUCUCCAUCCCAUCAUGUUCUCUUGCUCUUCUGUGCACCGUGUGAACUGCCUAUGACUCCGCUCGGACUCCUCGGGUCCAUCGAUCCAAGCCUACUCGUGUUCAUCCUUCACCGCCCUUGGUCCAUCGGCAUGAACCUUUCGCUUGACCUUAACCGCACUCCGUCGACCGUCACACCGCAUCCUACACCUACACAUUACAAAGCCAAAAGCAACAUCAUUCCAAUACAAAGUUGUCAAUAACUCAUCAUCCAACGGUGACCACCAUUGGUCCUCAGAGACACCUCCUCAAUGUCAUUUCCAGCAGCACCUCCAUUGUCUUCUUCUUUUGCGGACACAUGAAUAUCAUCCCCACCACCAUCAAGGUUCUCACCAUCAUCAAUGUCUACAUCAAUAGAAGUGGUUUCAACAUUUUAUCAAUUUUCCACUAAUUAUCAUGGAAAUAACAAAAUUAAAAUAGCAACAAGCAUUAUAUUUAAACCAGCAUGAAAACCAUAGAUUCCACUAACACAAGCUGCAGAUCUGGAACAUACAUGAUAAAUGAAAGCUAACAAAAUUGGUUUCACAAUUUGUGGACCACCACAUGAUUUUAUAAAGCAUUUAAUGUCUUUUAGAUAAAAUAAAUCAUAGCACUAGAUAUAGAAUAGGAAUAUGAACUUAAUCAUUUUUGAAGUUGUUGGUGCUAAAAAGUUAGCUGAUUGACCCUUAGCAUCGGACACACGACUCGGGAGAAUCUGCUUAACUCUUGUUUGGGUGAUCGGCGUGGUGCGGUUCGCACGGCGUGCCAGCCAAUCUGACCUGUUGAUUGGCAAGGAGUAAAACGUGUCAAAUUCCAGGGGGUUGCGAUCGGCUAAGGUUCCGAUCUCGAGGAAGCGUAUCAAUGAAUCCGCCGAUUUGCUAUAAAAAGAUAAUCGGCUAUGAUACAGCCGACAACCAUGCAGCAAUUAUAAAGAAAACCACUAGAGUAAACUAGACAACACCACAAGAGCAAUACUUGAAAUAGAUCUAAUAGGCUAUAUAAGGAUAGUGAAUGAAAAUAACAAUAAUAAAGCCGAUAGCUCAAAUCUCAAGCUGGAUAACUUGUGAUAAAACUAGAACAACAGGUAAAACCUAUAAUUCUAGUAAAUAUCGAUAACUGGUGAAUAAAUCUAAACGAAACAACAGCGAUGCGCCCGAAGUUAAAGCUUAGAUAUUACUCGAUAAAUAGAACUUACAGAAUCGGUCGAAGAUCGUGUCAAUGCAGCCCUGCCAACCCGUACGAACUCGUGAAAGAAGAAAAGUAUUGGCGAAGUCACCGACUUGAAAGUAAAGUACGAGAAAAUAGUAGGUUGUUGUAUUGAUUGAUGUGUUGUUUACAGAUCUCUAAAGAUGGCUAUUUAUAGCCUGUUACAAUGAAUUUCCUUACCGACUAGGAUCUAUCUCUAAUUUUAAAUGAAAAAUGAAUAUUUUCAAGUACAACUCGUAUCGGAGUUGGUUAUUGUACUUCCAUGGGCCAAUCCCCCUUCAUCUUCUCUUUCUGCUCCACUUUAAGCUCAUAUUGGCCCAAUUACUCCAGCCUUUCAAUCGGCCAAUCUCUACCAACUCUAUCCACCAGAACACUGCAGCGCCAAUCGGUCGAUCUCCAACUGUAGCACCAAUCGGCCGAUUCCCAAUCGUGACCUUUUAACUUGCCGUAUCGACCAAUCCUUUCCUCCUUGACGCCGAUUCCAUAUGUGUCAAAAUCUGGCGUCAACACAUGCCCCCCAGUUUUGGAGUAAAACAUAAUCUUUUACUUCGAAAUUCUUUUCAACUUCUCCUCCGAAACAAAUGCAUUAAAAAUAUCCUUCCGUUUCGCGGUCUUCUACCUGCUGAUUGGAAUCUUUUCGAAACGGGCGCCUGAGACAACCACUCCCCCGAAAUUCGGGUAGACGGCGCGGUAAAAAUCCCGCCUUUACCCCUUCUCGGACCAUCCUUAAAUAUUGGCACGUUCCGCACUUCCUCUUCACAAGCCAGUAACUUCCUUUCUUGGCGCACUAGUUUCCAUCUCCCUCCAGCGCCCCUUUGGCUUCCAAUCACAUCCUCCGGCGACCCGCUUUUCAUCCACAUUCCACACCAUCUCCCCAAUGGCGGCUCUGUCAGGAACUUCACCAGCAACAGAGACCCCGGUGGCGGCUCCGGCGGCGGCGGCAGUAGCUCCAUCGGCGAUAGAGGUUCCACCAACGGCUUCGGCGGUGGCAGCUCCACCAGCAGCCCCGUCAGUGAUGAUGACUUUCAUCCUGGAGGUAUUUACCCGGAACUUUUAUUUUUACCUUUAUCGUCCAGGCAUUUGUUUUAGAUCCAUUCUUAGUUCGUCCCUUUUUACCUUUUUUAGGCGGUUAGACACCAAAUCACUAUUUGCCUUACCGAAGCUCCCGAUCUCAUUGCCUAGGCCCUAUGGGAAACCCAGACCCAACUGAUUUAAUCAACUUGGAAACCCAUAGGAUUCCGUUUAAGCAAUCGACCAUGGAUUUGGAUCAUUGGUCAGGCACUUUCAGAUCGUGGCCGAAUGAAACUCCCGGCUGGAAAGAGUGGUACCAAAGGAUAGCCAACUCUAAGAGAGUUCAAUGGGAUGAGCGAAACAUCAGCCAGUGCAUCAAUCUAUCUCUGUCCCAGAUGGAGAGGAAUGAACCCUUAGUGAUAGCAGCCUCCUAUUUUUGGUCCGACGCUCUCAACGCGUUUGUUUUCGGACAUGCGCCCAUGACCCCCACUCUGGCCGAUGUUGUAAUGUUGACCGGCCUUGACAUCUCCUCCCCUAAUACCCCCUUCCGUUAUUUGGUCAAGCCGACCUAUCAACUAGAGACAAAAGGAAUCGGCGGGUGGAAGGGGUUCAUCAAAAACAACAUGAAGACCGGGACAGUUACAGAGAGGGAAUAUGCAGCCUUCUUGAUGAUGUGGCUUGAAAAACACCUUUUGUAUGGCAGAGCAGCCGGCCCUUCCUCCAAUACACAGGCUCUAGCCGAAGCAUGAUCACUAGGAGCCUCCGUCUCCCUUGGGAAACAUCUGCUAGGAUCGUCCUAUCACAUGCUGCAUCAAAUCAGCGUCAAACUAUCAAAGGGAGAGCCGAUUGGAAAUCCGGGUGGCCCCUGGUGGUUCAUCAAUCUGUGGCUCAAUUUAUAUAUGAGUAAGAUCUCAUAGCAACGGGUGGAGCACAUGACUUUCCAAAAUAUUGAGUCAGAAGAAAACCCCACCGUACGGCGUCGAUGCACCUCCUUUGGUGAAGCAGCAUCAGCCUUCUCUGGUUGCCAGCUCACCGCCACCAAGGUAGCCGAAUACUUCAGAUGCUUUUACAACGGCUUCAGUGAGGAGACCACCAGCUGGUUCCCGUACCAGAGAUCAGAACCACUCUUCGAGCUCCCCUCUUGUUAUGACUCGACAACCAACACUUUUGAUGAUGACCUCACAGAUGAUCUGAUUAAGCUAGAGAUCUUAUCGGUGAAUUUCUUCUCGGGGAAGGAUGCCCCUACUUAUGAGUUUUACAACCCAUCUAUUGCAGCACGUCAGUUCAGCUUGGGUCAGCUGCCGAUUUAUGCUUUCUUCGCCGGUCGUGAAAAAUUUCGGGACAAGCUCACCAAAGGUCUUGAUUACAGUCGGCUGUACGACCAGGUGCCUGACUCCAGCACCAUUGAUCUGACCAAUUGGAUAGUGGCCCCUUUUGCUGUCCAACAGUCCAAACUAUGGUGGGCAGAAUGGAAACAACAUCUCUUCUGUGCAUCUCCGGCGAUAUAUUGCAACACCCUGGAUCCUGACAACAUUGACCCGAACGCAGAGGUACCAUUUUUUCCCUCAGCCGAUUUCGACGCCUUUUCCUUUUUAUACCACUAACUCUUAUUUCUUUUACAGUCCGAGAGUCGACUCCCUCCAAGACGCAGCCGGAGUGGUAGGCCGAUAGAGAAUUGUUAUCCGUAUACGAAGUUCCCGCUCAUCGGCUACCACGCCCCAUCCAUCGAUGACAUCACCACCGGCCGAUUGAAGCAGACGCCGAAGAAAGCCGUAAAGAAGACGAGCCGCCGAGUGCGCGCCCGGACGGAAUCGGCUGAUCCUUCCGCGACGGCAUCGGUGGAAUCUUUGGCCGCGCCGAUUGUCCCGGUCAUCGAGGAGGUUGACCCCCAAGCUGCUACAGAAGCUGGAGCGGCCGCUACAUCACUGCUACUAGAAGCCCUUCAGGUAACCUUGUGUUCAUGCCCUCUUGAGUAUUCUCCCGAUACUGACUUCUUCUUUAUAUUAGGCCGCACAAGUUGCCCUAGUGCCCUUGCAGCAAUCGGCGACGCCCCAAGCAGAAAUCAAAGCACCAGUACUUCCUCCCACUGAGGUACAGAAUCCCUUAACUCAAUUCUUUGAUACUUAAUCAAAAGCUUGACCGAUCCUAAUGUAGGCUCUCGGCACGUCAACUGUAUCUUCUCAACAGCCAUCGACCAGGGAAGCUUUCCAAGAGGCUGGUCCGAGCAGGAUGCUAAUAAUCGUUGAAUCCUCCUCCUAUGAUGAGCCGGUCACACCAGUUCCUAAACCAAGGGUAGCACUCCCGCAGGCGCAAGUAGAAGAAAUCCGCCUCAAAGAAGUAAGAGAUUUGUCACGCGAAUUGGCCGAUUUCCUAUUACCAUCGGCUAAUCCAUUUUUCCAUUUUUAUUCUUUUGCAGGAACAGGAUACUCCCAAUAACAGUCUCUUCUCUUUUGCGGUUGCGCUUUCUGAUGAUGAGGAGGUCGCUUCACGUCAAGUUACCCUGAGCUCAGUCCCUAAUGAUGUCCGUGCCAAACUUGAGAGCAUACGGACCCUCCUCCAAGAAGAUAUCGGCCGAUUGGUAGAGGACGCCUCGCCGAUUCGGCAGCUCUUCAGUGAUAUCAGUGGCCGAGUCCCAUAAGAGGUGGAAGAAGCUCUGGCGCCCGCCGCAUACAUUGAAUCAAUGCGGAUCCCCAUAUUCAGAGCCUUGCGUCAUAUGGCCGAUCGUGCUAAUCUGGCUAAAGCUUGUGAGGAGGAAGACUCUUACAAGCAUCGAGCCCAAGAGGUACAUCACUGGAUCCACUUCCUUGAAAAUGCCCGUCCAGGUAUUGUUGGUGCUACAGAUCGCCUCAAGCGCCGGAGGGCGUAACUUGCCAAGGAGAUGGAGCAGGUGACCAAAGACUUAGUCAUUGAAGAGAAGAAACUCCAAGACCUCCCCUCUGUCAUCGCCGAUCUGAAGCAAGAGAGGCAACACCUGGCCCAUGAGGCAAUCAGACUUCAUCGCCACAUGCCAGAAGUCCCAGGAUCGGCGGAUGACGACCAGCGAGUUUUAGACUCGGCCGAUCAAGUUAGGCAGCGAGCGAUUGCGGCCAUGAAUGCCCUUCUGGGAUGAACUGUAAAAGUACUGGCCGCUCUAUAAAACAUCAAAGUUUUUCGAUCAUUUGAUGUAUGAAUCCAAUUCUGAUCCGUCCUUUGUGGCGGCCUUUAAUUUAUUACUCCAUUUACUCCGAUGGGACGUGUCUUACCAAACUCUCGCCCGUUUUCUUCCUAUAAGUAUGAGACCCCGUAUUGUUUCCAAGGGCACUUGCCUCACUCGUCCUCUUCUCCUCUAGUAGUUUAUACCAGCGGACUAUUACCAAGAUGUCCUCUUCAUCUUCUUCCUUCUCCUUCUCCUCUGUCAACCAGGUACGAUAUCUUUCCUUCACCCUCUAUUUCCUGACUUGACAUUUUGAUCAGCCUGACGUCGAGAGGUUAUUUGUCAAUUUUCAGCCGAGAUGCCUUAGCCCCGAAUUGGAACGAGCAAUCGAGAUCAUGCACUCUGACGAACCCUUGUCACAAGAGGACAGGGAUUUGAUCAGAGCCCACCGCGAGGAACUCAGGGACCACAUCCCGGCCGAAGUUCAGAGGAUCUGGGAUCACAUCGACGCCAACUGCUCCAGGUAGCCACCAAUCGAAAGGAGUCAUCCACUCCCUAGUCCAGUCGCCCUUGAAGACACCGUUGCGGGAACGUCUCGACCACCGCUGGAUCGGAGCCACCCUCUUCCACGCCAGAUUGAGGCUGAAGCCGCGAUGAAGGAUGUGGAGGAAAGGAGCACCCACCUCCUGAUAGAAUUAGAUCGGGUAGAGAAGGAUCUUAAGAAAAAACGCGGUUAACAGAUGUGUUGGUAUUUUUUGUUCUAAGGGCGACCUGUACCGUGUCGGCCAUGUACCCUAUCGUUCGUACCGAAUAAUAAAUUGGCCGAGUUGAACGAAUAUCUUUUUCUUGAGGCGAUUUUGUUUUUGCAUCGGCUACACGAUUUAUCAGGAGCUGGCCGUGUCAUCUUGAUAUGCUCUGCAACCACUUAUGCAUCGACCCAUAUACUAUGAUAGUAUCUUUUCAGGUACCUCCCGUUCAAGGCUCUUGUGAAUUCUUCUCCCUCGAUCGUCUCCAGAAUGUAUGCAUUUCCCGGAGCGCAUCGGCCGAUUUUAUACGGCCCUUCCCAAGUGGGCGACCAUUUACCGAACUUGGGAUCUUUAGACCCUAUCGGCAACACCAACUGUUGGGAUACGAGGUAGGCUACACUAGCGCAAAUCAAAUUUUUUCUACCGCGUAAACCAGGAAAACUGUCGUAUAAGGAUCAUGAGAUUACCACUCGAUGCAUUGGUGCAGAAGAUGUAGAUUCGCGUCGAUGCAGCGAAGUCGAUCAGCGUAGUCGUACGUAGUCGAUCAGCGUAGUCGUACGUAGUCGAUCACGUCGAUGUCCAGCAGCUCCUCAGCAGCUCGUCCACGUGCAGCAAGAUCGCGCUCGUACCGCGGCUCGUCGUCGGCUCAUCCAAGUGCUGCAGGCGCAACACCUCCAAGGUAUCCACAUGUGUAGGGAGGAAGCGUCGCAAGCCGGACUGCUAGGUCUGUGAGUUGCAACAAGCGAGGGCGUGGGAGGCGCAGUAGAUGUGCUUCACCAAAAGGGUGUAAACCCUAGGGCGCCCCCACAUGAACUCCGACUAGGGAGUCCGGCUUGUGAAACAUAGUCAUCAACUAAUACAUGUGCUAGUCUAAUAUUCAUGUGUGUCCUCACAUGAACUCCGACUAGGGACAACUUUAGAAUAACCAUACAAGUAAAGAGUUUCACAUACAAUUCACAUAAUUGCAAAUCAAUUCAAGUAGCCUUUAAUGGAUAUUCGAGGAACACAAUAUAAAUCAUGGAUACAAAUGGAAUAUCAUCAUCUCUAUGAUUGCCUUUAGGGCAUACCUCCAACAGUCUCCCACUUGCACUAGAGCAAUCUAGAAGGUGCCUAAUACCCAUAGCUCUUACAUGCGCAUCAUGCUUAGCCUGCGGGAGUGGUUUUGUCAACGGAUCAGAAAUGUUCAGAUCCAUGUGUAUUUUGCAUAUCUUGAUCUCACCCCGGUUAACGAAGUCUCGAAUGAGAUGAAAUCGCCGCAUUACAUGUUUGUUCUUCUGGUGGUUCCAUGGCUCCUUUGCUUGCGCAAUUGCCCCAUUGUUAUUACAGUAGAGAUUCAAUGGGCUGGACGCAUUCGGGAAGACACCAAGCUCAAUGAGGAAAUUCCUUAUCCAAACAUCCUCCUUCGCGGCUUCCGAAGCCGUGAUGUACUCAGCUUCUGUCGUAGAAUCGGCCACCGUCUCCUGCUUGGAACUCUUCCAACUAGCAGCACCACCAUUUAGCGUGAACACAAAUCCUGAUUGUGACUUUGAAUCAUCUCUGUUGGUUUGGAAACUAGCAUCGGUGUAAUCCGUUACAACGAGCUCCUCCUCACCUCCAUAGACAAGAAACAUAUCUUUAGUCCUUGUCAAGUACUUAAGAAUGUUUUUCACCGCUGUCCAGUGACUCUCACCUGGAUCAGACUGGUGUCUGCUUGUUUGCCUCUUCCAUGCUGAACUGCUUCAACACUUUGUCAAUGUAAGAAUCUUGGCUUAAUCCUAUAAGCCUUCUCGAUCUAUCUCUAUAGAUCUUAAUGCCCAGAAUAUAUGCCGCUUCCCCUAAGUCCUUCAUCGAAAAACUAUUUUUCAGUGAAGUCUUUACGGACUCAAGCAUACGAAUGUUAUUUCCAAUCAGCAGUAUGUCAUCCACAUAUAAGAUUAAACACAAGACUCUUCUUCAUUCUUGGUGAAGUCAAACCCUUUGACCACUUCAUCAAAAUGAAUGCUUGCUUCAAUCCAUAAAUGGAUCUCUGAAGCUUGCAUACCUUUCCAGCAUUUUUCGGAUCGACAAAACCCUCAGGCUGUAUCAGAUACACAUCCUUAGGUAGGUUUCCAUUUAGGAAAGCUGUCUUGACAUCCAUCUGCCAUAUCUCAUAAUCGAAAUAUGCAGCUAUAGCUAGAAUAAUCCGAAUGGACUUAAGCAUCACUACGGGCGAGAAGGUCUCGUCGUAGUCAACUCCUUAAACUUGUCAAAAACCUAUUGCGACAAGUCGUGCUUUAUAGAUAUGAACAUUUCCAUCCAUGUCCUUUUUCUUCUUAUAGAUCCACUUGCACUCUAUGGCUUUAACACCAUCAGGCGGGUCAACCAAGUUCCAAACUUGAUUGUCUCCCAUGGACUCUAUUUCGGACUGCAUGACACUCUGCCAUUUAUCAGAGUCUGGGUCCAUCAUUGCUUCUGCAUAUGUUGCAGGCUCUUCAUUGUCCUGUUGGAGGUAUGCCCUAGAGGCAAUCAUAGAGAUGAUGAUAUUCCAUUUGUAUCCAUGAUUUGUAUAUUGUGUUCAUUGAAUAUCCAUUAAAGGCUACUUGAAUUGAUUUGUAUGUGAAUUGUAUGUGAAACUCUUUACUUGUAUUGUUAUUCUAAAGUUGUCCCUAGUCGGAGUUCAUGUGAGGACACACAUGAAUAUUAGACUAGCACAUGUAUUAGUUGAUGACUAUGUUUCACAAGUCAUGGACAUGGAGAUGUUGAACUAAUAAUGUGGACACCUGUGAAGACAUGUGCUAGGACUGAUCCAAUACGAGAAGUAGUUCUCUCUUUAAACAACAUAUACGCUUUGUCCUUAGACCUGAGAUUGUCGCAUGUAUUCAAGAUGUGGAUCGACCUACUUAGGGGCUAUCAAACACUACGCCGUAACAGGGUAGUUAUAAAGGUAGCUUUCGGGUUUGUCAAGAAGCAUGCUAUAAGACAUGGUCAAUCAAGAUGGGAUUUGCCCCUCUCUGAUUGAGAGUGAUAUCUUUGGGCCCCUCGAGUGAUCGGAUCCGAAAAUGCAUUGGCCAUGCUACGUACGGUUAAGAGUUAACCUACAAAGGGAAUCCGAAUCACAGGAUCGAGAAAGAGCGGUCGGCUUGAAGCUAGACCAAAUAUCGUGAGGCAAAGGGAAUAGCAUGUAUAUUAUAUUGUGAUGGUUCGUCUGAUAUGAUCUUCGUGUGCGUAUAGGAGUUGGCACGUCUCGCUAGAGGCCGCUACCGACUAUUGGGUCAAGUAGGAGUACUCAGGCCAUGUCUAUACGUAUCCGAACCCAUAGGGUCACACACUUAAGGGGUUGGAAGCCCAAUUCGGAUCUGAUCCGAGUUGGAUUAGGUUUAGAAGUACUAAUGGGCCUCGGACCCAGAGGCCCAUCAGGAACCUCUAUAAAUAGAGGGGUGGGGGCGCCCUAGGGUUUACACCUUUUGGCGAAACACAUCUGCCGCGCCUCCCACACCCUCGCCUGUUGCAACUCGCGGAUCUAGCAGUCCAGCUUGCGACACUUCCUCCCUGCACGUGUGGAUACCUUGGAGGUGUUGCGCCUGCAGCACUUGGACGAGCCGCCGACGAGCCACGACGAGCCGACGACGAGCCGCAGCACGAGGGCGAUCUUGCUGCACGUGGAUGAGCUGCUGAGGAGCUGCUGGACGUUGAUGUGAUCGACUACGUACGACUAUGUUGAUCGACUACGUACGACUACGUUGAUCGUCUUCGCUGCAUCGACGCAAAUCUACAUCUUCCGCACCAGUAGUGCGUUGAGUGGUAAUCCCAUGAUCCAUUUAUACGACAGUUCUUCCUGAUUUUACGCGGUAGAAAUUUUGAUUUGCGCUAGUGUAGCCUAGCUCGUAUCCCAACCGUGGUAUCAGAGCUGUAGCUGUUUAGUUUUGGAUUCGGGAUGUGUGCAUAUGGAGAUAUGCGAGUUUUCAGUUUGAUCUAUGUCCUGGUUUCGUGUUCUUGCUGCAAUGGUAGUGUAACGACAUACUCCUACCGGUCGGUUUCCGCCAUCCUAGUUAAGUGAUACACGUAAUUCCAGUUGUAGUGAGUGAAGAUCAAUAUGAUUGGUCGAAUUGAAAUCCAGGGUCAUACGCCAGACGCAUUAGAUGUGCAAUAGUAGAUGAGAUCUACUGCCGGGGUCGGGAUUUUGCCGUAUGCGUAUGCUUCGGUAAAUCAGCCGUAACUUUUCGGUAUGAUCUCGGAUCGGGGCGAAUUUUAUAUGAAAAUUGAUCUACAGAAAAAGUUACACAUUAAAUUCAACCGCUUUGCCAUUUUUGGCGAAAUUAGAUUUCGCAAAUUUGUCUUGGAAGAUAGAGUUUCAAGCAUCCGAAGUUUGGAACGUUAGGACGCUUAACUCUAUUUUGCAGGAUGUAUGUAUCUUGUGAUCAGUAUGGCCCUUUGUGGAUGUGAUGCAUGUGUGUAACUCAUUCGUGACCUGCGUGUCGCGCGUACGGCAACACGGCAGGAGCCAUAUGUGUUGUCACUUUAUUGUAUUUAAUGGUCGGCAUACCAAUCUGUGAUGAUCCAAGCAACUAUGUAAUCUUCAUUACUAGCUUCUUUACUAGCUAUUAGGCUUAAUAGCAUGUUCUAGUUCUUGGAGGACUCAUCACCAGGAGGAUGGCGCACAUGGAACAUGGAGAUGGAGAUCACCGUGGUGAACAGGUUCUAUGGAGAUGGAGAUCACCAUAUGAAAACGGGCCAUACUGUGUCACAACUGUGUGAAUGCUAUUCUGUUUAUGUUUUACUUUCUGCAUGCUGUGAUGUUAGAAGUAGAACGAUCCCUCACAAAGUUUAAGUUAGUAUGCCCUCCCAACUAAAACUUGCACCGUCCCAUAUCUUGUACAAUUAGUGGUGGGUCUAUGAAAUUAGGGUGCCACUAGUUUUCCUUGAUUAGAUGGGUUUGUGUCGGACACUUACACGCAUAAGGGUUGGUUUGCUUAACAAGGUUAUCUUAAUGGUUAAGGACCUUGGGGCAUAAAGGUUGGGCGCCGAGACAUGGAGAUGUCACCCAACAACAGGAGUCAUAUGUGAUAUGAUUAGCAAAAGUUGCUUACCGAUCUACCUUGUUUGCUAGCGGUGAUGCUAAAGCUCACUAGUAGACUCGUUAGUUGUGGAUCCUGAAUCACUAAGUAUCAAUAGAGGGAUAUUGAUUUUAGUGGGAGUAGAUUCUGUUAAAAUAGUUUAAUGUGAUUUGCUCUAUCAUGGAUACGUUUGUCUUAGUGUAUUUUGCAUUACUUUUGUUGUAGAUUAAAUGGCACCUAGCAACACCACCUCAUCGUUUGCUUUGCGUUCGGUCCUUGAGAAGGACAAGUUGAAUGGAACAAACUACUCGGAUUGGAUCCGUAACCUGAGAAUUGUUCUCAGGGCCGAUAAAAAGGAAGAUGUUCUAGACACCCCACUACCACCAGUACCUGCUCAUGAUGCAUCUGCUGCCGUUAAGGCUGCUUACAAGAAGGCAUUUGAUGCUAAUCUUGAGGUAAGCUGCCUUAUGCUUGCUUGCAUGGAACCCGAGCUGUAGAUGCAGUUCGAAACGAAUCAUGAGGCACACGAUAUGAUCGUGGCGUUCAAGGACAUGUUCCAGACCCAGACUAGGACUGAAAGGUUCAAUGUGUCCAAAGCCUUUCUGGAGUGAAAGCUAGCAGAAGGCGCAGCAGUAGGACCACAUGUAAUCAAGAUGGUUGGUUACACUCAGCGAUUGGAGAAGCUGGGCUUCCCAAUGGGCAAAGAGUUGGCCACUGACUUCAUUCUUUCAUCUCUUCCACCUAGCUAUGGGAACUUCAUCUCAAACUACCAUAUGCAUGGGACAGAGAAGGGUCUGAAUGAACUGUGUGGUAUGCUCAAGACAGCAGAGGUAGACAUCAAGAAAAGCGCUAGUACCAGCCAUGUGAUGGCUAUACAGAACAAGCCUAGCUUUAAGAAGAAGGGCAAUUCUUGGAAGAAGAAGGGUAAGGCUGGAACGUCCAAGCCAAACCCAGUGCCCAAGGUUAAAGCUGGACCUGGACCUGGACAUGCUCCAGACAAAGAGUGCUUUUACUGUCAUGAACUUGGUCACUGGAAGAGAAACUGCAAGCAGUACCUAGCUUCGUUGAAGAAUGGCGGAAGUAAGAGUACUUCUACCUCAGGUACGCUUGUUGUUAAUGUUAUAGACAACAUUUUUCUCGCUGAUACAAUUAUUAAUUCUUGGGUAUUUGAUACCGGAUCGGUUGCUCAUAUUUACAAUUCGAUGCAGGGAAUGAUAAGAAGUAGAAGCGUGGAAAGAAGAGAAGUUGAUUUCCGCGUGGGCAAUAAUGCAAGAGUUGCUGCGUUGACCGUCGGGACGAUGCAACUCCACCUCCCGUCAUGAUUUAUUAUGGAGUUGAAUAAUUGUUAUUUCGUUCCUAGUUUAAGUCGAAACAUUUUGUCUCCUUCAUGCUUGAUGAAGGAUGGUUAUUCAUUUGUGAGUGAAAACAAUGGUUGUGUGAUCUCUAAGAAUGAUAUGUUUAUGGCUUUUGCACCCAUUGUGAGUGGAUUAUUUGUUUUAAAUCUUGAUGGUUCACCUGUCUGUAACGUAAGUGCUAAAAGGCCUCGGCCUAAUGAUUUGAGUCCUACCUACUUGUGGCAUUGUCGUUUGGGUCAUAUAAGUGAAAAGCGCAUGAAGAAGCUCCAUUCUGAUGGACUUCUAACUUCGUUUGAUUUUGAAUCAUACGAGACAUGUGAGGCUUGCUUGCUAGGCAAGAUGACCAAGACGCCUUUCACAGGAUUUCCUGAGAGAGCGGUAGACUUGUUAGAACUCGUACAUAGUGAUGUAUGCAGACCAAUGAGCACGACGGCUAGAGGAGGAUUCCAAUACUUCAUAACUUUCACUGAUGAUUUUAGUAGAUAUGGCUAUGUCUACUUGAUGAGGCACAAGUCUGAAACCUUUGAAAAGUUCAAGGAAUUUCAGAAUGAAGUUGAAAAUCAGCGUGGCAAGAAAAUUAAGGCCUUACGAUCUGAUCAUGGAGGCGAGCAUUUGAGCCACGAGUUUAGCAAUCAUCUAAAGAGUUGCGGAAUUGUUCCACAACUUACGCCGCCUGGAACACCUUAGAGAAACAGUGUAUCCGAGCAAUGUAAUCGAACUUUGUUAGACAUGGUUCGAUCAAUGAUGAGCCAGUCAGACCUACUGUUGUCAUUUUAGGGAUACGCUCUAGAAACAGUAGCUUUCACACUUAAUAGGGUACCAUCUAAAUCCGUAGUUAAGACACCAUAUGAGAUAUGGACUGGAAAGGUUCCUAGUUUGUCUUUUCUAAAGAUUUGGGGAUGUGAAGUAUUUGUCAAGCGACUUCAGUCGGACAAGAUCACACCCAAGUCGGAUAAGUGCAUUUUCGUGGGAUAUCCAAAGGAAACUUUGGGAUAUUAUUUCUACAACCGGUCAGAGGGUAAAGUGUUUGUUGCUCGGAACGAGGUUUUCCUAGAGAAAGAGUUUCUCAAAGGAGAAAAGAGUGGAAAGACAGUGCAUCUUGAAGAAGUUCAAGAUGAGCUGAUCGGGCAAGAAUCAAUGAGUGAUGCUAACGUAGCAGAACAAGUUGAGAUACCCAUGGCAAGAGAAGCACCGCCACAACCACGAAGGUCGGCAAGGCUCCGCGAAAUGUGAGAAAUAUUAUUGUUGGACAAUGAUGAGCCUGCGACAUAUGCAGAAGCAAUGAUGGACCCAGACUCCAAAAAAUGGCAGAGUGCCAUGCAAUCCGAAAUAGAGUCCAUGGGACACAAUCAAGUUUGGAACUUGGUUGACCCGCCUGAUGGUGUUAAAGCCAUAGAGUGCAAGAGGAUCUAUAAGAAGAAAAAGGACAUGGAUGAAAAUGUUCACAUCUAUAAAGCAUGACUUGUCACAAAAGGUUUUCGACAAGUUCAAGGAGUUGACUACAACGAGACCUUCUCGCCCGUAGUGAUGCUUAAGUCCAUUCGGAUUAUUCUAGCUAUAGCUGCAUAUUUCGAUUAUGAGAUAUGGCAGAUGGAUGUCAAGACAACUUUCCUGAAUGGAAACCUAGCUGAGGACGUGUAUAUGAUAUAGCCCGAGGGUUUUGUCGAUCCGAAAAAUGCUGGAAAGGUAUGCAAGCUUCAGAGAUCCAUUUAAGGAUUGAAGCAAGCAUCUAGGAGUUGGAACAUUCAUUUUGAUGAAGUGGUCAAAGGGUUUGACUUCACCAAGAACGAAGAAGAGUCUUGUGUUUACAAGAAGGUUAGUGGGAGCUCUAUAGUAUUUCUAAUCUUAUAUGUUGAUGACAUAUUACUGAUUGGAAAUAACAUUCCUAUGCUUGAGUCCGUAAAGACUUCACUGAAAAAUAGUUUUUCGAUGAAGGCUUAUAGGUUUAAGCCAAGAUACUUACAUUGAUAAAGUGUUGAAGCGGUUCAGCAUGGAAGAGGCAAAGAAAGGGUUCUUGCCUAUGUCACAUGGCAUACAUCUCAGCAAGACUCAGUGUCCUUCGACUGCUGAUGAGCGGGAUCGCAUGAGUAGAGUGCCAUAUGCCUCAGCUAUUGGAUCUAUCAUGUAUGCAAUGAUAAGUACUCGCCCAGAUGUUUCAUAUGCGCUAAGUAUGACAAGCAGACACCAGUCUGAUCCAGGUGAGAGUCACUGGACAGCGGUGAAAAACAUUCUUAAGUACUUGAGAAGGACUAAAGAUAUGUUCCUCGUCUAUGGAGGUGAGGAGGAGCUUGUUGUAACAGGUUACACCGAUGCUAGUUUCCAAACCGACAGAGAUGAUUCAAAGUCACAAUCAGGAUUUGUGUUCACGCUAAAUGGUGGUGCUGUCAGUUGGAAGAGUUCCAAAUAGGAGACGGUGGUCGAUUCUACGACAGAAGCCGAGUACAUUGUGGAUUCGGAAGCCGCGAAGGAAGGUGUUUGGAUAAGGAAUUUCCUCAUUGAGCUUGGUGUGUUCCCGAAUGCGUCCAGCCCAUUGAAUCUCUACUGUGAUAAUAAUGGGGCAAUUACGCAAGCAAAGGAGCCAAGGAACCACCAGAAGAACAAACACGUAAUGCGGCGAUUUCAUCUCAUUCGUGACUUCGUUAACCGGGGUGAGAUCAAGAUAUGCAAAAUACACACGGAUCUGAACAUUUCUGAUCUGUUGACAAAACCACUCCCGCAGGCUAAGCAUGAUGCGCAUGUAAGAGCUAUGGGUAUUAGGUACCUUCUAGAUUGACUCUAGUGCAAGUGGGAGACUGUUGGAGGUAUGCCCUAGAGGCAAUCAUAGAGAUGAUGAUAUUCCAUUUGUAUGCAUGAUUUCUAUAUUGUGUUCAUUGAAUAUCCAUUAAAGGCUACUUGAAUUGAUUUGCAAUUAUGUGAAUUGUAUGUGAAACUCUUUACUUGUAUUGUUAUUUUAAAGUUAUCCCUAGUCGGAGUUCAUGUGAGGACACACAUGAAUAUUAGACUAGCACAUGUAUUAGUUGAUGACUAUGUUUCACAAGUCAUGGACAUGGAGAUGUUGAACUAAUAAUGUGGACACAUGUGGAGACAUGUGCUAGGACUGACCCAACACGAGAAGUAGUUCUCUCUUUAAAAAACAUAUACGCUUUGUCCUUAGACCUGAGAUUGUCGCAUGUAUUCAAGAUGUGGAUCGACCUACUUAGGGGCUAUGAAACGCUACGCCGUAACAGGGUAGUUAUAAAGGUAGCUUUCGGGUUUGUCAAGAAGCAUGCUAUGAGACAUGGUCAAUCAAGAUGGGAUUUGCCCCUCUCUGAUUGAGAGUGAUAUCUCUGGGCCCCUGAAGUGAUCGGAUCCGAAAAUGCAUGGCCAUGCUACGUACGGUUAAGAGUUAACCUACAAAGGGAUUCCGAAUCACAGGAUCGAGAAAGAGCGGUCGGCUUGAAGCUAGACCAAAUAUCGUGAGGCAAAGGGAAUAGCAUGUAUAUUAUGUUGUGAUGGUUCGUGUGAUAUGAUCUUCGUGUGCGUAUAGGAGUUGGCACGUCUUGCUAGAGGCCGCUACCGACUACUGGGUCGAGUAGGAGUACUCAGGCCAUGUCUAUACAUAUCCGAACCCAUAGGGUCACACACUUAAGGGGCUGGAAGCCCAAUUCGGCUCUGAUCCGAGUUGGAUUAGGUUUAGAAGUACUAAUGGGCCUCGGACCCAGAGGCCCAUCAGGAACCUCUAUAAAUAGAGGGGUGGGGGCGCCCUAAAGUUUACACCUUUUGGCGAAACACAUCUGCCGCGCCUCCCACACCCUCGCGUGUUGCAACUCGCGGAUCUAGCAGUCCGGCUUGCGACGCUUCCUCCCUGCACGUGUGGAUACCUUGGAGGUGUUGCGCCUGCAGCACUUGGACGAGCUGCUGACGAGCCACGACGAGCCGCCGACAAGCCACGAUGACCCGACGACGAGCCGUGGCACGAGGGCAAUCUUGCUGCACGUGGACGAGCUGCUGAGGAGCUGCUGGACGUUGACGUGAUCGACUACGUACGACUACGUUGAUCGACUACGUACGACUACGUUGAUCAUCUUCGCUGCAUCGACGCAAAUCUACAUUUUCCGCACCAGUAGUGCGUCGAGUGGUAAUCCCGUGAUCCUUAUACGGCAGUUCUUCCUGGUUUUAUGCGGUAGAAAUUUUGAUUUGCGCUAGUGUAGCCUACCUCGUAUCCCAACAUGUCCAACAAUAAUAUUUCCCGCAUUUCGUGGUUGUGGCGGUACUUCUCUUGCCAUGAGUAUCUCAACUUGUUCUGCUACGUUAGCAUCACUCAUUGAUUCUUGCCCAAUCGGCUCAUCUUGAACUUUUUCAAGAUGCAGUAUCUUUCCACUCUUUUCUCCUUUGAGAAACUCUUUCUCUAGGAAAACCACGUUUCGAGAGACAAAUACUUUGCCCUCUGACCGGUUGUAGAAAAAAUAUCCCAAAGUUUCCUUUGGAUAUCCCACAAAAAUGCACUUAUCCGACUUGGGUGUGAUCUUUUCCGACUGAAGUCGCUUGACAAAGACUUCACAUCCCCAAUCUUUAGAAAAGACAAACUGGGAACUUUUCCAGUCCACGGUGUCUUAACUACGGAUUUAGAUGGUGUUAGGCAUACUCCCCAGGCCCACGAGUAGGCCUUGGACGGCCCACUAAGGGACGUACUCGGACAAGAUCAGAACAAGGAUAGGCGUAUCCUUCUCGAACUAGUCUUGUAUGUUUAUGGAAAACUACUCGGACCAGAUGCCGAGUAGAACUCUGUAAUAGUACCCGACUAGGAUUCAGACUUGUAACCCUGCCCUCCCGUGUAUAUAAGGCCGGGCAGGGACCCCCCUCAAAACAACUCCAGUUCAUCAAUCCCCAAGAUCAAUACAAACCAACACACAGGACGUAGGGUAUUACGCGAUCUAGCGGCCUGAACCUGUCUAAAUCGUGUUCCUUGCGUCACCAUUGAUUCCUUGAUUCUCGACGACCCUUACCGCAUAAAAGACCACCUAGCGUACCCCCUAGGCGGGUUGCCGGUCUAAAACACCGAUAGCUGGCACGCCAGGUAGGGGAACUCGUCGAGUUUCUCAGCGCAAACUCAAUGGCAAAGGUCAUCAUCAGGCCCGCCUUCUUCAUCGAAGCCGGCGCCACCUUCGUUUUUGGAUCCUGGCUUUGCGUCGCUGAAGGCUCGAGAUCGUUCCGACGCCAGAUCAUCGACGUUCAGGAGAAGAAACUAGAAGAUUUGACCAGAAAAAAUCUAGAUUUCAAAGUCAACGAGUUCGAGUUCGACUACGCGUCGGAUUCAACUUCACCUUGGACUACUCCAACCUCCCGACCCCAGGACUCAGGGUCGGGCGAGGCGGAGCUACUCCUCCAAAGGGUCGGGCUCAGCCGACCCCAGGACUUGGGGUCGGACUCGACGGCAACAGUCAGCAUCCAAGUCGGUUUUGAUUUCAACGCGGUUCACGUACGGACUCCGCAACACAACCAAAGUCUACCAAGGUUUUCUUGCUCAACCCCGAGUCGAACUCGGGCAUAACGAGGAUUUCGACUCCGACUCAUCCUACUCACCAGAGAUACCAUUAUCUGGCCCAGCCCAAGAGUUGGUAAUCACUUCGACAUCUCAAGGCAGAUUCGUCCACUGGCCGGGAUUGCGACCCUCUCUUCCCGACCAUGACUACGACUCGCGCCUUGUCACCCAUACAGACAACCUACCAUAUCAAGAAGGCAUUCCACUCACUUCCAACCACGAAGAAAGUUACACAGAGAUUGCAACAUCAAGCUCCGGAAGCUACUACCCGGACAGGGAGAUACUUGUUAUCACUCAGAACAACAACCCAGGUACUAGCCAGAACAGAACCCCCAGGCGAUUGGCACAAAUCGACUACAUCUCCGAAGACGAAUCUACAGUUGACGCCCCUCACGUCGAAACUUCCGAGCAGCAAAACCAACAAAGGGUGCGCAAUACCUCUCGAGCUGAGCGACGUUAGUCGAUGGCUACAAAUAUUCCUAUUACAAAUCUUGAAAGGGCUUUCAACGCAGUCUAGGCUCAGGAGCACAAUACUCCACUCGCGGCUAUCGCUUCAAUCAACCUUUUGACAACAUUGAUGCCUCAGGAUAAGGAUAAUGCAGCCACAGCUCAACUCGUGCAGCGCGGCAAUGGACUAAUCGCACAACUCACGGAGCAAGCUUACAAGCUACUCGACAAAGAAUCACCAAUCCCGUCCGUUCCUCGUAUCACUUCUCAUCAAGAAGGUAGCAGGGGAGCUGCAGACAAAAAUGCUGCCCCACAAAACAAUGAUGUAGUCAACCAACCCCGGCAACACAGGCAAGGUCCAAGCAAGCAUAAAGCUCAUACACGACAGAAGGACACUGGAGAGGUCAGCUGCACCAACUCGGUUAAAAGUAUCCGCCCUACCCGAAAGACCCGCAAGAUGUCUAACUUCAGUGAUCUGCGAGAAAUUUUCAACAGUCGGCGCGAACGAGAAGUCGACAGCUACAACCAUUUUCCCUCUUUCACAAACCAGGUAACGAAAACCAAAUUACCCGAAAAGUUCAAGCCAACUGGAAUUACUAAAUACGAUGGCAAACAAGACCCUGUCCAAUAGCUACGAUGUUACUCACUAGCUGUUCAAGCAGCCGGGGGCAAUAACGACACCAAAGUCAUUCAUUUCCCCAUAUGCAUGGAACCCGCGCCACUGAUCUGGCUCGAGUCACUCAAACCCAAGUCCAUUGAUUCUUGGGCAGACUUGACAAAGGCUUUCACCAACAACUUCGCAGGCUCCAUGGCUAGACCAGGCAACAAGAUCGACUUAAGACAAAUCAAGCAGAAAGAGGGCGAGACCUUACGCGACUAUCUGCGAUGGUUCUUCGAAAAGAAGGCUACCAUAGUAGACAUCUUCGAAGCAGACGUCAUCGAGUGCUUACAAAACGGACUCUAUGAUCGAUGAACAUACCAAGACUUCGGUCACCGACGACCAGCUGAUGUCAAAGAACUCAAAGUCAUGGUGCAACAGUGGGCUGAUGCAGAGGACAAAAAGCGAGAACGGUUCGGUUCCCACCAUAACCGUGGACGCGACAACAACCACAACAAUGAAAUAGAAAGAACUCGGCAUAACGAUGCUCGGAACUCCUAUCCGAGUAACCACAAUCGCAAAAGGAAGCCCGACAACACCGUUGCCGCCAUGACCAGCUCCGGCAAAAAAGGACAUCGCAGAAACGACAAAGGGCCAACCUUCACAGAGCUACUCAAAAAGCAGUGCCCAUGGCAUCCGACUAGCAAGCACUCUGCAAUAGACUGUUACAGCAUGCGUCGAGUCAUGCAAGACUUACCCGCACCACCAACUUCUGAGGAGUACACCAAAAACAGAGAUAAGGCCCAAAAUAAAGCCCGCAAUGGCGAAGAUGAGGACGGCGACUUCCAGACAGCUGCAAAAACCAUCAACGUCAUUUUCGGCAGCAUUCCAGGCACUGCAUCCAAGCGAGCUAACAAACUCGUACUCAGGGAGAUCAUGGCCAUCAAGCCUACGGACCCCACACCGUUAAAAUGGUCGGAAGUUCCAAUUUUUUUCAGCAGAAAAGACCAAUGAACAAAAUUUUCAGAACCUGGAUGUUUCCCACUAGUCCUGGAUCCAGUUGUGGCAGGUUCAAAGUUAACUAAAGUACUCAUCGACGGCGGAAGCGGCCUCAACGUUAUCUUCGCCAAUACAUUAAGAAAAAUAUGCCUCGACGUCACUGAAAUGCUCACCCCAACGGAUUCACCUUUCUACGACAUUGUACCCGGAAACGCGGCUAUACCACUCGGACAAGUUGUCCUUCCAGUCACCUUCGGAACUAAGGAACAUUACUGCACCGAGUACAUCAGAUUCGAGGUCGCCGACUUCGAGACAUCUUAUCAUGCCAUACUCGGACGGCCAGCACUCGCCAAGUUUAUGGCCAUACCACAUUAUGUCUACCUGGUACUCAAAAUGCCAGGUCCCAAAGGGGAGCUCACGCUACGAGGAGAUCUCCGGAGGUCCUACGAAUGCGACACCGAAGCCGUGGAAAUUGCUGCGACUACUCAAACUCCUAGUCCCAUGCAGCAAGUCUUCACAGCCUCCAAGAAGCUCCAGCCAACCGACCUAGAGAUCCCAGAAAACAAGUUGGGCUCCACAAAGGUGAAACCCACCAGUGAGCAAGACUUCAAAUCAGUCGACCUCCAGACCAGUGAUCCUUCCAAGACAGCCCUGAUCAAAACAGGGCUGGAUCCUAAAUAGGAAUUCGCGCUCGUCAAUUUCCUUCGGGCUAACCAUGAUAUUUUCGCUUGGAAGCCAGCUGACAUGCCAGGUGUGCCCAAGGAACUGAUCGAGCAUUCUCUCAACGUCGAUCCCAAAGCUACUCCAAAACGGCAACGACUACGCCGGUUCGCUCAGGACAGACGAGACGCAAUCAAGAAAGAGUUAGCAAAGCUACUCGCAGCAGGAUUCAUCAAAGAAGUCUUUCAUCCUAACUGGCUCGCCAAUCCUGUCCUUGUCCGAAAGAAAAACAACGAAUGGAGAAUGUGUGUCGACUACACCGACCUUAACAAACACUGUCCGAAAGAUCCUUUUGGGCUACCCAGGAUCGAUCAAGUGGUUGACUCCACCGCUGGGUGCGCUUUGCUAUGUUUUCUCGAUUGCUACUCCGGCUAUCACCACAUAAGCCUCAAAGAGGAAGAUCAAGCCAAAACAGCGUUCAUCACACCCUUUGGAGCCUUCUGCUACAAAACAAUGUCCUUCGGACUCAAAAACGUAGGAGCAACUUACCAAAGGGCCAUACAGAUGUGCUUCGAAAAGCAACUUCAUUGCAAUGUCGAAGCUUAUGUUGACGACGUCGUCGUCAAAACAAGAAACCGGGAGGAACUCAUUGCUGACUUGGAGGAAACUUUCUCCAGUCUCCGUGCCUUCCGAUGGAAACUCAAUCCUACUAAGUGCGUCUUUGGAGUACCUUUUGGAAAAUUACUCGGGUUCAUCAUUAGCCAUCGCGGCAUUGAGGCCAACCCGGAGAAGAUAUCUGCCAUCACAAACAUGCAGGCACCAGCCAGCAUUAAGGAUGUGCAGAAACUCACAGGUUGCAUGGCCGUCCUCAACCGGUCAUCUCGAGACUUGGAGAACGGGGACUACCCUUCUUCAAGAUUCUCAAACGCCAGGACAAGUUCAAAUGGACGGAAGAGGCAGAUAAGGCAUUAACACAACUCAAAAACUUUCUGUCAAAGCCUCCUGUACUCACCGCGCCCUCGCCGAAUGAAGACUUGCUCCUAUACAUCUCCUCUACUACUCAUGUCGUCAGUACGGCAAUAGUAGUCGAACGGUCUGAACUGGGCCACGCUUACAAGGUCCAACGACCUGUCUACUUCGUCAGCGAAGUACUCCCAAACUCCAAAACUCGGUAUCCACCAAUACAAAAACUCUUACAUGCUAUUCUGCUCACUUCCCGGAAGCUGUGCCAUUAUUUCCAAGAGCACAACGUCAUAGUCAUCUCCGAUUUCCCGCUCGGCGAAAUUCUCCAUAACAGAGAUGCCACGGGUCAAAAGUCUCAGGCUUUGGUCGACUUCAUAGCUGAGUGGAUCAAAAAUCAAGUUCCAACACCAGUCGAACGACCAGAACAUUGGGUAAUGUACUUCGACGGAUCCCUCAAACUUGAAGGGGCCGACGCAGGUGUCUUACUCAUCUCCCCCAAGGGAGACCAGCUCAAGUACGUGCUGCAGAUAUUCUGGGAGGCAUCUAAUAAUGAAGCCGAGUACGAAGCACUACUACACGGCCUUCGCCUCGCAAUCUCCCUCGGCAUCAAACGACUACUAGUGUACGGCGACUCCCUAGUCAUCAUAAACCAGGUCAAUGACGAGUGGGACCGAAACAAGGACAACAUGGACGCUUAUUGCAAAGAAGUCCGUAAACUCGAAAACAAGUUCUCAGGCUUAGAGUUUCAUCACAUCUUUCGCGACAACAACGUUGCCGCCGAUGUUUUAUCCAAAAUGGGUUCAACUCGUGCAGAAGUUCCAGCAGGAAUUUUUGUACACGAACUACGCAAGCCGUCCAUACCUUAAUAGGUCACACCGCCAGUAGUCCCGACUACUGACGUCUCUCGAGAAAUCAUGAUGAUAGAAGUCGACUGGAGGACACCCUUCAUCGACUACAUCAAAGAUCACCAGCUACUAUCCGACAGGAAUAAAGCUGAGCAAAUCUCCCGACGUGUAAAGAAUUACGUUCUAGUCGGAGACAAGCUCUACAAGAAAGGUGCAUCAUCUGGAGUACUCAUGAAGUGCGUCACCAAAGAAGAUGGCCAAGAAAUCCUAGAAGAGAUUCACAGAGGAAUCUGCGGCAACCACGCAUCUUCAAGGACACUAGUUGGCAAGGCUUUCAGAGCGGGCUUCUACUGGCCAAUGGCUUUGGCCGACGCCAAACAACUGGUUCAGAAAUGCAAAGGUUGUCAAUUCUUCACAAAACAGCAACAUGUGCUGGCCUACAAGCUAGUCACAAUACCUCCAACAUGGCCAUUUGCCUGCUGGGGGCUCGACAUGAUAGGUCCGUUACCAACUGCGCCAGGAGGAUUCAACAGACCGGUCACUUGCCCCAAGGCAGACCGAGUCCUCAACUUCUUGGAUGAAAUCGUACACCACUACGGUUUUUUCCCAACAGGAUCAUCACAGACCUAGGAUCAAACUUCAAUAAUCACGACUUUUGGGAAUAUUGCGAGAACAGCGGCAUCGACGUCCGCUAUGUCUCGGUUGCUCACCUGCGAGCCAACGGACAAGUCGAGCAUGCUAAUGGCAUGAUACUCGAUGCUCUAAAGAAACGACUACAUGAUGUCGGCAACACCAAAGGUGACAGAUGGCUCAAAGAGUUACCCAAUGCCUUGUGGGGCCUACGUACCCAACCAUGCAAGACUACGGGACUAUCACCCUAUUUUCUGGUAUAUGGCUCGGAAGCCAUACUACCCGCCGACAUAAUGUGGCAAUCACCAUCCGUUGAGCACUACGACAAAGAACUUGCAAUAGAAACGCGGCGAACGGAUAUAGACAGUUUGGAAGAAACAAGAUGCGCAGCACUAGUGCAAUCUUCCAGAUACCUUGAUUGUUUAAGGCGUUAUCACGACCGCAACGUCAAGGAAAGAUCUUUCAACUCGGGCGAUAUGGUCCUUAAAUGUAUUCAAGACACGUCAGGAUUACAUAAACUCAAUUCACCAUGGGAAGGUCCUUACAUCGUAUCAAAGGUUACAGGACCCAAAUCUUAUAGGCUCCAAGAGCUCUCAGGAGAACAAGUGCCAAAUUCUUGGAAUAUCGAACAUCUCUGUCGCUACUACCCAUAGCAGCACCCAAGUAGUCGCUUCAAGGCUGCUACUCGGGCCAACUGCCCGACUACCAACUUCAAGAUAACUCAGCUUCGACAUGAGUUCUCUCCCACAAGGAUCAUUGCCCCGGUACAAAAAUCUUCGUAUUAAUCUUUACUAAAACAAGAGUACAUCAUGUUACAUACGAGUACAAGGACUCGGCUUACAUGAAGACUACAAGCAACUGCCUACUGGCGGGCUGCAUUUAAGCCUCAGGCUUUUACUAUAUCACAAGGCCACUCAGGUCUGCCGACCGCAGGAAGGGCCUACACGCAAGGAAGCUGCGCAAAAUGCAGCCAUGCCCAGGUACCCUACCCAAGGCAACGUCAGGUACUCCAUCACCGCCAUCGCCUUGGCAGCGGCAAUGCCAAAUCCGGCACGAUGUGCCUAGAGGGAACCAAGGCUGCUCUUUUGGUAGCCUUGCGAAGCCCAUCUAUUCUACGGCCGCACCUCCACCCCUUUCAGAGCGGGAUAAAGACUGCGGCACUCAUCACCCAUCACUAGUGAGUUCCAGCGCGUACUCCACUGAAUCACGAGCUGCAAGAUGAGGCGUGCGAUGAAACCUCCUAUGAGGAUUCUUCUAGCAUCGCGGCUAUCCCUACGAGCGCAGGAGUCUGUGGAGGGAAGGUGGCCUCAAUCUACGAGGAAUCUUCUAGCACCGGUGCGCUCUUUGAUGGCUCUGUACACUCAAACAGAAGCAACCGAAGGCAAUCCAUCGCUACUCAGGAACUUGAGUUGGUUCGCCCACCAGAUGGCCCUAUUUAUAGCCGAAAGGCCACAACUACCACCUGCUCAAGAGUUACUAUGCACCCAUGAUCAAUGAGCCUGACGACUCCUGACUUUGCCCAUGUGACCGCACUCAUGCCACAACGGACAAAAGAGUACAGUACCCCCGUGCAUCCACAAAGGACAAAAAAGUACAGUACACCUGUGUCCCUCAAAAAGACGAGUACUCAAACAGCAUUACAACUACUCGGCACUCGGGACUAGUACAAGCCAAGCAUGGCCUACAUCUCGGGGGCUUCGACUACUCUGACCCCAAAGACUCAAGGUCAGGCGGGAUGAAUCUUCCACCAUAGAGUGUCAGGCCCAGCCUACUCCAGUAUUCUGGAUUGGACAAAAUAGAGUAGAACUACUCUUCGCAAGACAACGAUCUUCAAAAUCCAAAGGCUUGAUAUUCAAAAGUAUCAAAGUAUUCGGUACAAGAACAAGAGUACACACAAAAGCUCAAAGCUCCUCUAGGGAGAAAAACUCCGACAUCUUGGCUGCAAUAGGCUCCGCCUCCUCGAGGUACUGCGCAUAUGCUUCCUCUGUGCAGUUGCGAGCCACGCCAUCUCCAGCUGCCGCCAAGUCUGCCCUCGGGUAGUAGGACUUCACAACUGCAAGAACCUGUUUGUAAACAGUCUUACAGAGUCCCGCCACUUGACUCGGGGCAGCUCUUAGUCGCUCUACUAGCGAUUGCGGUCCUGCGCCUUCCUCCACGGGGGGCUAUGGCAUUCACCAAGUCUUCGGCUGCUCCAGACAGCUCUUGGAGUUCGCCUCGAAGUCUUCCCAAGGUCUGGGCAUGAUCUCUACAUGCCACCAUGGCCAUGGCAAGCAUCUUGACAUUUUGCAUCUUUCGGUCCCGCUAAUGUUCGCAAGCAGCCUGUGCUUCCGUCAGCGCCGCACGAAGAUGUUCGGCUUCAUCUGCCACCCGGUCGUGAGCGUUUCUCCAGUCGAUGACUUGGCUCCUUGUAGCCGCUUCCUGCUUCUUGAGCUCUACAAAAGAAAGAACUCAGGCCACAGCCAACUACAGUUGAACACACUCAGAGUAGUCGACAUGCUCACCUUGAUACUUCUUGUUCAAGGACUUGUAGCGGCUCUCCAGUUUUUCCUACAGAACCGCAUGAUCCGCGCGUUCCACGGCAAAGGACUUUGCCCCGACUUCAUGAACCCGAAGAGCCUCUGUCAGUCGGGCACAUUCCUGCUCCAACUGAAGGCUUCUCUCCUGAAAGCAUCCAAGUAUGGUAUGAUAAGUUUCAAAGCCACACGACUACUCGGGUCAUACAACAAAAUCAAAAAGGAAAUCUACCUGGAAGAUCCGGAAAACAUCGAUGGCUCUCUGGAACUCCAAAUCAGAAGGCAGGCUAAGUACUGAUCUUUGGGUACUCUCCACAAGAUGAGGAACCAUACCCAGAGUAGCACCUACAACAUUCAUCGCAUCAGCUACCAGCCACGACUACAAUAAACAGACUACAACAAAAUACCUGGAGCAGUCGUUUGUUUGGCUUUCUCAACAUCUACUACGGCCAGCGAUCCGCCAGUGGAUGACGAUAACGCAGUGCUCUCCGAACCCGAUGCAGCAGCGGGAAUCUCCACCGAGCGAAUCACCACUUGAAGCAUCGACAUAGUAGCUCCAAGAUGGCUAGCGUCAACUUCGGGUACCUCUUCAACAGUCAAGUCCUCCAAAGGAACAUAUGCUGUAGCUGAGGGGUCCGGUGCUACCCCUGUUUCUACAGGGAUAGUCUCCUCUGCAUCUCUGCACCAAAAAAGUGUCACAGACGACUUCAAGACAAUCCAAUGUCAUUCAAAAAAAGACAAGGAAGCUCACCGGGCUGAACGUGGCGGUAGUCGCACACGCUUCUUCUCAGCGACAGGCGGCCGAGUACUAGGCACCGCGGGCGCUGUCUUCUCACCAAGGCCUACAAAACCGAAGUUAAGACUACAAUACUACUCGAACGAAUACAAGCAGAGGGGACAACGUCUACCACUGGCGAUCACAUUGGAUAGCAAGGUACCAGUAACGAGUACUGGUGACACCUCUUUUGCUGUACCCACUACUCCAGCAGGCAACCCCAGGACCGCCUAAUCAGCAAUAGGCGGCAUGGCAGCCGAUGGAGUUGGCACGGUCAACUCGGGGGCUACCCCAGUAUCUGUUGAUGGUACCCUCUCCGGCACCAUGUCAAUAGCCACAUCGCCGACUUCUGGGUCAGUUCCGGCCAUUUCUUCAGAAACAGCCUCAUCUUCACCAAGCGCCGUAUACACAGCCUUCACGAACCAAGACAAGAUUCGCUACAUCAAUAACGAGUUCAAAUCCAUCAUUAACAGACAAGUUACCGACUACAUACCUUGGUACCCCGAGACUUCUCAGGGGUUGAAGCAGACUUAGCCGCGGACUAGUCUGUGUCUUUUAACAGGUGGAGAAGGCUCGCCCUAAGACUCCUCAACGACAGCUUCCGACUCUUCUUCCGACUGCGCCAAGUAGCCGGCAAGAACUCGGGACUUCAAAACAACAAAAUCGGUAUCAGCAACAAGAAUCACCAGUCCAAAACAACAAGUCGGGAGCAAACGACAUACCACUUCUGGCUCGUACCAGGCGUCAUACUAGCGAAGGGCUGCAGGGAUUACUGGUACUCCCUGAUAGUUUCUAAAAAACUUAGCCAGCAGCGCCUCUACAUCAUCAUCGGAUAUAUCCUCAUCGGACAUACGCGACGGAUCCUUCAGACCUACGUACUCACUUCCCGAGUGAGCACGUUGUUGGAGCGGCUGAACCCUUCUCUUCAGGAAGCUGGCCGCCACGUUGAUCCCAGUCAAACCGAGUACCUUGAACUCGGUGAUCUGCUGCAUCAGGUGAUCGAGCUUAGGGGUAUCCUCAGGCUCGCUCACCCAGUUCUUCACAUGCUUGGGCACGUGACCGGUCACCACAGGCAAGCAGGGUUCAUGGUUCCCGAUGUAGAACCACCUUUUCUUCCACUCCCCAUGGGAGUCGGUCAGAGUAUACUCAAUAUACACGCCCGAGUUCCUAAGCUGAAACACGACACCUCCAAAGACUUCCGUCUGCUAAGCACUCGGUUGAGGCUUACAACGGAACAGCUUCCUAAACAACUCAAGACUUGGAGGUACUCCUAGGUAUACUUCGCACAGAUGUACGAAAAUAGACAUGUGCAGUAUACCAUUGGGAUUCAAGUGGACAAGUUGGAGUUUAUAGUACUCAAGAAUACCUCUGAAGAAGUCGGAGGUGGGCACCACUAAUCCCCUUUCCACAAAAUGUGCAAGCAUCACUGUCUCGGCAGGAUGUUCCUCAAACUACCACGCAUUGGGAAACGCGGGGCGCCACUCAAGAAUCUCCUUCGGCUGAAGGAGCUUUGCAUCAACUAGCGCUUGGACAGCUUCCUCCUUCAUCACCGAGUGUUGCCAAGUCACCCUAGGCGGCGGCGGUGCAGUUUGGUUCGUCGGCCCAACCUUCGAUGCCGGCAGCACCAACUCCUUCCCCUUCUUGGAUUUGACCUUGCCCGUCGCCGGAGCCUUGCCCUGGAUCUUCUCGGGUUUCUUGCCCAUCUUCUUGGUGCGCAUUCGACGGACUCAACCUCAAGAUAAGAGGGGUCUCUCUCAGAAAGCGGCAAUGGCAGAGGCGGCGACACUGGUGGCGGCGAAACACCGAGCGGAGGCGCAGUGGGGGAAGGAAAAAGAGAUCUGAUUACCGUAUGGCGUAACAGCAACCGAAAGGAGGCCUUCCAGUUUUAUCUCCGCCGGAUCCGGUUUUCCACGCGUCAGUUGCGCAACGGAUAGAUUAAUCGCGUAUCAAUCGUCUUAAACAUUCAACGGCUACUCUAUUCAACGGACUGCUGACCACUUCAACGACAGAAAUCGCCUAAGUGCUCGGGGACUACGGGUACCGUACCCGUUGGUCAGUUUUUUCUUUUCAAGAUCUCCAAGGGUAAAAUGGACAAAAGCUGGUUUGACCCUAAGCCUGACUCUUUGACUCAACCUAAGGCUUCGAGGGCUACUCCAUAUGGAGUGUGAUGGACAUCGCACUACCAUAUAAAACUACUCGAGAACGAAAACAGCUCGAAGAUGCAGAAAAGAGUACCUUCCAGCCACGCGAUAGUACGCGAGCACUUCAGUCUGCAAAACUACUCGGGUAGUGCCCGCAGUGCCCAAGACUAUUGCGCACGACUACAAAGUACUCGGGGGCUUGUCGGGCAUACUCCCCAGGCCCACGAGUAGGCCUUGGACGGCCCACUAAGGGACGUACUCGGACAAGAUCAAAACAAGGAUAGUAUCCUUCUCGGACUAGUCUUGUAUGUUUAUGGAAAACUACUCAGGCCAGAUGCCGAGUAGAACUCUGUAAUAGUACCCGACUAGGAUUCAGACUUGUAACCCUGUCCUCCCGCGUAUAUAAGGCCGGGCACGGACCCCCCUCAAAACAACUCCAGUUCAUCAAUCCUCAAGAUCAAUACAAACCAACACACAGGAUGUAGGGUAUUACGCGAUCUAGCGGCCCGAACCUGUCUAAAUCGUGUUCCUUGCGCCACCAUUGAUUCCUUGAUUCUCGACGACCCUUACCGCAUAAAAGACCACCUAGGGUACCCCCUAGGCGGGUUGCCGGUCUAAAACACCGACAGAUGGUACCCUAUUAAGUAUGAAAGCUGCUGUUUCUAGAGCGUAUCCCCAAAAUGACAACGGUAGGUCCGAUUGGCUCAUCAUUGAUCGAACCAUGUCUAACAAAGUUUAAUUAUGUCGCUCGGACACACCGUUUCUCUGAGGUGUUGCAGGCAGUAUAAGUUGUGGAACAAUUCCGCAACUCUUUAGAUGAUUGCUAAACUCGUGGCUCAAAUACUCGCCUCCACGAUCAGAUCGUAAGGCCUUAAUUUUCUUACCACGUUGAUUUUCAACUUCAUUCUGAAAUUCCUUAAACUUUUCAAAGGUUUCAGACUUGUGCCUCAUCAAGUAGACAUAGCCAUAUCUACUAAAAUCAUCAGUGAAAGUUAUGAAGUAUUGGAAUCCUCCUCUAGCCGUCGUGCUCAUUAGUCCGUAUACAUCGCUAUGUACGAGUUCCAACAAGUCUACUGCUCUCUCAGGAAAUCCUGUGAAAGGCGUCUUGGUCAUCUUGCCUAGCAACCAAGCCUCACAUGUCUCGUAUGAUUCAAAAUCAAACGAAGUUAGAAGUCCAUCAGUGGAGCUUCUUCAUGCGUUUUUCACUUAUAUGACCCAAACGACAAUGCCACAAGUAGGUAGGACUCAAAUCAUUAGGCCGAGGCCUUUUAGCACAUACAUUACAAAAUGUUUCGACUUCAACUAGGAACAAAACAACAAUUAUUCAACUCCAUAAUAAAUCCUGAUGGGAGGUGGAGUUGCAUCGUCCUGACGGUCAACGCAGCAACUCUUGCAUUAUUGCCCACGCGGAAAUCAACUUCUCCUCUUUCCACGCUUCUACUUCUUAUCAUUCCCUGCAUCAAAUUGCAAAUAUGAGCAACCGAUUCGGUAUCAAAUACCCAAGAAUUAACAAUUGUAUCAGCGAGAAAUAUGUAGUCUAUAACAUUAAUAACAAGCGUACCUGAGGUGGAAGUACUCUUACUUCUGCCAUUCUUCAACGAAGCUAGAUACUGCUUGCAAUUUCUCUUCCAGUGACCAAGUUCAUGACAGUAAAAGCACUUUUUGUCUGGAGGAGGUCCAGGUCCAGCUUUAACCUUGGGCGCUAGGUUUGGCUUGGACGUUCCAGCCUUUCCCUUCUUCUUCCAAAAAUUGUCCUUCUUCUUAAAGCUAGGCUUGUUCUGUAUAGCCAUCACAUGGCUGCUACUAGCGCUUUUCUUGAUGUCAGCCCUUGCUGUUUUAAGCAUGCCACACAGCUCAUUCAGACCCUUCUCCGUCCCAUGCAUAUGGUAGUUCGAGAUGAAGUUCCUAUAGCUAGGCGGAAGAGACGAAAGAAUGAAAUCAGUGGCCAACUCUUGGCCCAGUGGGAAGCCCAACUUCUCCAACCGUUGAGUGUAACCAACCAUCUUGAUUACGUGUGGUCCUACUGCUGCGCCUUCUGCUAGCUUGCUCUCCACAAAGGCCUUAGACACAUUGAACCUUUCAGUCCUGGCCUGUGUUUGGAACAUGUCUCUAAGCGCCACGAUCAUAUCGUGCGCCUCAUGGUUUGUUUCGAACUGCAUCUGCAGCUCGGGUUCCAUGCAAGCAAGCAUAAGGCAGCUUACUUCGAGGUUAGCAUCACAUGCUUUCUUGUAAGCAUUCUUAGCAGCAGCGGGUGCAUCAUCAGCAGGUUCUUCUGGUAGUGGGUUGUCUAGAAUAUCUUCCUUUUUCUCAGCCCUGACAACAAUUCUCAGGUUAUGGAUCCAAUCUGAGUAGUUUGUUCCAUUCAACUUGUCCUUCUCAAGGACCGAACGCAAAGCAAACGGUGUAGUGCUGCUAGGUGUCAUUUAAUCUACAACAAAAGUAAUGCAAAAUACACUAAGAGAAACGUAUCCAUGAUAGAGCAAAUCACAUUAAACUAUUUUAACAGAAUCUACUCCCACUAAAAUCAAUAUCCCUCUAUUGAUACUUAGUGAUUCAGGAUCCACAACUAACAAGUCUACUAGUGAGCUUUAGCAUCACCGCUAGCAAACAAGGUAGAUCGGUAAGCAACUUCUUGCUAAUCAUAUCACAUAUGACUCCUGUUGUUGGGUGACAUCUCUAUAUCUCGGCACCCAACCUUUAUGCCCCAAGGUCCCUAACCAUUAAGAUAACCUUGUUAAGCAAACCAACCCUUAUGCGUGUAAGUGUCCGACACGAACCCGUCUAGUCAAGGAAAACUAGUAGCACCCUAAUUUCAUAGACCCACCACUAAUUGUACGAGACAUGGGACGGUGCAAGUUUUAGUUGGGAGGGCAUACUAACUUAAACUUUGUGAGGGAUCGUUCUACUUCUAACAUCACAACAUGCAGAAAGUAAAACAUAAACAGAAUAGCAUUCACACAGUUGUGACGCAGUAUGGCCUGUUUUCUUAUGGUGAUCUCCAUCUCCACAGAACCUGUUCACCAUGGUGAUCUCCAUCUCCAUGUUCAAUGUGCGCCAUCCUCCUGGUGAUGAGUCCUCCAAGAACUAGAACAUGCUAUUACGCCUAAUAGCUAGAAAAGAAGCUAGUAAUGAAGAUUACAUAGUUGCUUGGAUCAUCACAGAUUGGUACGCAGACCAUUAAAUACAUUGAAGAGACAACACAUAUGGCUCCGGUCGUGUUGCCGUACGCGCGACACGGAGGUCACGAAUGAGUUACACACAUGCAUCACAUACACAAAGGGGCCAUACUGAUCACAAGAUACAUAAAUCCUGCAAAACAGAGUUAAGCGUCCUAACGUUCCAAACUUCGGAGGCCUGAAACUCCAUCUUCCAAGCCAAAUUUAGGAAAUCUAAUUUUGCCGAAAAUGGCAAAACCAUUGAAUUUCAUGUGUAACUUUUUCUGUAGAUCAAUUUUCAUAUAAAAUUCGCCUCGAUCUGAGAUCGUACCGAAAAGUUACGGCUGAUUUACCGAAGCACACGCACACGGCAAAAUCCCGACCCGGUAGUAAAUCCAAUCUACUAUUGCACAUCUCAUGCACCUGGCGUAUUGUUGGCAUUAGAAAUCAUUUGAUCGAAUUCCCAGCGUCGGACACACGACCCGGGAGAAUCUGCUUAGCUCCUGUUCAGGUGAUCGCCCUGGUGCGGUUAACCCGGCGUGCCAGCCAAUCUGACCUGUUGAUUGGCAAGGAAAUAAAUGUGUCAGUCCCCAGAGGUUGCGAUCGGCUAAGGUUCCGAUCUUGAGAAAGCUUAUCAGCGAAUCGGCCGAUUUGCAGUAAUAAGGAAAUCGGCUAUGAUGCAACCGAUUACCAGGCAACGUUUGUGAAGAAAACUACUAGAGUAAUCUAAACAACGCUACGGUAGCAACACUAGGAACAAAUCUGAUCGGCUAUGCACGAAAUAGGUAGAUUAAACAACAAAAUACAAGAAAAGCCAAAAAUACUAAUUCCUAGCUGGAUAACUGGUGAUAAAACUAGAACAACAGGCAAAACCUAGAAUUCUAGUAAGUAUCGAUAACUGGUGAAUAAAUCUAAACGAAACGACAGCGAUGCGCCCGAAGUUAAAGCUUAGAAAUUACUCGAUAAACGGAACUUACAAGAUCAGCCGGAGGUCAAGUUGAUGCAGCCCCGCCAACCCGUACGAACUCGUGAAAAAGGAGAAAAAGUGUUGGCGAAGUCGCCUGCUUGAAAGUAAGUACGAGGAAAAAGUAGUUUGUUGUAUUGAGUUGAUGAUGAUUACAGAUCCAUAAGGGUGGCUAUUUAUAGCCUGUUACAAACGACUUCUUAUCCGAGUAGAACUCUAUCCCUAAAUUUAAACAGAAAAACUUCUUAUACGACUAGAACUCUAUCCCUAAGUUUAAACAGAAAAAGAAUAUUUACAAGUACGAUUCGUACUAUUUUCACGUGCUUCAUGGGCUGACCUCUUCUUCAUCUUCAUAAUCUUUUUUAAGCCCACAUCGGCCCAACUAUUCCAACCUUCUAAUCGGCCGAUCUCCUCUUUGGCAAGGGGGUAACCGAUCAUGACCCACACGUCGAGGGCUCAGACUCAUCCCGACCCUGGGGACUAAGGUCGGACGAGGCGGAGAUCCUCCCUCGGAGGGUCGGGCGCAUCUGAUCCCAAACCCCAAGGGUCGAGCGAGGCGGAGAUCCUCCCUUGGAGGGUCGGGCGCAUCCAAUCCCAAACCUCAGGGGUCGAGCGAGGCAGAGAUCCUCCCUUGGAGGGUUGGGCGCGUCCGAUCCCAAGUCUCAAGGGUCGGUCGAGGCGGAAAUCCUCCCCUGGAAGGUUGGGCGUGUCCGAUCCAAAACCUCAGGGGUCGGGCGAGGCGGAACUCCAAGGAUCAAUCAGCCGAUCCUCGACUGCAGCAUCAAUUGGCCGAUCGUUGACUGUAGCACCAAUCGGCUGAUUUCCAAUCAUCGCCCUUGUAUCUCGCCGCAUCUCCUAAUUCCUUCCACUUCCAACGCCGAUUUUACACGUGUCAAAAUCUGGCGUCAACACAUGCCCCCCAGUUUCGGAGUAAAACAUAGUCUUUACUUCGAAAUUCUUUUCAACUUCUCAUCCGAAACAGAUGCCAUUAAAAUAUCCUUCCGUUUCGCGGUCUCCAACCUGAUGAUUGCAAUCUUUUUGAAAUGGGUGCCCACGACAUCCACUACUCCCGAAAAACUCGAAACGCCGGCACGGUAAAAAUUCCGAUUUUACCCCUUCUCAGAGCUUCUUUAAAUAUUAGCACAUCCUGUACUCCUUACGAGCUCACGUCCUUCUUCUUCAGCGCACAAGCUUUUCUUCCCCCUUCAACACUUUCCUCAAUCCUCCAAUUCUUCAGCGCCUCCUUCCCUUCGCAUUCCCUCCUACUUUUCCAAUGGCGGCACCUUCAGGCACCUCACAAACGCGCGAAGCUCCAGAAAUGGCGCCUUCGGCAGAGAAUCCAGUAGCGACAGCGGCAGCUCCAUUGACGGAAGAAGGAGCUCCAUCGGCGAAAGCUGAAGCUUCAUCCGAGAUCCCAUUGGCAGCUUCAUCAUCUGCAGUUGCACCGGCGACUCCGCCGAUUACGAGGAGCUUCAUCCCGGAGGUCAUUAUCGAAAUUUUCCUUUAUUAGUAAUGCAUUUACCUUAGAUCUAUUUCUUACUCUCGCACCCCCUUUUCUUUUUUAGGCAGUUAGGCAUCGCAUCACCAUUCGCCUUACAGAAAGCCUCGGCCUUAUCUGCCUCGGGCCCAUGGGAAACCCAGAUCCAACCGACCUAAUCAACUUGGAAACCCAUAGGAUCCCCUUCAAACAAUCAACUAUGGACCUAGAUCACUGGUCGGGUACCUUUAGGUCUUGGCUGAACGAAACUCCUGGUUGGAGGGAAUGGUACCAACGGAUAGCCGCCUCCAAGAAGGUCCGAUGGGACGAGCUCAAAAUUGGCCAAUGCAUCGAUCUAUCCUUGUCCCAAAUGGAACGGAAUGAGCCGUUAGUGAUGGCAGCUUCUUACUUCUAGUCCGAUGCUCUCAACGCAUUCCUGUUUGGACACGGACCCAUGACCCCCACAUUGGCUGAUGUAGUCUUGCUGACCGGCCUGGACAUCUCUUCCCCGGACACCCCUUUCCGCCUUAUAGCCGCAACAUCACAUCGGCUGGACACAAGGGGAAUCGGCGGGUGGAAAGGCUUCAUCAGAUGCAACAAAAGGGCCGGAUCUAUCGAGAACAGAGAGCAUACGGCCUUCCUGAUGAUGUGGCUAGAGAAGCACUUCUUCUGUGGGAGAGCAGCUGGUCCAUCUACCAAUACCCAAGCUCUGACCGAAGCACUAUCAAUAGGGACUUCUGUUCCUCUUGGAAAGCACUUACUGGGAGCGGUCUACCACAUGCUUCACCAAAUCGGCAUUAAGCUAUCCCAAGGGGAGCCGAUUGGAAACCCAGGUGGACCAUGGUGGUUCAUUAACUUAUGGCUGAACUUGUAUAUGAGCGAGAUCUCUCAGCAGCGAGUGGAAAAUAUGACAUUCCCCAACGUCGAAUCGGAAGAGAAUCUCACUGUCCGACGCCGGUGUACGUCUUUCGGCGAAGCGGCAUCGGCCUUCUCUUGUUGCUCGUACUCUGCGACCAAGGUGGCCGAAUACUUCCGGUGUUUUUAUAACGGGUUCAAUGAAGAUGCAACCGUCUGGUUCCCUUAUCGGAGAGAUGACCCAAUCUUUGAACUCCCUUCUUGCUUCGACUCAACCACCGGCCGAUUCGACGAAGAUCUCACAGAUGAACUAAUUAAACCAGGGAUCUUACCGGCCAACUUCUUCUCAGGAAAAGAUGCCCCUACAUAUGAAUUCUACAACCCCUCUAUUGUAGCACGGCAAUUCGGCAUGGGUCAACUGCCGAUUCAGGCAUACUUCAUCGACCGAGCAAAGUUCAGAGAUGAGCUCACCAAGGGCCUUGACUAUAGUCGGCUGUGAAAUCGGAUACCAGACUCCAGCACCAUAGACUUGAAUGACUGGAUAGUAGCCCCCUUUGCUGUCCAACAAUUCAAGCUAUGGUGGGCCGAAUGGAAACAGUACCUGUUCUGCGCCUCCGCAUCGACAUACUGCAAUCUCUUGGAUCCAGCCAACAUCGAUCCGAACGCCGAGGUAUUUCUCCCCUAGCCGAUCUUCAUUCCUUUAUUAAUGCGGUUAAAUAUGUACACUAACAUCUUGCUGUUACUUCAGUCUGAAAACCGCGUUCCCCCAACACACAGUCGGAGUGGCCAGCCGAUAGAGGAUCAUCACCCAUACACCAUCUUCCCCCUUAUCGGCUAUGAUGCCCCUUCCGUGGAUGUGAUUGCCGGCCGAUCGAAGCAGGCGCGGAAGAAGGUUACCAAAAAGACCAGUCGCCGAGUACGAACUCGUAUAGAAUCGGCCGACCCUCCUAUGAUCACAUCGGCAGAAACUUUGGCCGCAUUGCCCCUUCCAGCUGCUGGAGAAGUGGAUACUCAAGUCAUCACGCAAGCUGGAGCGGCCGCUGCAUCAUUAUUGGUGGAGGCUAUGCAGGUAAACUUGUUGUCUGAUCCUACCGAUUGCCAUCUCUAUACUGACUCAUCUUAUUUUAGACUGCACAAAUCACUUCUGUGGACUCACAACAAUCGGCAGCAACCCAAUCGGUCAUCAACACGCCCACGCUUCCAUCUGCCGAGGUAGACUACUCUUCAACCGAUUUUUCCAGUAUUUGGAUAAUAUUCUUAUUCAAUCUUUUGUCACAGGUCACUGGCACGCUUAGCGCCCCACCUAGCCAACCAAUGGUCAUCUUCCGGGAAGCUGGCCCGAGCACAGCACCAAUCAUGGUGGAGUCUUCUACUUCUGAUGAACCAAUGGUACUGGCCCCUGAACCGAGGAUAACGGCUUCUCAACGCAAUUUGAAGAAAUUCAUUUUAAGGAGGUAAGAGAAUUCUCACCCUUACUCGGCCGAUUUGCUAUCAUCAUCGACUGAUUUGUUCUUCUUCUUGGCCUAUUAUUUUCCAGGAACAGGACACUCCCAACAACAGCCUUUUCUCGUUUGCGCUCGCACUCUCCGAUGACGAGGAAGUCGCCUCUCGCCAGGUCACCUUGAGCUCUGCCCCUGAUGACGUCCAUGCCAAACUGGCAAGCAUCCGAUCCCUUCUUCAAGAGGACAUCGGCCGAUUAGUAGAAGACGCCUCACCGAUUCGGCAACUUUUUGGUGACGUCAGCGGGCGAGUACCAGAAGAAGCGGAAGAGGCCUUGGCGCCGGCCGCGUAUAUCGAGUCAAUGAGGAUUCCAGUCUUUAGAGCCCUGUGCCACAUGGCCGAUCGCGCCAAGUUGACCAAGACUCGUGAAGAAGAAGACACGUACAAGCGUCAAGCUCAAGAGGUGCAUCAACGGAUUCACUUUCUGGAAGACUCUCGCCCGGGGAUCGUCGGCACGAUAGAUCGCCUCAAGCGCCAAAGGGCAGAGCUUGCCAAGGAGAUGGAGCAGGUGACCAAAGCAAUAGAUGCCGAAGAGAAGAGGCUUCAAGAACUCCCUUCCGUUAUUGCCGAUCUGAAACGGGAGAGGCAGCACCUGGCUCACAAAGCCCUCAGACUCCACCUCCACAUGUUAGAAUCCCGGAUCGGUAGAGGAUGACCAACGGGUCCUGGACUCUGCCGAUCAGAUCCGGCGUCGAGCGGUCGCAGCUAUCGAUGCCCUUCUGGGUGACCUGUAAAAGUACUGGCAGUUCUUGUACAAACAUUUAAUGUCCCCUUUGACCGUCCUUCGCAGCGCCCCCUUUAUUUAUUACCUUUUUCACUUCUGAUGGGACGCGUCUUACCAAACAUUCACGCCUUCCUUUCUUAUAAACGCCGGCCUAGGUCCCUGUUCCGAGAGCACCUGUCUAGCUUGGCUUCAUCUUCCCAACCUGUUUUCGUCGGUGCGCCUUUCAGUCAUGUCUUCUUCAUCUUCUACCUCUUCUGUUAAUCAGGUAAAAGAUUUGCCUCCAUUCUCUUUCUUAGUUUGACUCCUCUGAAGGAAAUCACCUUUUCAGCGACUAUACGUAUAUUGUUGUUCUCCGCAGCUGCGGCGUCUUAGCCCUGAACUAGAACGAGCCAUCGGACUCGUGCAUUCUGACGAACCGCUAUCGCAAGAAGACAAGGACUUAAUCAGGGCUCAUCGCAACGAACUUCAAGAGCACGUCCCUGCUGACGUUCGCCGAAUCUGGGAUUUUCUGGACGGCAACGACCACUGGCGACCUCAAGCCGACCGAAGUCAUCCGCUUCCCCAUCAAAUCAUCCUCGAAGAUGCAGCAGCAGGAACAUCACGCCCGGCCAUGGACCGGAGUCACCCUCUCCCCCGUCAAGUCGAAGCGGAGGCUUCGAUGAAAGAGAUAGAAGAAGAGUACAUCCGACUUCUGAUAGCACUAGGUCGGGCUGAGAGAGAUCGUAAGAAAAAGCGUGAUUAAUUAUUUUUUGUUCUAAGGGUGACUUGUACCUUGUCGGCCGUGUAACCCACCGUCCGUACCGAAUGAAAUAUAUCGGCCGAUUUGGAUGAUUAUGUGUUUUCUCUAGACGAAUCCUUUUGCAUCGGCUGUGUGUUGUUCAUCGUGGUCGAUCCUUAUGCUCCGACCCAUAUACUAGGGUAGUACCUUUUCAAGUAUCUUCCGUUCAGAGCCCUAGUAAACUCUUCUCCUUCGAUUGUUUCCAGAAUAUAAGCGUUUCCUGGAGCACAUCUGCCGAUUUUAUAUGGCCCUUCCCAUGUAGGAGACCACUUACCACAUUUAGGAUCUUUCGAACCAAUCGACAACACUAACUUCCAAACCAGGUCCCCCGGAGAGAAUUGUUUGACUUUGACCUUCUUAUCAUACCACCUGGCCACUUUCUUCUUGUUUUCUUCAAUGCUUAUCAAAGCUCUCAAUCGUUGGCCAGCCAAGUCAUCAAGUUCCCCUUUCAUGAGUGAGGAAUAGUCGUCGGCCGUCUACUGGUCCUGGAGUGAAGUGCGUCUCGACCCCGCCCUCAAUUCCCAUGGUAGUACUGCAUCGUGACCGUACACCAACUGACAAGGGGACAACUUGGUGGCCCCAUGGCAAGCCAUCCUGUAUGCCCAUAGGGCUUCAGUCAGACAUAGAUGCCACUUUUUCGGCUGCUCCUCUAUCUUCCUCUUGAUUAACUUUAUUAUCCCUUUGUUGGAGGAUUCGGCCUGGCCGUUAGCUUGGGCAUAAUAUGGAGAGGAGUUUAACAAUUUGAUUCCCAUAUCGGCCGUGAACUCCUCGAAUUCUCCUGACGUAAACAUCGUCCCUUGAUCGGUUGUGAUAGUCUGGGGGAUGCCGAAGCGGUAGACAAUAUGGUCCCUUACAAAGUCAACCAUGGCAGCCGAUGUCACAGCCCUUAACGGAAUUGUUUCCACCCAUUUGGUGAAAUAAUCGGUGGCCACCAGAAUGAACUUGUGCCCUUUGCUUGACGGAGGAUAAAUUUGGCCGAUGAGGUCUAUUCCCCAACCUCUGAACGGCCAUGGUUUGAUAUUGGGAUUCAUGGCCGAUGCGGGCGCACGUUGGACAUUCACGUAUUUCUGACAAUCCUGACAUCCUUUAUAAUAUUUGAAGCAAUCUUCGAGGAUCGUCGGCCAGUAAUACCCAUUAUUCCUAAUCAUCCAUUUUAUCUUAUGUGCCGAUUGGUGGGCUCCACACACUCCUUCAUGGAUUUCUCCCAUCAGAGUCUUAGCCUCCUCCGUUCCUAGACACUUGAGUAGGACGCCAUCGAUUGUUCGGUAGAACAAGUCGUCUUCCAGUAACACAUAUUUGGUAGCAUGGAAACGUACCCGCCGAUCCACUUUCUUAGAUGGAUCUUUUAGGUAAUCAGCAAUCUCUUUUCGCCAGUCAUCGGCCGCGAGCUCUAGAGCCAUAGCGCCUUGAAUCGGCCAAUACCCAGAUGCGUGUUGGGCGAGCUUGUUGGCAUCCUCGUUGUGAUUCCUUGGGAUGUGCUCAAUAACUGCCAAUUUGAAUUCUUUCAGAAGCUGCAGGCAAUCUUCAUAAUAAAUCCUCAACACAUUGUCCUUGCAUUCGGACUUCCCUGUUAAUUGAUCCACAAUAAGCAUGGAAUCUCCAAAAACUUCGACAGAAUCGGCCUUGACUUCUCUUAGCAGUUGUAAUCCCUUCAGUACAGCUCGGUACUCUGCUUGAUUGUUAGUGGCGGAUGCUUCUAUCAGCAGAGAAAAAUCAUAGCUUGCCCCCCGAGGCGAUAUGAGGAUGAUGCCGAUUCCUGAUCCGGCCCCACAUGACGAUCCAUCAAAGUAUAAGGUCCAAGGUACCGGUUCCAGGAAGGUAGUCUCUGGUCCGCAGUGUUGGGCAACGAAAUCGGCCAUAACCUGACCCUUAACGGCCUUUGCCGAUUCAUAUCGAAGGUCAAACUCUGACAGAGCCAAGAUCCAUUUUCCGAUUCGUCCCUUCAAAAUCGGCAGUGACAGCAUGUAUUUUACCACGUCGUCCUUGCAUACGACCACACAUUCCGCUGCAGCAAAUAGUGCCUGAGUUUGGUGCAUGAGAAGUAAAGGCAUAGGCACAACCGUUCCACUGGAGGAUACCUUGUUUCGGCGUCCAGAAGUCUUCUACUGACAUAAUAAAUUACCCGUUCCUUUCCUUCAAACUCCUGGACCAGAGCCGACCCAAUAGCUCGUUUAUCGGCUGAUAAAUAUAGUUUAAACGGCUUACCAGUUUGAGGAGGGACCAAUACCGGUGGUGAGACCAAGUACUGCUUGAUAUCUUCCAAUGCCUUGCAUUGCUCUUCCCCCCAUAUGAACUCCUGGUCGGGCUUCAACUUUAAUAAUGGUGUGAAGGCUUGGAUUCUCCCAGACAAAUUAGAUAUGAAUCUUCUGAUGAAAUUCACCUUGCCGAUUAGAGAUUGCAGCUCAGUUUUAUUCUACGGGGCCAUGACUUUGUUGAUGGCCGCUAUGGUCUUCCGAUUGAUCUCUAUUCCCCGCUCGUGCACCAUGAAUCCUAAGAAUUGUCUGGCGGAUACGCCAAAGGCGCACUUGUUCGGGUUCAUCUUCAGCCCAUGUUUUUUAGUGCAUUCCAAUACUUGUCGUAAAUCGGCCAGAUGCUCCUGGUGUCCUUUUGACUUGACUACGACGUCGUCGAUGUAGAUUUCUACCAGUAUGCUGAUAAGUUUGUGAAAUAUGUAGUUCAUGGUUCUCUGAUACGUAGCGCCGAUGUUUUUCAAGCCGAAAGUCAUUACCACCCACUCGAAUAAACCAAGGUGACAUGGGCAUCUGAAGGCCAUUUUGGGUAUGUCUUCUUCGGCCAUAAGUAUCUGAUUGUACCUAGCGUUUCCAUCCAUGAAACUAAUAACCUUAUGUCCCACGGCGGCAUCUAUCAGCACAUCGGCCGUCGGCAUGGGGUAUCCGUCCAUUGGUGUGGCCUGAUUGAGGUUCCUGAAAUCGACGCAUACACGUAGCUUUCCGUUUUUCUUGUAUACUGGUACAAUGUUGGAGAUCCACUUGGCAUAACGGCAUUGCUGAAUAAAUUUUGCUUCGAUUAGCCGCGUUAUUUCGGCUUUUAUGUCUGGUAGGAUUUUAGGAUUGCACCGCCGUGCAGGCUGUUGAUACGGCCGAUACCCUGGCUUUAUGGGUAACCGAUGCUCAACGAUAGAUCGGUCUAAUCCGGGCAUCUCAUGAUACUCCCAAGCAAAGCAAUCCUUAAAUUCUCUUAACAAACUUGUCAGUUUACAUUUGUAUUCCGGAUCUAAAUUUGCACUAAUAUAUGUCGGCCUUGGUUUGGUGCCAUCACCUAAGUCUAUCAUUUCUAAUGAAUCGGCCGACGUGAACCCGUGUCCCAGCUUCCCAUCUUCUCGGGCGAACUGAUCCAUUUUAGUCUGAGUCUUCGGAGCCGACUGCUCGGAUCGGCUGUAGGCCAAAGUCGGACACCUUCAAGAAGUCAGUAUCCCAUACUCUCCCGGAUAUGCACUUGAUGGUUUCGCAGCUCCACUGCUGCGUGUCGGCUGCCGCGAUGCUGUAUGCGGAAUCGGCGGUGACCACCUCGAUGUUGUCGCCGACCCAUUGCACGAGGCAUUGAUGCAUUGUAGAUGGGAUAUAGCAAUUUGCAUGUAUCCAGUCUCGGCCGAGUAGCAUGUUGUAAGAUCCCUGGCCAUUAAUGAUAAAGAAAGUGGUAGGAAGGGUCUUACUGCCGAUGGUGAGGUCGACGCAGAGAGCGCCGCGAGCGGGGGAUACGUUGCCCUCGAAGUCCUUGAGCAUCAUAUCUGUCUUGGUCAGGUCAUCAUCGCUCUUCCCAAGCUUCCGGAACACGGCGUACGGCAUGAUGUUGACUGCAGCCCCUCCGUCUACCAGUAAUCUGGUCAGGGGUCGGCCGUUGACAUGCCCUUUAAGAAACAACGCUUUCAGGUGUUGCCGUUUGUCAUCUUCGGGCUUCUCGAAUGUGGCUGUCAUUGGCUCCAAAGCCAAUUGCGCCAUCUGCUCUUCCAUUGCCGACAUGUCCUGUCGGUCGGCAGGAGUCAUGAACUCCAUCGGCAGUAUGAAAACCAUGCCGAUGUCGGCUGCCGAUUCGUCGCCUGCCGAUUCGUCGCCUCCUCUGUCGUUUCUUUUGGGGCGCCAUACCUGAGACCUGCCUGUCUUCUCGUCCGUCGUGUACUGUUGUUCUUCCUCCUGCUGUUCCCACUGGCGGAGACGUUGGAUUCUUCGUUUUUGAGACUUGGUCAAUCCAUCGGGGCACCACCUGGGGUUCACCGGUUUGGUUCGUGGUCUAGCACGUUCCCAUUCCGGUCACUUCUGCCCCCAGCCGAUCACGUACUGGAGGGUGCCGGUCGUCUUGGUCGUGCCAGUUCCUGCUGAUCGGCUCUGGUCUCCCAUCUCUGGAGUGAGACCUGCUGAACGGCCGAUUGUUACGAUACGGGCCGUUGCACUCCGGGCAAUUAUCGGCCGAAGGCAACCUGAGGUUGCUUUCCCAACAGUGGAUGAAGAAUGGGCAUCGCCAGUGAUCUUCAUGUCGCCGCAUUGCUUCUUCCCGGGAUCUUGAGCGUUCAUGUUGCCGCUGAUAUUUGUUGAGCAGGAAUUGGGAAGUGAUGCAUGGUUCUCCUGAUCCGUCGUCAUCGUCCUCCAUCCGCCGUUUCCCCUUGACAUCUUCAGGCGCCGCUUGAUUUCUAGGGUCUACAGCGCCACUCCUUUUAGCCGAUUUGGAUGUCAGCACCUUGGUUUGAAGCAAAUUCUUUCCCGUGUCAACCAUAUUAGUGGGGAAGGGGUGCUGGUCGAUCUUCAUCGGCUUGGCUGGUUUUGUUGGCACCUCAAAUUUGAGUCUGCCCUGCUCAAUGGCCGACUGUAUUUGCUGCCGGAAGAUUUUGCAUUCAUUCGUGUCAUGGGAGGUAGUGUUGUGCCACUUGCAAUACUUCAUCAUCUUCAGCUGUUCGGCAGAAGGAAUCGUAUGGUACGGCGAGAGCUUGAUCUGUCCUUCCUGGAGGAGGAGGUCAAAGAUUUUAUCGGCCUUUGAUGUGUCAAAUCCGAACUUUUCCGGCUCCUUCUUGCCAAAUGGACAUGAUAUCGGCUUCUUCCCUUUAAUCCAUUCCGCAAGACUGAUUUCUGCAUCUUCUUCGGUCUCAACCUCUUCUAAGUAUGCCACCUUCUUCUGGAAGUUCCUCCGUGGAUUGAAAGAACGUACCUCUUGACCAGACAAUCGGUGGAUGAUUUGGCUCAAGCUCUCAAACUCCUGUGAGGCGUAUUUUUCUUUGAUGUGAGGUAAGAGACCUUGGAAGGCUAUAUCAGCCAACUGUGCAUCAGUCAGGGCCAAGGAGUAGCACUUAUUUCUGUUUUCCUUGAAUCUCUGCACGUAUGAGGAUAUCGACUCGUCGCUUCUCUGCCUGAGGCUGGUCAAAUCGGACAGCUUCAUCUCAUGUACCCCGACGUAGAAGUAUUUAUGAAAUUGCCUUUCCAGAUUGGCCCAUGUAAUUAUCGAGUUGGGCGGUAAGGUUGUGAACCACUGGAAGGCCGAACCAGACAGGGAUGACAAGAAAAGUCGCACCCGUAGAGCAUCCUGCGCCGCUGCUUCCCCGCAUUGGAUGAUGAAUCUAUUCACGUGUUCCACGGUUGAGGUGUCGUCCAGCCCCGAAAACUUGGUGAAAUUAGGAACUUUAUACCGAUGGGGAAACGGCAGUAAGUUGUAUGUAGGCGGGUACGGUGUCCUGUAUGUGUAGGUCUGCACCUUCGGUUUUAAGCCGAAUUGUUCCUGAAUCACCUCUGCUAUACGUGCCGACCAGUCCGGCUGUUGCUGGUGUACCAUCGGCUGAGGAACUGGUACGUGCUGGUAUAUUGGUGGCGGGAUGACUUGAUGUUGAGUGAAAGCAUGUGGCAUUUGAUUUGUCAUAGCCGGCUGCGUAUUCAGGGUCGGCUGUUUGAAUGAGCCGCUUGUUUCAUCAUAUAGUACGAGCUCUGCUGCUUCGCUCAUCUCUGGUGCGACAGGCUGGUACUGUGGCAUGGUUGGUCGAGCGGCCGCCUGGAAAGACGCCUGGAAUUGGGGACUUCCAUGGUUAGCCGAUUGAUCCUGGACGGCCGUCGCCGAUGGUGCCCCCCAAGGCGCUGGAUUAAACGGAGGAAACUGCGCGGAGGACAAAUGAAUGGGACGUGGCUGAAGGUGUUGCGUUCGAUUAAACCCCAUAGGGAUCAAUGAUGAGGAAGCGCCAGAACCCCCAACUGGAAAUUGGAUCGGCUGAGAAGCCGAAUAAGGUGUAUUUGGAUAACUCUUGUUCGGAGCUGUAAUCGGUGGAGCAUACGCCAGCCCCUGGUACCCUUGAGAUACACCGUUAGCGAAGGAGCUGAUGACGGCAUUGUACACUGUAUUAGAAAGCACCAAGGAUUGAUCGAUGAAAGAUUGAUAGACAGAUUGCUAAACCAUCUCGGACAUCUUGUCCGAGUCCUCGGUGACUGUGAUCUGGCGGGGAGUUGGAAACGGAGCCUUUUUGAUAGUUUCCUCGCUCCUGGUGCGACUGAAGGACUGCAGACAUGUCUUCCGGUAAUAUGCCGUCUGCCUCUCUAGUUCUUCCUUCUGGUCGUCCCUGAGAUCUGCCUCUUUCACCUCGAUGACGUUAUCUUCGGAGACUUCAGCAGCUUUCGACAUGGUGGCGGUUGUAUUCGUCCCACCGGGCGUGCCAAAAGUGUGUUGGCGCUAGAAAUCAACUGAUCGAAUUCCCAAUGUCGGACACACGACCCGGGAGAAUCGGCUUAGCCCCUGUUCGGGUGAUCGCCCUGGUGCGGUUCGCGCGGCGUGCCAGCCAAUCUGACCUGUUGAUUGGCAAGGAAAUAAACGUGUCAGUCCCCAAAGGUUGCGAUCGGCUAAGGUUCCGAUCUUGAGAAAGCUUAUCAGCGAAUCGGCCGAUUUGCAGUAAUAAGGAAAUCGGCUAUGAUGCAACCGAUUACCAGGCAACGUUUGUGAAGAAAACUACUAGAUCAAUCUAAACAACGCUACGGUAGCAACACUAGGAACAGAUCUGAUCGGCUAUGCACGAAAUAGGUAGAUUAAAUAGCAAAAUACAAGAAAAGCCGAAAAUACUAAUUCCUAGCUGGAUAACUGGUGAUAAAACUGGAACAACAGGCAAAACCUAGAAUUCUAGUAAGUAUCGAUAACUGGUGAAUAAAUCUAAACGAAACGACAGCGAUGCGCCCGAAGUUAAAGCUUAGAAAUUACUCGAUAAACGGAACUUACAAGAUCAGCCGGAGGUCAAGUUGAUGCAGCCCCGCCAACCCAUACAAACUCGUGAAAAAGGAUAAAAAGUGUUGGUGAAGUCGCCUGCUUGAAAGUAAGUACGAGAAAAAAGUAGUUUGUUGUAUUGAGUUGAUGAUGAUUACAGAUCCAUAAGGGUGGCUAUUUAUAGCCUGUUACAAAGGACUUCUUAUCCGACUAGAACUCUAUCCCUAAAUUUAAACAGAAAAACUUCUUAUCCGACUAGAUCUCUAUCCCUAAGUUUAAACAGAAAACGAAUAUUUACAAGUACGAUUCUUACUAUUUUCACACGCUUGAUGGGCUGACCUCUUCUUCAUCUUCAUAAUCUUUUUUAAGCCCACAUCGGCCCAACUAUUCCAACCUCCUAAUCGGCCGAUCUCCUCUUUUGCAAGGGGGUAACCGAUCAGGACCCACACAUCGAGGGCUCAGACUCAUCCCGACCCUGGGGACUAAGGUCGGACGAGGCGGAGAUCCUCCCUCGGAGGGUCGGGCGCGUCCGAUCCCAAACCCCAAGGGUCGGGCGAGGCAGAGAUCCUCCCUUGGAGGGUCGGGCGCAUCCGAUCCCAAACCUCAGGGGUCGGGCGAGGCGGAGAUCCUCCCUUGGAGGGUCGGGCACGUCCGAUCCCAAGUCUCAGGGGUCGGUCGAGGCGGAAAUCCUCCCCUGGAGGGUCGGGCGCGUCCGAUCGCAAACCUCAGGGGUCGGGCAAGGCGGAACUCCAAGGAUCAAUCGGCCGAUGCUCGACUGCAGCAUCAAUUGGCCGAUCCUCGACUGCAGCAUCAAUUGGCCGAUCCUUGUAUCUCGCCGCAUCUCCUAAUUCCUUCCACUUCCAACGCCGAUUUUACACAUGUCAAAAUCUGGCGUCAACACGUAUGAACCUGGAUUUCGAUUCGACAAAUCACAUUGAUCUUCGCUCGCUACAUCUCAAAUUACGUGUAUCACUUAACUCCGAUGGUGGAAACCCGACCGGUAGGAGUAUAUCGUUACACUACCAUUGCAGCAAGAAUACGAAACCAGGACAUAGAUCAAACUGAAAACUCGCAUAUCUCCAUAUGCACACAUCCCGAAUCCAAAACUAAACAGCUACGGCUCUGAUACCACUGUUGGGAUACGAGGUAGGCUACACUAGCGCAAAUCAAAAUUUUUCUACCGCGUAAACCAGGAAAACUGCCAUAUAAGGAUCAUGAGAUUACCACUCGACGCACUGGUGCGGAAGAUGUGGAUUCGCGUCGAUGCAGCGAAGUCGAUCAGCGUAGUCAUACGUAGUCGAUCACGUCAACGUCCAGCAGCUCCUCAGCAGCUCGUCCACGUGCAGCAAGAUCGCCCUCAUGCCGCAACUCGUCGUCAGCUCAUCGUGGCUCGUCGGCAUCUCAUCGUGGCUCGUCCAAGUGCUGCAGGCGCAACACCUCCAAGGUAUUCACACGUGCAGGGAGGAAGCGUCGCAAGCCGGACUGCUAGGUCUGUGAGUUGCAACAGGCGAGAGCAUGGGAGGCGCAGUAGAUGUGCUUCGCCAAAAAAAUGUAAACCCUAGGGCGCCCCCACCCCUCUAUUAAUAGAGGUUCCUAACGGGCCUCUGGGUCCGAGGCCCGUUAGUACUUCUAAACCUAAUCCAACUCGGAUCAGAUCCGAAUUGGGCUUCCAGCCCCUUAAGUGUGUGACCCUAUGGGUUCGGAUACGUAUAGACAUGGCCCGAGUACUCCUACUCGGCCCAAUAGUCGGUAGCGGCCUCUAGCAAGAUGUGCCAACUCCUAUAUGCACACGAAGAUGAUAUCAGACGAACCAUCACAACAUUAUAUACAUGCUAUUCCCUUUGCCUCAUGAUAUUUGGUCUAGCUUCAAGCCGACCGCUCUUUCUCGAUCCUAUGAUUCGGAAUCCCUUUGUAGGUUAACUCUUAACCGUACGUAGCAUGGCCAUGCAUUUUCGGAUCCGAUGACUCGAGGGGCCCAGAGAUAUCACUCUCAAUCAGAGAGGGGCGAAUCCCAUCUUGAUUGACCAUGUCUCAUAGCAUGCUUCUUGACAAACCCAAAAGCUAACCUUUAUAACUACCUUGUUACGGUGUAGCGUUUGGUAGCCCCUAAGUAAGUCGAUCCACAUCUUGAAUACAUGCGACAAUCUCAGGUCUAAGGACAAAGCGUAUAUGUUGUGUAAAGAGAGAACUACUUCUCGUGUUGGGUCAGUCCUAGCACAUGUCUCCACAUGUGCCCACAUUAUUAGUUCAACAUCUCCAUGUCUAUGACUUGUGAAAUAUAGUCAUCAACUAAUACAUGUGCUAGUCUAAUAUUCGUGUGUGUCCUCACAUGAACUCCGACUAGGGACAACUUUAGAAUAACCAUACAAGUAAAGAGUUUCACAUACAAUUCACAUAAUUGCAAAUGAAUUCAAGUAGCCUUUAAUGGAUAUUCAAGGAACACAAUAAAAAUCAUGGAUAUAAAUGGAAUAUCAUCAUCUCUAUGAUUGCCUCUAGGGCAUACCUCCAACACCAACUUCUAUACCAAAUCUCCUUGGGAGAAUUGCUUGACUUUGACCUUCUUAUCGUACCACCUGGCUACUCUCUUUUUAUUCUCCUCAAUGGUGAUCAGGGCCCUCAAUCGCUAACCUACCAAAUCAUCGAGCUCUCCUUUCAUAAGAAAGGAAUAGUCAUCGGCCGUCCACUGAUGUUGAAGCGAUUUACGUCUUGACCUCGUUCUUAAUUCCCAAGGCAACACUGCUUCGUGACCAUACACCAAUUGAUAAGGGGAUAUCUUAGUAGCCCCGUGGCAGGCCAUCCUGUAAGCGCAUAAAGCUUCGGUCAAACACAAGUGCCACUUUUUAGGCUGUUCCUCAAUCUUCCUUUUGAUCAACUUAACUAUCCCCUUAUUGGAUGAUUUAGCCUGGACGUUAGCCUGAGCAUAAUAUGGAGAAGAAUUUAGCAAUUUAAUUCCCAUAUCGGCAGUGAAUUCCUCGAACUCUCCCGAAGUGAACAUAGUCCCUUGGUCGGUCGUGAUGGUUUGAGAGAUACCGAAAUGAUAGACAAUGUGGUCUCUUACAAAAUCGAUCAUAGCGGCCGAUGUCACGGCCUUUAGUGGGAUCGCCUCCACCCAUUUGGUAAAAUAGUCAAUAGCUACUAAUAUGAACUUAUGUCCCUUGCUUGAUGGUGGAUAAAUCUGACCGAUGAGGUCUAUUCCCCAACCUUUGAACGGCCAUGGCUUGAUUAUCGGAUUCAUGGCCGAUGCGGGCGCAUGUUGUAUAUUUCAAAAUUUUUGACAAUCCUGACACCCUUUAUAAUAUUUGAAGCAGUCUUCAAGGAUCGUCGGCCAAUAGUAUCCAUUAUUCCUAAUCAUCCACUUCAUUUUAUGAGCCGAUUGGUGAGCUCCGCACACGCCCUCGUGGAUUUCUCCCAUCAGGAUCUUUGCUUCUUCUGUCUCCAGGCAUUUGAGCAGAACCCCAUUAAUCAUUCGGUAGAACAAAUCAUCUUCUAGUAACACAUACUUUGUGGCUUGAAAAUGCACUCGCCGAUCCACUUUCUUAGACGGAUCCUUCAAGUAAUCGGCAAUCUCUUUUUGCCAGUCAUCGGCUACGAUUUCCAGAGUUAUGGUGCCUUGAAUCGGCCGAUACCCGGAUGCGUGUUGGGCAAGUGUAUUAGCUUCCUCAUUAUAGUUUCUGGGAAUAUGCUCAAUAACUGUGGACUUGAAUUCCUUUAAAAGCUGGAGGCAAUCCUCGUAGUAAAUCCUUAAGACAUCAUCUUUGCAUUCAGACGUCCCCGUUAAUUGGUCUACGAUGAGCAUGGAAUCCCCAAAAAUUUCCACAGCGUCGGCCUUGAUCUCCCUCAAUAACUGUAUGUCUUUUAAGACGGCUCGGUAUUCCGCCUGAUUAUUGGUCGCUGACACUUCUAUCGGUAGAGAGAAAUCAUAACUUGCCCCCCGAGGCGAUAUGAGAACUAUGCCGAUUCCCGAUCCGGCCCCACAUGAUGAACCAUCAAAGUAUAGGGUCCAUGGGGCCGGCUCAACGACAGUGAUUUCCGGUCUGUAGUGUUGGGCCACAAAAUCGGCCAUGACCUGACCCUUGACUGCUUUGGCCGACUCGUACCUUAAGUCAAAUUCUGACAAAGCCAAAAUCCAUUUUCCAAUCUGCCCUUUCAAAAUUGGCAACGACAGCAUGUAUUUUACUACGUCAUCUUUGCAUACGACUUUGCAUUCUGCCGAUAACAGGUAGUGCCUAAGUUUGGUACAUGAGAAAUAAAGACAUAGGCACAGUCGUUCUACCGGGGAAUAUCUUGUCUCGGCAUCUAGAAGUCUUCUGCUAACAUAAUAUAUUACCCGUUCCUUUCCUUCGAACUCCUGUACCAGCGCCGAUCCAAUAGCCCGUUCAUCAAUUGAUAAGUAUAGUUUGAACGGCUUGUCAGCCCGUGGUGGGACCAGUACAGGUGGCGAGAUUAGAUAUUGCUUGAUGUCUUCUAGCGCUUUUCGUUGUUCUUCUCCCCACACGAACUCUUGGUCGGGUUUCAAUUUCAAUAAUGGCGUGAAGGCUUGAAUACGUCCGGACAGGUUGGAUAUGAAUCUCCUGAGAAAGUUGACUUUGCCAAUUACGGACUGCAACUCAGUUUUAUUUUGUGGGGCCACAACCUUGUUGAUAGCCACUGUGAUUUUGCCAGUUGAUUUCUAUCCCGCGCUCAUGAACCAUGAAUCCCAGAAAUUGUCCGGCCGACACGCCGAAUGCACACUUGUUCGGGUUCAUUUUCAAACCAUGUUUCCUUGUGCACUCCAAUACUUCUCGCAAAUCGGCCAGAUGCUCCUGAUGUCCUUUUGAUUUGACUACAACAUCAUCGAUGUAGAUUUCCACCAGGACGCCAAUGAGUUUGUGGAAGAUGUAAUUCAUAGCGCGCUGAUAUGUAGCGCCGACAUUUUUUAAUCCAAAGGUUAUUACUACCCACUCGAAUAAACUGAGGUGGCCUAGGCACCUGAAAGCCAUUUUUGAAAUGUCUUCUUCGUCCAUUAAUAUCUGAUUUUACCCAGCAUUGCCAUCCAUAAAACUGAUGACUUUAUGUCCUACGGCGACAUCUAUCACCACAUCGGCUGUCGGCAUUGGAUACCCAUCCAAUGGCGUAGCCUGAUUAAGGUUUCUAAAGUCAAUGCACACGCGCAGCUUUCCGUUCUUCUUGUAUACGGGUACAAUGUUAGAGAUCCACUCGGCGUAAAAGCAUUACCGAAUAAAUUUUGCUUCAAUUAGUCUCGUAAUCUCGGCCUUUAUGUCAGGUAGAAUUUUAGGAUUGCACCGUCGUGCGGGCUGCUGAUAUGGCCGAUAUCCCGACUUUAUAGUCAACCGAUGUUCAACAAUGGACCGGUCCAGACCAGGCAUCUCAUGAUAUUCCUAAGCGAAACAAUCUUUAAAUUCUUUCAAUAAAUCUGUCAAUUUACAUUUAUAUUUUGGAUCCAAGUUAGCACUAAUGUACGUCAGCCUUGGUUUGGCGUCAUCACCUAGAUCUAUCAUCUUUAAUGAAUUGGCCGACAUAAACCCAUGCCCUAGCUUCCCAUCUUCUCGGACGAACUGAUCCAUCUAAUCUGAAUCUUCGGAGCCAACUGCUCGGAUCGGCUGUAGGCCAAAAUCGGACACUUUCAGAAAAUUGGUGCCCAAGUUCUUCCAGAUAUGCACUUGAUGUGUUCACAGCUCCACUGUUGCGUAUCGGCUGCAGCAACGCUGUAGGCGGAAUCGGCGGUGACUAUCUCGAUGUUGUCACCGACCCAUUGUAUGAGGCAUUGAUGCAUUGUAGAUGGAAUGCAGCAAUUUGCGUGUAUCCAAUCGCGACCGAGCAACAUAUUGUAGGACCCUUUGCCAUUAAUAAUAAAGAAAGUAGUGGGAAGGGUCUUACUGCCGAUGCUGAGGUUGCGCAAAGCGUCCCGCGGGCAGGAGACAUGUUGCCUUUGAAGUCCUUGACCAUCAUGUCCAUCUUGGUCAGAUCUUCAUCGCUUUUACCCAAUUUCCAGAACAUGGCGUACGGCAUGACGUUGACUGCAGUGCCUCCAUCUACUAGUAGCCUGGUGACAGGUCGUCCAUUGACGUGCCCUUUGAGGAACAUCGCCUUGAGGUGUUGUCGUUUUUCAUCUUCGGGUUUCUCAAAGGUGGCUGCCAUUGGCUCCAAAGCCAAUUGUGCCAUCUGUCCCUCCAUCUCCGACGCGUCAUACCGAUCGGCGGGAGCCAUGAACUCCAUCGGCAAGAUGAACACCAUGCUGACGUUAGUUGCCGAUUCCUGGUUGCCGUCUUCUUCCUUGUCGUUUCUUUUGGGGCGCCAAACCCGAGGUCUAUCAUUUUUCUUAUCCACCAUCUGUUGCUGCUCUUCUUCCUGUUGUUCCCAUUGGCGUAGACGUUGGAUCCUUCAUUUUUGGGAUUUGGUCAAUCCAUCAGGGCACCACCUGGGGUUCACCGGUUUGGCCGUAGUCUGGUGCGCUCCCAUUCUGGCUCCCAUCCCAGGGGAUUUUCAUCUGAUACCCGAGCAUCGGCCAUCUCUUGUAACCGAUCGUAUGCGCUGACUCUGCCCCCUGGUCGGUCGUGCUGGUCAGUCCUACCCCCCGACCUAUCGUAUCGCUCAUGUCUGUCCUUUGGCCGAUCAUAUCGGUCACUUCUGCCCCCCCAGCCGAUCACGCACCGAAAGGCGCCGAUCCUCUUGCUCGCGCCAGUUUCUGUUGAUUAGCUCUGAUCCCUUGUCCCUGGAGCGAGAUCUCCUGAAAGGGCAAUUGUUGCGAUAUGGACCACUACACUCUGGGCAAUUAUCAGCUGAUGGCAACCUAAGGUUAUUUUCCCAGCAAUGGAUGAAGAACGGGCAUUGCCAAUGAUCUUCGUGUCGUCGCAUCAUUUCUUCGCGAUAUCUUGAACUUUCCUGCUGCCGUUGGUAUUUGUUGAGCAAGAAUUGGGAAGUGAUGGGUCUGCGCGGUCCUUCCGAUCCUUCGCUCUCAUCAUCCAUCUGUCUCUUCCCCUUGACGUCUUCGACCGUAGCUUGAUUCCUGGGGUCCACAGCGCCGCUCUUUUUAGCCGAUUCCGAUGUCAGCACUUUGGUUUGUAGCACGUUUCUCCCCGUAUCAACCAUGUUGGUGGGGAAAGGAUGCUGAUCAAUUUUCAUUGGCUUUGCUGGCUUCGUCGGGAUCUCAAACUUGAGCUUGCCUUGCUCGAUGGCCAAUUGUAUCUGCUGAUGGAAGAUCUUGCACUCGUUUGUGUCGUGGGACGUGGCGUUGUGCCAUUUGCAAUACUUCAUCUUUUUCAGCUGCUCGGCCGAUGGGAUCGUAUGAUAGGGUGAGAGCUUGAUCUGCCCUUCUUGGAGGAGUAGGUCAAAAAUUUUGUCGGCCUUUGACGUAUCAAAACCGAACGCCUCUGGUUCGUUUUUCCCGAAAGGACACGAUAUCGGCUUCUUCCCCUUAACCCACUCUGCUAGGCCGAUUUCCGCCUCCUCCUCGGAUUCAGAUCCCUCCAGAUAUGCCACCUUCUUCUGAAAAUUUCUCCGCUGAUCAAAGGGGCGUACUUCCUGACCGGACAAUCGGUGAACGAUUUGACUCAAGCUUUCAAACUCCUGGGAAGUGUACUUCUCUUUGAUGUGCAGUAGGAGACCUUGGAAGGCAAUAUCGACCAGCUGCGCAUCGGUCAGGAUAGGGUGUAGCACUUGUUUCGGACCUCUCUGAACCUCUGCACAUAAGUGGACACUAGCUCGUCGCUCCUUUGCCUGAGGCUGGUCAGACCUGAGAGCUUCAUCUCAUGCACUCCCACGUAGAAGUACUUAUGGAACUGCUUCUCCAAGUCGACCCAAGUAACUAUGGAGUUGGGUGGCAGCUUGGUGAACAACUGGAAAGCCGACCCGGACAGGGAUGAUGAGAAUAGCCGCACGCGCAGAGCCUCCUGUGUAGCCCCUUCUCCGCAUUGGAUGAUGAAUCUGUUCACGUGUUCCACAGUUGAGGUGUCAUUGAGCCCCGAAAACUUGGUGAAGUCGGGAACUUUGUACCGAUGGGGAAACGGCAGUAGAUCAUAGGCCGAUGGGUAUGGCGUUCUGUACGUGUAAGUCUGUACUUUUGGUUUUAAACCGAACUGGUCUUGGAUCACCUCUGCUAUCCUUGUUGUCCAGUCUAAUUGCUGCUGAUGAAUUACCGGCUGGGGAGCCGGUAUAUGUUGGUGGAUCGGCGGCGGGAUGACCGGAUGAUGAACAAAAGUGUGCAGCGGAUUUUGCGGUAACGUGGCCAGCUGAGUGGUCGGCAUCUGGUGGCGUAGUGAACCGGCCGCCUCAUCGUAUAGUAUCAUCGGCACCGCACCCUGGAGCGCCUUAGCAGUAUCUACCCCCCUGCUGAUUUCUGACAUGGCAGGUUGAUACUGUGGAACCGUCGGCCGGACGGCCGACUGGAAUGGUGCCUAGAUCGGGGAGCUUCCGUAGCCAGCCGAUUGAUCUAGCACGGCUGCUGUCGACGGUGGCCCCCAAGGCACUAAGUUUGAUGGCAAUGAUUGCGUAGAGGAAAUCUGAGGAGGCUGAGGUGGCGCUUGUGACUGGAAGCAUGGCGCACCGUUGUAUCCUGGGUGCACUGGCAGCAAAGAAGCGCUGGGUCCUCCAUGUUGAGCUUGCAUCGGCUAAGGAGCCGAGUGAGAUGUGCUUGGAAAACUCCUGACUGGGGCCGUAAUGGGUGGGGCGUAUUCUAGUCCCUGAUAUCCUUGAAAUACGCCAUUGGCUAGGGAGCUGAUGACGGCAUUGUAUACCAUGUUGGUUAUCAUCGGGGAUUGGUCGAUGAAAGCCUAGUAGACGGACUGCUGAACCAUAUCGGACAUUUUGUCCGAGUCCUCAGUGAUGGUGAUCUAACGGGGAGCUGGGAAAGGAGCUUUCCUGGCGGUCUCCCCACUCCUGGUACGACUAAAAGAUUGUAGGCAUGUUUUUCUGUAUUGUUCCACUUGCUUUGCCAACUCUUCUUUCUGGUCGUCCUUGAGGUUUGCUUCCGUCACUUCGAUGACAUUGUCUUCGGAGAUUUCGGCAGCUUUCGACAUGGUAGAGGUUGAAGUGGUCCCACUAGGCGUGCCAAAAGUGUGUUGGCGCUAAAAAGUCAGUCAAUUGACCCUUAGCGUCGGACACAUGACUCGGGAGAAUCUGCUUAACUCCUGUUCGGGUGAUCGCCCUGGUGCGGUUUGCGCGGCGUGCCAGCCAAUCUGACCUGUUGAUUGGCAAGGAGUAAAACGUGUCAAAUUCCAGGAGUUGCGAUCGGCUAAGGUUCCGAUCUCGAGGAAGCGUAUCAGCGAAUCGGCCGAUUUGCUAUAAAAAGAUAAUCGGCUAUGAUACAGCCGACAACCACGCAACGAUUAUAAAGAAAACCACUAGAGUAAACUAGACAACGUCAUAGGAGCAACACUUGAAAUAGAUCUAAUAGGCUAUAUAAGGAUAGUGAAUGAAAAUAACAAUAAUAAAGAUAGCUCAAAUCUCAAGCUGGAUAACUGGUGAUAAAACUAGAACAACAGGAAAACCUAUAAUUCUAGUAAAUAUCAAUAACUGGUGAAUAAAUCUAAACGAAAUGACAGCGAUGCGCCCGAAAUUAAAGCUUAGAUAUUACUCGAUAAACGGAACUUACAGAAUCGGCCGGAGAUCGUGUCGAUGCAGUCCUGCCAACCCGUAUGAACUCGUGAAAGAAGAAAAGUAUUGGUGAAGUCACCGACUUGAAAGUAAAGUACGAGGAAAUAGUAGAUUGUUGUAUUGAUUGAUGUGUUGUUUACAGAUCUCUAAAGAUGGCUAUUUAUAGCCUGUUACAACCAAUUCCUAAUCGACUAGGAUCUAUCUCUAAUUUUAAAUGAAAAAUAAAUAUUUACAAGUACAACUCGUAUCGGAGAUGGUUAUUGUACUUCCACGGGCCAAUCCCCCUUCAUCUUCUCUUUCUACUCCACUUUAAGCCCAUAUUGGCCCAAUUACUCUAGCCUUUCAAUCGGCCGAUCUCUGCCAACUCUAUCCACCAGAACAUUGCAGCGCCAAUCAGCUGAUCUCCAACUGUAGCACCAAUCGGCCGAUUCCUAAUCGUGGCCUUUUAACUUGCCGUAUCGGCCUAUCCUUUCCUCCUUGACACUGAUUCCAUACGUGUCAAAAUCUAGCAUCAACAGAAGUAAACUAGAUAUCACCAGAAACUCAAGAAAAUAAUAAUCACAUUUUUAGCUUUUUUUACACAUUUCUAUGCAUUUUUCAAUUUUGCAGCUAUUUAAAUCUAGGAAAUAAAACCAAAUUGAGGUCAACUUUCAAAACAACCCUCAGAUCUAUUGAACUCUCGCACAUAGGUCCCUGAAAAUUCUUCAUAACCCUCUCUCUUUCUUUCUUUUUCCCACCACACAUCCUUCACGCGCACACACACAGGACAGAGGCAUGGGCACAGCGCAGGCCGGCCGUGGCCCUACCGGUGGCGGCGGGGCCACGCCCUAAGCCCAAGCCCAAGGGGCUCACCAGCGGUAGCACAUGUAGUGAGGAGGAGGUGGCGCUGGAGCUUCAAGUGGCGUCGGCACGCGGUGAACAGAGGCGCCGGCGAGCGGCCUGCACGGCGGAGGAGCAAGAAGGGUGAGGGGCAAAAUGGAUGAGGGACUUCUUGAGGAAGCCGUGGUCGUGAGGAAUUGACGCGGGGCUUACCAACGGCGACGAAUCGGCGGCGGUGCUUGGAGGUGGAGGGGCUAGGGUUUGGGGAUGCCGGUGCCGGCAUAUAAAGGAGGAGCGGGGCGAGGGUAGAGGGGGGUUUUCGCGUGGCUGGUGUCGAGCAUGCACCCCAGGCCCACGAUUAGACCUUGGACGGCCCACUAAGGGGCGUACUCGGAUAUGAUCAGGACAAGGGAUAGGCGUAUCCCACUCGGACUAGUCAAGUAUGUGUAUGGAAAACUACUCGGGGCAUACCGAGUAGAACUCUGUAAUAGUACUCGACUAGGACUUGGACUUGUAACCCUGCCUUCCCGUGUAUAUAAGGGUGGGUGGGGACCCCCCUCAAAUAGAACAACUCUAGUUCAUCCAAGAUCAAUACACACCAACAUACAGGACAUAGGGUAUUAUGCGAUCUAGCGACCCGAACCUGUCUAAAUCGUGUUCCUUGCAUCACCAUUGAUUCCUUGAUUCUCGACGAUCCUUACCGCACAAAAGACCACCUAGGGUACCCCCUAGGCGGGUUGCCGGUCUAAAACACUAACAGCUGGCGCACCAGGUAGGGGAACUCGUCGAGUUUCUCAGCGCAAACUCAAUGGCAACAGUUAUCAUCAAGCCUGUCUUCAUCAUGGAAACGGGCGCAACCUUCGUUUUUGGAUCCUGGCUUUGCAUCGCUGAUGGCACUGGAUCGUUCUGACGCCAGAUCAUCAACAACCAGGAGAAGAAAUCAGAGAAUCUGGUCGGAAAAAACCAAGAUUUCAAAAUCGACAACUUCGAGUUCGACUACGCGUCGGACUCGACUUUGCUUUGGACUAGUCGGUCUCCGUCACUUCCCAACUCGUCUUCGACUCCAAAACGGUUUCCGCAUGGACUGCGCAAUGCAGCCGAAGUCCGCCAGGGUUUUCUUACUCGAAUCCAACUUGAACUCGGGCAUGACAAAGACGACGACUCUGACUCGGUUUAUCCACCAGAAAUACCAAUAUCUGGUCCAGCUCAAGGAUUGGUAAUAACCUCAAUGUCACAAGGCAGAUUCGUACACCGGCUAGGUUUGAGACCAUCUCUUCUUGACCGUGACUACGACUCACACCUUGUCGCUCGUAUAGACAACCUCCCAUAUCAAGAGGGUGUUCCACUCGCUUCCAAUCGCGAGGAAGGUUCCACGGAGAUUGCAACAUCAAGCUCCAGAAGCUACUACCCGGACAGGGAAGUCCUAGUUAUUACUCAAAAUAACAACCUGGGUACUAGCCAGAACAGAACCCCCAGGCAAUUAGCACAACUCGAUAACAUCUCAAAAGAUGAGUCUACAGCUGACUCCCCACAAGAUGAAACCUCUGAUCAAAGGAACCAAAGGAGGAUGCGCAACGCUACUCGAGCCGAGCGACGGCAGUCAAUGGUCACAAAUAUUCCCAUCAUGAACCUUGAAAGAGCUUUCAACGCAGGUCAGGCUCAAGAGCACAAUACUCCACUUGCGGCAAUCGCAUCAAUUAAUCUUUUAACGACGUUGAUGCCUCAAGAUAGGGAAAACGAAGCCAUAGCUCGGCUCGUGUAGCGCGGCAACUGACUAAUCGCACAACUCACGGAGCAAGCCUACAAGCUACUUGACAAAGAAUCACCAAUUCCGUUUGUUCCUCGCAUCACAGCUCACGAAGAAGGCAGCAGGGGACGUGCAGCCAAUAACGAUGCUCCAAGAAACGACAAUGAAGUCAUCAACCAGCCUCGGCAACACAGCCAAGGCCCAAGCAAACACAAGGCCCCAGUAUGCCAUAAGGAUGUUGGAGAGGCCAGCUACACCAACUCGGUAAAAAGUAUUCGCCCUACUUGGAAGAACCACGAAGUGUCAAACUUCAGCGAUCUACAAGAAAUCCUCAACAGUCGGUGCAAGCGAGAAGUCAACAACUACAACCACUUUCCCGCUUUCACAAGUUGGGUAAUGAAGAUAAGACUACCCGAUAAGUUCAAGCCAAUAGGAAUCACCAAGUACGACGGCAAGCAAGAUCCUAUUCAAUGGCUACGAUGCUACUCCUUGGCAGUUUAGGUAGCUGGGGGCAAUAACGACACCAAAGUCAUCCACUUCCCUAUAUGCAUGGAACCCGUGCCAUUGACCUGGCUUGAGUCACUCAAACCCAUGUUAAUUGACUCUUGGGCAGACUUGACAAAGGCUUUCACCAACAACUUUGCCGGAUCCAUGGGUAGACCGGGCAACAAGAUCGACCUAAGCCAAGUCAAGCAAAAAGAAGGUGAGACCUUGCGCGACUAUUUGUGACGGUUCUUUGAGAAAAAGGCAACCAUAGUUGACAUUUCAGAAACAGAUAUCAUCGAGUGCUUCCAGAACGGACUCUACGAUCGACGGACAUACCAAGACUUUGGUCGCCGACGGCCAGCUAAUGUCAAAGACCUCAAAGUUAUGGUGCAACAGUGGGUAGAUGAAGAAGACAAAGAGCAAGAACGGUUCGGCUCCCACCGCAACCGUGGACGCGACAACAACAACAAUGACCAGAAUAGAACCCGGCACAACGAUACUCGAAACAACUUCUCGGGUAAUCACAAUCGCAAAAGGAAGCCCGACAACACUGUUGCUGCCAUGACCAACCCCGGAAAAAAGGGAUCUCGCAAAAAUGAUGAAGGGCCGGCCUUCACUGAACUACUCAAAAAGCAGUGCCCAUGGCACCCGACUAGCAAACACUCGGCAAUAGACUGCUACAGCAUGCGCCGAGUAAUGCAAGACUUACCUGCGCCACCACCCCCUAAAGAGGACACCAAGAAAAAGGAUAAGGGCAAGAACAAAAUAAACAAUGACGAAGAAGAAGAAGGCGACUUCCAAACCGCCUCAAAAACUGUCAAAGUCAUCUUUGGCGGAAUCCCAAGCACCGCAUCCAAGCGAGCCAACAAACUCGUACUCGGGGAGAUCAUGGCCAUCGAGCCAACAGAUCCAACACCGCUAAAGUGGUCAGAAGUACCCAUUUCCUUCAACAAAAAGGACCAAUGGACCAAGUUCUCGGAACCAGGCCGGUUCCCCCUAGUACUUGAUCCGGUCGUGGCAGACUCAAAGUUAACCAAAGUACUCAUCGACGGUGGAAGUGGGCUUAACGUCAUUUUUGCCAAGACAUUGAGAAAGAUGUGCCUCGAUGUCACAGAAAUGCUUACUCAAAUAGAUUCACCCUUCUACGGUAUCGUACCUGGAAAUGCAGCUAUACCACUAGGACAAGUCAUCCUCCCAGUCACCUUCGGCACCAAGGAACACUACCGUACCGAGUAAAUCAGAUUUGAAGUCGUCGACUUUGAGACAUCUUACCAUGUCAUACUUAGAAGACUAGCACUCGCCAAGUUCAUGCCCAUACCACACUAUGUUUACUUGGUACUCAAAAUGCCAGACCCCAAGGGUGAACUAACACUACGAGGAGAUCUACGGCGAUCCUACGAAUGCGACACCGAAGCCGUCGAAAUUGCUGCGACUUCUCAAGCACCUAGUCCCAUGCAACAAGUCUUCACAGCUUCAAAGAAGCUCCAUCCAACUGAACUCGAGAUCCUAGAAAACAAGUUGGGGUCUACAAAGGUGAAACCCACCAGCGAGCAAGACUUCAAACCAGUCGACCUCUAGACGGGUGACUCCUCCAAGACAGCCGUGAUCGGAACAGGGCUAGAUCCUAAAUAGGAAUCCGCGCUCGUCAGUUUCCUUCGGGCUAACCAUGAUAUCUUCGCGUGGAAACCGGCUGACAUGCCAGGUGUGCCCAAGGAGCUGAUCGAGCACUCUGUAAAUGUUGAUCCCAAAGCUACCCCAAAAUGGCAGCGACUUUGCAGAUUCGCUCAAGACACACGAGAAGCAAUCAAGAAAGAGUUGGCCAAGCUACUCGUGGCAGGGUUCAUCAAAGAAGUCUUUCACCUUGACUGGCUAGCAAAUCCCGUACUCGUGCGUAAGAAAAACAACGAGUGGAGGAUGUGCGUCGACUACACCGACCUCAACAAGCACUGUCCAAAAGACCCUUUCGGACUACCCAGGAUCGAUCAAGUGGUCGACUCCACCGCUGGAUGCGCUUUACUAUGUUUUCUCGACUGCUACUUCGGCCAUCAUCAGAUAAGCCUUAAGGAAGAAGAUCAAGCCAAAACAGCUUUCAUCACACCUUUCGGAGCUUUCUGCUACAAAACAAUGUCCUUCGGACUAAAAAAUGCAGGGGCAACUUAUCAACGAGCCAUACAAAUGUGCUUCAAAAAAUAGCUUCACCACAAUGAUGAGGCUUACGUCGACGAUGUAGUCAUCAAAACAAGGAACCAGGAGGAACUCAUCACUGAUUUAGAGAAAACUUUCUCCAGUCUACGAGCUUUCCGAUGGAAACUAAAUCCUACUAAGUGCGUCUUUGGAGUACCUUCUGGCAAGCUACUCGGGUUCAUCAUUAGGCAUCGCGGCAUUGAGGCCAACCCGAAAAAAAUAUCUGUCAUCACAAACAUGCAAGCACCAGCUAGCAUCAAGGAUGUGCACAAACUCAGAGGCUGCAUGGCCGCUCUCAACUGGUUCAUCUCGAGACUCGGAGAAUGGGGACUACCCUUCUUUAAGCUUCUCAAACGCCAUGACAAGUUCAAAUGGACGGAAGAGGCAGACAAGGCACUAGCAGAACUCAAAGACUUCCUGUCAAAGCCUCCUGUACUCAUCGCUCCUUCUCCGAACGAAGACUUGCUCCUAUACAUAUCAGCUACUACUCAUGUCGUCAGCACGGCAAUAGUAGUUGAACGGUCUGAACCGGGCCAUGCUUACAAGGUCCAACGACCUGUCUACUUCGUUAGCGAAGUACUCUCGGACUCCAAAACUCGGUAUUCACCGAUACAAAAGAUCUUAUACGCAAUCUUGCUCACCUCCCGGAAACUGCGCCAUUAUUUCCAGGAGCACAACUUUAACGACCUCGGUUAAAAUCCUUCAUGUUAAUAUUAAUCCGAGUCCCUGAUCCCCUGUCUCAGCUUUACCAAGUCUAAGUGCUCAACCUCCAGUUCAGUCCCGACCCCUGUGAUCCAACCCCUCGCCGUUUUUCCCCAGUUCCGACCCUGCCGACCCCAAACCCAUACCGCCGGAUCCUUUUAAGUCUCCCCACCGUAUCCCUCUCGACCUGAGCAGUGGACCAAGCGAGACUGACCGGGGACCCACGAGAUCUUUCUCCCAGAUCUCCCGUGACAGGCGCACUUGAGUUGCAUGCCCGCUUUAGAGUUCCCUUGCCACGUGGCUCAACUCCUCCGACGCCCGCCGCUCCGCCUCGUCGUCGGCCAUGACCGGAUGGAUUCUCGCGCCCCCUUCCCCAAUCGCAACGGAAGCUCCUCUGCUACCCUUUCUGCAGCACCUCGCCGCCUACGCCCAUCAUCACCUCGCCACAUCCCGGCUACAAGGCCCGACGCCGCCCAUCUUUUCCGUCGCCUCUCCACAGUCGCGCUGCCCCGGUCCGCGCUACGCGACAAUUCCUCCUCCGCCAACCCAGACCGCGGCAGCGACAGCUCCUUUCCCGCCCUGUCAGAGCUCCACCCCCGACAAUCUGUUGCUCCGCGCUCACCCGCGCGACCGCCGCCGCCUGUCUUCUCACCUGUGCACCCUCGUUUCUAGCGCCGUUCCCGCGGUCACUUCCAACAGAUCCACCGCACGGCGACGCCCGCCUCCGCCAAAUCUCAACCACCGGCAAACCCGCGCCUGCGCCGCCCUGUCAUCGGUGCCCAAUGACCGCCGGUGUCAUCCCCGAAGUCCUGUUCCACCGCCCUCGUCGCUCAAUCGCCGCUCUGGCAGCGCACUCCAUCGUUUCUUCCUCGAUCCUUGCGCCGCUCCAACCUUCUCUCUUCCGCGCAGCUAUAAAAGGGAAUGCCGGAGCCCUGCCAGAGUUCCCUCUUCGCCAUCGCUGCCCUCCCGCUUUGCUCCCUAUUCAUGCUCACAGCGCCACCGCCUAAGUUCUGAAGAACUCUCCUCUCCGCUCCACACCGCUCUCUCAAUCUGCCCAGCCUCUUGCUCCCCAUGCUGCACAGAGUUUGCUUGUGGUUCACAAGAAGCAUCGCCGCCGCCGGAGCACCACUGGACAUCCUCGCCGCUGUCCCAAGCCUUAGUCUUCCCACCCAAGCCUGUUCUUUCCCGACCCCAAGCUUCAUCUGCAAGACGAAUGUAAGCUGCCGACCCUUUGUCCAUCUCGCCCGACCCUAUCUAUUCUGCCGACCAUUUUCCGCCUCGCCCGAGGGCUCGGCUAUAUCUUUUUCCUUGAACCGAGGGUGUAUGUGUAAAACUUGGGGACUUUUCAGCGUUAAGUCUGAGGACCCCUAGCACAUCUAUUCCUCUAGAUUAAGGGUCUGCUCAUAAGUUCCUUCCCAUCCGACCCUUAUAUCUUGAUCUCCACCAACUCAAGCGAACCUCCCCACCCUCCCGUAACUUGCCGCAAGUUUCUGGGCUCAAACUUGAAAGUGAUGCUGUUGAAAUAACCGUCUAAAUGCUAACCAAUGCAUUGCAUUCGUGUAGAGUUGCGUCUCGCCGACGGCUUCUACGAGCUGCACUCGGCGCCAGAAGACGAAGGUGUAGCCGAGCUCCUACCUCCAAAAGCCGACGCCGCCCAAGCAGGAGAGCUGCUUCCCUCCUCCCUGUUCGAAGGCAAGCCCCGGAUGCAUGAAUCCCCUGUGUUUUACCAAACUUGCGCAUGCCUUCUUGAUCAUGCUUGUGCAUUUACGUAUAGGAGUUGUUUGGAACCGUAGAUGCAUGACUUAGUUUUCCCUUGACCUGAACACUAGCUGUUGGACCGAGUAGAUGCUUUUGCUUAAAUAGGAAACGGUAAAAGCCGAGUGAUUUCCUGUCACUCGUGAGUUGUAGGAGUUGGCUGUUUUCCUUCUGUUACAACUAUAAGGACGAUGGACGGGGCAAGGUGUUGGGUAACUCUUUGGUGGUCGGCUGAUCGCCCCGUCUGUCUAUGAAACUUGCUAAGGCCCGACAGUGGUGGUGUUCAUGAUCAAGUGUUUGAAAGUACUAAUCUCAUACCUAGUAUGGGAUGGGGAAGCCUAGUACCUGAUUGAACUAGGGCGUGGCUUAUACCCCUGUUGUCCCUGGAACGAGGUUCCCAUGGUGCAUCAUGUGGGUGCAAGUGCGGUCACAGUACAGUAGAGACUGAGACUGUGGAGCAUUGCAUGCCAAGGGAAGUUUGGACCUGACGCGUGCCUGGGAAUUGAUGGGGAUGGCCGACACAGGAAGCGACCCUUGUGGUGCGCGGAUGUCGUGAGAUUAGGUUCACCAUGCAUGGUUAAGAAACUCGAAUCGAUUCGUUUGCCUCUCAUAGUUUGAGACUGCUUGAUCGCUAUAUCACCCUGAGUAACAAAGGAACCUGAUGAUGACAUGGUCUUGAUGAUGAUAUGUAUACCCUUUGGUUGGUUCUAUGUUUGCUUAGAGUAAGUUGCUAACUUAGAUUGGAUAAUGAACUUAGAACCGAAGCUAAAACUUGAAAGUAGGGAUACCCCUAGCACGUUUGGCAAACAAACCCCUCAGCCAAAAAGCCUUGCAUGUCUAGAAGUGGUGGAGUAGCUUCCUCCCUGUCGGUUAAGUCUUGUUGAGCUUAGUAGCUCAGCCUUGUUGUGGCUCUUCUUUUUCAGGUGAAGUCGCUAUUCCUGAGCCCUCCUCUGUUGGCGCUUGGCCGCCCCAACUCCCUCCCGGUUGGACGGUUGAGUGGGAUCCGUCCUCGGACGGCGAGGAGAGGGACCACUGACAUCCCGGUUGGCCUCACCAGGGAUGUCCGACCCCGACGAAGUAGCUUCCGCUUGUUGUUUUACCUUCUGUCAUUUUCUUUUAAACCUUGUAAACUCUGAUGUUAUUUUAUGGCCGAACUAAAAUGUUUAAAUUUGCUUUACUCAGUGGACUUGUUGUAUUCUCUGGAACCGCUCACCCUCGUGUGAGUUUGCUAUUCGGUCCUGUUCAGUGGUUAAAUUGGAUGAAAUUCGAUGGUGCUUCAUGUUUACUUGGUUAAGGCAUGAGUGUCGCAUAUGAGGCGGUUGAAUCAUGUUUAAUCAAGCAAAUCCGAAGUGGAUCCACCACAACUGGUACCAGAGCCGGUUUAGCAAGACAGAGAACACAAUAGGCCCUAACACACUUCUUUUGCAUAAAAGUUGCAAGAAACUCUUUAAAAAAAUCUCGUACGAUCGUUAAGGCUGACUUUAGUACGAGAGGCCCUAGGAGAUUUUGGGGUUGUUUUUAGGUGGCUAAUAUUUAUUUGGUUAUCUUGCUAACCCCUCCAGCACUUCACCAUGUUUAUCAUACGUGUGCCGAGUUCCGCAUCACGAGUAUGCGAGGGUUGAUAGGGAGUUCUAUUCAAAGGACCCUAUCAUCGCGGUUGUUUCGCCCACGUUUAUCAUAUGUGCGCAGGUUCCGUAUGUUAACCCGUACGAAGGGUGGUACGGUUCGAUUCCAACGAGCCUGUCAUCACGGUUGUUCGCUACGUCUAUUAUACGUGCGCUGAUUCCGCAUCGCGAGUAUGCGAAGGGUUAUAUAGUUCCAUUCAAAGGGGACCUAUUUCCAUGGUUGUUGUGCUGUCCAUGCAGUGUUAAAUGCAUGGGUGCCGUUUCUAUAGUGAACGGUAAUGUUUGGGGAUGCUUUCGUGGGUGCUGGCAUGAAAGGUUCAUGUGGUUGUGUUUUCUGCAGGUACACUAACCGCGUUCGCUUAAGAGAUGUUGCUAGAACCAACUAGUUACUAUAGGGAGAGACGUACUGGUUGCCUUGCCACCGGCACUAACCGCAUAAGACCAAGUUUUGGCAGUUGUUUUGGUUAAGAAUGAGGUAGACCGUGCAUGCGACAUAAGCUUAAAAUCGGUAAAGUCACCCUCCUCAAAAGCAACCUUGCUCGGAAAAGCUCUUCUUCGGUUCUAAGGAUUUCUAGUUUCUUCCAGCUUGUUCUCGAUUAAAAUCCGGAUGCUUUUUCUGUCCGACCCCUGGCUCUUAUAGUUCAUAUCACGUUGUUUUGGUUCUUGGUUCCAGAUGGCCACCCCCGGACACGUUCUGUAUGGCGCAGAUGGCACCUCUCACUCGACGUGCCUGCACUUCGAGGGUUUUCCCACUAUCUUGUGGGACACCUUGAAGUAGUUCGGGUACCAGUCUCCACCUUUGUAUGCGGGACGGUUGUACCUGGAGCAAGGCGUCCAAAGGUGCAACGUGCAGGCAGUAGUACCUCCCCCUCCUGUACGGCCCGACUGGCCCCAGUUUGGAAUCUCAACAUACGGCCACACACUGGAAGACACCUGGGAGUCAGCUGCUCUACAACUCCUCACUCAAUUUUGUCAGCUCCACCUGCUGGAGGUCACCCUGGACCCCAUCGGCCUGUUCCCUGCCACGAACCGGUUAGACCCGGCGUGGCUCGACCGCAUCAGCAACAUCGAGGUGUUGGCCACCUCUCACUCGAUGGUCACCAUCUCCACCAAUGUCAGGUGUAUGUCAGCCCUAUAUCGGCUGAUUGAGCUCCAAGGACGGGCCAUGGCUGUCCUUGCUCGGAUUGCCGUGGAUACUCAAGGACACCUCAACGCCGCCAGAAGAGACAUGGUGGGCCAAAUAUAUCAGCUCAUCCAAAGAGGCAUCCAAAUCCACGACAUGCAGGACCAAAUCUCCGAGCUUGAAGGAGAAGUAGCCGAUUUGGUGGAUGGCAUGAUUGAGCUGUCAGAGGAAAAGAUGGAAGUAGAAAUGGAGUUGGCAGUUGCAAAUGCUCAUCUGGACGAGCAUCACACCGAGCUCGAUGACAUGCAUGCCCUCCAGAUGCAGCUGGAAGCACAGGAAGACCCUAAGGAGGUUGAGGAAGCGUCCAGCAUGGACAUUGAAGAGGAUGACGCCCCUUCUCCAACUCACAGUGUUCCCUCGUAGAUGGAGAGUUGUAGGGAACCCAUUCUUUUGUUGUACUCCUUGGCAGCCUUGAGUUGAGUAUUCCUUGUGUUGUAGGAACAACCUUGUAAAGAUCCCGGUGAAAUCAGAUCCUGAGUUUGACCUUUGACUCCUUGCAAAACGUUUGGGAUGCCGGACUAUGUGAGUUUGUGCUGUGACCACACACACCGUUUUCGGUGGGUCUGUCCAAGUUUGGCCGACCCCGGGUCACGAGAGUUGGAUGCGCCCGACCCCUCGAGGCAGUUCUCCGCCUCGCCCGACCCCUUUUUGUGUGGUUCGUUUUGCCGACCCCUUUUCUUGAGUGUUUCGCCUAACCCGACCCCUUGGCCUAAGGUCAGACAUAAUGGAACUCCUGGAAUCUGGUUAGGGUUCGCCCAAAGUCGUGUGCAGAGCUGAGAUGGCUGCUAACUAGGAUGGCAAGAGGAAGUGUGUGUCUCCUUUAUAUAGUUGUGUUGUGUUGCUUUGUGGCCAGAGAUGCAUUUGAGGAUUUAGCAUGUGCGCUCCCCUCUGUUGGAGUCCUUCUAAGGUUAUGAAUUUAAUGGAACGUUAACUCUUGCAGAUGGCGCACCGCACCAGAUCCGGCUCUGCGCCCGGCAGCAGCGAGCAAAGAUAGGAUCUUCCCCCACCCCCACCCCCGUCUCCACUAGAGGCGAUCUUAGCGGCUCAGAUCGAGCUGCUGAGGCAUCUGGUACAGGGGCAACAAUAGUAGCAGCCCCAUGGUGGAAGGGCUCAGCAGCAACCUCAUGUUGCUCGUUAUGAGGACUUCUUGGGGACGCAGCCCCCAUUGUUCCAGAAGACCCAAGACCCGCUCGACGCAGACGCCUGGGUUCGCACCAUCGAAUCCAAGUUUGAGCUUCUCACCGCCCAGUGCUUCAACCACAAUAAGGCCCGGUUUGCAGCUCAGCAGCUACGUGGUUCUGCCUGGCUAUGGUGGGAUCACUACCACGCCAUGUUGCCAGCCGACCAUAUCGUCAGCUGGAACAAGUUCAAGACAGCGUUCAGAGCACAUCACAUUCCGGAAGGUCUCCUGGAGUGCAAGCUCAAUGAAUUCCUGGCUCUUACCCAGGGAACCCGAGAUGUGUUGCACUACGCCCAAGCCUUCAACGAUCUGUGCCGUUAUGCCGGAUAUCACGCAGACACCGACGAGAAGAAGCGGGACAGAUUCCGCAGAGGGCUAAGCUUGGAGCUCAGAGAAAGGUUAAACCUGAUAAGGGUGGAUACGUACAAUGAGUUGGUCAACCUGGCCAUCUCACAAGAGGACUGCAUGAAGGCUCUGGCAGCCGAGAGGAAGAGGAAAGCUCCACUGCCAACGCCCAACCCACCUGCGCAGCAUUUCAGAAUGGUUCCACCCCAGGUGCCCAGCCGACCCCAGCUGUCGGGAAGAUGGGUUGCCCGACCCCCGCCAGCGGCAGUGCCCCAUUUUUCUGGUUUCCAACCACACGCGCCCCGGCCAACCCUGCCACCACCCCCACGCCCUGCAACGGGUAACCGCUGCUUUGCCUGCGGUGAUGUGGGGAAUUUUGCUAAGGACUGCCCCAGAAAUCAGAGCCCGCGCCCAGGGCAGAGCAAUGCAACGCUCAACAAAGGGAAGAGGCCCAAGGUCCAAGUUCGCCAGGGUCGACUGAACUUCACCCACGCAGCAGAGCUUCCUGAAGGUGCACCGAUAAUGACGGGUACCUUUCUGAUUCACAUUUUUUUAGCUUUGGUUUUGUUUGACUCAGUUGCUUCACAUAGUUUUAUCGGGAGGAAGACCCGCGACAAGUGUGGGUUACAGGAAUGCCAAACCAGAGCGUCUUUUAGAAUAUCCACCCCAGGUGGAAUAAUCACAUCUGAUAGGAUGAGUGUUAAUGUGCCUAUCCAGCUAGGCCAAAACCUUUUUAAGGAGAAUAUUGUUAUCCUUGACCUGGAAGGAAUAGAUAUCAUCCUUGGGAUGGAUUGGAUGGCCAGACACCAAGUGGUUCUAGACCCAGCUGCCCGAACCCUCCACAUCAAUUCACCCUUUCAUGGCAGUUCUACCCUGUCCUUGAAAUAUCCUAAGUCUGCACUUCCCUGUGCGUACCCUCUGUCCCAAGCCUAGCUAGAAAGCCUCCCUAUUGUCUGUGAGUACCCGGAUGUGUUCCCAGAAGACUUGCCCGGCAUGCCACCCGAUAGAGAUGUGGAGUUUGCCAUAGAGUUGAUCCCCGGCACCGCCCCUAUCUCCAAAAGACCCUAUCGGAUGCCACCAGCCGAGCUGGCCGAGUUGAAGACCCAGUUGUAUGAUCUGUUGGAAAAAGGUUUCAUCCGACCCAGUGCAUCACCCUGGGGUUGCCCGGCCUUGUUUGUGAAGAAGAAGGAUGGCAGUCUAUGCAUGUGUGUAGACUACCGACCCCUCAAUGCGGUGACUAUCAAAAACAAGUACCCACUCCCCCGCAUUGAUGUCUUGUUCGAUCAGUUAGCUGGAGCUAGAGUGUUCUCCAAGAUCGAUCUUCGUUCAGGUUAUCACCAGAUCAAGAUCCAACCAUGUGACAUCCCUAAGACUGCUUUCUUCACAAGAUAUGGACUCUACGAGUACCUGGUCAUGUCUUUUGGACUCACCAAUGCACCCGCAUACUUUAUGUAUCUCAUGAACUCGGUGUUCAUGCCCGAGUUGGACAAGUCUGUAGUAGUGUUCAUUGAUGAUAUUCUGGUGUACUCGAAAAGCGAAGAAGAACAUGUCAACCAUCUUCAUGUGGUUCUCCAACGGCUGAGAGAUCAUCAGCUCUAUGCCAAGUUCUUCAAGUGUGAAUUUUGGUUAGAUAGUGUCAUGUUCUUGGGACACACUAUCUCUAGGAACGGCAUAGCCGUCGACCCCAGUAAGGUACAGGAAGUCAUGGACUGGAAGCCUCCCACCUUGGUGCACCAGAUCCGAAGUUUCCUUGGACUAGCAGGCUACUAUCGGCGUUUCAUACCGGACUUCUCCAAGAUAGCUAAGCCGAUGACUGAGCUGCUGAAGAAAGAGGUCAAAUUUGCAUGGAACAAUAAGUGUGAAGAAGCCUUCAAGACCCUGAAGCACUUGCUGACCACAGCCCCGGUUUUGGCUCAACCCGACCCCUCUAGGCCGUUUGACGUGUACUGUGAUGCCUCUGGCACUGGACUUGGGUGUGUUCUUAUGCAAGACAACCAAGUCAUUGCCUAUGCCUCACGGGCGUUACGACCUCAUGAGCUGAACUACCCAACCCAUAAUCUUGAGUUGGCAGCGGUGAUUCAUGCCUUAAAGAUAUGGAGACACUAGAUGGGCACCCACUACAAUAUCUACACCGACCACGAGAGCCUCAAGUACAUUUUCACCCAAGCCGACCUCAACAUGCGCCAAAGAAGGUGGUUGGAGUUGAUAAAGGACUAUGAUUUGGAAGUGCACUAUCACCCCGGCAAGACCAAUGUGGUGGCCGAUGCUCUUAGCCGCAAGACCUCUUGCAACUGCUUGUCGGCAACAACCUUCACCGAGACUUUGUGUCAUGAGAUGGGAAAACUCAGUUUGGAAAUUGUUUCCCAUGGAACCCUCGGCCACAUCGCCCUUGAGUCUAUGUUGGAAGACCAAAUAAGGUCAGCACAAGUAGAGGAUGAGGAGGUAAGGCGGAUCACAAGGAAGAUUUCCUUGAAGGAUGAAGGAUAUAAGCAGUUUCGGCAGGAUGAGACUGGAAAAGUGUAUUAUGGAAACCGACUGGUAGUCCCAGCCGACCCCAACUUGAGGAAGCAAAUCCUAGAUGAAGCCCAUCUCUCUAAGUUCUCACUCCAUCCUGGCAGCAAUAAGAUGUACCAUGACCUCCGUCAAACCUUCUGUUGGAGUGGAAUGAAGCCGGAAAUUGCCCGGUAUGUUUCAGAGUGUGACACCUGCCAACGCGUCAAGGCCAGUCAUCUAAAGGUAGCAGGAACCCUGCAGCCCCUACCUAUUCCCUCUUGGAAAUGGGAAGAUAUCAGGAUGGAUUUCAUAGUUGGACUACCCCUUACAUCGCAACGACAUGAUUCCAUUUGGGUUAUAGUGGACCGUAUGACCAAGACCGCCCACUUCCUUCCUGUCCACACCACCCACACGGUCAAGCAGUAUGCAGACAUGUACCUCAACCGCAUAGUUUCCCUACAUGGUGUGCCUAAGACUAUCAUCUUUGAUCGAGGAGUUCAGUUUGUAGCAUGCUUUUGGGAACAACUACAAGCAUCCAUGGGCACCAAACUCAUAUGUAGCUCAACCUAUCAUCCUCAAACCGAUGGUCAAACCGAAAGAGUCAAUCAGAUCCUUGAAGACAUGUUAAGAGCUUGUGUCAUCCACUAUGACAAAAAUUGGGACAAGUGCUUGCCAUUGGCAGAGUUCUCCUACAACAAUAGCUACCAAACCAGCUUGAAGAUGGCACCGUUUGAGGCAUUGUAUGGACGAAGAUGCCGGACACCAUUGAACUAGUCCCAAGCUGGAGAGAGACAAAUUUAUGGCCCUGACUUAGUGGUAGAGGCCGAAGAGCAAGUGAAGGUAAUUCAAGCAAAUCUCAAGGCUGCCCAAUCCCGACAGAAGAGUUACUCCGACAGAAGAAGAAGGCCCCUACAGUUUGACAUAGGUGACCAUGUGUAUCUUCGGGUCUCCCCGACAAAAGGAGUACAACGGUUUGGAAUAAAAGGGAAAUUGGCUCCCCGUUACAUUGGCCCAUAUGAGAUUGUGGAAAUCUGUGGACCAGUUGCCUAUCGAAUCCAACUCCCGGAACAGCUCUCGGCCAUACAUGAUGUUUUCCAUGUGUCUCAAUUGAAGAAAUGUGUCCAAGUCCCAACCGAGAUCUUGGAACAGGAACAACUUCAGAUCGCGCCUGACCUAACCUAUGCAGAGUAUCCGGCCAAGGUCCUGGACCAGAAGGAGAGGCGCACCCGACGCCAAGUUGUUAAAAUGUACAAGAUCCUCUGGAGAAACCACACCGAGGAUGAAGCAACGUGGGAAACAGAAGAGUACUUGAACAAACUUUUCCCACGUUUCCUCCCCAACCAAGGAGGUAAGGACUACACACCCCCACCAGUUACUUCUACAUCCGAAUCUCGGGACGAGAUUCUUUUUAAGGGGGGUAGGCUAUAACGACCUCGGUUAAAAUCCUUCACGUUAAUCUUAAUCCGAGUCCUUGAUCCCCUGUCUCAUCUUUACCAAGUCUAAGUGCUCAACCUCCAGUUCAGUCCCGACCCCUAUGAUCCGACCCCUCACCGUUUUUCCCCAGUUCCGACCCCGCCGACCCCAAACCCAUACCGCCGGAUCCUUUUAAGUCUCCCCACCGAAUCCCUCUCGACCUAAGCAGUGGACCAAGCGAGAUUGACCGGGGACCCACGAGAUCUUUCUCCCAGAUCUCCCGCGAUAGGCGCACUCAAGUUGCAUGCCCGCUUCAGAGUUCCCUUGCCACGUGGCUCAACUCCUCCGACGCCCGCCGCUCCGCCUCGUCGCCGGCCACGACCGGAUGGAUUCUCGCGCCCCCUUCCCCAAUCGCAGCGGAAGCUCCUCUGCUACCCUUUCUGCAGCACCUCGCCACCCGCGAUCAUCAUCACCUCGCCAGAUCCCGGCUACAGAGCCCGACGCCGCCCGUCUUUUCUGUCGCCCCUCCAUAGUCGCGCCGCCCCGGUCCGCGCUACGCGACGAUUCCUCCUCCGCCAACCCAGACCGUGGCAGCGACAGCUCCUUUCCCGCCCUGUCAGAGCUCCACCCCCGACAAUCUGUUGCUCCGCGCUCGCCCGCGCGACCGCAGCCGCUUGUCUUCUCACCUGUGUGCCCUCGUUUCUAGCGUCGUUCCCGCGGUCACUUCCAUCAGAUCCACCGCACGGCGACGCCCGUCUCCGCCAAAUCUCAACCACCCACCGGCAAACCCGCGCCUGCACCGCCCUAUCAUCGGUGCCCAAUGACCGCCGGUGUCAUCCCCGAAGUCCUAUUCCACCGCCCUCGUCGCUCAAUCGCCGCCUCGGCAGCGCACUCCAUCGUUUCUUCCCCGGUCCUUGCGCCGCUCCAACCUUCUCUCUUCCGCGCAGCUAUAAAAGGGAAUGCCGGAGCCCCGCCGGAGUUCCCCCUUCGCCAUCGCUGCCCUCCCGCUUUGCUCCCUGUUUGUGCUCACAGCGCCACUGCCUAAGUUCUGAAGAACUCUCCUCUCCGCUCCACACCGCUCUCUCAAUCCGCCCAGCCUCUUGCUCCCCAUGUUGCACAGAGCUUGCUUGUGGUUCACAAGAAGCACCGCCGCCGCCGGAGCACCACCGGACAUCCUCGCCGCUGUCCCAAGACUUAGUCUUCCCGCCCAAGCCUGUUCUUUCCCGACCCCAAGCUUCAUCUGCAAGAUGAAGGUAAGCUGCCGACCCUUUGUCCGUCUCGCCCGACCCUGUCUGUUCUGCCACCCUUCUCCGCCUCGCCCGAGGGCUCGGCUGUAUCUUUUUCCUUGAACCGAGGGUGUAUGUGUAAAACUUGCGGACUUUUCAGCGUUAAGUCUGAGCACCCCUAGCACAUCUAUUCCUCUAGAUUAAGGGUCUGAUCAUAAGUUCCUUCCCAUCCGACCCUUAUAUCUUGAUCUCCACCAACUCAAGCAAACCUCCCCACCCUCCUGUAACUUGCCGCAAGUUUCUGGGCUCAAACUUGAAAGUGAUGUUGUUGAAAUAACCGUCUAAAUGCUAACCAAUGCAUUGCAUUCGUGUAGAGCUACGUCUCGCCGACAGCUUCUACGAGCUGCACCCGGCGCCAGAAGAUGAAGGUGUAGCCGAGCUCCUACCUCGAGAAGCCGACGCCGCCCAAGCAGGAGAGCUGCUUCCCUCCUCCCUGUUCGAAGGCAAGCCCCGGAUGCAUGAAUCCCCUGUGUUUUACCAAACUUGCGCAUGCCUUCUUUGGCAUGCUUGUGCAUUUACGUAUAGGAGUUGUUUGGAACCGUAGAUGCAUGACUUAGUUUUCCCUUGACCUGAACACUAGCUGUUAGACCGAGUAGAUGCUUUUGCUUAAAUAGGAAACGGUAAAAGCCGAGUGAUUUCCUGUCACUCGCGAGUUGUAGGAGUUGGCUGUUUUCCUUCUGUUACAACUAUAAGGACCAUGGACGGGGCAAGGUGUUGGGUAACUCUUUGGUGGUCGGCUGAUCGCCCCGUCUGUCUAUGAAACUUGCUAAGGCCCGACAGUGGUGGUGUUCGUAAUCAAGUGUUUGAAAGUACUAAUCUCAUACCUAGUAUGGGAUGGGGAAGCCUAGUACUUGAUUGAACUAGGGCGUGGCUUAUACCCCUGCUGUCCCUGGAACGAGGUUCCCAUGGUGCAUCAUGUGGGUGCAAGUGCGGUCACAGUACGGUAGAGACUGGGACUGUGGAGCAUUGCAUACCAAGGGAAGUUUGGACCUGACGAGUGCCUGGGAAUUGAUGGGGACGGCCGACACAGGAAGCGACCCUUGUGGUGCGCGGAUGUCGUGAGAUUAGGUUUGCCAUGCAUGGUUAAGAAACUCGAAUUGAUUCAUCUGCCACUCACAGUUUGAGACUGCUUGAUCGCUAUGUCACCCUGAGUAACAAAGGAAUCUGAUGAUGACAUGGUCUUGAUGAUGAUAUGUAUACCCUUUGGUAGGUUCUAUGUUUGCUUAUAGUAAGUUGCUAACUUAGAUUGGAUAAUGAACUUAGAACCGGAGCUAAAACUUGAAAGUAGGGAUACCCCUAGCGCUUUUGGCAAACAAACCCCUCAGCCAAAAAGCCUUGCAUGUCUAGAAGUGGUGGAGUAGCUUCCUCCCUGUCGGUUAAGUCUUGUUGAGCUUAGUAGCUCAGCCUUGUUGUGGAUCUUCUUUUUCAGGUGAAGUCGCUGUUCCUGAGCCCUCCUCUGUUGGCGCUUGGCCGCCCCAACUCCCUCCGGGUUGGACGGUUGAGUGGGAUCCCUCCUCGGACGACGAGGAGAGGGACCACUGACAUCCCGGUUGGCCUCACCAGGGAUGUCCGACCCCGACGAAGUAGCUUCCGCUUGUUGUUUUACCUUCUGUCGUUUUCUUUUAAACCUUGUAAACUCUGAUGUUGUUUUAUGGCCGAACUAAAAUGUUUAAAUUUGCUUAACUCAGUGGACUUGUUGUAUUCUCUAGAACCGCUCACCCUCGUGUGAGUUUGCUAUUCGGUCCUGUUCAGUGGUUAAAUCGGAUGAAAUUUGACGGCGCUUCAUGUUUACUUGGUUAAGGCAUGAGUGUCGCAUAUCAGGCGGCUAAAUCAUGUUUAAUCAAGCAAAUCCGAAGUGGAUCCGCCACACGUGGCUGAAUGGACUGAAAACCAAGUACCAACACCAGUUGAGCGGCCGGAGCACUGGGUAAUGUAUUUCGACGGGUCCCUCAAACUUGAAGGGGCCGGUGCAGGCGUACUCCUCAUCUCCCCCAAGGGAGACCAGCUAAAAUACGUACUGCAAAUCUUCUGGGAGGCAUCUAAUAAUGAAGCCGAGUACGAAGCACUGCUACAUGGCCUUCGCCUUGCAAUAUCCCUCAGCAUCAAAAGACUACUGGUGUACGGCGACUCACUAGUUGUUAUAAAUCAGGUCAAUGACGAGUGGGACCGAAACAAAGAUAACAUGGACGCUUACUGCAAAGAAGUCCGUAAGCUGGAAAACAAGUUCUCAGGCUUGGAGUUUCACCACAUCGUCCGCGACAACAACGUAGCCGCCGACAUCUUAUCAAAAAUGGGCUCAACUCGUGCAGAGGUUCUAGCAGGAAUUUUCGUACACGAACUACACAAGCCAUCCAUACCUGAACAAGUCACACCGCCAGUGGUCCAGACUACUGAUGUCACUCGAGAAAUCAUGAUGAUAGAAGUCGACUGGAGGACACCCUUCGUCAACUACAUCAAAGAUCACAAGCUACCAUCUGACAAAAAUAAGGCUGAACAAAUCUCCCGGCAAGUAAAAAGUUACGUUCUAGUCGGAGACAAGCUCUACAGGAAAGGUGCAUCAUCCGGGGUACUCAUGAAGUGCGUUACCUGGGAAGACGGCCAAGAAAUGUUAGAGGAAAUUCACAAAGGAAUUUGUGGUAACCACGCCUCUUCGCGGACAAUAGUUGGCAAGGCUUUCAGAGCAGGCUUCUACUAGCCAAUGGCUCUGGCCGACGCUAAACAGCUAGUUCAGAAGUGCAAAGGUUCUCAAUUCUUUACCAAACAGCAGCAUGUACCGGCCUACAAGCUAGUCACAAUACCUCCAACAUGGCCGUUUGCCUGCUGGAGGCUCGACAUGAUAGGGCCACUACCAACUGCGCCAGGAGGAUUCAACCGAGUACUCAUGGCAAUCGACAAAUUCACCAAGUGGAUCGAGGUCAAACCAGUCACUUGCCCCAGGGCAGACCGGGUCCUCGACUUCUUGGAUGAAAUCGUACACCGCUACAGUUUUCCCAAUAGGAUUAUCACAGACCUAGGGUCAAACUUCAACAAUCACAACUUUUGGGAAUACUGCGAGAAUAACGGCAUCAACGUCCGCUAAGUCUUGGUCGCUCACCCGCGAGCCAAUGGAAAAGUCGAGCGUGCCAAUGGCAUGAUACUUGACGCCCUCAAGAAAAGACUACACGAUGUCGGCAACACCAAAGGUGGCAAAUGGCUCAAAGAGUUACCCAAUGCUCUAUGGGGACUACGUACCCAACCAUGGAAGACUACUGGGCUCUCGCCCUAUUUUCUCAUGUAUGGCUCAGAAGCCAUACUACCCGCUGACAUCAUGUGGCAAUCACCCUCAGUCGAACAAUACGACGAAGAGCUGGCAAAAGAAACAAGGCGAACAGAUCUAGACAGUCCAGAAGAAGCAAGAUGCGCAGCACUAGUGCAAUCUGCCAGAUACCUUGAUGGUUUAAGGCGUUACCACGACCGUAACGUCAAGGAACGAUCUUUCAACUUGGGCGAUAUGGUCCUCAAGCGAAUCCAAGACAUAAUAGGGUUGCAUAAACUCAAUUCACCAAGGGAGGGUCCUUACAUUGUAUCAAAGGUUAUGGAACCUGGAUCUUACAGACUACAAGAGUUUUCAGGAGAACAAGUACCAAACUCUUGGAAUAUAGAACACAUUUGUCACUCCUACCCAUAGCAGUACCCGAGUAAUCGCUUCAAGGCAAAAACUCAUGCUGACUACUCGAGCUAACAACUCAACUACCGACUUCAAGAUUCAUUAGUCUUGACUCAAGAUUAUCAACUCCACAGCCAUCACGGCCCCGGUACAAAGGUUCAACGGAGUAAUUCUUUACUCAGGACCAAAGAUACAUCAACAAGUUACAUACUAGUAAAAGUACUCGAAAUACAAAAGGACUACAAGCAACUGCCUACUGGCGGGCUGCAUUUAAGCGUCAGGCUUUUACAAUAUCACAAGGCCACUCAGGUCUGCCGACUACAAUGGGAAGGGCCUACACGCAAGGAAAUUGUGCAAAAUGCAGCCAUAUCCAGGUCCUCUACCCAAGGCAACGCCAGGAACUCCUGCAUCGCAAUUGCCUUGACAGUGGCAAUGAUGAAUCCCUCGCGUUGCACCUAGAAGGAACCAAGGCUGCUCUUUUGCUAGCCUCACCCAGCCAACCCCCUCUACGGCCACACCUCCACCUCUAAGAGAGUAGGAUAAAGACUGCAGCACUCAUCACCUAUCACUCGCGAGUUCCAGCGCGUACUCCAUUAGAUCACGAGCUGCAAGAUGAGGCGCGCGAUGAAACCUCCUACGAGGAUUCUUCUAGCAUCGUUGCUAUCCCUACGAGCGCAGGAGUCUGUGGAGGGAAGGUGGCCUCAAUCUAUGAGGAAUCUUCUAGCACCGGUGCACUCUUUGACGGCUCUCUACACCCAAACAACAACAACCGAAGGCAAUCCAUGGCUACUCAGAAACUUGGUUCGGGUCGACCUCCAGGGGAUCUAUUUAUAGCCAAGCGCUACAACUACCACCCACCCAGGAGUUACUAUGUGCCCAUGAUCAAUGAGUCUGACGACCUCUGACUUUGCCCACGUGAAAGCAUUCACGCUACAAAGGACAAAAAAGUACAGUACACCUGUGCACCCUCAAAAGUAGAGUACUCGACAGCAUUGCGACUACUCGAAACUCCGAACUACUCUAGCCAAGCACGACCUGCGCUCACAUCAUUGUCUCGGGGGCUUGGAAGGAUCCAACCCUCUGUUCAGGGGUCGGGCGCACCCGACCCCGGGACCUUGGGUCGGGCGAGGCGGAGUUUUUCCCUCAAGGGGUCGGGCUCACCCGACCCCGGGACCUUGGGUCGGGUGAGACGGAGCGAACUACUCCUCACCCACAUCAAGACAACUACUUCAAGCAACUAAAGAAAGAACUAGCAUUCAUUUCUUAAGAGUAUCGUUCAAAGUACUCGAAACAACUACAAGAGUACAUAAAAAAGCUCAAGGCUCCUCUGGAGAGACAAACUCCGACAUCUUGGACGCGAUGGGCUCCGCCUCCUCGAGGUACUGCGCAUAUGCUUCUUCUGUGCAGUUGCGAGCCACCCCGUCACCAGCUACCACCAAGUCCGCCCUCGGGUAGUAUGACUUCACAACAGCAAGGACCUAUUUGCAAACAGCUUUGCAGAGACCUGCCACUUUACCCGCCUUCAAUCGCUCGACUAGCGAUUGAGGUCCUGCGCCUUCUUCCACGGAGGCUAUGGCAUUCACCAAAUCUUGAGCUGCCUCAGUCAACUCUUGGAGUUCGCCUCGGAGUCUUCCCAUGGUCUGAGCAUGAUCUCUGCAUGCCACCAUGGCGAUAGCAAGCAUCACGCCUGUAACGACCGACCCCUAAGCCUUCCAGUUAAUCUUGAUCGCAGCCCUUAACCUUAGUGAGCUGUCUUGCUUGACCGCACCUAAGUGCUCAGUUUUCCGCCGGUCCCGACCCCUGAGAUCCGACCCCUUCCCGCUUCGCUCCUCUCCCGACCCCGGCGAGUUCAGCCCACCGUCGGAUUCUGCUGAUCUUCCUCACCCGUCAGAUCUAUCCACAGGUGGACCCGUGAGAUCUUUUCCAGAUCCCCCGCGACAGCCGCACUCGAGUUGCAUGGCC